UGUGAAUGAAGAUGAUGUUCAAAACAUGCCUUAUCUCAAAGCAGUGAUAAAAGAGACAUUUAGAUUAUAUCCACCUUCUCCACUCCUAAUGCCAAGAGAAUCAAUACAAAAAUCUACACUAGAAGGGUAUGAAAUUCAACCAAAAACUGUAGUUUAUGUGAACACAUGAUGAUCGGAAGGGAUCCUGAAAUAUGGGAAAAUCCAGAAGAAUUUAUACCUGAGAGAUUUUUAAAUAGUGAUAUUGAUUAUUUCAAGGGGCAAAAUUUUGAGUUGAUUCCAUUUGGAGCUGGUAGAAGAGGUUGUCCAGGUAUCUAAUGGUAGAUGUAUAAUCUACACGAUGAGUUUUUCCAAACAAUUUUAUAAUUAUAAUUAAAGUUUAAAUUUUGAAUUUGUCUCUUUACAGCUGUUUCACUUGGUGUUGCAACGGUGAAUCUUGUACUUCCAAAUCUUCUUUAUGCAUUUGAUUGGGAAUUGCCUUAUGGGAUCAUGAAAGAAGAAAUUGACACAACUAUUAUGCCUGGACUUGGCAUGCAUAAGAAAAAUGAUCUUUGCCUUGUCCCAAAAAAAUAUCCAUACACCUAGCUCUAGUCAUAUAAUAUGUGUUUUAAUAUACCCCUUAACAUAUGGGAAUAGUAUUUUCCAUUACCUAUGUUUAAUAUGGUACUCAUUAUUUUGUGCUUGAUCACUUCUAUUAUAAUGUUUUUGAUAAUAAAAUAACAUUUAUAUAUACCAUGUUAUUGAGAACAUAAUUCUUGUAGUGAGAGAAUAUUAUUACUAAUAUUUUCAUUUUAUUCCAUAUUCUAUCUCGUAUAAAUAAUACAUAUUAUUUUAUAUAAUUUAUAAGCUUAUUAUUUAUAAACAAAUUAAAUUAAAUUAAAUUAGUUCAUAAUUCACCAUGUUCACAACACAUCGUCUAAGCAACAAGAUGCAUUUUUAAAUAAUCAUAAAUCAAGAUUGCACCAUAAAAUUUAACAUAUAUAUAUUUUUUCUUUUUAGAUUAAACACUUAGAUCUGAAUUAUAGAAAUUUAUCCGUAUCAUGUGUUUAUAUCAAACUAUAUAUAUCAUUUACCAUAGUUGAUUGAUUUAAUGAAGGGAAAUUAAUGUAUAGUACAAUUAACCACGAUUAAGUGAAGACAAAGUCUACGCGAAAACACAUAUUAUAUAUAUAUAUACACACACACUAGACUUGGAGAUUAAUACAAGGCAUUUUGUUCUAAUACAAAUUAUGAGUUCAAAUUUAAUAUUUUAAUUUUAGUAAUUUUUUAUGUAUAAAUAUAUAUUCCGUGUAAAUAUACAACUAGAUUUAGAUGAACCCCCUAGUUGGUCCUCAUUGUCCAUACUGAUACGUGCUAUAAAGCUCAUUUCCAUCACAAAAUAGGCCAUAUAUAUAUAGCCUAAGAGUUUUCUAUGUCACUUUCAUGGCUUAUUUGUUUUGGAGAUUUCUUGUUGCCUAAAAGUUGAUUUGAGUGCUACGUAGGGGGAUGAUUUAGAGUAUCGUCUACGAGUUCAGCUCAUUAAUUUUUAUUUAAGUUAACCUUAUAUAUAUAUAUUAUUAAAUUGAUUAAAAAGGAAUUGGAGAAAGCACUUCAACUUAAUUUUAAAAGUAUUAAAAUGCUCCCAAAACCAACAAUAUUUAUAUAUAUCUAACUGUGAAUUCAGUUCUUAAUGUAUAUUAAUUUAAACUCUUUUAUAAAUUCAUCAACUUUAAAUUCUAAAUCUACCGAUAAUGAUGAGAUAAACAUAAUUUUCAUCAUGCAAAGCCUCCGCUUUCUCAUUUCCCUUUGCAAUUUAUUCUAUUUUUAAAAUUAAAAGUUCAAAUUUAUUAUUUUAAUUUUGAUGAAUUUAAAAUAUAAAUAUAAGUUCUACAUAAAUAUUGAACUAGAUUUAGAUGAACCCUACAUCUGCCAAUGGUCCUCAUUUCUAUCAUAAUAAAAUAUGCCAUAUACUGCCUAGCUAUAUGACUUUUUUAUAUCACUUAGUUUUCAUGUAAUUAUAAUAGGUAGGUCGGUAUCAGUUUACCUCAAGAUAUAUACAUGUUGCAUAAAAUUUGAUCUUGUAUAAAUAUCUAUACGUGUGAACUCAGUUAUUAUUGUAUAUUAACUUAAGAUCUUUAUAAACGUCGUGUACAACUUAAACGAUGGUCCCAAAAUCGGGGCAUUUGUGCAAUUCACUUGUUUAUAUUCUUAUCGUCUACAUAAGAUACAUUUAUAUUUAUUUAUACAUUUCAAGUGACUAGUUUUUUGUGCAGGACAAUAAAAUGAUGUUCUUUCUAUUCUCAUUAGCUCUUUCUAUUAUUUUCAUUUUUCUUCUUCAUAAAGCCAAAAUGAGUAGAAAAACCUUUCUACCACCAGGUCCAUUAGGGCUACCUUUUAUUGGAAAUUUGCAUCAAUAUGAUAGUUUAAACCCUCAUCUCUAUUUUUGGAAACUUUCCCAAAAAUAUGGAAAAAUAUUCUCAUUGACAAUUGGAUCUUCCACUAUGAUAGUAAUUUCUUCAGCAAAAUUAGCAAAAGAAGUACUGAAAACACAAGAUUUAACAUUUUGUAGUAGACCUUCUUUUCUUGGCCAACAAAAAUUGUCUUACAAUGGUCAUGAUAUUGCCUUUGCACCUUACAAUGAAUAUUGGAGGAAAAUGCGAAAGGUUUGUGUUGUUCAUUUAUUCAGUCUCAAAAAAGUGCAAUCUUUUAGUCUAAUUCGUGAAGAUGAAGUAUCAAAAGUGAUCAAGAAAAUAUCUCAACAAGCAGCCGCUUCACAAAUUAUAAAUUUGAGCGACAUAGUGAUUUCACUAACAAAUACAAUUAUUUGUAAAAUUGCUUUUGGUAUUAGGUAUGAUGAAGAAACACAUGAAAAAAGGAAAUUCGCUGAACUUUCCACUAUGGCAGAAGAGCUGAUGACACAUUUUUUUUUCUCGGAUUAUUUUCCUAUGUUCGGUUGGCUUGAUAAAUUAUUUGGAAAUAUUAGUAGACUUGAGAAGAAUUUUAAUGAUUUAGAUGAGUUUUUUGAAGAACUCAUUAACCAGCAUCUCAAUCCCAAUAGGCCAAAAUCAAUGGAAGGAGAUAUUAUUGAUCUUUUGCUUCAAUUAAGGAAAGAACAAUCAACUUCAAUUGAUCUUACUUUGGAUAACAUAAAGGGCAUUCUCAUGGUAAGUAAUCAACUGUAUAUUUCUAUAACCAAUAUAUGCAUGUAGGUAAAAAUUUAAUUUACAUAUAUAUGGAUAAUAUACCUACACUACACCAAAAUGAUUUUAAUUAGCGGCAACUAAAUAGCAGUAAUAGCUUACUUGCUGCUAAAUAUGUAUUUUUAGCGGCAAUUAACACUCUUUGUAAAUGUCCUAAAGCCUAUAGCGACAUUGAAUCCAAUAGCAAUAAACUAAUGCCGGUAAAGACUUUAACACUCUUUGUUAUAUAUAUAUUUAUAUUAAUGUGUAUAUUUAUUGCCGCUAAAAGCUAUUUUUACUAAUAAUUUUGUAAAAAAACAAACACUUUAUAUUGGAAUUAGGUAUACAUAAAUUUAAAUCUUAUCUCCUAAAUAUACUGAAUUAGGCAUACUAUAUCUAGUACAAUAUUGACUAACUUAUAUCAAUAUUAGUGUACACAAGUUAAACUCGCACAUAGAUACUUACUUGUAUCUCCUAUAUUGCUUUUGGGAAUUUCUAAUGAUUUGACAAUAUCUUUCAUUUUCCUCUAAAUUUGAUUAUUUUGUAGGAUAUAUUAACGGGUGGAACAGACACUAAUGCAGUUGCAGUAAUAUGGUCAAUGACAGCCUUAAUGAAAAAUCCAGAAGUCAUGAAGAAAGUUCAAGAAGAAAUUAGGAAAUCAAUUAGGAUUAAAGGCAUUGUGAAUGAAGAUGAUAUUCAAAACAUGCCUUACUUCAAUGCAGUGAUAAAAGAGAUAUUUAGAUUAUAUCCACCAGCUCCACUUCUAGUGCCAAGAGAAGCAAUGGAAAAAUCCAUACUAGAAGGGUAUGAAAUUCAGCCGGGAACUAUAAUUCAUGUAAACUCAUGGGCAAUUGCAAGGGAUCCUGAAAUAUGGGAAAAUCCAGAAGAAUUUAUACCCGAGAGAUUCUUGAAUUGUGAUAUUGAUUUCAAGGGCCAAAAUUUUGAGUUGAUUCCAUUUGGAGCAGGUCGAAGAGGUUGUCCAGGUAUUCCAUAAGAUUUAUAAUUUACACUAUAAAUCCAAUUGAUCCCACAAUUUACUUAUUUAAAUUAUAGAUUUUACAUUAAAUCAUCUAAAAAGAACUAGAAAUAACAUUAAAAAAUGGGAUAGCAACAAGCCUAAACCAUUUAAACUAUCUAAUUUACACAAUAUGUACAAAUUAUAUAUGUAGUGUAUACUUUAUAUCAAAUAUACAUAUAUGAUACAUAUAAUAUGUAUAUAUUUAUACACAAUAUAUAUACUAUAUUAGUAUAUAUGUUGUGUAUAUAUACUUCGACCACAUUAAUAUACUAGUUGUCUAUAGAUUAUAUAUCUAUAAUGUUCCCUUUAAAAUCAUCUUUCAAUUAUAAAGAUUAAAUCUUGAAUUUGUCUCUGUAGGUAUUGCACUUGGUGUUGCAACGAUAAAUCUUAUACUUUCAAAUCUUCUUUAUGCAUUUGAUUGGGAAUUGCCUCAUGGGAUGAUAAAAGAAGACAUUGAUACAGAUGGUUUGCCUGGACUUGCCAUGCAUAAGAAAAAUGCUCUUUGCCUUGUCCCUAAAAAUUAUACCCACACAUAAACAUAUAUAAGUUACUCCGUUUUAAUAUACCCUUAACAUAUGUGCAGAGUGUUUAAUAUUAUUAUUAUUAUUGUCUAUGUUUAAUAUGGUACGCGUUGUUUUGAGCUCGAUCACUUCAGUUAUAAUGUUUGUUUUAAUAAAUUUCACUUCGAGCUAUGAAGGAACUAGGUGAUUGUUUAUAAAAAUUAGCAUGUUUUUAUGUAAAAUAUUGAAGUGUGUUCCUAGUUCAACAUUUAUAUGUACCGUGUUAUUUAUAACGUAUAUAAUUUAUAGUAAUUAACCACAAUUAAGUGAAAAAAAUCGAUGUGCAUACUAUAACUUUAGCAUAAGCUCCCGAAUAUAUUUAGCAACUUUCACAUAUAGCAAACAUAAAAAUCAUAUUUGUAUGUUAUAGCUAUAGUUUGCAUAAUUGCGCUCCAUAACAAAUUUUAUUUUGCUAUGUAGUUUUUGAUUUGUAUAAUUCGCUAGAUACGUCCAAUUUUAUACAAAUUGUUCAGUUUUGUAUAAAUUCAUUUAUACAUUGUAAUUUGUAUAAUAAGAUUUGUAUUUGUAUAAUUAUAAGUGUAUAGGACGAAAAUAUAUGUAUUUGUAUUUGUAUAUACACUUUUCUCUCGCUUUUAUACAAAUACAAACACAUUUUAUACAUUUGUAUACUGAAUGGGUAAUUGUAUACCAAAAAUGACUAAUUGUAUACCGAACCAGAUCACAAAAAAAUGGGAUGUUUGUUGCGAAUAACAAAUAAAAUAAACUAUGACUAUAUCAUUUAAUUUGAAUUAAUAGUUUGCUGUUUCAUAUAAUUUUCCCAAUAUUUAGCAACUUUCACAUAUAGCAAACAUAAAAUUAAUCAUAUUUGUAUGUUAUAGCUAUAAUUUGCAUAAUUGCGCUCCAUAACAAAUUUUAUGUUUGCUAUCAUUCCGAACCAAGCUAGAUGAAAAUUACUCUUAUUAAAGAAACAAGUAAUUAAUCGAAUACUUUUUCGAUAUUAGUUCUCUUUCAUCGAUUUUUCAAGAAUCCGAACAAACUACUACCAAGUUAGUAAGUAAUUAGAAAAACAUAAUUUUCAUCAUGCAAAGCCUCCACUUUCUCAUCUCCCUUUGCAAUUUAUUCUAUUUUUAAAACUAUAAGUCUAAAUUUAUUAUUUUAAUUUUGGUGAAUUUUUACGCAUAAAUAUAUGUUCUGCGUUAAUAUUCAACUAGAUUUAAAUGAACCGCAUCCGCCUUUAUUGACAUGUGCUAUAAAACUCAUUUCUAUCAUAAAAUAUGGCAUAUACACUCUAGCUAUGACUUUUUUUUUUAUGUCAUAUAGCUUUCAUGACUUAUAUGUAUUUAUAUAGGUAGUUAGAUAUCAGUUUACAUCAAGAUACAUGUUGGGUAAAAUUUGAUUUGAGUGACAGGCAGGGCUAAUUUAGAGUAUCGUCUGUGGGUUUACAUGAAUUCUUCUUAAAGCCAAAAUAAGUAGAAAUACAAGUGUGCCACCUGGUCCUUUAGGUUUGCCAAUCAUUGGAAAUUUACAUCAAUUUGAUAGUUUAACCCCUCAUAUCUAUUUUUGGAAACUCUCCAAGAAAUAUGGAAAAAUCUUCUCAUUGAAAUUUGGCUCUACUUCAAUAGUUGUAGUUUCUUCAGCAAAACUAGCAAAAGAAGUAAUGAAGACACAAGAUUUAACAUUUUGUAGUAGACCCUCUAUUUUUUCCUUGAAUAAAUUGUCUUACAAUGGUCAUGAUUUUGCUUUUGCACCUUUUAAUGAAUAUUGGAGAGAAAUGAGAAAAAAUUGUAGUGCUCAUUUAUUUAGUCUCAAGAAAGUACAAUCCUUUAGUCCAAUCCGUGAAGAUGAAGUGUUAAGAAUGAUAAAAAAAAUAUCGCUUCAAAAAUCACCAACUUGAGCACAAUAUUGAUUUCACUAACAAGUACUAUUAUUUGUAGAGUUGCUUUUGGCAUUAGGUAUGAUGAAGAAGCACAUGAAAGGAGGAGAUUUGAUGAACUUCUAAUUGAGACUCAAGCAAUGCUGGCUAGCUUCUUUGUUUCUAAUUAUUUUCCUUCUUUGAGUUGAAUUGAUAAACUUACUGGAUUGACUAAUAGACUUGAGAAAAUUUUCAAGGAUUUGGAUGAGUUUUAUGAAGAACUCGUUGACCAGCAUGUUGAUCCCAAUAGGCCAAAAUCUAUGAAAGGUGAUAUUCUUGAUCUUUUGGUCCAAUUGAAUAAUGAUAAAUCACUACCAGUUGAUGUCACUUUGGAGGAUAUAAAAGCACUUGCCAUGGUAAUUUUCUGUAUAUCUUAAAUUAAUCUACUUAUACACAAUUAUUGUCAAUCUAUCGUAAUCCUCCUCUUCUACCCUACUCGGAUAACGCUUUGAACAAGUUCAUAUAGGUGGAGUUUUUAACUAUGUUAGUACAUGUAUUUUGAAUAUAAUUAGUUUUAUUAGAGAUUUAUAUAUAGGCUGGUUAAAAAAAAUUGAGAACUUUUUAGUGUUUAAGACCCUAUUUUUUUACUAGUCAGAGUUCUAUUUUUUAAUUUUAAUUUUAUAAUAUUAGACAAAGAUAUUUAAAUGGAGAGAUUAUCAAAGAUACAUUUACUGUCAAUAGAUUUUUCAUCAGUUAGCAAAUAAUAUUUAUUUCCAUAAAAACAUUUAGUAGCAAUACAUUCGGAGUUGUUAAAGCCUUUAGCGAUAUUUAUACAUAACGUGCUGGUUAUAAAUACCCAUAUUACGCAAAAUAAUUAUCACAAAAUUCUUUAUUUGUUUGAGCGUAAAGAAAAUUGGGAAACAUUUUCGAUAGAUAAUGUCUUUUUAUUCCCUUGAAACUUUCUCAUGAAUAUUCAUGAUCAAUUGACAAUUUUUAUUUCUUGUUGUGUCAAUUUCUUUGUAGAACAUGUUAGUUGCAGGAUCAGAGACUAGCGCGGCUGCAAUAGUAUGGGCAAUGACAGCCUUAAUGAGAAACCCAAGAGCUAUGAAGAAAGUUCAAGCGGAAAUCAGAUAAUCAAUAGGGAAAAAAGGCAUUGUGAAUGAAGAUGGUGGAGGGAUAUGAAAUUCAGCCAGGAACGCAACCACAAUUUAUGUUAACUUUUGGGCUAUUGCAAGAGAUCCCGAGAUAUGGGAUAAUUCAAAUGAAUUUAUUCCUGAAAGAUUUCUGAAUAGCGAUAUUGAUUUUAAAGGACAAAAUUUUGAAUUAAUUUCAUUUGGAGCUGGACGAAGAGGAUGUCCAGCUAUUACACUUGGGGUUGCCAUUGUGGAACUUGCAUUGUCAAAUUUUCUUUAAGCAUUUAAUUGGAAGUUGCCACAUGGCAUGAGAAAAGAAGACAUUGACACAACUUCUAGGCCUGGAAUUGCAAUGCAUAAGAAGAUAGAUCUUUGCCUUAUUCCUACAAAUUAUCUCUGGACUAUACUCAGAUAUGGAUAUAAGGCGAGUUCUGUGAUAUUGAUUGAAAUUAUUUAUGCAGGUCCAAAGCAUAUUUAGAAUAUGUACACAAAAUAAAAUUAUUUUAACUUAUCGACUCUAAAUUCUGGAUUUGUCUUUCGCUCCACCUAGUCCCAGGAGUGUUGUAUUUUGGUUCUUUAUGGGAGUUGGGCAGCUGAAUUUUAAGAAGGAACACCUUUAUAUUCUGCAUGUGCAAUAAAUAACUAAAUAUAUAUGCUAACUGACGCAUUAUUUUCACUGCCAAAAAAGUUACUAUUUUUUCAUUCAAAUUUUCUGUUGUUCAAUGAAAAGAAAAAAAAUCAGGCAUGGGUUAUGUUGACAAUACAAUUAAAGUACUAAAAAAAAUGCUUUCUCUAACAGCUUAAUCUUUUAGGUCAGAUAGUCACACACUUUAACAUGACUAUUUCCACAAAUAUUUCAAUUGAAUCAAUGAGGUACAUAGAUAUCAGUUUACAUCAAGAUACGUAUCUUAAUUUAUUUUGGAGAUUUCUUUUUGCAAUUCAAAGAAGAUAAGUGGUUUGCAGAGGUUGCAUAAAAGUUGAUUUGAGUGAUAGGCAGGGGCUGAUCUAUAUGUGAACUGAAAUAUAUUGUAUAUUAACUUAAGAUCUUUAUAAACUUCGUCUACAACUUAAAUGAUGGUCCCAAAAUAAGGGCAUUUGUGUACAUCACUUGUUUUUAUAGUUUUAUGGUCUACCUAAGAUCCAUUUAUAUGUAAGGCAUGUCAAGUGAUGACUAGUUUUUUGUACAGUUGUGUACAGCAAAAUGAUGCUCUUUCUAUUCUCAGUAGCUCUUUCUAUUAGUCUCAUUUUUCUUCUUCUUAAAGCCAAAAUAAGUAGAAAUACAAGUGUGCCACCUGGUCCUUUAGGUUUGCCAAUCAUUGGAAAUUUACAUCAAUUUGAUAGUUUAACCCCUCAUAUCUAUUUUUGGAAACUCUCCAAGAAAUAUGGAAAAAUCUUCUCAUUGAAAUUUGGCUCUACUUCAAUAGUUGUAGUUUCUUCAGCAAAAUUAGCAAAAGAAGUGUUGAAAACACAAGAUUUAGUAUUUUGUAGUAGACCUUCUCUUAUUGGGCAACAUAAAUUGUCUUACAAUGGUCAUGAUAUUGGUUUUGCACCUUACAAUGAAUAUUGGAGAGAAAUGAGAAAAAUUUGUAUUGUUCAUUUAUUUAGUCUCAAGAAAGUACAAUCUUUUAGUCCAAUUCGUGAAGACGAAGUAUCAAGAAUGAUCAAAAAAAUAUCUCAACAAGCUACAACUUCACAAGUAACCAACUUGAGCACUAUGUUAUAUUCACUAACAACUACUAUUAUUUGUCGAGUUGCUUUUGGUAUUAGGUAUGAUGAAGAAGCACAUGAAAGGAGGAGAUUUGAUGAACUUUUAAUUGAGACUCAAGCAAUGAUGGCUAGCUUCUUUGUUUCUAAUUUUUUUCCUUCUUUAAGUUGGAUUGAUAAACUUACUGGAUUGACAGAUAGACUUGAGAAUAAUUUCAAGAACUUGGAUAAUUUUUAUGAAGAACUCAUUGAGCAACAUCUUAAUCCCAAGAGGCCAAAAUCCAUGGAAGGGGACAUUCUUGAUCUUUUGCUUCAAUUGAAGAAAGAGAAAUCAACUCCAAUUGAUCUCACUUUGGAGGAUGUAAAAGCACUUGCCAUGGUAAUCUUGUAUAUUUAUGUUAGUACAUGUACUUUGAGUCUUUUUUUUUUUUUUGAUUUUCCAUUUGGUGUCCGGAGCCCACAUUGGAGCCUCAACUAUAUCCGGAUCACGCACUGCAAGGCCCAUUCGGGGGUGGUGCUCCCAACAUGAUUUUCUCCAUACCCGUUGAGACUUCCUCAUGAAUUGACAAUUUAUGUCUUUUUUGUGUGUCAAUUUCUUUGUAGGACGUGUUAGUUGCAGGAUCAGACACAAGCGCGGCUGUAAUAGUAUGGGCGAUGACAGCCUUAAUGAGGAAUCCAAGAACCAUGAAGAAAGUUCAAGCGGAAAUUAGACAAUCUAUUGGAAAGAAAGGCGUUGUGAAUGAAGAUGACAUCCAAAACAUGCCUUAUUUUAAAGCAGUAAUAAAGGAGACAUUACGAUUAUAUCCAUCAGCUCCACUCUUCCUACCAAGAGAAUCAAUGAAAAAGUCCAUACUAGAAGGAUAUGAAAUUGAGUCAGGAACCACAAUUUAUGUUAACUUUUGGGCAAUUGCAAGAGAUCCCGAGAUAUGGGAGAAUUCAAAUGAGUAUUCCUGAGAGAUUCCUGAAUAGCGAUAUUGAUUUUAAAGGACAAAACUUUGAGUUAAUUCCAUUUGGAGCUGGACGAAGAGGAUGUCCAGCUAUUACACUUGGGGUUGCCAUAGUGGAACUUGCAUUGUCAAAUCUUCUUUAUGCAUUUGAUUGGAAGUUUCCUUGUGGAAUGAGAAAAGAGGACAUUGAUACAACUGUUAGGCCAGGAAUUGUAAUGCAUAAGAAGAUAGAUCUUUGCCUUAUACCUACAAAUUAUCUCUAGAUUAUAUUCAAAUACGGAUAUAAGGCGAGUUUUGUGAUAUCAAUUGAAAUCAUGUAAAAAAUAAAUUAUUCUCAAGCUAAACAUAUUUAGAAUACAUACAUGUAAUAAGUUAUUCUCAUGCUAAACUUAUCGACCGACUCUAAGUUAUGAAUUUGUCUUUCUCACUCCACCUAGUUCUUGAAGGAACACCUUUAUAUUACGUAAAUAAAUAAAUAUAUGCUACUGGUAGUAAUUGCUGCAUUUUCGCUACUAAAAAAGUUACUAUUUUAUCAUUGAAAUUUUCUACUGAAAAAUAUUUAAUGACUAUUUUUAUAAAUAUUUUAAUUGAAUCAUGAGAAAAGAAAAAAUAGUAGUAGUAUUUUAACACGGAAUUAUUAGAAAGCUUCUCAAUAUUUCAACAUGAUUCUAUUUUUCAGUGUGCGUUAUAAUUUUAGUAUGCUGGUUCGUUGAAAAAAUAUAUCAUAUUUUAUGACAUAAAAUUAAUUGAAAAGGAAGAAGCAACAAAUGAGAAGAUGGUAAAGCUUAAACUAUACUGUAAACGUGAAAAUUAAUUCAAAAUUGGAAAAGACAAUUACGUACCUUAGUCCUUAGUACUUUUUUUUUAAAAAAAAUUCCCAGUGACUAUCUGAGUGUGUUAUACGUACCUUAGUAGUUGUAAGAUUUGGAAGGGAGAAAACAUUCUCAAUAAUAUUUUUAUUCUUACUUCAUAUUAUAUCUCAUAUAAAAUUAUAGAAGUUUAAUUUAACUUAAUAAGGUAUUUUUGAUAAACAAAAUAAAAAUGGCAAUCAGAUGCGUGUUUAAAAGUUCUAUUUAUAUUAAUUUAAACCAUCCAAAUGACCUGUUAAUUUGUGAAACACAUCUUCACAAAUGACCCUCAAAGAAUGGAUAAAUAUCUUAUGAGGAAAGAAUCAAAGGAAGGACAGAAUUGUACUCACAAUCUUGAUCAAUAAAAUUAGUUUCUUCAUACUUUAUUUGUGAUUGCAAUUUAUUUUCUAUCACUUUAAAUUCUUUUGCAAAUAAAUUGGCACGCCCAGUGGGACCAAAUCUGCUUUUCAUCUCUUCUCUCACAAAUCAAAUCUGCAAAUCUGAAGUCACAAAACCGCAAAGGUAGAAGAAUGAGUACUUCAAGUCUCGAGUUUCAUCAAGUCUACACUCCGACAAACCUUGAAGCAUGGACAUUUGUAGACAUUUAAAUUUUGUAGAACUCUACAAGAUGUGUUCAAUUCAAGUAGAUAUUCUACAAAGUGUGUUCAAUUUCAAUUAGGAUUCUUGGAGGCUAUUUAACCCUAAACCUUAUUUCAUGCCUAAAUAAAGGGCACUAUAUUCCCUUUAAAAGACAUCUCGAAUAUUCUGCAAAUUCAUGGAAUAUUCAUGAAGAGAUCAAAUCCAAAUCAUUCUAAUUUGGGAUAUACUCCACUAAUGACCCUCGAAUCAUGGAUAAAUCUUAGGAGAGUAGAACAGAAUUGAUAAUGUAAAAUAGCAAAAAAAAAAUCAUAGGAGAAUUAAGGACAUAAACCAUACUUCUCAACUAUUCUCAUUAAUGGUCGACUAAAUAAGUCUAUUAUCUUUCUAAAAAUGGUAGCAGAGGCAGAUCUAGAUCAUUAGCUACAGAUUUGAUGACGGGUAACUGUACAAAUCCAAUGUCUUUUUUUCUCUUUAAAUUACCAUUUUCUUUAUAUUUAUAUGAUUUUUCUUUUAAUAAUAUUAUCGCAGUUGUUGAUCCAAACCCCCAGCUCCUUUUAGGUUGUGUUUAGUAUGGAAAAAAAUGAAUAAUGUUUUUUAAUAUUUUCAUAUUCAGUUAAUAAAAAAUUUUGAAUAAUAUUUUCUCUAAAAAAUAAGUUUUUUUAAAAAGAGGAAAAUAACUUUCUUAGUGAAAGUAGGAAGAACAUAUUCACAAGUGAAAUUCCACGGUGAUUGUGUCAUCUGCCACCCUCAACACACCUCAUCACCCCACACCGGUACUCCCUUCACCUCCACCUCUCAUAUUAUUUGUCAAAAUUAUAUACAAAACUCCAAAAACAGUUUUCAACAAUGCAUUUACCAUAAAAAAAUAUUUUCCUUUGUACCAAACACACCCUUACUUUUUAAUUAUAAAUAAAAGAAAUAAUAGAAAAUUACAAGACAUUUCAAGUGACUUUGCCAUAAAGAAACAAAUGUUGUUUCCACUCUUUUUAGCCCUUGUUAUCUUCAUUAUUCUCAGUUUCCUUCUUGCUAAAGCCAAAAGGAAUGGAAAAAACAUUCUACCACCAGGUCCUUUAGGGUUGCCAUUUAUUGGAAAUCUGCAUCAAUUUGAUGAUUUAACCCCUCAUCUCUAUUUUUGGAAACUUUCCAAGAAAUAUGGGAAAAUAUUCUCAUUAAAAUUUGGUUCUACUCCAGUAGUGGUAAUUUCUUCAGCAAAAUUAGCAAAAGAAGUAAUGAAAACACAAGAUUUAGCAUUUUGUAGUAGACCUUCUACUCUCUGCCAGCAAAAAUAUUCUUACAAUGCUCAAGAUAUUGCCACGUCACCUUACAAUGACAAUUGGAAAGAACUUCGAAAAAUAUGUGUUGGUCAUUUAUUUACUCCAAAAAAAGUACAAUCUUUUAUCCCAAUUCGUGAAGAUGAAGUAUCAAGAAUGAUCAAGGAAAUAUCUCAACAAGCUGUCACUUCCCGAAUUACCAAUUUGAGUAGUAUAUUGAUUUCACUAACGACUACAAUUAUUUGUAGAGUUGCUUUUGGUAUUAGGUAUGAUGAAGAAACACACGAAAGGAGGAAUUUUAAUGAACUUUUAAAAGUGACUGAAGAAAUGUUGGUAAGCUUUUUUGUCUCUGAUUUUUUUCCUCUCUUAGGAUGGAUCAAUAAUCUCUCCGAAAAAAUAAAUAUACUCGAGAAGAAUUUUAAGGAUUUGGAUGAGUUUUAUGGACUCAUUGAGCAGCAUCUUAGUCCCAAUAGGCCAAAAUCCAUGGAAGAAGGAGAUAUUAUUGAUCUUUUACUCCAAUUGAAGAAAGAGAAGUCAACUCCAAUCGAUCUUACUUUGGACAACAUAAAGGCUAUCAUUAUGGUAAUGUACUACUCCAUUUUAUAUAUUGUGGUGCUGGUAAAUACUUGCAUGUCAGUUGCUUACACCUACCUAAACAAUUAAUCUUUCAUUGGUUUGGUGUUAAUACUCGAUCAUGUGGCUAAGUAUUUUUCAUGGUCACGAUCAUAAUAUAAAGAAAGAUUUUUGUCAAAUAUUAAAAAGGUGAUUUUAAGUUUGUGGCAUUACACAUGUUAUAGCUUGAUUAGAAAAAUAUUUGAAUAAAGAUAAAAUGAGAAAUUCAAAGUUUUCGAAUACAUGAAGAUAUAUUUUGUGGCAAUGUUUUUAUCCUCUUAAUUUAUCUUGUAGAAUAUGCUAGUUGGUGGAACGAACACUAGUGCAGCUACAAUAAUUUGGGCAAUGACAGCCUUGAUAGCGAACCCAAAUGCCAUGAAGAAAGUUCAAGCAGAAAUUAGAGAAUCGGUUGGGAAAAAGUCCAUGGUUAAUGAGGAUGAUGUCCAAACUCUUCCAUAUUUCAAAGCAGUGAUAAAAGAGACACUUAGAUUGUAUCCACCGGCUCCAUUGUUAGUACCAAGAGAGACGAUGGAAAAUUCCAUACUAGAAGGAUAUGAAAUUAAACCAAAAACUAUAAUUUAUGUUAACGCUUGGGCAAUUGCAAGAGAUCCUGAAAUAUGGGAAAAUCCAGAAGAAUUUAUACCUGAAAGGUUUUUAAAUAGUGAUAUUGAUUUUAAGGGCCAACAUUUUGAGUUGAUUCCAUUUGGAGCAGGCAGAAGAGGGUGCCCGGCUAUGGCACUUGGUGUGGCAAAUGUAGAACUUGUACUUUCUAAUCUCCUUUACGCUUUUGAUUGGGAGUUGCCUUGUGGAAUGAAAAGAGAAGACAUUGACACCGAUGUUCUGCCAGGACUUACUAUGCAUAAGAAAAAACCUUUGUGCCUUGUUCCUCAAAAUUAUCUCUAGAAAUUAAACAAGAAAAAACUCCAAUGUUUAAAUUAUUUAAAUAUGUAUGUAUGAUUUCGUUAGUUAUCCAUGUUUAAUAUGGUCAUAUUGUUUUAUGUCUGUUAUUUUUCGUUUUAAACUUGUAAUGGAGUAGUUGAAGAGGGGAAAACAUUUUCACAAAUAUUUUUUUCUUUGUUAUUUCAUAUUCAAUUAUAUAAAUUUUCAUGUAACAUAAUAAGGUAUUAUUUAUAAAUAAAAUAAAAGCAGCAAUCAAUGAACCAUAUUUUAAAAGUUCUAUUUAAACCAUCCAAACGACCCUUUAGUUUGUGAAACACAUCGUGCAGCAAUUACAAGAUGCAUUAAUAAUCAGAAUCAAUAAUCCUCUUAUCUCUUGAUACGACUGUGGAUUCAAAAUUAAACUUGAUGAAUUUGAUUUUAAUCUUUUUUUAAAAAUUAAAUUUAAAAAUUAGAAGUACAAAUUUAAUAUUUUAAUUUUAGUGAAUUUUCACAUAUUAAGAUAUGCCUCAACAAAAAAAAAAAACUGGAUUAGAAUGAGAGCUAGUUGCAUCUCUGCCAUUGAUCCUCAUUGUCUAUACUAACACAUGUUAUAAAAUUCAUUUUCACGACUUAUAUGCCAUGUAGGUAUCAAUUUACAUCAUGGCAAUUAAGUACAUGUAGAAAUUAACAAGUUGUGUAAAAGUUGAUUAACUGAUAGGUGGGGGUGGAUAUAACUAGUUAUAACUAGAGCGUUGUAUAUAAAUGGGAAAAUCGUAUAUAAUAGCAAAUUAUUAAUUCAAAUUAAAUGCUAUAAACAUGUUUGAUUUAAUUGUACCCCAUAGCAAACUGUUGCUAUUUCGCCUCUCUCCCUGAAUCUCGCUCGCUACUCUCGUUCUCGCUGGGCAGUCUCGCUCGCCUCUCUCGCUUUUAUACAAGAACAAAUGUAUAAAAUGUGUUUGUGUUUAUAUAAAGUGAAAGAAAAUUAUAUAUAUACAUAUAUUUUCAUUCCCCUCUCCCAGAUCUCGCUCGCCACUCUCACUCGCCUCUCUCACUUUAUACAAACACAAAUGUAUACAUUGUGUUUGUGUUUGUAUAAAGCGAGAGAAAAUUGUAUAUACAAAUACAAAUGCAUAUAUUUUUGUCCUAUACACUUAUGAUUAUACAUAUACGAUCUUCCCCUACCCAAUUUUCUUUUGUCUUUUUCUCUUUCUCGCUUUAUACAAACACAAAUUAUACAAUUGAUUCUUUUGUAUAUGUAUACCGAAACAAAUUAUACAAUUGUUUCUUUUGUAUAUAUGUAUAGCGAAAUAGCUAUACAAAUUAUGCAAACAAUAAUUAUAUCAUACAAAUAUGAUUUUUGUGUUUGUUAUAUAUGAAAGUUAUUCCUUUUAUAAACCCUCGUGGAGUCAUGGUGGGAGGGAGGUUUUAAGGAAAAAGGUUGACAUUAAUCCUUACUCGUAUAUUCUAAAAUAGCAAAAAAAUUCAUAGGAGGACACAAACCAAACCUCUUUUAUCCUAAUGGUCAACUAAAAAUACAAAGGCGUGGGGUCGAUGCGCCUUACAAGACACAUACAAACUUGCAGGCUUUGUCUGCUUGCGCCUUCUAAGGCGCAUAGGUGCCCGUGCCUUGCUACCCUAAUUUAAAUGAUGUCCAAUCUACCGUUUAAAUGUUGUCCUUUUGGUUUCAAACUUAUUUUUAUUUUUCUUUUGUAAUUUUUGGUCAAUUUUUUUACCCUUUUGGCUCUAGACUCCAUAGAAGUAUACGCUCCACAAUUGCAACACCAAGUGCAAUGUCGGCAGAGACCAUUGCCUUUAUUAUCCCAGCUCAAGCACACAAAAUAUUUCUCAGUAAAUUGAUCUCUUAUAGAUAUUUGACUUUAAAAAUGAUGAGUUUAAAUUUAUUAUUUUAUUAUAGUGAAUUUUUACAUAUUAAAAUAUGCCUUGUACAAAUUAUAACUAGAUUCGGAUGAACCCGUUGGCUAGCUGCAUUUACCACUGGUCCUCAUUGUCUAUAUUGACACAUGCUAUAAAACUCAUUUUCAUGACUUAUAUAUAUGCCAGGUAGGUAUCAAUUUAAAUUAAUGUUUUGGACAUUUCUUGUUGCAAUUGAAAAAAAUUAAGUGAUUUUCAGAGAUUUGAGAGGGAAAUUAACAAGUUGUGUAAAGAUGAUUAAGUGAUAGGUGGGGGUGGAUCUUGCUAUAUAAAGUAGUGUCAUUUAUGAAUUUACGUGAAUUAAUUAAUUUGAGAUUAUUAAAAUUUUUUCUCAUAAAUCUUAUUUGUAUCCACCUCAAUAAUAAUAAUGAAAUAAUACAAGAAGACAAAAUAUGAGAAGUAUAAUAUUUUCCAUGAAAAAUUAUUAUCCUUCGUGCCAAACAAGCCCUUACUUGUUAGUAUAAAUGAAAGAAACAACAGAAAAUUUUAAUACAAGACAUCAAGUGACUUUGUACAAAAUUUCAAUAUUGCCAAAAUAAAAUAAAAUAUGUUCUUUCCAUUCUUUGUAGCCCUUGUUAUCAUCAUUAUUCUCAGUUUUCUUCUUCCAAAAGUAAAAAAGAAAGAAAAAAACAUCCUGCCACCAGGUCCUUUAAGGUUACCAUUCAUUGGAAAUUUGCAUCAGUUUGAUGGUUUAACCCCUCAUAUCUAUUUUUGGAAACUUUCCAAGAUAUAUGGAAAAAUAUUCUUAUUGAAACUUGGUUCUACUCCAAUAAUUGUAAUUUCUUCAGCAAAAUUAGCAAAAGAAGUAAUGAAAACACAAGAUUUAGCAUUUUGCAGUAGACCUUCUAUUUUGGGCCAGCAAAAAUUGUCUUACAAUAAUCAAGAUAUUGCCACUUCACCUUACAAUGACCACUGGAAAGAGCUUCGAAAAAUAUGUGUUGGUCAUUUAUUUAGUCUAAACAAAGUACAAUCUUUUAUUCCAAUUCGUGAAGAUGAAGUAUCAAGAAUGAUCAAGAAAAUAUCUCAACAAGCUGUAACUUCCCGGAUUACCAAUUUGAGUAGUAUAUUGAUUUCACUAACGACUACAAUUAUUUGUAGAGUUGCUUUUGGUAUUAGGUAUGAUGAAGAAACACACGAAAGGAGGAAUUUUAAUGAACUUUUAAAAGUGACUGAAGAAAUGUUGGCAGGCUUUUUUGUCUCUGAUUAUUUUCCUCUCUUAGGAUGGAUUGAUAAACUCUCCGGAAAAAUAAAUAAACUUGAGAAGAAUUUUAAGGAUUUGGAUGAGUUUUAUGAAGGACUCAUUGAGCAACAUCUCAAUCCCAAUAGGCCAAAAUCCAUGGAAGAAGGAGAUAUUAUUGAUCUUUUACUCCAAUUGAAGAAAGAGAAGUCAACUCCAAGCGAUCUUACUUUGGACAACAUAAAGGCUAUUGGUGGCUAUGUUUUUAUCCUCCCAUUUUUUCUCGUAGAAUAUGCUAGUUGCUGGAACAGACACUAGCGCAGCUACAGUAAUUUGGGCAAUGACAGCCUUGAUGGCAAAUCCAAAUUCCAUGAACAAAGUUCAAGCAGAAAUUAGAGAAUCGGUUGGGGAAAAGUCCAUAGUGAAUGAAGAUAACGUCCAAAAUCUUCCAUAUUUUAAAGCAGUGAUAAAAGAGACAUUUAGAUUGUAUCCAGCAGUUCCAUUGUUAGUAGCAAGAGAGACGAUGCAAAAUUCCAUACUAGAAGGAUAUGAAAUUAAACCAAAAACUAUAGUUUAUGUUAAUGCUUGGGCAAUUGGAAGGGAUCCUGAAAUAUGGAAAAAUCCAGAAGAAUUUAUACCUGAGAGGUUCUUAAAUAAUGAUAUUGAUUUUAAGGGCCAAGAUUUUGAGUUGAUUCCAUUUGGAGCAGGUAGAAGAGGGUGCCCAGGUAUAGCACUUGGUGUGGCAAAUGUGGAACUUGUACUUUCCAAUCUUCUUUACGCUUUUGAUUGGGAGUUGCCUCGUGGGAUGAAAAUAAAAGACAUUGACACUGAUGUUUUGCCUGGAAUCAUACCACAUAAGAAAAAACCGUUGUGCCUUGUUCCUAGAAAUUAUCACUAGAAAUUGAACAAGACCAAACUCCAGUGUUUAAAUUAGUUAAAUAUGUAUGUAUAACUUUGUUAGUUAUCCAUGUUUAAUAUGGUCGUAUGGUUUUAUGUCUGUCACUUUUUGUUAUAAACUUGUAAUGCAGUAGUUAUUUCAAUAAAAUCUCUCUUCUAGUUCCAAAAGAUAUCGCGGAAAAAUGAAAAGAAAAGCAUUUUUCUUAUGCGUAAUAAUUCCAAGUAAAAUGUCUGUUAUCUUUAUCACAAAAGUUAAUUUCCAAUCAAAUGCAUAUAGAAGCAUAAGCUCUAGUACUGUUGCAACACCAAGUGCAAUACCUAUGGAGAACAUUAUUGCCUUUAUUGUCACAGCUCAAGCACACGCGACAUAUAUUGUUUGUUUUGGCCAAACACACCUUACGACUAUACUCCUUCAUCAGAAAGUUGUAGGUGAGGUUUGUCCUACUACCUAACUAAGGUAAUAUCAUUCAUAGGGAAUGUUCUAUUAAUAUCAUAUUUGUCAUAGCCCAAUUGAAAAACAUGUAUUAUCUACAUUGCCCAAUAACACUCAUAUAUUUCUUCCUUGGCUAUGCCAUCAGUGAGCCCAAAAACGGUACAUACCAUAUGAACUUAUGUUAUUCUUUAUAAAUUUUCUUACUUUUCUCCCCCAUUCCGACCGAUGUGAGAUUCCAAUAUAUUGUAACCUUUACCCCUUCUUCCUAAUUUAAUUUAGAAUUUCUUUUCCUUGACCAUGUAUUAACCCAAAUAUUUGGACCCAAACUAAAGCUUUGAUAUUUUUGAGUUUAUCAAUUCCUUCCCCUUCUAAUAGGAAACAAUAUCAAUUAUUUAUUCAGUUAUCAAAUUGCCUUUGUCUAACUAAUGCUAUGAAAUCAUUGGUGAGAUAGAUAUCUAGAUAAUAUGGAAACAAAUUGAUUGAUAGAGGAGGAAAAAUCAUUUUCAGGCUUUAAUGAUUGUGGCCUGUGAAUUUUCCUGUGUCACUUUCAUGAAUAUUAAAGAAUCAAACUACCUCCUAAAAUAUCAAAAGUAUAGUCUAUUACUUAUAAAUGCAAUGUCAUUUUUAUCCAGCUUUAAAUGACAAAUUUCCUUCUAUUUUCAUUUUUUAAAUAUUAUCACAGCCCUUCAUCCAAAGUCCCAGCUUCGUUUACUGUUAUUCUUUGUUUUAGUUCCUAUUUGAAUAGUUAAAUAAUAUAUUAUUUUGUUCUUGAUUGACAUAUUUUUACAUGCAUUCUCAUUUGUAAUAUUAUCAUGGAGUGUAUUACAAACUCUGUGGUGAUCAGAAAAUACUUAGUUCUCUCUAGCUCUUAUUUCUUCAUGCUUGUUAGGUAGCAGAAGUUAGGUACUUCAUUAGGAUUAGUAAGGUAAGGCCUAGCUCUCCUUGCUUGUACUUGUCCUUGAUAUUUUUUAUGUUUAAUAAAAGGCUGCUAGACACUAUCAAGUGUUAAAUUUGCUUUAAAAAAAUAUUGUGACUUGUAGAAUUUUUAUGUAAUUUUUAAAAAAUAAAGAUUUUAUGUUCGAAUUCACACUGAACAAUAGUUUGUUUGAUCUCGUACUACGAAGUCAAACCAAACAAAUUAAAACAGAAGGAGUACUAAAAAUGAAAGAAAUCAUAGAAAAUCUUAAUACAAGAUAUAGAAAACAAGUGACUUUUUCCAAAAAAACAAAAAAACACAUGAUGUUCUUUCCACUCUCUGUAGCCCUUGUUAUCAUCAUUAUUCUCACUUUUCUUAUUCCUAAAGCCAAAAGGAAUGGAAAAUGCAUUCUACCACCAGGCCCUUUAGGGUUGCCAUUCAUUGGAAAUUUGCAUCAAUAUGAUAGUUUAAUCCCUCAUCUCUACUUUUGGAAACUUUCCAGAAAAUAUGGAAAAAUAUUCUCAUUGAAACUUGGUUCUUCUACUAUGGUUGUAGUUUCUUCAGCAAAUCUAGCAAAAGAGGUAACACAAAUACAAGAUUUAGCAUUUUGUAGUCGACCUUCACUUCUUGGCCAGCAAAAAUUGUCUUACAAUGGUCAAGAUAUUGGCUUGUCGCCUUACAAUGACUAUUGGAGAGAACUUCGAAAAAUAUGUGUUGUUCAUUUAUUUAGUCUCAAGAAAGUGCAAUAUUUUAGUCCAAUUCGUGAAGAUGAAGUAUCAAGAAUGAUCAAGAAAAUAUCCCAGCAAGCCGCCACUUCACAAAUUACAAAUUUGAGCAAUAUAGUGAUUUCACUUACAACUACAAUUAUUUGUAGAAUUGCUUUUGGUGUUAGGUAUGAUGAAGAAACACCCGAAGGGAGGAAAUUUAAUGUACUUUUAAAAGUGACGGAGGAAAUGUUGGCAGGCUUUUUUGUCUCUGAUUAUUUUCCCCUCUUAGGAUGGAUUGAUAAACUCUCCGGAAAAAUAAAUAAACUUGAGAAGAAUUUUAAGGAUUUGGAUGAGUUUUAUGAAGGACUCAUUGAGCAACAUCUCAAUCCCGAUAUGCCAAAAUCAAUGGAAGGAGAUAUUAUUGAUCUUUUUCUUCGAUUGAAGAAAGAAAAAUCAACUCCAAUCGAUCUUACUUUGGAAAACAUAAAGGCUAUUAUCAUGGUAAUGACUAAUGAACUAUUCUCUUUAUGUCUAUUUUAUAUAUUUGCUCUAGCCGACUGCUUACACCUAGCUAAACAGUUAACCUUACGAAUGAAUUAAGAAAUUGAAGUGAAAAUUCAUAUCAAUUAAUCAUUAGUUAGAUGUUGAAAGUUGUAUAUAGCCAAGUCUUUUGUAUUGUUAUAUAUAUAUUUAUUGACUUGGUAUUAACACUCUGUCAUACAACUAAGUUUUUUCCUUAGUCAUGUUUGUGACACAAUCAUAAUAUAAAGAAACUUUGUUGGUCAAAUAUCAAGAAGUGCCUUUUUAAACUUGUAAUAUUACACAUGUUAUAACAUUUUCUGAUAUGAUUAGGAAAAAAUUUCAAUUGAUAUGAAAUGUUGCAUUUAAUUUUAUCCUCACACUUCCUCCUGUAGAAUAUGCUAGUUGGUGGAACGGACACGAGCGCAGCUGCAGUAGUUUGGGCAAUGACAGCUUUGAUAUCUAAACCAAAUGCCAUGAAGAAAGUUCAAGCUGAAAUUCGAGAAAUGGUUGGUAAAAAAGUCCGUAGUGAAUGAAGAAGACAUCCAAAAUCUUCCAUAUUUUAAAGCAGUGAUAAAAGAAACAUUUAGAUUGUAUCCACCAGCUCCAUUGUUAAUAGCAAGAGAGACGAUGCAAAAUUCCAUACUAGAAGGAUAUGAAAUUAAACCAAAAACUAUAGUUCAUGUUAAUGUUUUGGGCUAUUGCAAGGGAUCCUGAAAUAUGGGAAAAUCCAGAAGAAUUUAUACCUGAGAGGUUUCUGAAUAGUGAUAUUGAUAUUAAGGGCCAAAAUUUUGAGCUGAUUCCAUUUGGAGCAGGCAGAAGAGGGUGCCCGGCAAUGGCACUCGGUGUGGCAACUGUGGAACUUGUACUUUCCAAUCUUCUUUACGCUUUUGAUUGGGAGUUGCCUUGUGGAAUGAAAAAAGAAGACAUUGACACUGAUGUUUUGCCUGGACUUACAAUGCAUAAGAAAGAACCUUUAUGCCUUGUUCCUAGAAAUUAUCACUAGAAAUUAAACAAGACCAAACUCCAAUGUUUAAAUUAGAUAUCCAUGUUUAAUAAUAUGGUCGUAUGGUUUUAUGUCUGUCAUUUUUCGUUAUAAACUUGUAAUGGAGUUGUUGUUUCAAUAAAAUCUCCCUUCUAGUUUCAAAGGAUGUCGCGGAAAUUUGGUAGUUAAUUUACUAAUUCUCUAGGAAUUAAAUUAACAUGGGGAUUCUCGAUUCCUGUCCAGUGCAAUAGUAAUAAUGAAAUCUAUAACCUCUAUUGUUGCAAUCAAAUGUAUAUUAUAAACUCUAUUGUUGCAACACCAAGUGCAAUACGUGCAAAAACCAGUGUCUCUUUUUGCCAAAAAGCAUACCUACCGAUCCAACUUGUGUUAUCCCUUAUAAAGUUUUUUACUUUACUUUUGUUAGGACCGAAAUAAUUAAGUGUCAUGCAUAAGCUACCAAAGCAAACCUCGAAACACCAUGAGUAAGAAUAUAAACUAGAAAUAUACCAAAAGACACAAAUCUUUAACAUGGUUCGAUGAAUCGACUUAUGUCCAAAGAGGAGAUGAGGAAUCUACUAUAUAAAUAUGAGAGUACAAAAUUUAAAGAGAAAUAACCUCACUCAUUCACGCGUAAUAUAAAGAGGUUCAUACAAGUGAUAACGUAUCACUUAUGUCCCACAAAUUCUCCCCCUAGACAAUACUUUCAAAGGCUUUAGGACUAUAUUAUGAAUGCUAUUGUGUUAGGAUGAAUGUUCCUGUAUUUAUAGUCAUAAAUUUUUUCCUACAAGAAAAGGACUAGCCAAAUAUGAAGACUUUGUGUUUUCCUUUUAAGAAAAGGAAAAUCCAUUUAUGAUAAGAAAUUCACAGCAGUUAAUACCUGACAACUCUCUUAUUUCGAUACAAAAUUUAAUUUAGAAUUCUUUUUUCUAGACAAUGAAUGAAUACAAAAAUUUUAGACGUAAAUUAAAGCUUUGAAAUUCCGUUAUCAAAUUCCUUUGUCUAAUUCUAUGUAAUUAUAAUUAUAGGUGAGACAUUUAUCUAGACAAUGUGGAAAAAUUUGAUAAAGGACAAACAAUCAUUUUUUCAAGCUUUAAAUAUUGUGGCCUGUGAACUUUCCUGUGUAACUUUCAUGAAAAUCACCAUACAAAAAAGAAAAAACAAAGUUUAGAAUUUUAAACUAAAUGAUCAUACUAUUAAAUUAGGAUCAAACUACUUCCCAAAAUAUCAGAAGUGUGUAGUUGAUGGUUAUCCCUUUCUAUCACUUAUAAAUAAAUGCAAUCUCUUUUUCUACCUUUAAAUUACAAAUUUCUUUCUAUUUGUCUAUUUCCUAAAUAAGUAUUUUCAUCAUGAUUUAAAUUAUUAUCAUAUCCAUUGAUCCAAAGUUCCACCUUCUUUUACUGUUACUUAUAGUAUUUUUAUGUAAAAUUUAUUUCAAAAUAAUUAUAGAUAAAAAAUUAUUUCUUUCGUCCUCUAAAUCAAGCGAGGGAGUACUAUAAAUGAAAGAAAUUGUGGAAAAUCUUAAUACAAGAUAUAGAAGACUUUUCCAAAAAACACAUGAUAUUAUUUCCACUCUUUGUAGCCCUUGUUAUCAUCAUUAUUCUCAGUUUCCUUCUUCCUAAAGCCAAAAGGAGUGGAAAAAACAUUCUACCACCAGGUCCUUUAGGGUUGCCAUUCAUUGGAAAUUUGCAUCAAUAUGAUAGUUUAACCCCUCAUCUCUACUUUUGGAAACUUUCCCAAAAAUAUGGGAAAAUCUUCUCAUUGAAACUUUGUUCUUCUACUAUGAUUGUAGUUUAUUCAGCAAAUCUAGCAAAAGAAGUAAUGAAGACACAAAAUUUAGCUUUUUGUAGUCGGCCUUCACUUCUUGGCCAACAAAAGUUGUCUUACAAUGGUCAAGUUAUUGCUAUGUCGCCUAACAAUGACUAUUGGAAAGAAAUUAGAAAAAAUAUGUGUUGCUCAUUUAUGUUGUCUCAAGAAAGUGCAAUAUUUUCGUCCAAUUCCUGAAGAUGAAGUAGCAAGAAUGAUCAAAAAAUUAUCUGUACAAGCUGCCACUUCACAAAUUACAAAUUUGAGCAAUAUAAUGAGUUCACUAACAACUACAAUUAUUUGUAGAGUUGCUUUUGGUAUUAGGUAUGAUGGAGAAACACGCGAAGGGAGGAAAUUUGGUGAACUUUUAAAAGUGGCUCAAGAAAUGUUGGCAGACUUUUUUGUCUCUGAUUAUUUUCCUCUCUUAGGAUGGAUUGAUAAACUCUCCGGAAAAAUAAAUAAACUUGAGAAGAAUUUUAAGGAUUUUGAUGAGUUUAAUGAAGGACUCAUUGAGCAACAUCUCAAUCCCAAUAGGCCAUAAUCCAUGGAAGGAGAUAUUAUUGAUCUUCUGCUCCAAUUAAAGAAAGAAAAAUCAACUCCAAUCGAUCUUACUUUGGACAACAUAAAGGCUAUUAUCAUGGUAAUUAUUUAACUACUCUAUGUGUCAAUUUUAUAUAUUUUCUCUUUUCGGCUGCUCACACCUAGCUAUAUAGUUAAUUUUUCCAAUGAAUUAACAAGUUGAAGUGAAAAUCUUAUCAAUUAAUCCUGGUUAGAUGUUAAAAAUUGUAUAUAAGGAAGUCUUGUGUAUUGUUAUAUUUAUUGACUUGGAAUUACUACUCUGUCAUACAACUAAGAUUGUACUUUCUUGAGACUAAAUAAAUGAAGUAAGCAAAGUUUUCUAAUUUCUCUCCAAUAGUCAUUGGUGAAAACACUAUGUCAUGACUAUUGUAAGACAAUUUUUGUUGGCAAAGAGUAGAGGGUCUACUACAAAAUGCUAAAUCUUGUGUCUUCAUUACUUCUUUUGCUAAUUUUGCUGAAAAAAUUACAACUACUGGAGUAGAACCAAAUUUCAAUAAGAAUAUUUUUCCAUAUUUUUUAGUAAGUUUCCAAAAAUAGAUAUGAGGAGUUACACUAUCAUAUUGAUGCAAAUUUCCAAUGAUUGGCAAAUCUAAAGGACCUGGUGGUAGAUUGGUAUUUCUACUUAUUUUGGUUUUGUGAAGAAGAAAAUGAGAAUAAUAGGAAAAGCUACUAAAAAUAUAAAGAACAUCAUGGUUUUGUUGUGUCACUGCCAAAUGCAACGUCAAAUGUAACCUAUAAAUAGAUCUCCUAUUGAGUUGCUUUUAUACACAUUUUUUUGUUCAAUUGAAUGUAGUGAUAUUUGAGAAUGACAUCACAAUUUAAUCUUAAAGAUGUUUAAGUAUGCAAUGACAUAUCUCAACAAGCUACAACUUCACAAGUCACCAACUUGAGCACUAUGUUAUAUUCACUAACAAGUACUAUUAUUUGUCGAGUUGCUUUUGGUAUUAGGUAUGAUGAAGAAGCACAUGAAAGGAGGAGAUUUGAUGAACUUUUAAUUGAGACUCAAGCAAUGAUGGCUAGCUUCUUUGUUUCUAAUUUUUUUUCCUUCUUUAAGUUGGAUUGAUAAACUUACUGGAUUGACAGAUAGACUUGAAAAUAAUUUCAAGAACUUGGAUAAUUUUUAUGAAGAACUCAUUGAGCAACAUCUUAAUCCCAAGAGGCCAAAAUCCAUGGAAGGAGACAUUGUUGACACCUAAUUUUGAUCCUCCCCGAUAAGAUUAAUUUUCGAGCUUCUUAAUUUUCAAUGAUUUGGAAUAAUUAGUUUUACAAAACUCAAAAAGGUAAAUAAAUUAUUUUCUAAAGUUUUAAAGCAAUUUUAGUCAUUUUUAUAAUUUUUAAAACAAUAUAAUAUUUUUAUAUAACUUUUGUAUGUAAUUGUUACAUUUCUUACGAGCAUUCAAAAAUCAAAAAAAAAAGAAGAAGAAGAAGGGGGCUUUACCUGUUUAAAAUGUUUUGAUAAUUAUCUCACUUAAUAUUAGUUAAUAUUCCCGAAUUAGUUAUUUUUAUCUCACUAAGAUUAAGAAGCCCGUCAAUUAAUUAAUUUGAUUCAUCGUGUUUAAAUUCUAGCCGGAUACACUAAAUUAACUCAAUUAGGCUAUGUUUUGAAUUUUAUAUGGCCAUAAUUGCAAUCCAUUUAGUCAUUUUAUAUUACAAUUCUAGCCAAUUUUAACCUCACCUUAAUUCAAUUUUUCGACCAAAAUUGGGUCAGUCGACCUAUCAGCCCAUUCCAUUUUUUUCAGCCCACUUAAUUUCCUAUUCUAAUUCCAACCAACCCAGCCCCUUUUAAUUCCAAAUAAUACCAAAAACAAAUGACCCAGACCCGUAUUUUUCUUCUCCCAGAACACCAACCAGCGCUGCAAACCAGAAACGACACCCAGAGACCCUUGUACGCGCCUCACGCGAGAACACGCAACAGCGAGUUCACAGAAGCCACAGCGACGUCUUCACGGCAGCAACGGCGAUAGACGGAAAGCAAAAUCCCAACGUCUUCUUCCUCAGGCUGGUACGAUCUUGUACAGCUUUUCCGCGAUUUUAGCUGCUGCUUCGUCCUUGGGGCUGUGGGAUGGAGCCACGUUGCGCCCAAGGACGGGUGAAUCAAUCCGGAGCGUCGAUUCGCCCUUUCCCCUUUCGGAAUUGGGCAAAAUUGCAAAGAAAAGAUGUUUACCCCGAAUGGUGAAAGUUUUGGAGUUCAAAUUUCGAAAUGGUCCCUUGCCCUAUGGGGGAUUUCAGCGAUUUUCCCCCCAUUUUCCAAAAGGGAAUUUCCCUUCUAUAUAGGUUGCAUUAUUCACUGUUGGGGGGAAGGAAAAAAAGAGAGUUGGAGAUUUCUCUGGAGAAAAAAUAUUGAGAGGUCUCCCAUUAGAAACGAGAUUACAGUAGACUUGCUAGCCAUACAAUUAUGUAUAAAAUACUUAAGGUUAGGUCUUGAAACAAAAGUGUGAGAGUUCAGAUUUUGUUUGUUCUUCUUGCUCGUGUUUUGUUCACGGAAGUUUAUCGGAGUAGUCGCUUGUGGUGUGGGUGGUAAAGCUUUGCUUAGCUCGUUUCGUCCGGAUCGCUGCCCCCGAAAAGGUAAUCUCUUCUCGACCUUAACCCGUUUAUUGGACGUUCUGUUUUAUGAACUGAAACUCUCUGUGGUUUCUUUUUCCUCCUGGUUUGAAUGACUCUUUUUUUUUUUUUUUUCUUUUUUCUUAGUUUACUUUAGCGUUUAAUGUUUGAUCGGUUGAGCUUGAAUCAGUGUUAGUUAGUUGAGGCGCAUAAUGUGUUUGUGUGCAUGGUUUAUGUCUGGAAUAUCUUUGGUUGAGAAUUUGGUGUCUCCCUUUGGCUGUUGUGCUCAGUGGUUAGUACAUAUAAUUUCUCUCUGCAAGUUUGAAGAAAGUUUUAACUUGAUUAAGAUUUGUUCUUUAUUUUCUCUUUUAUUUUGACUAACCUUUAAGGCUUCGAAUGGAUUAAAGGAUCUAUUGGUUCUAGCGUUAUUUGUUACUUUCAUAUUUGUCAUAGUCUAUUUCGGCAUCAAGUCCUUGCUUUGGUCUGUUAAGAUCGUUUUUUUUUUAUUUUCAAAAGUAGGAGCAGAACCUUAAGCUGGUUAGUGUGGAGUUUAUAUGUUGUCUUAUCUAUGAAUCGUUUGGUGCAUUAGCUUACUCUCUUCGUUUUCAAGUUAUUUGAUCCUUCAACUGUUUAGCAAGGCAUAUUUAAAUAGAGUUAUGUCUCCAUAUCUAUCGCAAUGUUUGCCACUUGAGGCCUAAAUGUAAGCUUCCUUAGCAUGCUUCUCUUAUAUUUGUCUUGUUUCUAUUUUUAUGAGGGCUGUUUUAGUUUUUCUCAAACAUAUCUCAUCCCGUUCUAAAAAUAUUAAGAUCAUGUUGCUAGACUUGAAACUAGCUUAUGUUGGUUGGUAUGGUGUUUCAAAUACUAAUUCGAUGAGAAUGGGGUCUAUUCAUGUGAUGUGUAGAAUUUCUUUAUCUUAGCUAAUUUAAAUGGUUGAGGGUUUAUUUCACUUCGUCGGUUUGGUUACUCCUAUCCCAAAGUUUGAGUUAGUCUAGUAUAAUUUUACUCGGCUCAUUCUCUAGUGAUGCUUGGUCAAUUAUUUGGUCAUUUGCUUUAUUUGAUGUUAAUUAAGACCCAUUUACUUUUUUUUUAAUUGUUUUGGUCCAAGAUCUCGGUUCAUCUUCCCAUGUGUUAUGGCAGCGUUUUCCUAGUCUAUUUUUCUAAUAUUAUUUGAGAGCAUACAUAAGUUUAUAUUGAAUUAAAUGGAAAAUAAAGGCAUGAUGGAUUUUUCCUAAAAAAAAAGAAAAAGAAAAAGAGUUAAUUAACUUUAUUAUUAUUUUAAGGGUGAAUUUUAAUACAAUUUAUGUGUUCUUGCUGUUAUCUAGGAGUAUGACAGAUUUUCUUUUAUAUAUACAUAUAUUCGUUAUUCAUGUGUAUUGUUACUAGUCAUCAUAUUAAUUUAUUGUUUGAAAUAAUCAGUGUGGUCUAUUAAUUGUUGAAAAAAUAGUGAUUUAAAUAAUCGUCACUUUGUCUUUAGCAUGAUGGAUCUUCAUUGUCUUUGGAGUUGGUAUCUUUCCAUCUAGAUCUAUGUCAUUUCAACUUGAUAGAGUUAUUUGCUAUAUUUUGUUUAAGGGUGACUAUGAUUUGUUUUGAAUGCAUUAUAUUUCUGUUAUGGUUUAUUAAUCCUUAUCUUCUUAUUUUUUGUUGCAUGUAAAAUAUGCCCGAGUUCUUCAUGAACUCCUAUCCCAUUCCUUUGCAUUUGGAGAGAGCCACCAAGGCUGAAACCCUUCCUCUCGAGUCGGCCAACCUAUUAAGAAUUGACGAACAGGUCCCGAAAGAAUAUGCAACAGAUUGGAGAGUCGAAAAUUUGGACCAAAGGCCCACUCCUUAUUUCAAAAAUUGUAUUUUAUUAUUUUGGGCCUAAGCCCUUGUCAUUUUAUUCAUUAUUAUCUUGUUAGAAGUUUAGGAUAGGUAUAUGUGACUCAAAUGGGCCAAAGGCCCCAAAAUGAAAAUGGGCCCAAGUAUUGGUCCAGGCGGACAGAAAAAAAUCAAGCUUGUGCCCGAGCCUCUUUCCCUCUUUAUUUUAUUGUAUUUGCGUGUUUGUUAAUAUUUGCCGCUAAUCUUAAGAUCGAAAAAUUCAAAUCCCCGGAAGACGCCCAUUUUGAUUUAACAAUUUAACUAAAUUAGUCAUCUCUUACUUGACUUAAAAAUAAAUAAAUAAGUUUACAAAAUACUUCAUUUAGAUAAUAUUUAAAUAUUUCCCUUUUUUCCCUUUAAAAUGGUUCUAAAUAUAAAAAUUGCUCAAAUCAAAUUAAGUUAAAUUAUUUUAGCCAAAUAAAUUAAUUGUAGGAUAAUUGCAUUAGUGGAUAUUUUAGGUGCUUUAAAAACCUUUCUAGAAUAUUAAUAGGAACUUCGAACCCCUAUUUAAAUAUUUUCAAUCGAUUUCCUGUUUUUAUCGUUUGAAAAAAUCAGUUUUCUUAAUUUUUCUUAUAAAUUAAGUGGCAACUCUAAAAUCACUCAAAAUAAUAUUUUCCUAAUAAAACAGACAUUCUUGAUCUUUUGCUUCAAUUGAAGAAAGAGAAAUCAACUCCAAUUGAUCUCACUUUGGAGGAUGCAAAAGCACUUGCCAUGGUAAUCUUGUAUAUUUAUGUUAGUACAUGUACUUUGAGUCUUUUUUUUGGUUUCCCACUUGGUGUUCGGAGCCCACAUUGGAGCCUCAACUAUAUCCGGAUCACGCACUACAAGGCUCAUUCGGGGUGGUACUCCCAACAUGAUUUUCUCCAUACCUGUUGAGACUUUCUCAUGAAUUGACAAUUCAUGUCUUUUUUGUGUGUCAAUUUCUUUGUAGGACGUGUUAGUAGCAGGAUCAGACACAAGGGCGGCUGUAAUAGUAUGGGCGAUGACAGCCUUAAUGAGGAAUCCAAGAGCCAUGAAGAAAGUUCAAGCGGAAAUUAGACAAUCAAUUGGAAAAAAAGGCAUUGUAAAUGAAGAUGACAUCCAAAACAUGUCUUAUCUUAAAGCAGUAAUAAAGGAGACAUUACGAUUAUAUCCAUCAGCUCCACUCCUACUACCAAGAGAAUCAAUGAAAAAGUCUAGACUAGAAGAAUAUGAAAUUGAGUCAGGAACCACAAUUUAUGUUAACUUUUGGGCAAUUGCAAGAGAUCCCGAGAUAUGGGAGAAUUCAAAUGAGUAUUCCUGAGAGAUUCCUGAAUAGCGAUAUUGAUUUUAAAGGACAAAACUUUGAGUUAAUUCCAUUUGGAGCUGGACGAAGAGGAUGCCCAACUAUUACACUUGGGGUUGCCACAGUGGAACUUGCAUUGUCAAAUCUUCUUUAUGCAUUUGAUUGGAAGUUGCCUUGGAGCAUGAGAAAAGAGGACAUUGAUACAACUGUUAGGCCAGGAAUUGUAAUGCAUAAGAAGAUAGAUCUUUGCCUUAUACCUACAAAUUAUCUAUAGAUUAUAUUCAAAUACGGAUAUAAGGCGAGUUUUGUGAUAUCAAUUUAAAUCAUGUAAAAAAUAAAUUAUUCUCAAGCUAAACAUAUUUAGAAUACAUACAUGUAAUAAGUUAUUCUCAUGCUAAACUUAUCGACCGACUCUAAGUUAUGAAUUUGUCUUUCUCACUCCACCUAGUUCUUGAAGGAACACCUUUAUAUUACGUAAAUAAAUAAAUAUAUGCUACUGGUAGUAAUUGCUGCAUUUUCGCUACUAAAAAAGUUACUAUUUUAUCAUUGAAAUUUUCUACUGAAAAAUAUUUAAUGACUAUUUUCAUAAAUAUUUUUAUUGAGUCAUGAGAAAAGAAAAAAAUAGUAGUAGUAUUUUAACACGGAAUUAUUAGGAAGCUUCUCAAUAUUUCAACAUGAUUCUAUUUUCCACAGUGCGUUUUAAUUUUAGUAUGCUGGUUCGAUGAAAAUAUAUAUCAUAUUUUAUGACAUAAAAUUAAUUGAAAAGGAAGAAGCAACAAAUGAGAAGAUGGUAAAGCUAAAACUAUACUGUAAACGUGAAAAUUAAUUCAAAAUUGGAAAAGACAAUUACGUACCUUAGUCCUUAGUACUUUUUUUUAAAAAAAAAAUUCCCAGUGACUAUCUGAGUGUGUUAUACGUACCUUAGUAGUUGUAAGAUUUGGAAGGGAGAAAACAUUCUCAAUAAUAUUUUUAUUCUUACUUCAUAUUAUAUCUCAUAUAAAAUUAUAGAAGUUUAAUUUAACUUAAUAAGGUAUUUUUGAUAAACAAAAUAAAAAUGGCAAUCAGAUGCGUGUUUAAAAGUUCUAUUUAUAUUAAUUUAAACCAUCCAAAUGACCUGUUAAUUUGUGAAACACAUCUUCACAAAUGACCCUCAAAGAAUGGAUAAAUAUCUUAUGAGGAAAGAAUCAAAGGAAGGACAGAAUUGUACUCACAAUCUUGAUCAAUAAAAUUAGUUUCUUCAUACUUUAUUUGUGAUUGCAAUUUAUUUUCUAUCACUUUAAAUUCUUUUGCAAAUAAAUUGGCACGCCCAGUGGGACCAAAUCUGCUUUUCAUCUCUUCUCUCACAAAUCAAAUCUGCAAAUCUGAAGUCACAAAACCGCAAAGGUAGAAGAAUGGGUACUUCAAGUUUCGAGUUUCAUCAAGUCUACACUCCGACAAACCUUGAAGCAUGGACAUUUGUAGACAUUUAAAUUUUGUAGAACUCUACAAGAUGUGUUCAAUUCAAGUAGAUAUUCUACAAAGUGUGUUCAAUUUCAAUUAGGAUUCUUGGAGGCUAUUUAACCCUAAACCUUAUUUCAUGCCUAUAUAAAGGGCACUAUAUUCCCUUUAAAAGACAUCUCGAAUAUUCUGCAAAUUCAUGGAAUAUUCAUGAAGAGAUCAAAUCCAAAUCAUUCUAAUUUGGGAUAUACUCCACUAAUGACCCUCGAAUCAUGGAUAAAUCUUAGGAGAGUAGAACAGAAUUGUACCCGCACCAUUUAUUAAUAAAUAUUCAUGUUUCUUCAUAGUGGUUGAUUUAUUUUUCUAUCACGGUAAAAUUUGUUGCAAACAACAUUGUCUAGCAACACGAUGUAUUUAUAAUCAUAAAUCCUUUAAAAAUUAUAAAUUUAAAUUUACUAUUAUAAUUUUAGUGAAUUUUUACCUAUGAAGAUAUGCCUCGUAAAAAAUAUAUCUGGAUUCAGAUGAAUCCUUUGGUAAAUUGAGCUACUAAUUAUCCUCAUGUGCUAUAAAACUCAUUUUCAUGACUUACAUACCAGGUAGGAAUCAGUUUACAUCAAUGUAAUUAAGUACCUUAAUUUUUAAAAUUAUUUUUGGAGAUUUCUUGUUGCAAUUGAAGAACUUUAAGUGGUUUUCAGAGGUUGGAUUGAGAAAUUAACAAGUUGCAUGUGUAAAAUAUGAUUAAUUGAUAGGUGGGGGUGGAUCUAGCGAGUAGAGUGUCAUUUAUGAAUUUAGGUGAAUUUAAUUUGAUAUCAUUAAAAUAUAAAUUCAUAAAUUUUGAAUUUUGAAUUCACCUUAAUAAUAAUGAAAUAAUACAAGAAGGCAAAAUAUGAGAAGUAUUAAAUUUGCAUAAAUUAAAGUGUUUGAAUUCUGGCAUUAAGAUAGCUCGUAUCUAAUGUAAAAUAGCAAAAAAAAUCAUAGGAGAAUUAAGGACAUAAACCAUACUUCUCAACUAUUCUCAUUAAUGGUCGACUAAAUAAGUCUAUUAUCUUUCUAAAAUGGUAGCAGAGGCAGAUCUAGAUCAUUAGCUACAGAUUUGAUGACGGGUAACUGUACAAAUCCAAUGUCCUUUUUUCUCUUUAAAUUACCAUUUUCUUUAUAUUUAUAUGAUUUUUCUUUUAAUAAUAUUAUCGCAGUUGUUGAUCCAAACCCCCAACUCCUUUUAGGGUGUGUUUAGUAUGGAAAAAAAUGAAUAAUGUUUUUUAAUAUUUUCAUAUUCAGUUAAUCAAAAAAUUUGAAUAAUAUUUUCUCUAAAAUAUAAGUUUUUUUAAAAAGAGGAAAAUAACUUUCUUAGUGAAAGUAGGAAGAACAUAUUUCACAAGUGAAAUUCCACAGUGAUUGUGUCAUCUGCCACCCUCAACACACCUCAUCACCCCACACCGGUACUCCCUUCACCUCCACCUCUCAUAUUAUUUGUCAAAAUUAUAUACAAAACUCCAAAAACAGUUUUCAACAAUGCAUUUACCAUAAAAAAAUAUUUUCCUUUGUACCAAACACACCCUUACUUUUUAAUUAUAAAUAAAAGAAAUAAUAGAAAAUUACAAGACAUUUCAAGUGACUUUGCCAUAAAGAAACAAAUGUUGUUUCCACUCUUUUUAGCCCUUGUUAUCUUCAUUAUUCUCAGUUUCCUUCUUGCUAAAGCCAAAAGGAAUGGAAAAAACAUUCUACCACCAGGUCCUUUAGGGUUGCCAUUUAUUGGAAAUCUGCAUCAAUUUGAUGAUUUUGCAUCAAUUUGACGGUUUAACCCCUCAUCUCUAUUUUUGGAAACUUUCCAAGAAAUAUGGGAAAAUAUUUUCAUUGAAAUUUGGUUCUACUCCAGUAGUUGUAAUUUCUUCAGCAAAAUUAGCAAAAGAAGUAAUGAAAACACAAGAUUUAGCAUUUUGUAGUAGAACUUCUACUCUCUGCCAGCAAAAAUAUUCUUACAAUGCUCAAGAUAUUGCCGCGUCACCUUACAAUGACAAUUGGAAAGAACUUCGAAAAAUAUGUGUUGGUCAUUUAUUUAGUCCAAAAAAAGUACAAUCUUUUAUCCCAAUUCGUGAAGAUGAAGUAUCAAGAAUGAUCAAGGAAAUAUCUCAACAAGAUGUCACUUCCCGAAUUACCAAUUUGAGUAGUAUAUUGAUUUCACUAACGACUACUAUUAUUUGUAGAGUUGCUUUUGGUAUUAGGUAUGAUGAAGAAACACACGAAAGGAGGAAUUUUAAUGAACUUUUAAAAGUGACCGAAGAAAUGUUGGUAAGCUUUUUUGUCUCUGAUUUUUUUCCUCUCUUAGGAUGGAUCGAUAAUCUCUCCGAAAAAAUAAAUAUACUCGAGAAGAAUUUUAAGGAUCUGGAUGAAUUUUAUGAAGGACUCAUUGAGCAGCAUCUUAGUCCCAAUAGGCCAAAAUCCAUGGAAGAAGGAGAUAUUAUUGAUCUUUUACUCCAAUUGAAGAAAGAGAAGUCAACUCCAAGCGAUCUUACUUUGGACAACAUAAAGGCUAUCAUUAUGGUAAUGAACUACUCCAUUUUAUAUAUGGUGGUGCUGGUAAAUACUUGCAUGUCAGUUGCUUACACCUACCUAAACAAUUAAUCUUUCAUUGGCUUGGUGUUAAUGCUCGAUCAUGUGGCUAAGUAUUUUUCAUGGUCACGAAUACGAUCAUAAUAUAAAGAAAGAUUUUUGUCAAAUAUUAAAAAGGUGAUUUUAAGUUUGUGGCAUUACACGUGUUAUAGCAUUUUAUGAUAGCUUGAUUAGAAAAAUAUUUGAAUAAAGAUUGUUGACACCCAAUUUUGGACCUCCACAAUAUAUAUUAAUCAUCGAGUUUCUUAAAUUCCAAACGAUUUGAAAUAAUUGACUUUGUAAAGUUCAAAAUAUUUUUUCGAGUUACUUUUAAUUAAUUUCAUCAUUUUUAUGUAAUAUGUAUGUUUUAUAUAAUUUUGUGUAUAAUUAGAGUAUAUUUUAUAAACAUUUCGAAAAUCAUCUCAAGAAGAUUUUGAUUUUUUAGUAAGUAUUUUAUUAAAUUAGUUCAGUAUAAAUUAUAGUUAUAAUCUUUGAGUUAUUUAAAUUAGUUUACAAUUAAGUUAAUUAUUUUUAUUUCGUUAAGAUUAAGAAGCUCCUUAAUUAAUUCAUAUUAAUUUGUCUUGAUUAAAUGUUGACCAAAUCCACCGAUUAAUCUCAAUUUGGUUACAUUGUGUAAUUAAUUUGAGCUAUUGUUUUUUUACGUUUCCUUAGCCAAAUCCUCAAUUCAUUCAACUCAUUAAAAUACCAAAUUGUGGGCUAUAUUCCACUUUUCUGCACAACCCACUCCUAUUCCUUUCACCCUUCAGCAGCCCAUUAAAACACAACAACAUAUAUCAACCCAUUAAUGCCUUCAAUUCCCAACCCAACAAAAUUAACAACAACAACGUACAACAACCGACCAACAGCCCAUUACCCUCAACCCGGCCCAAAUGCACUUCUUCCCUUCACAAAGAGACCCGACCCCUGCACAACUCUUUCUUCUACGCAAACCCAGCAGCUCACGUGAACCAGACAGCAGCAGUGUGCAUUUUUCUUCUGCCUCACGCGUCAAUAUCCAACAACUCCCACAACUUUCUCUGCAACAGCCGCCCAACUUGAUCUUUCCAUCCGGAUUUUGGGGGAUUUCGAUUGAAAAUCUGGCGCAAGCAGCAGUCCGUUGGUCUUUGGGGAAAGGAAUUUUGAAUUGAAGAUUGGAUAGGAAUUUCCUUUUUGGCCCUUGCCCUCGUCCAAUUUUCAUCCCCUAAAUCGCCCCAACUUCCCCUAUAAAUAAUCCUUGACAUUCAAGUGAGAGGGGUUUUUUUUUUAUUUGGAUUUUGACAUGUUUUAGAGCUUGGUUCUUUGACAUUACUGAUUUUACAUUCAAGAAUUUUUAAAACGAUUUUCUAAUUCUAAGUUCUAAGAAAGGUUUCGUCUGAAGUUACUUUGAAAUUCUUAGUUUGCUACUCGAAUCGAAGUUGUGCGAGAAGUCCUCUUUCUAGUCGUCCCAGUAUCGCUGCUCCAAGAAAGGUAAUUUUUUUUUUGUGUGUUUAUCCCAAAGUUUGCUGUCUGUUUCAUCUAUAUAUAUAUAUAUAUUUACUUAUUUUUUGGUUUGUAUUGGUGAUAUAUUCUCUGAUUUGGUGUUAUGAAGCUAUGGAAAAAUGUCCAAACCAUGAAGUAAUUUAGAGUCUUUAUUCUCUGUGGAUUAUGAUCUUAACCUUGUUAAGAGUUGAUCUUUUGCUAGGUAGUUUAAGGAAGAUUAAAGCGAUGUUAGUUCGUUCCCCAUCACUUUGAUUUCGACGAGAUGAAAUAAAAUAUAGUGACAGCAUGCUUUUCCUUUCAGUAAUUUCUUUGUUUUAUUUGGUUUGCGUUUCUAGUCGUUUGCAAUCUUACAUUCUAGUUUUGUGAGAUCAGCUAGCUUCUAGUAAUUUGUAGAUAUCGUAAUACCUAAAUUUUAGUAUGCUUCAAUAAUAUGAAUAUAUAGUUGCUGUAAUUCGUUGUCUUUUCCCGUGCAUAUUCGAUCCUUUUUCUAGGUUAAAUAUUUUCUCUCCAUUAAAGAGAUUAUGAAAACAUGCGUGUACAUUAGUGGCAUAGGACCGAUUUGGAUUCUUAAAACCUCUUCUUCUAUGCCCAGAUUAGUCCUUAAAUGCUCGUCUCUUCGAUCGUCAUGUUUAGAUUAGCUAAAUUGUGUUGAUUUUCCAGACCUUCUUUGUGCUAAUCUACUCGUAUUCAGUUUUAAAGCGUUGUACUGUCACCUCUAUGUUACCUCACAUGUUUCUUAACGCGUCUACGCCAGCCCUUUUCUGCAAUUUUACUGGCACUUCAUAGUUAAUAUAAUUAUUUGGUUCUAACAAUAUUUUGUUUGAGUCCACUGUAUGAUCCUCUUUUUGAAGCUUCUAUUUUUCUUUUAUUUAUUUAUUUUAUUUAUUUAUUUUUUUUAGAAAGGAUAGUAUGCAUAGAAAUUUAUGGAAGCCUUCUUGCUUGUUUCUUUUAUACCAUUUUGAGAUAAUGGUAUAGUAGUAAAAUUUUCUUUUACCUAUCGUAUGAGUCCAACAAUUACUCAUGACUAAAUAAAUAUAGCUCAUAUUUCCUUGAAGUCCUCGUUGUGUGGCAUCACUAGUUGUCGGGUGGAUUUGUAAAAUUACAUGAAAUUAGAAUAUAUCUCUUAGUAUUGUUUAAGUUUGAAAGGAUGAGUUGCGGUUUUUUGCUCCAAAUGACAACAAUGGCUCUUUGAUUAAGUCAAUUAUUUGUAUAAACAUGAUUUCCGUUUUAUUUAUUUAUUUAUUUUUAUUGUGUUAAGUGAAACCAUGCUCUUUACUUGCUAAAUGUACGUUGGAAAUUUCUAUCUUUAUAUAUUAAAACUGUCACCACAAUUUAGUUUAGUAGAUGCUAUUAUGUUAGGAUUAGGUGACCUUUUCCUAUGCUACCAGUUUGUUUGAGUUCUAUCACAAGAUAUAAUAUGAUUUGUUGCUUUAGUUGAAACACUAAGUUCAUAUGUGUGAUGUGUAUAAUGCCAAGCUUAUGUUGCCUAUAUGUUACAUUACAUGUGCAAUAUUGAAAUUAUGUCAUUCUAAGCUUGUUCAAUGUCUUGCUCAUAAUUUGGGUUGAUUAAAAAGGUAAGUUUGGAAACCAUUUUAGGAUAAGUGAUAAAUCAAUGUAUUAGUUAAAAUGAAUACAUGCAUAAGUUAGUCGAGAUGUUCUCUUUGGAAUGUGUCCGAGUUUGUUCCUCAGUAGAUUAUUUACUAUAUUUUGAAUUUUUUCUUUUAUUGAAUCUAUCUUCCAUAUCUCUAAUUUUUUAUUAUUUUUUUUCUGCCUCAUGGGAACUUAUGCGACACUACUUGAACUCCUAUCUCCUCGUUGGGCCAAAGGCCCAAUUUUACCUCUUAACGAGUCGGCCAACCUUGAGAAAUCAAAGAACAAGUCUUUGGAGUUGAUGUACAGGUCUCGGAAAGCAGAAAAAUGGGCUGUAUACAGCCGAUAUACACUGAUAUACAACCAGUGUAUACAAAAACGGGAUUGGUUUAAAGGCCAAAGUUUGUAGCGAAAUUGGCCCAAGAAGGGGCCCAAUUUCAUCAUUUUUUUUACUCUUCUAAUUGUUUGAUUAUGUUUUGGCUAAUCUUAUUUAACUCUAACUUUAAAUAACUUAAUUAGAUUCCCAAAAAGACGAGUCAUUUUCUUUGUGUUGGUUUAUUUUUAAUACAUUUCACUUGUUGUGUUCACUUAUUUUAAAUUUCAAAUAAUUGGUCGAAUUUUGUAUUUUAAUUAAGUUCAAUCUUUGUUCUUAAAAAAGAUAUGUUUUAAGGCCUCUUCACUUGAUCACAUUUUAUUUUAAAGUGGUUUUAAGUUAAAGUAUUCUUCUCAAAUGAACUAAAAAUGUUCUCUUUCUAGUUAGUCAUUUUCUCAAAAAGGUUAGUCGAAACUUUAAUUCUUCAAUUAACUUAAAAUGGCUUCAUGCUUAAAUUAACCAAUUUGGAUUAAUUUAUUAUUUUAGAAAAUGAAUCAAGUAAGUCCUAAUUAAUCUAGUUUUAAUAAAAUUCUAUGCACUUGUUUUUUAAUUCAAAUGUUUCAUUUUUAGGUCAUUUUUCUCUAAAAAAUAAAAUAAAAUAAGAAUGUGUCAUUCAUUUAACUAUUUUCCUCAAAGUUAAUCGAAUAUAUUAUAAGUUAUUAUUCUUUAUGUUAAAACAUUUUUUUUUUUAUAUAGUCAAAUAUAUUUUAGUCAAGUCGCAGGUCAACCGCAUGUUAGCGGACACUUCGAAUGCUUAAACCCUUCUCGAAGUGUAAAUUGAACCCCGAACCCUCUUUGAUAUUUUUCAAACGAUUUUUUUCUGUUUAAAUCUUUGAAAAUUAUAAGUUUUCUUAAUUUCUUUAAAAAAUUAAGUGGCGACUCUUUCUAAGUAUUUUUCUUUUAGUGUUUUAUACUUGGAACAUUUUCAAAAAGUGAUUUUUCUAGAAAUAGUCAAAUUACGACACAACAAAGAUAAAAUGAGAAAUUCAAAGUUUUCGAAUACAUGAAGAUAUAUUUGUUGUGUCGUGAUCUUACUAACCUUUAGAAAAAUCACUUUUUGAAAUGCUCUAAGUAUAAAACAAUUUGAGAAAAAUACUUAGAAAAGAGUCGCCACUUAAUUUUUUAAAGAAAUCAAGAAAACUUAUAAUUUUCAAAAGAUUUAAACAGAAAAAAAAUCAUUUGAAAAUACCAAAGAGGGUUCGGGGUUCAAUUUACACUUCGAGAAGGGUUUAAGCAUUCGAAGUGUCCGCUAACAUGCGGUUGACCUGCGAGUUGACUAAAAUGUAUUCUGACUAUUUUUAGAAAAAAUAAAAUGAUUUAGCAUAAGAAUAGUAAAUUACCAUAUUUUAUUAACUUUGAGAAAAUAAUUAAGUAAGCGAUGCAUUUGAUUUUCAUUUUUUUAUUUUUUAGAGAAAGAGAUACAAAAUGAAACAUUUGACUUGAAAAUAAGUGAUUGGAAUAUUAAUAAUACUAGAUUAAUUAGAAUUUAUUUUAUUCAUUUUUUGAAGCAAUAAUGUAAACCUAUUUAAAGCAUGAAAAUCAUUUUUUAAUUAAUUGACUAACCUUUUUGAGAAAAGACUAAGUAAGUGUGUGUAUAUAUAUAUAUAUUCAAUUAAUUGAAAAGGGUUUGAUUAACAUUUUUUAAAGUUUAUUUGAGAAAAAUUGAAAAGGGUUGAUUAACAUUUUUUUAAAGUUUAUUUGAGAAAAUACUUUAACUUACAACAAUUUUUAAAAUGAAUAAAAAUGUGAUUAAAUGAAAAGCAUUAAAGAACAUCUCUUUUUAAGAACCAAAGUUUUAACUUAAUUAAAAAUAUAAAACUUUGACUAAUAUAUUUGAUUAAUAAAAUAAAUGAACACAAAAUCAUGAAAUGUAUUAGAAUUAAACGAACACAACGAAAAUGACUCGUCUUUUUCUUUUGGGGGAUCUAAUUAAGUUAUUUAAAGUUAGAGUUAAAUAAGAUUAGUCAACACAUAAUCAAACAAUUAGAAGAGUAAACGAGAUAAUGAAAUUGGGCCCCUUUUUGGGCCAAUUUCGCUAUAUUUUUUAAACUUUAAUCUCAUUCCCGUUUUGCGUAUACACUGGAUGUAUAUCAGUGUAUAUGAGCGUAUAUAUUAGCUCUUUUCAUGUAUCUCUUGCUUCCGAACACAUGUAUUUUUGCUCCAGCCCUGUAUUCCUGCGUUUUUGACCUGUAGAUCGAUGUAUAUCGAUGUAUACAUCUUGUAUACGACCCCCUUUGGGCUUUUCGGGGCCUAUAAUUUUGGUUUCCCGUACACUUGAACAUGAUGAGGCUAACUCGAGUAGGAGGUUGGGCUGAUUAUCCCAACAUAAUGCAAGGAGGCGAGUCCAUGGAUAUACUCAAGUAUACAUACAAAGAAAGGAGUAAUGAAUUAAUAGCAACUCAAAAUCGCAUAAAAAAAUGCUUAAUUUGUAGAGACCAAUGUAUAAAUCAUAAACACAUGAGUGGAAAAAAUAAAACCAAGAGCAACAUAAGGAAAACUAUAUAAAAUAGAAUAUAAUCCACUCAACCUUAAUCAAUGAUUUGCUCAAACCACUAAAUUUAAAAGCAUAUACCUACUGGAGUAUUAUAUCGGCAAAUGCACUAAUGAUUCCAUUUUUUUUAAAAAGAAGAUAUUCACCAAACAAAACUAAACAAGGUUUUACAUCUUGACUUAAGCACCAACAUUUAAACAAGAAUCUAACAAGUAAUGCUAAUUUAGAAAAAAAACAUAUUAACCUUAGUGACUUAUCAGCAAGAAAUGGAGCAAGCAGAAUACUAUCUAUCAAUUAUAAAACAGAUACGCAAAAGCUGAAGAAAUACUAUUGUUAUAUAUGAGUUACGACAACUGUUGAGCAACAAAUAUAUUAGUAUCUAUACAAAUAGAACAUUUCUUACACCAUAUUAGACAGGGAAAUCUAAACUAAAACAUGAAAUGAUAGAUUUCUGAAGUGUUGGUAUCAAACUAGAUAUCACAAAUCGCUACAUAGAGAAUCACCCGAACUAAACAAAGAGACUUUGACUGAGUAUGAAUCAAGAGCAAAAUAUUAUCCUCUACAACUUAAUAUCGCUGGUCUAACUUCACAUCACAACAAGAAUUAACAACAACAUCCCACAGGAACAUUUUUAAAGAAAAUAAAGAACUACAACUACUACAAGGAGAGAAUAAACCGAAUAGACGAAAAUAGAUGCUGGAAAUGCAGUAAAGAGGAGCUGAUUGCAGCAUGCUCAAUAAAAAAAAAACUAGACUUAAGAAAUGGAACUUUGCGGAGAACGUAACUUUGUGAUUUUGACCAAAAGAGAAGCUAUCAUUCUAAAGCAUUCUAGCUUUUAGUAAUAUCAUUCUAGAGUGGGAAAACAAGAUACGAGAUUAGAGAAAAAUAUCCUAUAUGGGAAAGACAUCAAGACAUCACUGUAAGGUUCAAAUUCCUUCAAUUGGUAAAGUAACACCAAAACACAUCAAAGAAGAUUUGGGUAUGAAUCUAGACUAAUAAAACAAAUAGAAAUGAGCCCCCCAUUAUGUCAAAAAUUUCAACUGAAUAACUAGUUUUACAUAACUCAAAUCGUCAACAAUAUGAACAAAAAUUGUAAUGCACUCGAUCAAUACCAUUUUCCAUCAGAAUGCUCAAGCAAGAAGACACAUAACGUUGAUCAAUCACCCUUUUCGAGGGCAGCGAACUAGAGACAGCGCGAGCAGAGCUACGAUCUUCCUACCACAAAACUCAAAUACGAACAACAAGAAGAAAACUGAGCAAAAUCCCGAUUCUCAAUUCAAUGUAUUUCUAUAUUUUUAGCUAUUUUUUACUUAAGGCUACUCUCAGUGUUUUUGCUCAAAAAAUCCCCCUAUUCUUCUCAACUCUCUUUUUUCUCCCCCCUCUCUUGGUAUGUUCUUCCCCAAGCUUUUUAUAGAGGAGGUAUUAGGGUCGAAUUGGGGGGAUUUUAGAGGAUGAAAAUUGGACGAGGGCAAGGGCAGAAACGGGAAUUAUCAUCCGAUCUUCGAUUCAAAUUUUUUCCCAAAACCAAAGAACUACUGCUUGUACAAGAUUUCAACCAAAAUCCCUCAAAAUCCGGAUGACAAGAUCAAAUGGGCGACUGUUGCAGAGAAAGCUGUGGGAGUUGUUGCUUGUUGACGCGUGAGGGAGAAGAAAACGCGUACUGCUGCUGUCUGGUUCACGUGAGCUGCUGGAUUCGGGUCGAUGCUGGAUUUCUGGGUUUGCAUCGCUGGAGAGGAAGAGUAGCAGGGGCGGUGGGUCCUUACAUUGGAAUUGGGUUGGGUGUUGUAUGUAUUGUUAUAUUGUUGGGUUCUUUUUUUUAGUGGGCUGCUGAGUUAUAUUGUUAUAUGGGCUGGAAAUAUGGUCUUAAGAGUAUUGGGCUGCUGCUUUUAGUGUUGGACUGUUGAAAUUGCAAAGAUAAAAGACCCAAAAUUGGUUUGUCCAAAUGGGUUUAGGGUGGGCCAAAGAUGGAUUAGAUUUUAGAGUUUAGGAAAUAGCCAAGUUGAGUUUAGUUGGUGAUUCGGCUAAAAGUUAAAUAAGAUGAAUUAAUAAGAAAUUAAUUAACGAGCUUCUUAAUCUUAACAAAAUAAAAUAAUUAGCUUAAUUGUAAACUAAUUAACUCAAAAAUAUGAGUAUUAAUUAACUAAACCAAUUAACCAACUAUUUAAGUAAGACUAAAAUCUUUUUGAGAUGAUUUUUUGAAUAUUUAUAAAAUAUACAAACUAUACGCAAAAUUAUAUAAGAGACCUAUUAUUAUUUGAAAAUUAUAAAAGAUGACAAACUACUUAAAUAACUUGCAAACUAUAUAUAUAUAUAUAUAUAUAAUUUUAUUAUUAUUAUUAUUAUUAUUAUUAUUUUGAAAUAUCUAAAAUUAAUUAUUUUGAAUCGUUUGAAAAUUAAGAAACUCAGAAAUUAAUUAUUAUCGGGGAGGGUCAAAAUUGGGUGUCAACAAUAUUUUGUGGCAAUGUUUUUAUCCUCUUAAUUUAUCUUGUAGAAUAUGCUAGUUGGUGGAACGAACACUAGUGCAGCUACAAUAAUUUGGGCAAUGACAGCCUUGAUAGAGAACCCAAAUGCCAUGAAGAAAGUUCAAGCUGAAAUUAGAGAAUUGGUUGGGAAAAAGUCCAUAGUGAAUGAGGAUGAUGUCCAAACUCUUCCAUAUUUCAAAGCAGUGAUAAAAGAGACACUUAGAUUGUAUCCACCGGCUCCAUUGUUAGUACCAAGAGAGACGAUGAAAAAUUCCAUACUAGACGGAUAUGAAAUUAAACCAAAAACUAUAAUUUAUGUUAACGCUUGGGCAAUUGCAAGAGAUCCUGAAAUAUGGAAAAAUCCAGAAGAAUUUAUACCUGAGAGGUUUGUGAAUAGUGAUAUUGAUUUUAAGGGCCAAAAUUUUGAGUUGAUUCCAUUUGGAGCAGGCAGAAGAGGGUGCCCGGCUAUGGCACUCGGUGUGGCAAAUGUGGAGCUUGUACUUUCCAAUCUCCUUUACGCUUUUGAUUGGGAGUUGCCUUGUGGAAUGAAAAGAGAAGACAUUGACACCGAUGUUUUGCCAGGACUUACUAUGCAUAAGAAAAAACCUUUGUGCCUUGUUCCUCAAAAUUAUCACUAGAAAUUAAACAAGAAAAAACUCCAAUGUUUAAAUUAUUUAAAUAUGUAUGUAUGAUUUCGUUAGUUAUCCAUGUUUAAUAUGGUCAUAUUGUUUUAUGUCUGUUAUUUUUCGUUUUAAACUUGUAAUGGAGUAGUUGAAGAGGGGAAAACAUUUUCACAAAUAUUUUUUUCUUUGUUAUUUCAUAUUCAAUUAUAUAAAUUUUCAUGUAACAUAAUAAGGUAUUAUUUAUAAAUAAAAUAAAAGCAGCAAUCAAAGGACCAUAUUUUAAGAGUUCUAUUUAAACCAUCCAAACGACCCUUUAGUGUAGCAAUUACAAGAUGCAUUAAUAAUCAGAAUCAUUAAUGCACUGUAACAUUUAACAUGGAAUUUUUUCACUUAUUUCUGAGGCCAAAAUGAAUCAUUUAGUUCGCGUUAGACCAGAUCAAGAAUUGUGGUUAUAUAAAUCAUUUCAACUUAUAAUGAUUAAGUGAUUUAACAAAGUAAAAAUGUAUAACAGAAAAAUGACAUGCAAAAUGAUAUUAACCGGUGACUUGAUCUCCAUAAGUUUGAACUGAAUACACGAACAAGUAAUUGAGCGGACACUUUUUUGGCAUAGGCUAUCUUGAUACGACUGUGGAUUCAAAAUUAAACUUGACGAAUUUGAUUUUAAUUUUUUUUAAAAUUAAAUUUGUUAUACUUUUAAGAUUAGAAGUACAAAUUUAAUAUUUUAAUUUUAGUGAAUUUUCACAUAUUAAGAUAUGCCUCACAAAAAAAAUAACUGGAUUCAAAUGAGAGCUAGUUGCAUCUGCCAUUGGUCCUCAUUGUCUAUACUAACACAUGUUAUAAAAUUCAUUUUCAUGACUUAUACGCCAUGUAGGUAUCAAUUUACAUCAUGGUAAUUAAGUACAUGUAGAAAUUAACAAGUUGUGUAAAAGUUGAUUAACUGAUAGGGGGGGGGGGGGUACUAGAGCGUUGUAUAUAAAUUUACGUGAAUUUAACUUAAGAUUAUUAAAAAAAUAAUUCAUAAAUUUUAAAUUUUGAGUUCGCCUAUUAAUCACUAAAUUAAUAAGUGGUAAACAUCUUCCUUUCACUAAUAAUUAACUUUGUGCAAAACAAUAUUAUAUAUUUAAAAAAAAUAAAAUUCUUAUCCUUUAAGACUUUUAUAAACCCUCAUGGAGUCAUGGUGGGAGGGAGGUUUUAAGGAAAAAGGUUGACAUUAAUCCUUACUCGUAUAUUCUAAAAUAGCAAAACAAUUCAUAGGUGAAAUAAGCCAAACCUCUUCUAUCCUAAUGGUCAACUAAAAAUAUAAAAAAUUGCAUGUAAAAAGAGUUCUUUUUAAAAAAAAAAUAAUUAUGUAAGGACAAAGGCGUGGGCCUAUGCGCCUUACAAGGCGCAGACAGACUUGUAGGCUCUGCCUAUUUGCGCCUUGUAAGGCGCAUAGGGCCCGUGCUUGCUAUCCUAAUUUAAACGAUGUCCAACCUACCGUUUAAAUGUUGCCCUUUUGAAAUUUUUGGUCAAUUAUUUUGCCCUUUUGGCUCUGGACUCUAUAGAAGUAUCCUCUCCACAAUUGCAACACCAAGUGCAAUGUCUGCGGAGACCAUUGCCUUUAUUAUCACAGCUCAAGCACACAAAAUAUUUCUCAGUAAAAAAAGCAGAGAAAUGAAUCAAAUUGAUCUCUUAUAGAUAUUUGACUUAAAAAUGAUGAGUUUAAAUUUACUAUUUUAUUAUAGUGAAUUUUUACAUAUUAAAAUAUGCCUUGUACAAAUUAUAACUAGAUUCGGAUGAACCCGUUGACUAGUUGCAUUUACCACUGGUCCUCAUUGUCUAUAUUGACACAUGCUAUAAAACUCAUUUUCAUGACUUAUAUAUAUGCCAGGUAGGUAUCAAUUUAAAUUAAUGUUUUGGAGAUUUCUUGUUGCAAUUGAAAGAAAUUAAGUGAUUUUUAGAGAUUUGAGAGGGAAAUUAACAAGUUGUGUAAAGAUGAUUAAGUGAUAGAUGGGGGUGGAUCUGUCACACCCCAAAUCCGAAUGUGAUGGCACGUGUCCNNNNNNNNNNNNNNNNNNNNNNNNNNNNNNNNNNNNNNNNNNNNNNNNNNNNNNNNNNNNNNNNNNNNNNNNNNNNNNNNNNNNNNNNNNNNNNNNNNNNAAAUUUAUAAAAAAAAAUCUUUAAAAAAAUUUAGUUGGCUCUCUAAAUACAAUCAGUAUUACAAUAAUUAAAACAUAGAAAUUAACAUAGAUUGGACUCCUGCUGAUAUUUAUGUUUACCUUUUAAAAAAAAUUUCUUUUAUACUUUAUAUAAAUAAAUUUUUAUGUAAAAAGUAUUAUAAAUCAUAAUAAUUAAUAGCUUAAAAUAUUUGAAAACAUAUAAAAAAGUUUUUUGUUAAGUUUAAAAAAUUUCAUCUAUACCGCAUAAAUUGGGAGAAAUAUAGAUAUAUAGAUAUUUUAAGUUCGUAAUUAUUGUGAGUUAUAGUAUGUUUUAUGUAAUUUUUCAUAUAUAUUUACUCGCUUUGCCCCUGAUUUUAUGUGAUACAAAUGAAAAUUUUCAAAAAGUCUAAUUAAUUUUUUUAUAAGUUUUUUUUUUUAUAUUAACUUGUUAAUUAUUGUGAUUUAUAAUAUAUUUACGUAAAACAUACUAAAAAAUUGAUUAACUUCAAAUUUCAUAUGUACCACAUAAAUUAAAAACAGAAACGAUAAUAUAUAUUGGGCCCCGUGCUGGCACGGGGUACUAUAUCUAGUUAUCUCCUAACGCAUUGUUUUUAGUAAGAUACAAAUUUUUAAUACCUUGUAGUUUAGUAAUUAUCUUCUUGAACAAAUAGUGGUUACAUAUAAAUUUUCAUUUUUUAAGCUUAAAUUAUUAUUUUUUGCAAUUAUUUAAUGAGUGGUAGAAUUAAUUAGUUCAAUUAUAAAUUUUCCUUUAAAUUUUUUUAGUAAAUUUGAUGUAGAUGUUCGAAUCAUAACUUUGUCUACUUCAAUUGAACACCUGAAUUUACGAUAGAUUAUUAGAUCUUUUUGGCUCAUAUUUCAGUAUGUUUCUCCAUAUAUUUAUAAAGCGCUCGUUACGUAAAUAGGUUUAGCGCAUAUAAAGAAUUUGGCAAAAUUAGACACGCAUCAAUUAUGUUAUCUAUCUUUAGAUUAGUUAGAUAAGUUUAUAUGAAAAACGUUUGCAAACUUGGAUAUAUACGUCUUCUACUGCGCAUAAUACAACCAAAUUCACAAUGGAUAGACACAUAUUUAGGGUAUUAUUGCGGUCGCAGAUCUAGAAGGUUGGAUAUAUAUAUAUAUAUUAAUUAAUUAAAUAUUUAUAAAUAUUUGAUCAGGAACCUAAUUAUCAUUGUAGAUUUAUAGUAUCAACUUUUAAAAACUCAUAAACUUUAAAUAUUGAAUUCAUUUUUGUUAGGACAUAAGGGGCUCAAGUUUGAAAUUAUAUAUCACGUCCUAUUUGAUCUCUUGAUUUAAUGGGUUCAGAGGUAGCGCCAACAUUUUAAAUUUAUGGGUUUGGAAUUUGAAUAAUAAUUUCAGGUUUUAAUAACUGGUUUUUAAAUUUAGUAUAUAUAUAUAUAUAUAUAUAUAUAUUGUAACAUCCGGCAAUGUGAAAUAAUUGAAGAGGCUUAGAAUUGGAAAUUUUCAUUUUUGGAAAGAAUUUUAAAGUUUUGGAAAUUUGGCUAAGUGUGGGAAAGCAGUGAGUUUUGGCCAACUUUGAGCAGUAAUAUCUCUUAGAUCCGGAUGAUUUAGGAGUAGUUCCAGUUAUGUUUGCGAAGCUCGUGGAAUGGUCUUUCCAACGCCACCGAGUUUGCUCAAUUCCGAGUUCGUAUGAGCGAGUUAUGGCCUUUGAAAGUUGNNNNNNNNNNNNNNNNNNNNNNNNNNNNNNNNNNNNNNNNNNNNNNNNNNNNNNNNNNNNNNNNNNNNNNNNNNNNNNNNNNNNNNNNNNNNNNNNNNNNNNNNNNNNNNNNNNNNNNNNNNNNNNNNNNNNNNNNNNNNNNNNNNNNNNNNNNNNNNNNNNNNNNNNNNNNNNNNNNNNNNNNNNNNNNNNNNNNNNNNNNNNNNNNNNNNNNNNNNNNNNNNNNNNNNNNNNNNNNNNNNNNNNNNNNNNNNNNNNNNNNNNNNNNNNNNNNNNNNNNNNNNNNNNNNNNNNNNNNNNNNNNNNNNNNNNNNNNNNNNNNNNNNNNNNNNNNNNNNNNNNNNNNNNNNNNNNNNNNNNNNNNNNNNNNNNNNNNNNNNNNNNNNNNNNNNNNNNNNNNNNNNNNNNNNNNNNNNNNNNNNNNNNNNNNNNNNNNNNNNNNNNNNNNNNNNNNNNNNNNNNNNNNNNNNNNNNNNNNNNNNNNNNNNNNNNNNNNNNNNNNNNNNNNNNNNNNNNNNNNNNNNNNNNNNNNNNNNNNNNNNNNNNNNNNNNNNNNNNNNNNNNNNNNNNNNNNNNNNNNNNNNNNNNNNNNNNNNNNNNNNNNNNNNNNNNNNNNNNNNNNNNNNNNNNNNNNNNNNNNNNNNNNNNNNNNNNNNNNNNNNNNNNNNNNNNNNNNNNNNNNNNNNNNNNNNNNNNNNNNNNNNNNNNNNNNNNNNNNNNNNNNNNNNNNNNNNNNNNNNNNNNNNNNNNNNNNNNNNNNNNNNNNNNNNNNNNNNNNNNNNNNNNNNNNNNNNNNNNNNNNNNNNNNNNNNNNNNNNNNNNNNNNNNNNNNNNNNNNNNNNNNNNNNNNNNNNNNNNNNNNNNNNNNNNNNNNNNNNNNNNNNNNNNNNNNNNNNNNNNNNNNNNNNNNNNNNNNNNNNNNNNNNNNNNNNNNNNNNNNNNNNNNNNNNNNNNNNNNNNNNNNNNNNNNNNNNNNNNNNNNNNNNNNNNNNNNNNNNNNNNNNNNNNNNNNNNNNNNNNNNNNNNNNNNNNNNNNNNNNNNNNNNNNNNNNNNNNNNNNNNNNNNNNNNNNNNNNNNNNNNNNNNNNNNNNNNNNNNNNNNNNNNNNNNNNNNNNNNNNNNNNNNNNNNNNNNNNNNNNNNNNNNNNNNNNNNNNNNNNNNNNNNNNNNNNNNNNNNNNNNNNNNNNNNNNNNNNNNNNNNNNNNNNNNNNNNNNNNNNNNNNNNNNNNNNNNNNNNNNNNNNNNNNNNNNNNNNNNNNNNNNNNNNNNNNNNNNNNNNNNNNNNNNNNNNNNNNNNNNNNNNNNNNNNNNNNNNNNNNNNNNNNNNNNNNNNNNNNNNNNNNNNNNNNNNNNNNNNNNNNNNNNNNNNNNNNNNNNNNNNNNNNNNNNNNNNNNNNNNNNNNNNNNNNNNNNNNNNNNNNNNNNNNNNNNNNNNNNNNNNNNNNNNNNNNNNNNNNNNNNNNNNNNNNNNNNNNNNNNNNNNNNNNNNNNNNNNNNNNNNNNNNNNNNNNNNNNNNNNNNNNNNNNNNNNNNNNNNNNNNNNNNNNNNNNNNNNNNNNNNNNNNNNNNNNNNNNNNNNNNNNNNNNNNNNNNNNNNNNNNNNNNNNNNNNNNNNNNNNNNNNNNNNNNNNNNNNNNNNNNNNNNNNNNNNNNNNNNNNNNNNNNNNNNNNNNNNNNNNNNNNNNNNNNNNNNNNNNNNNNNNNNNNNNNNNNNNNNNNNNNNNNNNNNNNNNNNNNNNNNNNNNNNNNNNNNNNNNNNNNNNNNNNNNNNNNNNNNNNNNNNNNNNNNNNNNNNNNNNNNNNNNNNNNNNNNNNNNNNNNNNNNNNNNNNNNNNNNNNNNNNNNNNNNNNNNNNNNNNNNNNNNNNNNNNNNNNNNNNNNNNNNNNNNNNNNNNNNNNNNNNNNNNNNNNNNNNNNNNNNNNNNNNNNNNNNNNNNNNNNNNNNNNNNNNNNNNNNNNNNNNNNNNNNNNNNNNNNNNNNNNNNNNNNNNNNNNNNNNNNNNNNNNNNNNNNNNNNNNNNNNNNNNNNNNNNNNNNNNNNNNNNNNNNNNNNNNNNNNNNNNNNNNNNNNNNNNNNNNNNNNNNNNNNNNNNNNNNNNNNNNNNNNNNNNNNNNNNNNNNNNNNNNNNNNNNNNNNNNNNNNNNNNNNNNNNNNNNNNNNNNNNNNNNNNNNNNNNNNNNNNNNNNNNNNNNNNNNNNNNNNNNNNNNNNNNNNNNNNNNNNNNNNNNNNNNNNNNNNNNNNNNNNNNNNNNNNNNNNNNNNNNNNNNNNNNNNNNNNNNNNNNNNNNNNNNNNNNNNNNNNNNNNNNNNNNNNNNNNNNNNNNNNNNNNNNNNNNNNNNNNNNNNNNNNNNNNNNNNNNNNNNNNNNNNNNNNNNNNNNNNNNNNNNNNNNNNNNNNNNNNNNNNNNNNNNNNNNNNNNNNNNNNNNNNNNNNNNNNNNNNNNNNNNNNNNNNNNNNNNNNNNNNNNNNNNNNNNNNNNNNNNNNNNNNNNNNNNNNNNNNNNNNNNNNNNNNNNNNNNNNNNNNNNNNNNNNNNNNNNNNNNNNNNNNNNNNNNNNNNNNNNNNNNNNNNNNNNNNNNNNNNNNNNNNNNNNNNNNNNNNNNNNNNNNNNNNNNNNNNNNNNNNNNNNNNNNNNNNNNNNNNNNNNNNNNNNNNNNNNNNNNNNNNNNNNNNNNNNNNNNNNNNNNNNNNNNNNNNNNNNNNNNNNNNNNNNNNNNNNNNNNNNNNNNNNNNNNNNNNNNNNNNNNNNNNNNNNNNNNNNNNNNNNNNNNNNNNNNNNNNNNNNNNNNNNNNNNNNNNNNNNNNNNNNNNNNNNNNNNNNNNNNNNNNNNNNNNNNNNNNNNNNNNNNNNNNNNNNNNNNNNNNNNNNNNNNNNNNNNNNNNNNNNNNNNNNNNNNNNNNNNNNNNNNNNNNNNNNNNNNNNNNNNNNNNNNNNNNNNNNNNNNNNNNNNNNNNNNNNNNNNNNNNNNNNNNNNNNNNNNNNNNNNNNNNNNNNNNNNNNNNNNNNNNNNNNNNNNNNNNNNNNNNNNNNNNNNNNNNNNNNNNNNNNNNNNNNNNNNNNNNNNNNNNNNNNNNNNNNNNNNNNNNNNNNNNNNNNNNNNNNNNNNNNNNNNNNNNNNNNNNNNNNNNNNNNNNNNNNNNNNNNNNNNNNNUCUCUCAUCUAUGUAUAUAUGUAAAUAUUCUAUUUUGAGACUCGAGUUGCCUUUUUGGCCAGAUUCUUUUCAGUUGAGUUGUUUUAUGUCUUUGCAUGGCAUUGAGUUAUUCUGUUGAGUUAGGUUUCCGCUGAGUUAAGAAAGUCAGGCCAAGGGUUCGCUUGGGGCCAGAAAUGGUCUCCGGGUGCCGGUCCCGCCCAGGGCGUAGGCUCGGGCGUGACAUAUAUAUAUAUAUAUAUUUGAUGAAGUUCUUAAUAUUAAUAUAUUAUUUGAACAAAAGUUACGGAGUAUAUAACUGAACUUGUAUAUAGACUUUGUUGGAGUCUUACAUCGGGGGUAUUAGAGGUCCUUGACCCCCUUAUAUGAUUUUGAGUAGGGGUGUACAAAACCGAAUCGAAAACCGAAUCAAAUCACAAAUCGAGAAAAAAACUUAACUAGUGAUUGGUUUGACUUGCUUUGGUAUUGAAAAAAAAAUCGACUAUAUUUGGGUUGGUUUGGUUUUAACUAAAAAAAAUAACCCGAGACCAAACCAACCCGACAUUAGAUUUAUAAUUUUAAAAUUUUAUUUUAUACACAAAAAUAUUUACUUUGAUAUAAUUUUUAAAUAUUUCUUAUACUUUUUCAUAGUUUUUAUCUUUUAAUAUAUUAUUUCAAGUUUGAAACUUAGAAUUCUGAAUGAUUCAAUAAAGAUUAUAGUCCAGAGAUGUUGAUAAUUAUAAUAAAGCUUAAAUCAAAAUCAAAUAAAUACUAAUGCAAAAAGAAAAUCAAUUCAACAUUAAGAAUGACAAUAAUAUUGAAUAUUUGUUCUUUGAUUUUACAUUGGUUUAGACAAUUCAAAUACAUAAUCUAAUUUUUAAUUUCCUUUAAUAUUUAGUCAUGUAACUAAUACUUAUUAAGCUUAUUUUAGCAUGAUUUAUUACUUUUAAAUUAUGAUCAUUUUCAUUAUGACUUGUUAAUUUGCAAUAAUUGUUUUACGCGAUUUCAUUAUUAUGAUUUUUUUGUUGGAUAUUUUAGUGUCAUUACUUAUAUAAUAUUUUGUGUUAUUUUUCUUAAGAAACACCUUAGAUAGUUGUAUUUUGGUAGGACUAAAAAAAUAUUUGAAGUACAAGUAAAUUAUAUGUUUGUAUGAAUACUUUACCGGAAAAACUCAAAAAUCCGAAAGAAACCGAAAAAAACCAAAAAAACCUGAGGUUGAAAAACCAGAGUUUUAUUAGUUUGGUUUGGUUAAUAGAUUUAAAAAUCUGACACAAAUGAUUUGGUUUGAUAUUUUGAAAAACCCCGAACCAACCCCGGUCAUGUUACUCCCCCUAAAUUUUUGAGUAAAUUCUUCCCCUUCUAAACAAGUUUUUGGGAUUGAGUAAGGUCUAAUAUUUAUUUUUUAAUCAUAAUAUCAAAGUCAUACUAAUUCCAAUUUUUUUUUUUUCAAUGUUGGACCUCCCAUUUUAUAUUGUACACUCUCCAUAUGUACAAUCAUGAGCAUACCCCCAUCCCCACUUCGAUGGGAUUAGGGGUAUUUGGUUUCCUUUUAUGGUCUUUAUUAAGUCCCACAUCCGUAGGCUAAAGAAAAUAUCAAGAUAUGUAUCAUCUACAAAGCAAACUCUUAAAUAUAUUAGACUAAGAGCUCGAAUGAAUUGACUGAAAAUGCUUUUAAGUAAAAAAAAAUAUAGCUACUUUAGGUUUUUAACUUUAUAAGUCAUUUUAAAUUUGUUUUAACUUAUUUUUAAUUAUGUCAAACACUUCCAAAAAUUGAAAAUAACUUGAAUAUAUAUUUGACCAACUUUUAAGUCAAUUCAAACAUGCUCUAAAUUGGAUAAAUUAAACGUACAAUCAUGCAUAAGAUAAGAAUAUUUAUUUAUAUACCUACACAUCAUAAAAUCAAGUCAAUUUUACUUUUUUAAUUGCAUAUAAAUAACUUAAUUAUAUUCGUACCAUCUUAAGGGUCACCUUCUCAUUACAUCAAAUCACUUAAUUAUACUCAAAUUUAGUGGAUCCGUUUAAUUUGUAUAUAAAAUUAAUUAAACCAUAUAGAUAUUGUUCAAUACGCAAACAAAAAUGCUUUCGAUAAAUCCUUGUUUAUAUUACUCAUGAUUACUUUCGAAUGAAACGUAUAUGAAUAUCUUCUUUCGAGAUUAGCACAACACUAUUUUGAAUAAAGAAAACUCUUUUUGGCCAGAAAAUUUGGCCAGAAUUUAAUCAAAAUGAUAUUUUUUUAAUGUUAUUUUAUCAUUUUAAAUAUUUUUAUCCUUUUAAAUUUAAUUCAUUUUAAUUAAAAUAUGGAAAAAACAUCAAUUUAUAUUUAUUUUUUAAAAAAUAUUAUAAUUUUUUUAAUUUUUUAGCCAAAUUCUGGCCAAACUUUCUGGGCAUUUAUCACUUCCCUUUGAAUAAUUAAUGUUUGAUAAAAAAAAAAAUUAACAUAUCAUAAACUCAAAGAACAAGCUAUCUAUUAAUUUCGAUUUUUUUUUUGGUUUGAUUUGGUUUAUAGAUUUAAAAAUCCGACAGAAAUAGUUUGGUUUGAUAUUUGAAAAAUCCGAACCAACCCGGUCAUGUACAACCCUAAUUUUGAGUAAUCUUCCCCUUCUAAACAAGUUUUUGGGAUUGAGUUAGGUCUAAUAUUUAUUUUUCAAUCAUAAUAUCAGAGUAAUACUAAUUCCAAUUUAUUUUUUUCAAUGUUGGACCUCCCAUUUUACAUUGUACACUCUCCAGAUAUACGAUCAUGAGCAUACCCCCAUCCCCACUUCGAUGGGAUUAGGGGUAUUUGGUUUCCUUUUAUGGUCUUUAUUAAGUCCCACAUCCGUAGGCUAAGGAAAAUAUCAAGAUAUGUAUCAUCUACAAAGAAAACUCUUAAAUAUAUUAGACUAAAAGCUCGUAUGGAUUGACUAAAAAUGCUUUUAAGUAAAAAAAAAUAUAGCUACUUUAGGUUUUUAACUUUAUAAGUCAUUUUAAAUUUGUUUUAACUUAUUUUUAAUUAUGUCAAACACUUCCAAAAAUUGAAAAUAACUUGAAUAUAUAUUUGACCAACUUUUAAGUCAAUUCAAACAUGCUCUAAAUUGGAUAAAUUAAACGUACAAUCAUGCAUAAGAUAAGAAUAUUUAUUUAUAUACCUACACAUCAUAAAAUCAAGUCAAUUUUACUUUUUUAAUUGCAUAUAAAUAACUUAAUUAUAUUCGUGCCAUCUUAAGGGUCACCUUCUCAUUACAUCAAAUCACUUAAUUAUACUCAAAUUUAGUGGAUCCGUUUAAUUUGUAUAUAAAAUUAAUUAAACCAUAUAAAUAUUGAUCAAUGCCCAAACAAAAAUGCUUUCGAUAAAUCCUUGUUUAUAUUACUCAUGAUUACUUUCGAAUGAAACGUAUAUGAAUAUCUUCUUGCGAGAUUAGCACAACACUAUUUUGAAUAAAGAAAAAUCUUUUUGGCCAGAAAAUUUGGCUAGAAUUUAAUCAUAAUGAUAUUUUUUUUAUGUUAUUUUAUCAUUUUAAAUAUUUUUUCCUUUUAAUUUUAAUUCAUUUUAAUUAAAAUAUGGAAAAAACAUCAAUUUAUUUUAAAAUUUAAAAAAAAUAUAAUUUUUUUUUAAUUUUUUAGCCAAAUUUUGGCCAAACUUUCUGGCCAUUUAUCACUUCCCUUUGAAUAAUUAAUGUUUGAUAAAAAAAAAAUUAACAUAUUAUAAACUCAAAGAACAAGCUGUCUAUUAAUUUCGAAAAUUUUUUUUGAUUUUAUUUGGUUUAUAGAUUUAAAAAUCCGACAUAAAUAGUAAGGUUUGAUAUUUGAAAAACCCAAACCAACCCGGUCAUGUACACCCCUAAUUUUGAGUAAUCUUCCCCUUCUAAACAAGUUUUUGGGAUUGAGUUAGGUCUAAUAUUUAUUUUUUAAUCAUAAUAUCAGAGUCAUACUAAUUUCAAUUUAUUUUUUUCUAUGUUGGACCUCCCAUUUUAUAUUGUACACUCUCCAGAUGUACGAUCAUGAACAUACCCCCAUCUCCACUUCGAUGGGAUUAGGGGUAUUUGGUUUCCUUUUAUGGUCUUUAUUAAGUCCCACAUCCGUAGGCUAAGGAAAAUAUCAAGAUAUGUAUCAUCUACAAAUCAAACUCUUAAAUAUAUUAGACUAAGAGCUCGAAUGGAUUGAAAAAAUGCUUUUAAGUAAAAAAAUAUAUAGUUACUAUAGGUUUUUAACUUUUUAAGUCAUUUUAAAUUUGUUUUAACAUAUUUUUAAUUAUGUCAAACACUUCCAAAAAUUGAAAAUAACUUAAAAAUAUAUUUGACCAAUUUUUAAGUCAAUUCAAAUAUGUUUUAAAUUGGAUAAAUUAAACGUACAAUCAUGCAUAAGAUAAGAAUAUUUAUUUAUAUACCUACACAUCACAAAAUCAAGUCAAUUUUUCUUUUUUAAUUGCAUAUAAAUAACUUAAUUAUAUUCGUACCAUCUUAAGGGUCACCUUCUCAUUACAUCAAAUCACUUAAUUAUACUAGCUCAACUUUAGUGGAUCCAUUUAAUUUGCAUAUAAAAUUAAUUAAACUAUAUAAAUAUUGUUCAAUACGACAGACAAAAAUGCUUUCAAUAAAUCCUUGUUUAUACUACUCAUGAUUACUUUUGAAUGAAACGUAUAUGAAUAUCUUCUUUCGAGAUUAUCACAACACUUAAAAUAAGGAAAAAUCUUUUUAGCCAGAAAAUUUAAUUAGAAUAAUAUUUUAUUUAUAUUAUUUUAAAUAUUUUUACCCUUUUAACUUUAAUACAUUUUAAUUAAAAUAUGAAAAAAACAUCAAUUUAUUUUAAAAUAAAAUAAAAAAAUUUAAUUUUUUAAAUUUUUUAGCCAAAUUCUAGCUAAACUUUCUGCCAUUUAUCACUUCCCUUUGAAUAAUUAAUGUUUGAUAAAAAAAAAUUUAACAUAUUAUAAACUCAAAGAACAAGCUGUCUAUUAAUUUCGAGAAUUUUCUUUGGUUUGAUUUAAUUCAUAAAAUCGAAAAGGGGAGUUACAUUUACUAUUUAUAAAGUUGGUAAGGGAGAGGUAUUGAGAAUAUAAUUAAAUAAUAAAAAUGUGUUAUUUCACCGUCAUUCAAAUUUAAAAGAAUUUCCACAUAUUUGAUCCAUGAAAAAAGAAUCAGACCUGCACGUGAGGGGUGAUUGUUCAGAAUAAAUGUUUGUGUUGAUAUCUUUUAUCUUCAUUCCAAAAGGCAAUUUUCAAUCAAAGAAGAUUUGAUACUAGUAUACGGCUCUACCAUUGCAACACCAAGUACAAUACCUGCAUAGACUUGAUUUUUUGAUUAAUUAAUUAAAUAAAAAUUUAAGCGAAUUAAAAUGAAUGAAUCAUUAACCCGUACAAAACUUAAUAGAGUUAACCAACAAGGAUUGUAGUAGAGUGGUAAGUACUCCUUCAUUCUUAAGCAGAUAUUUUGAGUUUGAGUCCUUGUGUGUAUGGAGUCGCCUUUGUAAUUAGGAGCGCUUUACCCCAAUAUGAGACUUCUCGCGUAAAUUCGAAUUUAAUCGGGCUCCAAUGUGAACUUGAACAUAUGUUCAAUGAUUAAAUGGGAACAAGUCGAACAAACUCUCAUUAUUAAGUACAUGCGUAGAAGUAACAGAAAAUUAGGUUUAAAAGGAUCACGUCACUUAAGAAAUUUGAAAAAUGUACGUUAAUUCAAAUAAUUAUGCAUGAAACACAUUUUUAUGACUAAUUCCAUAUUAAUAUUUUGACUUUAAAUCAUACACAAGUGGAUAACCAAGAAGGCAAAAGAAAAAUUGAAAUAUCUUUCUGAAAAAAUUCACUGCCGUACCAUUUUAAUCAUUUAAGUUGGGUUAGAAAUGAAAAGGUUAACAGUUUAAUACAAGGUCUAUAUAUAGAAAUAUUUUUGAGAUAAAUAUGAUAUCAUAUAACGAGAAAAAAUGAUUAUGAUAAUUUUUAUUCUCUUAGUAACUCUUCCUAUUGUACUCAAUUUCCUAGCCAAAAAGGGUAGGAAAAAUGUUAUGCCACCUGGUCCAUUAGGGCUACCAUUUAUUGGAAAUUUGCAUCAAUAUGAUGGUUUAACCCCUCAUAUUUAUUUUUCGAAACUUUCCAAGAAAUAUGGAAAAAUAUUUUCAUUAAAACUUGGCUCAACUCCAAUAGUUGUAAUUUCUUCAGCAAAAUUAGCAAAAGAAGUAUUGAAAAUACAAGAUUUAACAUUUUGUAGUAGACCUUCUUUUCUUGGCCAACAAAAAUUGUCUUACAAUGGUCAUGAUAUUGCAUUCGCGCCUUACAAUGACUAUUGGAGAGAAAUGCGAAAAGUUUGUGUUGUUCAUUUGUUCAGUCUCAAAAAAGUACAAUCUUUUAGUCCAAUUCGUGAAGAUGAAGUAUCUAGAAUGAUCACGAAAAUAUCCCAACAAGCAACUGCUUCCCAAAUUACAAAUUUGAGUACUUUAGUGAUUUCACUAACAAGCACUAUUAUUUGUAGAGUUGCCUUUGGUAUUAGGUAUGACGAAGAAGCACAUGACAAGAGGAGAUUUGAUGAACUUUUAGCUGUGACACAAGAAAUGAGUGCGCGGUUCUUUUUCACUGAUUAUUUUCCUUUAUUUGGUUGGCUUGAUAAAUUAUUUGGAAAUAUUAGUAGACUUGAAAAGAAUUAUAAAGAUUUAGAUGAGUUUUACGAAGAUCUCAUUCAACAACAUCUUAAUUCCAGUAAGCCAAAAUCCAUGGAAGGGGAUAUUAUUGAUCUUUUGCUACAAUUGAAGAAAGCGCAAUUGACUCCAAUUGAUCUCACUUUGGACAACAUAAAGGCAAUUCUCAUGGUAAGUGAUCAAUUAUAAAUGUCUAAAACCAAAUAAUUUAAGUUAUAUAUAUCGAUAGUAUACAUAAUUGCAUAAGAAAAACCUAUUUCCAAAAUUUACGAAUUUAGGCUUAAUUCAUACACACAAGUACUUACUUGCAUACACAACUAUUUUAUAACAAUCACUUUCAUUUUCCUCUCGAUUUGAUUAUUUUGUAGAAUAUAUUUGUUGGUGGAACAGACACUAGCGCGGCUACAGUAGUAUGGGCAAUGACAGCCUUAAUUAAGAAUCCAAAAGUCAUGAAGAAGGUUCAAGAAGAAAUUAGAAAAUCAAUUGGGACUAAAGGCUUUGUGAAUGAAGAUGAUGUUCAAAACAUGCCUUAUCUCAAAGCAGUGAUAAAAGAGACAUUUAGAUUAUAUCCACCAGCUCCACUUUUAGUGCCAAGAGAAACAAUGAAAAAAUCCACACUAGAAGGGUAUGAAAUUCAGCCAGGAACUAUAAUUCAUGUUAACUCUUGGGCGAUUGCAAGGGAUCCUGAAAUAUGGGAAAAUCCAAAAGAAUUUAUGCCUGAGAGAUUCUUGAAUAGCGAUAUUGAUUUCAAAGGCCAAGAUUUUGAGUUGCUUCCAUUUGGAGCAGGCCGAAGAGGUUGCCCAGGUAUUCAAUGGAAACGAUGAUUUUAUUGAAUCCACACUAUUAUAUAUUAUACGUGAAAAUCUUACAUGUUUUUGAUCUAUAAAAGAUUUAAGUUUUGAAUUCGUCUUUGUAGGUAUUGCACUUGGUGUUGCAACGGUGGAUCUCAUGCUUUCAAAUCUUCUUUAUGCAUUUGAUUGGGAAUUGCCUUAUGGGAUGAAGAAAGAAGAUAUUGACACAGAUGUCAUGCCUGGAAUUACUAUGCACAAUAGCAGCGAAUUUGAAGAAAAUAAGUUUUUUUUUUUUUGAGAAAAUAUGCAUCGAUUUUAUUUUUGUUUUGUCAGAAGCCCUUUUGGUUAAAAUUUUUUUGAUGUGCCGUUUUAGUUUUUUUAAAGAAAAAGCAGCGAUCUUUAAUUAAAAAAAAAAUUACAAAAAUCGCAGCGAUUUUUAAUUAAUUUUUUUUUUUUUUACAAAAUCGCUGCUGAGGCAGCAAUUUUUAAUUUAAAAAAUAAAAUAAAAUAAUUUAGACGAAAUCGCUGCUAUUUCGUCAUUUUGUCAGAGGAAAUCGCUGCUGACGCAGCGAUUUUACCCUUUUGGCUAAAAUAAAAAGUGAUGUGCCCUUUUGAAUUUUUAACAAUUUCUUUUGCCCUUUAGGCUCCGGACUCCAAGUACUUACUUGCCUACACAACUAUUUUAUAACAAUCACUUUCAUUUUCCUCUCGAUUUGAUUAUUUUGUAGAAUAUAUUUGUUGGUGGAACAGACACUAGCGCGGCUACAGUAGUAUGGGCAAUGACAGCCUUAAUUAAGAAUCCAAAAGUCAUGAAGAAGGUUCAAGAAGAAAUUAGAAAAUCAAUUGGGACUAAAGGCUUUGUGAAUGAAGAUGAUGUUCAAAACAUGCCUUAUCUCAAAGCAGUGAUAAAAGAGACAUUUAGAUUAUAUCCACCAGCUCCACUUUUAGUGCCAAGAGAAACAAUGAAAAAAUCCACACUAGAAGGGUAUGAAAUUCAGCCAGGAACUAUAAUUCAUGUUAACUCUUGGGCGAUUGCAAGGGAUCCUGAAAUAUGGGAAAAUCCAAAAGAAUUUAUGCCUGAGAGAUUCUUGAAUAGCGAUAUUGAUUUCAAAGGCCAAGAUUUUGAGUUGCUUCCAUUUGGAGCAGGCCGAAGAGGUUGCCCAGGUAUUCAAUGGAAACGAUGAUUUUAUUGAAUCCACACUAUUAUAUAUUAUACGUGAAAAUCUUACAUGUUUUUGAUCUAUAAAAGAUUUAAGUUUUGAAUUCGUCUUUGUAGGUAUUGCACUUGGUGUUGCAACGGUGGAUCUCAUGCUUUCAAAUCUUCUUUAUGCAUUUGAUUGGGAAUUGCCUUAUGGGAUGAAGAAAGAAGAUAUUGACACAGAUGUCAUGCCUGGAAUUCUUAUGCACAAGAAAAAUGAUCUUUGUCUUGUCCCUAAAAAAAUAUUUCUAGAUUAGCUACAUCGAUCUCUAGUCAUAAUUUUAUGUCUAAUAUAUCCAUUAUCACUUCUGUUUGAUAUAUGGUCAUGUGGCUUGCCACUUUAAUUUUCAUUGUAAUUUUGUUGCUAUUUGCUAAUAAAGAGUUGUGUGUUUUCAUCUAAAAUAUUUCGGUGUAUGUAUUCUUGGUUCAAUAUAUGUUACAUAGAUAAUAUAUAUUUGUAUUAGUUCAUUUGCAUAUUCAUUUUGAGGCAUGCAACGAAGAUUUAUAUAAAAUUUAUGAAUUUCUAUAGCGAUAUCAAAUUAAUAUAUCUAAAUUACUUCCUAACAAAGAAGCAUCUCUUCAACUAUGAAUUUCUAUAGCAAUAUGUAAAACUUAAGCUAUCAAUCAUUUGUAUUCAACCCUCCCUUAUUUAUUUCUAGUUUUGCUUUGAGUAUACCUCGUAAAACUUAUUUUGAUAAUUAUUUAUGUAAGAUGCGCGUUAUUGUAGAGAUUUGAUUUUAUAGCUUUAAAUAAAUUUGUUUUUACGUUUAGGUCAUUUUUAUAUUUAUAAGAGAAGGUUUUUACACAUAACUUAUCUUCUGAAAAAAUCAUUUCCUCACAUUUACUUAUUUUAUGUGUUUUGCACAACAAUGAAAGUAAAAUUGUGAUUAGGAACUUUAACCAAAACAAAACACAAAUUAUGUCCUCAAUAAUAUGGUACAUAUAAUUGUUGAAUCAAGAACACAUUGUAUUAUUUCACAUAAAAAACACACAUUUUUUUAUGCAUUCCCAAUCAAAUGCAUAAAGAAGAUUUGAAAGUGUAAGAUCCACCAUUGCAACACCGAAUGUAGUAUCCGAAAGACACAAGAUUAAAAUUUUAUAAUUUGGAAAUUAUAAGAUUUUUGAAAAAUGCUAUUUCUAUUACUUUUCAUGAUUUUCACUAAAUAUAUGUAAGUUGAAUAAAAAGUUGUGUGUUCAAUUAAACUUAUAGCAUAAAUUAAUACCAAACAAUACAUUUAAAUGAUUUAAAGAGGAUUUCAUAUGAACAAAAGUAAACUCUUUCAAAAAGGCAUUCCAUUUUGUUUUUUCAAAAAGGCAUUCCAUUUUGUUUUUCCCUCACAUGGAAUGAGUCAUAAAACCUGCAAAGCCUUUUAUAUUCUUAUGCGUGUGUUUCAUUUAAAAAAAAACACAAUUAAAAAGCUCAUUAUUAUCAUUUAUCUGGAAAUGAUCUAGAAAAGUGAAAAUUAAUAAAUGUGUUUCAUUUAUUUGUAACCAAAAAAAAAAAGUCCUUUUUUAGAAAAAAAUUGAAACCUAUUUUCCUUGCAUGCAUGUGCUUAAAUAACGAGAGCUUAGGGUUGAUUUUGGAAUUACUAUUUAAGUCGUGUUUAUGAUUUAUAUUUAUUAGUCUAUCCAUUUUAAAAUAACUUUAGUAUAUUUUAAUUUCAGCCAUAUAUAAUUGCAUUCAGUCAUUUUUGUUGACUUAUAGCUAAAGGUUAGCCAUUUUUAUCAAAACUUCAAUCAUACAAAACUUUCAAUAUAACAAUACUUAAACUUGUUCUAUAAUAAAUAGAUAUGCAAAUUAAAUAAUGAUGUUCAAAAAUAAUAUCCGGUAAACAUUUAACGUAAGCCUAGCAGUGCCAAAAUUGAUUCAACCCAUUCAAUUACUUGCCCACCUUUUAAUGGAUUGGGCUUGAAAGAUUAUUUUGAUGGGCUAUUUUGGAGUUUGGACUAAAAUUAAGUUAGCCCAAACACAAACCAACACUUGGGAGGACGUAUUAGGUGAGAUUAGAGCUGUCAAAAUGGGUUUGGCCCGCUAGGUCGGCCCAAAUCAACCCUUGAAUUAAAUGGGAUUGGAUUUAAUUUUUUCAGCCCAUUUAGGAACGAGACUUUUUAGCCUAGCCUCAUUUGGCCCGCUGGCCUCGUAGGCCCAACCCGCAAGCCUCAGAGGUCAGUCCGUGGGCUGUGAAUUUUAAAAAUAUUUAUGGACAAAUUACUUAACUACACUCCUUUACUUACCUUAAUAUCCAUUUAUCCCUACUUAUUUCAUAAUUUUCAAAAAUCCCUUAUUUACCUAUGUAUCCCGUGCACAACGCUAUGUAUCCCGCUAUGUGAAAUGUAUCAAACGCUAUGUAUCCUGUGCACAACGCUAUGUAUCCCGCUAUGUGGAAUGUAUCAAACCUAAUGUAUCUCGUGCACAACACUAUGUAUCCCGCAAAAAGUAUGAACAGAGGAAAAUGUUCUACUAUUUUUAGGAUUUACAAACAGAUUCAUUUACUGGUUAAAAUUACCACUAAUUUAACAGAGGCGCGACUGAGGUUUGUCCUGCUACCGUACAGAGGAGAUGUUCAAUUCUAAUAUCAUAUUUGUCAUAGUCCAAUCUCACGAUAUGUAUUGUUUUUUUUUACCCAUUAACCCUCGUAUAUUUGUCCCAUCAUUUUGUCCAAAAGCAUACUUACCAUGUGAAUUUGUAUUAUUCUUUUAUAAAAAAUUCCACUUUACUCUCCUAUUCUAAUGCAAAAUUUAAUUUUGAAUUCCUUUUUCUUGACAAUGAACCAAUUUUGGACACAAACUAAAGCUUUGACAUUUCAGAGUUUAUUGCGUUAUCAAAUUACCUUUGUCUAAUUCUCUGAAAUCAUUAGUGAGACAAAUAUUUGGACAAUUAGAAAAAAAUUGAUAGAGGACAAAGGUCAUUUUUCAAGCUUUAAAUUUUGUGGACUGAAUUUUCCUGUAUCACUUUCAUGAAAAUCACCAUACAGAGAAGAAAAAAAGUUUAGGACAUUAAAAUUAUGGUUGAAAACAUUACAAUCAUGAUUUUAGGAUCGAAUUCACACUGAACAUUAGUUAGUUUGACCUCAUACUACGAAUCAAGCCAAACAAAUUAAUACAGAAGAAGUACUAUAAAUGGAAGUAAUUGUAGAAAAUCUUAUUACAAGAUAUAGAAGAUAUUUCGAAUGACUUUUCGAAACAAAACACAUGAUGUUGUUUCCACUCUUUGUAGCCCUUCUUAUCAUCAUUAUUCUCACUUCCCUUCUUCCUAAAGCCAAAAGGAAUGGAAAAAACAUUCUACCACCAGGCCCUUUAGGGUUGCCAUUCAUUGGAAAUUUGCAUCAAUUUGAUGGUUUAACCCCUCAUCUUUAUUUUUGGAAACUUUCCAAAAAAUAUGGGAAAAUUUUCUCAUUGAAACUUGGUUCUUCGACUAUGAUUGUAGUUUCUUCAGCAAAUCUAGCAGAAGAAGUAACGAAGACACAAGAUUUAGCUUUUUGUAGUCGGCCUUCACUUCUUGGCCAGCAAAAAUUGUCUUACAAGGUCAAGAUAUUGGCUUGUCGCCUUACAAUGACUAUUGGAGAGAACUUUGAAAAAUAUGUGUUGUUCAUUUAUUUAGUCUCAAGAAAGUGCAAUAUUUUAGUCCAAUUCGUGAAGAUGAAGUAUCAAGAAUGAUCAAGAAAAUAUCCCAGAAAGCCGCCACUUCACAAAUUACAAAUUUGAGCAAUAUAGUGAUUUCACUUACAACUACAAUUAUUUGUAGAAUUGCUUGGCUCUGACUAUUUUCCCUCUUAGGAUGGAUUGAUAAACUCUCCGGAAAAAUAAAUAAACUUGAGAAGAAUUUUAAGGAUUUGGAUGAGUUUUAUGAAGGACUCAUUGAGCAACAUCUCAAUCCCAAUAGACCAAAAUCAAUGGAAGGAGAUAUUAUUGAUCUUUUGCUUCGAUUGCAGAAAGAGAAAUCAACUCCAAUCGAUCUUACUUUGGAAAAUAUAAAGGCUAUUAUCAUGGUAAUGACUAAUGAACUACUCUCUUUAUGUCUAUUUUAUAUAUUUGCUCUAGCCGACUGCUUACACCUAGCUAAACAGUUAACCUUAUGAAUGAAUUAGAAAUUGAAGUGAAUAUUCAUAUCAAUUAAUCAUUAGUUAGAUGUUGAAAGUUGUAUAUAAGCAAGUCUUUUGUAUUGGGAGUUGCCUUCCGGAAUGAAAUCUUUGUGUCUUGUUCCUAGAAAUUAUCACUAGAAAUUAAACUCUAGUGUUUAAAUUAGUUAUCCAUGUUUAAUAAUAUGGUCGUAUGGUUUUAUAUCUGUCAUUUUUCGUUAUAAACUUGUAAUGGAGUAGUUGUUUCAAUAAAAUCUCCCUUCUAGUUCCAAAGGAUGUCGCAAAAAUUUGGUAGCUAAUUUACUAAUUCUCUAGGAAUUAAGUGCAUUGGUUAUAAUCCUAUUUUGGUGUAAUAAACAUGCUACUAACAAUGUUCAUAAGUUCUUUCUACAGAUCAUACAUAUUAUUGUUAAUUAGCUGAGAAUUAACUUUAAUUUUGUAAAGCUAGGUACCAAAAAGUAUGAACAGAGGAAAAUAUACUACUAUCUUUAGGAUUUGCAAACAAAUUCAUUUCCUGGUUAAAACUACCACUAAUUUAACCGAGGUGCGACUGAGGUUUGCCCUGCUACUGUACAGAGGAGGUGUUCAAUUCUAAUAUCAUAUUUGUCAUAGUCCAAUGUAUUGUUUGUUUUUACCCUCGCAUAUUUGUCCCAUCUUUUUGUCCAAAAGCAUACUUAACAUGUGAAUUUGUAUUAUUCUUUAUAUUCUGAUGCAAAAUUUAAUUUUGAAUUCCUUUUUCUUGACAAUGAAUGAAUCCCAAUUUUGGACACAAACUAAAGGUUUGACAUUUCUGAGUUUAUUACGUUAUCAAAUUGCCUUUGUCUAAUGUUCUGAAAUCAUUGGUGAGACAAACAAUUGGACAAAGGUCAUUUUUCAAGCUUUAAUAUUGUGGACGGUGGAUUACAAAAGUCCACAAUCCACAUUAAUUGUAAUGACAAGGCAUCUGUUUAAUUAAAACUAAAACAAAAUAUUGUGGACUGAAUUUUCCUGUAUCAUGACUUUCAUGAAAAUCACCAUACAGAGAAGAAAACAAGUUUAGGAUAUUAACAUAAUGGUUGAAAACAUUACAAUCAUGGUUUUAUGUUCGAAUUCACACUGAACAUUAGUUAGUUUGACCUCGUACUACGAAUCAAGCCAAACAAAUUAAUAUAGAAAAAGUACUAUAAAUGGAAGUAAUUGGAGAAAAUCUCAUUACAAGAUAUAGAAGACGUUUCGAGUGACUUUCCCAAAGAAACACAUGAUGUUGUUUCCACUCUUUGUAGCCAUUGUUAUCUUCAUUAUUCCCAGUUUCCUUCUUCCUAAAGGCAAAAGGAAUGGAAAAAACAUUCUACCACCAGGCCCUUUAGGGUUGCCAUUCAUUGGAAAUCUGCAUCAAUUUGAUGGUUUAACCCCUCAUCUCUACUUUUGGAAACUUUCUAAGAAAUAUGGAAAAUAUUCUCUUUAAAACUUGGUUCUUCUACUAUGAUUGUAGUUUCUUCAGCAAAUCUUGCAAAAGAGGUAACACAAAUACAAGAUUUAGCAUUUUGUAGUAGAUCUUCAAUUCUUGGCCAGCAAAAAUUGUCUUACAAUGGUCAAGAUAUUGGCUUCUCGCCUUACAAUGACUAUUGGAGAGAACUUCGAAAAAUAUGUGUUGUUCAUUUAUUUAGUCUCAAGAAAGUGCAAUAUUUUAGUCCAAUUCGUGAAGAUGAAGUAUCAAGAAUGAUCAAGAAAAUCUCCUAGCAAGCCGCCACUUCACAAAUUACAAAUUUGAGCAAUAUAGUGAUUUCACUUACAACUACAAUUAUUUAUAGAAUUGCUUUUGGUGUUAGGUAUGAUGAAGAAACACGCGAAGUGAGGAGAUUUAAUGAACUUUUAAAAGUGACGGAGGAAAUGUUGGCAGGAUUUUUUGUCUCUGACUAUUUUCCCCUCUUAGGAUGGAUUGAUAAACUCUCAGGAAAAAUAAAUAAACUUGAGAAGAAUUUUAAGGAUUUGGAUGAGUUUUAUGAAGGACUCUUUGAGCAACAUCUCAAUCCCAAUAGGCCAAAAUCAAUGGAAGGAGAUAUUAUUGAUAUUUUGCUUCGAUUGAAGAAAGAGAAAUCAACUCCAAUUGAUCUUACAUUGGACAACAUAAAGGGUAUAAUCAUGGUAACGAACUACUUCAUUUGUAUCUAUUUUAUAUGACGGUACUGAUAAAAUUAUAUAUAUACUUGCUUACAUCGACUGCUUACACCUAGCUAAACAGUUAACCUUACGAAUGAAUUAAGAAAUUGAAGUGAAAAAUUAACCUUACGAAUGAAUUAAAAAAUUGAAGUGAAUAUUCAUAUCAAUUAAUCAUUAGUUAGAUGUUGAAAGUUGUAUAUAAGCAAGUCUUUUGUAUUGUUAUAUAUAUAUAUUUAUUGACUUGGUAUUAACACUCUGUCAUACAACUAAGUUUUUUCCUUAGUCAUGUUUGUGACAUGAUCAUAAUAUAAAGAAACUUUUUUGGUCAGAUAUUAAGAAGUGCCUUUUUAAACUUGUAAUAUUAGACAUGUUAUAACAUUUUCUGAUAUGAUUAGGAAAAAAUUUCAAUUGAUAUAAAGUGUUGCAUUUAAUUUUAUCCUCACACUUUCUCUUGUAGAAUAUGCUAGUUGGUGGAACGGACACGAGCGCAGCUGCAGUAGUUUGGGCAAUGACAGCCUUGAUAUCUAAACCAAAUGCCAUGAAGAAAGUUCAAGCAGAAAUUAGAGAAUCGGUUGGGGAAAAGUCCAUAGUGAAUGAAGAUAACGUCCAAAAUCUUCCAUAUUUUAAAGCAGUGAUAAAAGAAACAUUUAGAUUGUUUCCACCAGGUCCAUUGUUAAUAGCAAGAGAGACGAUGCAAAAUUCCAUACUAGAAGGAUAUGAAAUUAAACCAAAAACAAUAAUUCAUGUUAAUGUUUGGGCUAUUGCAAGGGAUCCUGAAAUAUGGGAAAAUCCAGAAGAAUUUAUACCGGAGAGGUUUCUGAAUAGUGAUAUUGAUUUCAAGGGCCAAAAUUUUGAACUAAUUCCAUUUGGAGCAGGCAGAAGAGGGUGCCCGGCUGUGGCACUUGGUGUGACAACUGUGGAACUUGUACUUUCCAAUCUUCUUUAUGCUUUUGAUUGGGAGUUGCCUUCCGGAAUGAAAAAAGAAGACAUUGACACAGAUGUUUUGCCUGGACUUACAAUGCAUAAGAAAGAACCUUUGUGUCUUGUUCCUAGAAAUUAUCACUAGAAAUUAAACAAGACCAAACUCCAAUGUUUAAAUUAGUUAUCCAUGUUUAAUAAUAUGGUCGUAUGGUUUUAUGUCUAUCAUUUUUCGUUAUAAACUUGUAAUGGAGUAGUUGUUUCAAUAAAAUCUCCCUUCUAGUAUGGUAGCUAAUUUACUACUCCCUCCGUCCCAUUUUAUAUAAGGUAGUUUGACUCGACACGGAGUUUAAGAAAGAAAGAAAGACUUUUAAAACUUGUGAUCCAAAAUGAAUGAUAGAAAUUUGUGUGGCUGUAAAUCAUUUCAUUAAGGAUAAAAUAGAUAUUUUAUAGUUAAAUUGUUAUUUAAUAUAGAAAUGUGUCAUUCUUUUUGGGACUGAUUAAAAAGGAAAGUAAGUCACAUAAAUUGGGACAGAGAGAAUAAUUCUCUAGGAAUUAAAUGAACAUGGGGAUCCUCGAUUCCUGUCCAGUGCAAUAGUAAUAAUGAAAUCUAUAACCUCUAUUGUUGCAAUCAAAUGUAUAUUAUAAGCUCUAUUGUUGCAACACCAAGUGCAAUACGUGCAAAAACCAGUGUCUUUUUUUGCCAAAAAGCAUACUUACCGAUUCAGCUUGUGUUAUCCCUUAUAAAGUUUUUUACUUUACUUUUGUUAGGACCGAAAUAAUUAAGUGUCAUGCGUCACCAUGAGUAAGAAGAUAAACUAGAAAUAUACCAAAAGACACAAAUAUUUAACAUGGUUCGAUCAAUCGACCUAUGUCCAAAGAAGAGAUAAGCAAUCCACUAUAUAAAUAUGAGAGUACAAAAUUUAAAGAGAAAUAACCUCACCCAUUCACUCGUAAAAUAAAGAGUUUCACACAAGUGAUAACGUAUCACUUAUGUCCCACAAAUUCUCUCCCUAGACAAUACUUUCAAAGGCUUUAGGACUACAUUGUGAAUGCUACUGUGUUAGAAGGAAUGUGCCUGUAUUUAUAGAGUCAUAAACUUUUUCCUACAAGAAAAGGACUAGCCAAAUAUGAAGACUUUGUGUUUUCCUUUUAAGAAAAGGAAAACCCAUUUAUGAUAAGAAAUUCAGGGCAAUAUAUAUCCGACAACUCUCUUAUUCCGUUACAAAAUUUAAUUUAGAAUUCUUUUUUUCUUGACAAUGAAUGAAUACAAAAAUUUUAGACGUAAAUUAAAGCUUCAAAAUUCCGUUAUCAAAUUCCUUUGUCUAAUUCUAUGUAAUUAUAAUUAUAGGUGAGACAUUUAUCUAGACAAGUGGAAAAAAUUGAUAAAGGACAAAAAGUCAUUUUUUUCAAGCUUCAAAUAUUGUGGCCUGUGAAUUUUCCUGUGUCACUUUCAUGAAAAUCACCAUACAAAAAAGAAAAAAAAAAGUUUAGAAUUUUAAAGUAAAUGAUCAUACUAUGAAAUUAGGAUCAAACUACUUCCCAAAAUAUCAGAAGUGUGUAGUUGAUGUUUAUAUCCUUUUCUUCCUUUAAAUUACAAUUUUUUUUCUAUUUGUCUAUUUCUUAAAUAAGUAUUUUCAUCAUGAUUUAAAUUAUUAUCAUAGCCAUUGAUCCAAAGUUCCACCUUCUUUUACUGUUACUUAUAGUAUUUUUAUGUGAAAUUUAUUUCAAAAUAAUUAUAGAUAAAAAUUUAUUUCUUUCGUUAUCUAAAUCAAGCGAGGGAGUACUAUAAAUGAAAGAAAUUGUGGAAAAUCUUAAUACAAGAUAUAGAAGACAUUUCCAAAAAACACAUAAUGUUGUUUCCACUAGUUGUAGCCCUUGUUAUCAUCAUUAUUCUCAGUUUCCUUCUUCCUAAAGCCAAAAGGAGUGGAAAAAACAUUCUACCACCAGGUCCUUUAGGGUUGCCAUUCAUUGGAAAUUUGCAUCAAUAUGAUAGUUUAACUCCUCAUCUCUACUUUUGGAAACUUUCCAAAAAAUAUGGGAAAAUCUUCUCAUUGAAACUUGGUUAUUCUACUAUGAUUAUAGUUUCUUCAGCAAAUCUAGCAAAAGAAGUAAUGAAGACACAAGAUUUAGCUUUUUGUAGUCGGCCUUCCCUUCUUGGUCAACAAAAGUUGUCUUACAAUGGUCAAGAUAUCGCUAUGUCGCCUUACAAUGACUAUUGGAGAGAACUUCGAAAAAUAUGUGUUGUUCAUUUAUUUAGUCUCAAGAAAGUGCAAUAUUUUAGUCCAAUUUGUGAAGAUGAAGUAUCAAGAAUGAUCAAGAAAAUCUCCUAGCAAGCCGCCACUUCACAAAUUACAAAUUUGAGCAAUAUAGUGAUUUCACUUGCAACUACAAUUAUAUAGAAUUGCUUUUGGUGUUAGGUAUGAUGAAGAAACACGCGAAGUGAGGAGAUUUAAUGAACUUUUAAAAGUGACGGAGGAAAUGUUGGCAGGAUUUUUUGUCUCUGACUAUUUUCCCCUCUUAGGAUGGAUUGAUAAACUCUCAGGAAAAAUAAAUAAACUUGAGAAGAAUUUUAAGGAUUUGGAUGAGUUUUAUGAAGGACUCAUUGAGCAACAUCUCAAUCCCAAUAGGCCAAAAUCAAUGGAAGGUAUGUUAAAAAUUGUAUAUAAGCAAGUCUUGUGUAUGUAUUUAUAUUAAUUGACUAGGUAUUAGUACUCUGUCAUACAACUAAGUGUUUUUAUUCCAUGGUCAUAUUGGUGGUGCAAUCAUGAUAUAUAGAAAGUUUUUGGUCAAAUAUUAAGAAAUGCCUUUUAAACUUGUAAUAUUACACAUAACCUUUCAUGAUUAGGAAAACACUUCAGUUGAUAUAUGAAAUGUUUCUUAUAGUUUUAUCCUCCAUUCUCACUUGUAGAAUAUGCUAGUUGGUGGAACGGACACUAGUGCAGCUACAGUAGUUUGGGCAAUGACAGCCUUGAUAGCCAAACCGAAUGCCAUGAAGAAAGUUCAAGCAGAAAUUAGAGAAUCGGUUGGGAAAAAGUUUAUAGUGAAUGAAGAUGAUAUCCAAGAUCUUCCAUAUUUUAAAGCAGUGAUAAAGGAGACAUUUAGAUUGUAUCCACCAGGUCCAUUGUUAGUACCAAGAGAGACGAUGCAAAAUUCCAUACUAGAAGGAUAUGAAAUUCAACCAAAAACGAUAGUUCAUGUUAAUUUUUUGGCUAUUGCAAGGGAUCCUGAAAUAUGGGAAAAUCCAGAAGAAUUUAUACCGGAAAGGUUCCUGAAUAGUGAUAUUGAUUUUAAGGGCCAAAAUUUUGAGUUAAUUCCAUUUGGAGCAGGAAGAAGAGGGUGCCCGGCUAUGGCACUUGGUGUGACAACUGUGGAACUUUGUACUUUCCAAUCUUCUUUACGCUUUUGAUUGGGAGUUGCCUCCUGGAAUGAACAUAGAAGACAUUGAUACUGAUGUUUUGCUUGGACUUGCUGUGCAUAAGAAAGAACCUUUGUGCCUUGUUCCUAGAAAUUAUCACUAGAAAUUAAACAAUACCGAACUCCAACAUUUAAAUUAAUUAAUAAUGUAUGCUUUUGUUUGUCAUCCGUUUUAAUAUAAGGUCGUAUGGUUUUAUGUCUGCCCUUUUUGUUUCCUAAAAAAAAAGUAAAUCCAUCUUGGAGUAAUGGGGAAUUUGACAUCAAUCCUUACCUUGUAAAUUAGCAAAGCAAAGUAGAGCACAAGAAGGAGCUUGUAAUAUAAACUUGUAAUGUAGUAGUUGUAAUGUAGAAGGAGCUUGUAAUAUAAACUUGUAAUGUAGUAGUUGUAAUGUAGAAGGAGCUUGUAAUAUAAACUUGUAAUGUAGUAGUUGUAAUGUAGAAGGAGCUUGUAAUAUAAACUUGUAAUGUAGUAGUUGUAAUGUAGAAGGAGCUUGUAAUAUAAACUUGUAAUGUAGUAGUUGUAAUGUAGAAGGAGCUUGUAAUAUAAACUUGUAAUGUAGUAGUUGUAAUGUAGAAGGAGCUUGUAAUAUAAACUUGUAAUGUAGUAGUUGUAAUGUAGAAGGAGCUUGUAAUAUAAACUUGUAAUGUAGUAGUUGUAAUGUAGAAGGAGCUUGUAAUAUAAACUUGUAAUGUAGUAGUUGUAAUGUAGAAGGAGCUUGUAAUAUAAACUUGUAAUGUAGUAGUUGUAAUGUAGAAGGAGCUUGUAAUAUAAACUUGUAAUGUAGUAGUUGUAAUGUAGAAGGAGCUUGUAAUAUAAACUUGUAAUGUAGUAGUUGUAAUGUAGAAGGAGCUUGUAAUAUAAACUUGUAAUGUAGUAGUUGUAAUGUAGAAGGAGCUUGUAAUAUAAACUUGUAAUGUAGUAGUUGUAAUGUAGAAGGAGCUUGUAAUAUAAACUUGUAAUGUAGUAGUUGUAAUGUAGAAGGAGCUUGUAAUAUAAACUUGUAAUGUAGUAGUUGUAAUGUAGAAGGAGCUUGUAAUAUAAACUUGUAAUGUAGUAGUUGUUUCAAUAAAAUUUUCCUUAUCGUUGACUUUAGACUCAAAGUUAUCCCUUUUAUAAGGAGCACUAAUUAUGCACUUAGAAGGUAGAGAGUGUUGUUUAAUAUGGCGUAAUUAUAAUUAAAAAGAACAGCUAGAAUUCUUCCAAUAUAUAAUAAUAUCUUUGUUUUGGUCCAAAAAUAAUACAAUACAAUACAUUAUAUGAAUAUCCUUAUUAGCAAUAAUAAAAGAAGAAGAAGAAGUUUCCUUGAUUUAUUUUUGUCGUGAAACUAUAAUAAGUAGAUUUUUAGUUUGUACCCUUUUGAGUGCUUAUUAAACAUAAAUAGGCCAAACUACUCAUCAAUAGCAAAUAUUGUUCAGAACAUAAUUUAAAAAAAAUAAAAUAUAAGCUUUAUUAUAUUCAUCUCAAAAAAGGCAAUUACAUUUAUAAGAAUUGGAAAGGGGGAAACACUCUUCUUAAUAUUUCAUAUUUUUAUUCUACAUUCUAUUCCGCAUAUCACUAUAAUAGUCUACAUAUAACUUUUAGGGACAAGGCAAAGAUCAUUUUUCUUAUGCAUAGUAAUUCCGCGCAAACUCUCUGUGUCGAUAUCCUCUAUGUUCAUCCCAAAAGGCAACUCCCAAUCAAAUGCAUAUAGAAGGUUUGAUAGUAUAAGAUCCACUGUUGCAACACCAAGGGCUUGACCUGUAGAGAAACAAAUUCAAAAUUUUGAGUUUUUUUUUUUUUUUUGAAAAUAUAUGGUUCAAAAUUAAUAUGAUCAUAACUAUAUUUCAACUAGUACUUUUCAUAUUUUUCAUGUAUAGUUUACGUGAAAAUUCUAUAUAAAAAUUGUGGGUUCAAUUGAACUUAUAAUUAUAUGAAUUAUGUAUAUAUUCGACAUUGAAUACCUGGGCAACCUCUCCGCCCUGCUCCAAAUGGGAUAAAUUCAAAAUCUUGACCCUUGAAAUCAAUGUUACUAUUCAAGAAUCUCUCGGGUAUAAAUUCUUCUGAAUUUUCCCAGUACUCAGAAUCUCUUGCAAUAGCCCAAUAGUUUACACGAAUUGUUGUUUUUGGUGGAAUAUUAUACCCUUCUAGUAUUGAAUUUUGCAUUGUCUCUCUUGCCACUAGGAUUGGAGCUGGUGGAUACAAUCUAAAUGUCUCUUUUAUUACUGCUUUGAGAUAAGGCAUAUUUUGAGUAUCAUCUUCAUUUACAAUGCCUUUUUUCUCCACUGAUUUUCUAACUUCUUCUUGAACUUUCUUCAUGGCUUUGGGGUUCUUCAUCAAGGCAGUCAUGGCCCAAAUUACUGUAAUUGCGCUAGUGUCUGUCCCAGCAAGAAAUAAAUUCUACAAAAACAUUCAAGUCAAUAGAAAAAUAGCAGAGAUGAGAGACAUGUGUCUUAUUUAAAAUUCUGCAUACAUUUAAGCAUAACUAAUUACCAUGAGGAUUGCCUUUAUGUUAUCCAAAGUGAGAUUGAUUUGAGUUGAUUGCUCUUUCCUCAAUUGUAGCAAAAGAUCAAUAAUAUCUCCUUCCAUGGAUUUUGGCCUAUUGGGAUUGUGAUGUUGCUCAAUGAGUUCUUCAUAAAAUUCAUCCAAACACUUGAAAUUCUUCUCAAGUUUAUUUUUCAAUCCAGUAAGUUUAUCGAUCCAACUUAAAGAAGGAAAAAAAUCGGAGACAAAGAAGCUAGCCAGAAUAUCUUGUGACUCAUUUAUAAGUUCAUCAAAUCUCCUCUUCUCAUGUGCUUCUUCAUCAAACCUAAUACCAAAAGCAACUCUACAAAUAAUUGUAGUUGUAAGUGAAAUCACNNNNNNNNNNNNNNNNNNNNNNNNNNNNNNNNNNNNNNNNNNNNNNNNNNNNNNNNNNNNNNNNNNNNNNNNNNNNNNNNNNNNNNNNNNNNNNNNNNNNNNNNNNNNNNNNNNNNNNNNNNNNNNNNNNNNNNNNNNNNNNNNNNNNNNNNNNNNNNNNNNNNNNNNNNNNNNNNNNNNNNNNNNNNNNNNNNNNNNNNNNNNNNNNNNNNNNNNNNNNNNNNNNNNNNNNNNNNNNNNNNNNNNNNNNNNNNNNNNNNNNNNNNNNNNNNNNNNNNNNNNNNNNNNNNNNNNNNNNNNNNNNNNNNNNNNNNNNNNNNNNNNNNNNNNNNNNNNNNNNNNNNNNNNNNNNNNNNNNNNNNNNNNNNNNNNNNNNNNNNNNNNNNNNNNNNNNNNNNNNNNNNNNNNNNNNNNNNNNNNNNNNNNNNNNNNNNNNNNNNNNNNNNNNNNNNNNNNNNNNNNNNNNNNNNNNNNNNNNNNNNNNNNNNNNNNNNNNNNNNNNNNNNNNNNNNNNNNNNNNNNNNNNNNNNNNNNNNNNNNNNNNNNNNNNNNNNNNNNNNNNNNNNNNNNNNNNNNNNNNNNNNNNNNNNNNNNNNNNNNNNNNNNNNNNNNNNNNNNNNNNNNNNNNNNNNNNNNNNNNNNNNNNNNNNNNNNNNNNNNNNNNNNNNNNNNNNNNNNNNNNNNNNNNNNNNNNNNNNNNNNNNNNNNNNNNNNNNNNNNNNNNNNNNNNNNNNNNNNNNNNNNNNNNNNNNNNNNNNNNNNNNNNNNNNNNNNNNNNNNNNNNNNNNNNNNNNNNNNNNNNNNNNNNNNNNNNNNNNNNNNNNNNNNNNNNNNNNNNNNNNNNNNNNNNNNNNNNNNNNNNNNNNNNNNNNNNNNNNNNNNNNNNNNNNNNNNNNNNNNNNNNNNNNNNNNNNNNNNNNNNNNNNNNNNNNNNNNNNNNNNNNNNNNNNNNNNNNNNNNNNNNNNNNNNNNNNNNNNNNNNNNNNNNNNNNNNNNNNNNNNNNNNNNNNNNNNNNNNNNNNNNNNNNNNNNNNNNNNNNNNNNNNNNNNNNNNNNNNNNNNNNNNNNNNNNNNNNNNNNNNNNNNNNNNNNNNNNNNNNNNNNNNNNNNNNNNNNNNNNNNNNNNNNNNNNNNNGAGUUGCUUUUGGUAUUAGGUAUGAUGGAGAAACACGCGAAGGGAGGAAAUUUGGUGAACUUUUAAAAGUGGCUCAAGAAAUGUUGGCAGACUUUUUUGUCUCUGAUUAUUUUCCUCUCUUAGGAUGGAUUGAUAAACUCUCCGGAAAAAUAAAUAAACUUGAGAAGAAUUUUAAGGAUUUUGAUGAGUUUAAUGAAGGACUCAUUGAGCAACAUCUCAAUCCCAAUAGGCCAUAAUCCAUGGAAGGAGAUAUUAUUGAUCUUCUGCUCCAAUUAAAGAAAGAAAAAUCAACUCCAAUCGAUCUUACUUUGGACAACAUAAAGGCUAUUAUCAUGGUAAUUAUUUAACUACUCUAUGUGUCAAUUUUAUAUAUUUUCUCUUUUCGGCUGCUCACACCUAGCUAUAUAGUUAAUUUUUCCAAUGAAUUAACAAGUUGAAGUGAAAAUCUUAUCAAUUAAUCCUGGUUAGAUGUUAAAAAUUGUAUAUAAGGAAGUCUUGUGUAUUGUUAUAUUUAUUGACUUGGAAUUACUACUCUGUCAUACAACUAAGAUUGUACUUUCUUGAGACUAAAUAAAUGAAGUAAGCAAAGUUUUCUAAUUUCUCUCCAAUAGUCAUUGGUGAAAACACUAUGUCAUGACUAUUGUAAGACAAUUUUUGUUGGCAAAGAGUAGAGGGUCUACUACAAAAUGCUAAAUCUUGUGUCUUCAUUACUUCUUUUGCUAAUUUUGCUGAAAAAAUUACAACUACUGGAGUAGAACCAAAUUUCAAUAAGAAUAUUUUUCCAUAUUUUUUAGUAAGUUUCCAAAAAUAGAUAUGAGGAGUUACACUAUCAUAUUGAUGCAAAUUUCCAAUGAUUGGCAAACCUAAAGGACCUGGUGGUAGAUUGGUAUUUCUACUUAUUUUGGUUUUGUGAAGAAGAAAAAUGAGAAUAAUAGGAAAAGCUACUAAAAAUAUAAAGAACAUCAUGGUUUUGUUGUGUCACUGCCAAAUGCAACUUCAAAUGUAACCUAUAAAUUGAUCUUCUAUUGAGUUGCUUUUAUACACAUUUUUUUGUUCAAUUGAAUGUAGUGAUAUUUGAGAAUGACAUCACAAUUUAAUCUUAAAGAUGUUUAGGUAUGCAAUGACAUAACCUUUUUAAAUGUUCUAGACUUUCUGCUUAAAUACGAUUUUUUAGUGUUGAUAAUAUAAUUAAGUAAAUAAAAAUAUAUUAUUUCUAUACAAUUAAAUUUUUAGAUGAAUAGUCGCACAAUUCCAUAUGAUAGCAAAGCAAGUAGAGUUUCAUAGAUAGUAUUUAAUUUUCACUCUAUUGUACAAAAGUUACAAAAUGAUUUUCUAUAGAAAAAGUUGCUCAAAUAUACCCAAGUGUAUCACGAAAAUUACUAAAUUAUUUUCUUACUAUAGAAAUAUCACGAAUUCUCAUCUAAGUAUUGCAGAAAUUGAGUGACACGUUGUAUGAUAUUUAAAUAAAAUUAAAUGACUUUCUAUAAAAAUAAAUUAAAAAUAUUUUAUUAACCUUUCAAGAUACUUAAGUAAAAGGUGUCUGACUUAUCCAUUACAAAAGAUAAUUUAGAAAUUUUAAUGUAAUAAAAUAAAGCUAGUCUUGAGCAAACUCUGUCAUCGUAUGCAUUAUUACGAUCCAAAGGAUUCACCAAGGCGAUUCAUGAUUUGAAGAUAACGAUACAUCAUAAAAAAAUAUAUACACAUUAUAGUUGAAGCAAUAUCAGAUAUAUUAUCGUCUUAUCUAAAAGUUUGCAUAAAUAUUCGUAAAAUUGAUAUAUAGUACUAAUAUAUAAAUUAAAUGACAUAAAGAAUAAUGUAGUUAGGACUCAACUCAGAUCACGUGCCCGAGCUCCAAGGUUUAGAGCGUACUUUUAAAAUAUAUGAUUGUCUUCAGAGUUCGAGUAAGGGUAGUAAUUGAGCGGGUUAGGUCAAAUUUGAAUGAGUCAUAAUGAUAUUUGGUCAGAAUUUAAUUAGAAUGAUAUUUUAUAUAUGUUAUUUUAUUAUUUUAAAAUAUUUUUACCCUUUUAGCUUUAAUACAUUUUAACUAAAAUAUAGAAAAAACAUCAAUUUAUUUUAAAAUAAAAAAAUAUUAUAAUUUUUUUAAUUUUCUAGCCAAAUUCUGGCCAAACUUUCUGGCCAUUUAGCAAUUCCCUUUGAAUAAUUAAUGUUUGAUAAAAAAAAAAACAUAUUAUAAACUCAAAGAACAAGAUGUCUAUUAAUUUUGAGAAUUUUCUUUGGUUUGAUUUAAUUCAUAAAAUCGAAAAGAGCAGUUACAUUUGAUAAGGAUAAGGAUAUAGAGUCCUAGUACAUUAGUAUGUUUGAGUCAUAUAUGUAGUUAUUUCUCCUCUCUUUAGGUAUCUUACGUUCAACAAGACUCCUUUAUCUUCUAUACUUGUUCAUAUAUAAAUACCACACAUUGUAUCAAUAAUACUCAACGCUUUCAUAAUCAUAUACAACUCUUAUAUGGUAUUAAGAGCCUCUUAAACACUCUGACGAGUAUAUCCGAUCGUCUUCCUUUUUUUUUCCAGAUUCCAACUCCUUUUUCUCCAGAAUGCCUGCUAUUUCCUCCUCUCCUAACUCUCCAGCAGUCACUCUCAAUCAAGGGGGUGUCGUUCAGCCCUCUCAAUUGAUCUCUUUUAACUCUACGUCUCAGAUAUCCUUCAAGCUAAUAGGAAGUGCAAAUUAUCCAACUUGGAAACUCCAAGUUACCACUUUAUUGUUUGGCUACGAUCUUCUUACUUUUGUUGAUGGUUUACUUCCCAUACCAACUGUGCACAUUAUGGACAAAGACAAUACCUAAAUCCCUAACCCCAACUUGAGAUUGUGGUAGCAACAAGACAGUCUUGUUCGCAAUGCCAUUAUGGCAUCCGUUGACGCUACAAUAGCUCCCCUCAUUGCCCAUGCUUUCACUGCCAAAGAAGCUUGGGAUAUUCUCCAAACAACUUAUGCGAGAAAAUCGCACUCAAGAAUUUUCAGUUUGCGCGAUACUCUGGCGAAUGUCAAAUGAGACGCACGUUUAAUCAGUUAUUAUAUGAGAGAAAUCAAGUCCAUUGCAGAUGAUUUGGCCUGCAGUGGUUCACCCGUUAACAAUGAGGAACUUGUCAUUAAGGUCCUGAGUGGUCUAGGUCCUGAGUAUAAGGAGUUAUCUGCAGCAAUAAAAACUCGUGAUAAUCCCAUCACAUUCGAAGAACUCUUUGAUAAACUCCUUGCACAAAAGAUGUUCAUUAAACACUCAGAACCUAAAGUUGACACACCCAUGAUCACUGCUCAAUUUCAUCAGCAUUCAAUCAAUAAUGGUCCCAAAAAUAGACAGCCUAACUCUUCCAAUCGUAGGAAUACUCCUCCUUCAGGUUCCUACAACUCUCGUAAUCAAUUUUCUGCCCCGAAUAUCAAUUCAUUCACCCAGCAGAAUACCACCAAAAACAACAAUCAACGAGUCCAAUGACAACUUUGUGUUAAGUUUGGUCAUAUUGCAAAGGAAUGUAGGUCCAAAUCACACAGUGCUACUGAAGCAUAUGCUAAUUUUGUCAACCGUCAGUCUUAUGCUUCUAAUUCUCCAAGCCCUUGGGUUGUAGAUUCUGGAGCAUUGCAUCAUAUUACAAACAACUCUGACUCUCUUCAAACUCCAAUUGAGUUCUCUGGAACGGAUGCAAUAAUUGUUGGUGAUGGUAAAAGAAUUUCUAUCACUCACAUUGGUCACACUACUUUAUCUUUUCCUAAUCUUGUUGCCAACUUUCUUUUAAAAAAAUGUUCUUUGUUCUCCAUCUAUAAAAAAGAAGUUGAUUUUGGUUGCUCAAUUUUGUAGGCAAAAUCUAACUUCCAUUGAAUUUUUCCCUUAUUCUUCUGUUGUGAAGGAUUUAAGCACGGGGGCAUGUCUUCAAGGCAAGAGUAAUGGUGAUCUCUAUAAGUGGCCUACGGAUAUGACCAAAUCAGUCACACCUCGUCCUCAAGCACAUUUUGUUGCAUCAACAACUCCAUCAUUGCAUCUAUGGCAUGCUCAUCUUGGCCAUCCUCAACCUCGUAUUACCAAAGCUUGUGUCUCUUCUUUCAACUUACCAGUGAACCAUGCCGAGUCUUUUACAUUUUGUAAUUCCUGUUUAUGCAACAAGAGUCAUCGUCUACCAUUUGGUAGCAAUUCAAUUACAAGUUCUAGGCCUUUUGAUGUUGUUUACUCAGAUGUUUGGGGUCCUUCUCCAACUAUCUCUUUUGAUAAUUUCAGAUUCUAUGUUAUUUUUGUUGACCAUUUCAUGAAAUAUACUUGGUUGUUUCCUCUCAAAUCCAAAUCAGACGUUAAGGAAAUUUUUAUUAAUUAUGUUUUAACGGUUCAAAACCAAUUUCAUUUGAGAAUUAAAACGUUAUACACUGACGGGGGAGGUGAAUACAUUGGCCUUAAAUCAACUGUCUUGAAUUUUGGAAUCCAACAUCUUAUAAGUCCUUCAUAUACUCCCCAACUAGUUGGCACUGCUGAAAGAAAACAUCGCCACGUUGUGGACACCGCUUUAACUCUUCUUCAUCAUGCUUCUAUCCCUUUCAAAUUUUGUCUCUCGCAUUUCAACCUGUAGUCUACCUCAUUAACAGGCUGCCAACACCACUUCUUGGUCUUAAAUCUCCAUUUCAGUGUCUCUUUAACACUACCACAAACCCUCUUAAACUAAGGGUUUUUGGUUGUCUUUGUUAUCCAUGGUUAAUGCCCUACAUGUCAACCAAACUUGAUCCUAAGUCUAAUCCUUGUGUGUUCAUGGGAUAUUCCACUGCCACCAAUAGUUAUGUUUGUGUCACGCCCCGAGCCUACACCCCGGGCGGGACCGGCACUUGGAGACCAUUGAUGGCCCCAAGCGAACCCUUGGCCUGGCUUUCUUAACUCAGCGGAAACUUAACUCAACAGAAUAACUCAAUGCCAUGCAAAGACAUAAAAUACUUAACUGAUGAAAUCUAGCAAAAAAGGCAACUCGAGUCUCAAAAUAGAAUAUUUACAAAAAUACAUAGAUGAGAGACUCAAUACUAACUGACUGAUUGUCUGUCUAUGAAGCCUCUAACAUACUGAGAUGGAUGUUGGGACAGGCCCCGCAACAUCCUAAUAACACAAAACAUAAAAGAAACAAAAUAUCUGAGUCCUCCAGAAAGCAAGGAGGCUCACCACUGACUCUGGAGUGCUCAGCUGGAUCAACGGCGUGCAGGAUGCUGAUCCGGGGUACCUGUGUCUGCAUCGUCAUAAGAUGCAGGCCAACUGGCAUCAGUACAUGGAAUGUACGAGUAUGCGAGCUGGAAAAGCUAAACCACAACUUAAGCUUGAAAAGAGUACAAGAGAACACUUACCUUGGCUCUAUUCAACUCAUGAAUAACUGAACUCAAUAUAUAAAGCAAUAUGACACAUGCAAUAUAUAAAGCUUGAAAAACUCUUAACACAUGACGUAAAAAUCAUAUUUAUAAUAUCAUGAAAAUACCAUGCUUCCUCUCAAGGUCUACUUGUGCAAUGUAUGAAUGAAGUCCCAUACCCCCAUCCAUACUAAGCAGAACCCUCGAGGAACCAUGCAAUUUCUACUGUNNNNNNNNNNNNNNNNNNNNNNNNNNNNNNNNNNNNNNNNNNNNNNNNNNNNNNNNNNNNNNNNNNNNNNNNNNNNNNNNNNNNNNNNNNNNNNNNNNNNNNNNNNNNNNNNNNNNNNNNNNNNNNNNNNNNNNNNNNAUAUAUACAUAGAUGAGAGACUCAAAACUAACUGACUGACUGUCUAUGAAGCCUCUACAAUACUGAGAUGGAUAUUGGGACAGACGCCACAACACCCUAAUUAAAACAAAACUAAAGAUCAAAAUAACUUGAUCCCUCCGGAAGCAAGGAGGCUCACCACUGACUCUAGNNNNNNNNNNNNNNNNNNNNNNNNNNNNNNNNNNNNNNNNNNNNNNNNNNNNNNNNNNNNNNNNNNNNNNNNNNNNNNNNNNNNNNNNNNNNNNNNNNNNNNNNNNNNNNNNNNNNNNNNNNNNNNNNNNNNNNNNNNNNNNNNNNNNNNNNNNNNNNNNNCGCUAACAACAACUUAAGCUUGAAAGGGAUACAAAAGAGAACUUACCUUGGCUCUGUACAACUCAAGAAUAACUGAACUUAAUAUAAAACAAUGAGACACAUGCAAUAUUUAUAAAGUUUUGUAAAACUAUUUAAAACAUGACGUAAAAAUCAUAUUUAUAAUAUCAUAAAAAUAUAAGUCCCAUGUUGGCGCAUGGUUCUUAUGGAGAGUUGAGUUAAUAUGAACUCGUGUCCCCAAUUCGGUGCUCAAGACUACUCCCAAAAAUACUUUAGCUCAUAAGUGUUUUAAACACAUCUUUCUUUAGUUGAGAUAAUUACUCAAAACUUAGCCCGAAGGCACUUGAGAACUUUUUCUAAAAAGAACAAAUCAAAACCAUAUUUUUUUAAUAUGAUCAUUGAUGACUCGGGAUAUUCAUAGUGCUUAAACAUUGAUGGUAUAUCUAGAGACCAUAUUGUUUAAACAUUGAUGACAUACUCGAUUUGUCAUACUAAUCAUAUUUUAGAAACUCUUUUGAAAAACUCAUCUUUUCUUUUUAAAAGAGAUAGUGCUCAAACUUCUCGAAACUCUUUUGGAAAUCUCCGUUUCCUCUCAACUUAAAUGUGAAAACACUUAUAAACUUCUUUGGGAAAUACUUAGUUCCCUAAUUACUUUUGAGAAAUGAACUCAACUCUUGACUCUUGACUUAACUCGAAACUCUUGACUCGACUUGAAACUAUAUGCUCUUUACUAAACUUGAAACUUGAGACUUUUUACUUAGCUUGAAACUCUAUACUCUUUGCUUGACUUGAAACUCUAUACUUAACUUGGAACUUGAGCCUUAGAAUGAAGUUAAAACGUUCAAUGAAGACUCUUGAAAAGCUUUAAAGACUUGCUUGGACUUACUUAACUUCUAAGCUUGACUUCACUUAAAUCGGAAACUAACUUCACUUGACUUGAAUUAUGGAUUCAAGGACUUGAUUGGUGUUUGGAAGGACCUCAUGAUGUUUAGGAAUGAUUUAGGAAUGAUUUGGGACAGCCAAACUUAAGAAAACCUUCUAACACAAAUUCUGAAAACAGUGGAGUCCGCGUCCUGUCCGCGACGCGGAGAAGAUUUUGUUCACAUAGGGAACAAGUCCACGACGCGGACAUGCUCCUCGCAAGCUUCCCGACUUUCUCCUUCACGUUACCAACUCUAAACCCUCUAACCUCAAAGAUUCCAGCCCCCAAUCACUUAGAAACAUAAAAUCCCUCAACAUUCAAUAGAAUACCACUCAAAAACACAAUCCAAUCAUGUCCCANNNNNNNNNNNNNNNNNNNNNNNNNNNNNNNNNNNNNNNNNNNNNNNNNNNNNNNNNNNNNNNNNNNNNNNNNNNNNNNNNNNNNNNNNNNNNNNNNNNNNNNNNNNNNNNNNNNNNNNNNNNNNNNNNNNNNNNNNNNNNNNNNNNNNNNNNNNNNNNNNNNNNNNNNNNNNNNNNNNNNNNNNNNNNNNNNNNNNNNNNNNNNNNNNNNNNNNNNNNNNNNNNNNNNNNNNNNNNNNNNNNNNNNNNNNNNNNNNNNNGCUUCACACCGAUAACUAGGACUCUACAGACACGGCUUCAUAGACUCCCUAGGACUCUUGAACUCUGUGCUCUGAUACCAAGUUUGUCACGCCCCGAGCCUACACCCUGGGCGGGACCGGCACCCGGAGACCAUUGCUGGCCCCAGGCGAACCCUUGGCCUGGCUUUCUUAACUCAGCGGAAACCUAACUCGACAGAAUAACUCAAUGCCAUGCAAAGACAUAAAUAACUUAACUGAUGAAAUCAAGCCAAAAAGGCAAUUCGAGUCUCAAAAUAGAAUAUUUACAUAUAUACAUAGAUAAGAGACUCAAUACUAACUGACUGUCUGUCUAUGAAGCCUCUAACGUAUUGAGAUGGAUGUUGGGACAGACCCCGCAACAUCCUAAUAACACAAAACUAAAAGAAACAAAAUAUCUGAGUCCUCCGGAAAGUAAGGAGGCUCACCACUGACUCUGGAGUGCUCAGCUGGAUCAACGACGUGCAGGAGGUUGAUCCGGGGUACCUGUGUCUGCAUCGUCAUAAGAUGCAGGCCAACUGGCAUCAGUACAUGGAAUGUACGAGUAUGCAAGCUGGAAAGUUAAACCACAACUUAAGCUUGAAAAGAGUACAAGAGAACACUUACCUUGGCUCUGUUCAACUCAUGAAUAACUGAACUCAAUAUAUAAAGCAAUAUGACACAUGCAAUAUAUAAAGCUUGAAAAACUCUUAAAACAUGACGUAAAAAUCAUAUUUAUAAUAUCAUGAAAAUACCAUGCUUCCUCUCAAGGUCAACUUGUGCAAUGUAUGAAUGAAGUCCCAUACCCCAUCCAUACUAAGCAGAACCCUCGAGGAACCAUGCUCUUUCUACUGUGGGAGUUUCUCUAACCGACAAACCACCACUAUGAAUAUGAGUGGUGAUACAACAUGUUACCUCACGUUUCCCGAGGAGCAUCCUAUAUCUUACCGUGAUAUAGGAAGCUAAUGAUACAACGUUUUACCUCAUGUUGCCUGAGGACCAUCCUAUACCUGGUCUUGAUAUAGGAAACUAACUUUACUAAGUGGAUCCACUAGCUUAACUUUUCGGGUUCAUCUAAAAAGUAUGACCCGUUAACUCCCAUGUUGGCUACAUGGUUCUUAUGGAGAGUUGAGUUUAAUAUGAACUCGCGUCCCCAAAUCGGUGCUCGAUACUACUCCCAAAAUACUUUAGCUCAUAAGUGUUUUAAACACAACUUUCUUUAAUUGAGAUAAUUACUCAAAAUCUAGCCCAAAGGCUCUUUUGGGAACGAAGUUCCUUUUUCUUGAAAACUAGCCCUAAGGCUCUUUCGGAAAUCAAAAUCCCUUUCUUACUCAAAUGUAAAAGAACAUUUAGAAACUUCUUUGGGAAUACAUAGUUCCCUAAUAGCUGUUGAGAAAAUGAACUCAACUUAACUCUUGACUCAACUUGAAACUUGAGACCUCUUACUUAGCUUGAAACUCUAAGCUAUUUACUUGACUUGAAAAUUGAGUCUUAAAAUGAAGUUAAAACGUUCAAUGAAGACUCUUGAAAAGCUUGGAAUCCUUGUUUAAACUUACUUCUUAACCUUGCUUGACUUGACUCUAACUUCCUUUUAACUUGAUACUAACUUGCCUUGAGUUGAACUAUGGAUUCAAGAUAUAUGAUCACACGUAUUUAGACGAGUUUGGGAUGUUUAGAAACACUUUGGGGUGUGGGAAACAAUUAGGGAGCAUAGGUAUAACACCUAGGAACAUGCAUGAGAAGGCAUGGAAAGAAUGGGAAAGGUUGGCGCUCUGAGAAGCGCGGAGCGCCAGGCCAAAAACUUCAGAGAGGGCCUGCUGGCGCUCUGAGUGGCGCGCUGCCCCAAGGGCUGGGCUUCAGAGCCCUUCUUGGGGCGCGAUGACAGGCGUGACGCGCCAAUCUCCUUGCCCAGAAACUCGACUUUUCCCCCUCUUUUCUUCAACUCUAAACCACCCUACCCUCAAGGGUUCCAAUACCAACCACUAAGGAUCAUAAAUUCCCUCAACAUACAANNNNNNNNNNNNNNNNNNNNNNNNNNNNNNNNNNNNNNNNNNNNNNNNNNNNNNNNNNNNNNNNNNNNNNNNNNNNNNNNNNNNNNNNNNNNNNNNNNNNNNNNNNNNNNNNNNNNNNNNNNNNNNNNNNNNNNNNNNNNNNNNNNNNNNNNNNNNNNNNNNNNNNNNNNNNNNNNNNNNNNNNNNNNNNNNNNNNNNNNNNNNNNNNNNNNNNNNNNNNNNNNNNNNNNNNNNNNNNNNNNNNNNNNNNNNNNNNNNNNNNNNNNNNNNNNNNNNNNNNNNNNNNNNNNNNNNNNNNNNNNNNNNNNNNNNNNNNNNNNNNNNNNNNNNNNNNNNNNNNNNNNNNNNNNNNNNNNNNNNNNNNNNNNNNNNNNNUGCCCUUAAUUUUCCGGACAGAUUUCCCUUCCAACUGCCCAACUUCUAAAGGGCAUAACUCGCUCAUACGAACUCGGAAUUGAGCAAACUCGGUGGCGUUGGAAAGAUCGUUCCACAAGCUUCACAACCAUAACUGGAACUACUCCUAACUCAUCCUGAGCUGGAAGUUAUGACUGCCCAAAGUUGGCCAAAAACUUACCUUUUCCAUACUUGGCCAAAAAAAUUUUUUCCAGAUUUUCAAAUCCUUUCCAAAAAUUGAAAAUUUUCAAUUUCAAGCCUCUUCUUAGCUAUUUCAAAUUUUCGGAUGUUAUAGUUUGCCUAGACCUUUCCACUUUAAAAAGCUAUAUCUCUAGGCAUGUUGUAUUCGUUGAACAUAUUUUUCCAUUCACAACCAACUAUCCUCAAUUUUCUCGUCCAUAGUCUCGUACAUGGAAAAAUGGUUGUGUCCAGAUGACCCCUCCAGCUCUUCCUCUUCCUCACAAUCUCUUUCACCUCAUAUUGUUGCAGACCCAAUUCCAAUUUCUACUACUACUGAUUUGGUCAACUCCAUGUCUACUCGUGGAUCGCACACUCAGGGCCAUCAAGAUGACGUGCCAAUCGGCUCCACUAUAAGUCCUCCUACACAUUCUUUGUCUUUUUCUCCUUUUCAAAAUAACAGUCCAUAAGCAUCUCCACAACUAACUCCUGAAACACUAUCAAAUCGAAUGGUCACUAGGUCUCAAAAUGAUAUUUUCAAACCCAAAGUGAUUUUGAUUACCUUGCAACCUCCAUUGUAAAACACCUUCCGCUUAUCCCAAAUACCUUUAGUCUAGCAUCCAAUUAUCUUGAAUAGUAGGCUGCUAUGACAGAAAAACACAUCGCUUUACUUAAAAAUAAAACUUGGUCAUUGGUUCCAUCUACUCCCUCUCAAAACGUAGUUGGGUACAAAUGGGUGUUUCGUGUCAAACACAAGCCUGAUGGAUCCAUAGAGCGUUAUAAAGCUAGAUUAGUGGCAAAAGGAUUUCAUCAGCAUCCUGGAAUUGACUUCCAUUCCACCUUCAGUCCAAUUAUUUAAACCACAGCUAUUUGUCUCAUCUUGUCCCUAGUUGUGUCUCUUAAAUGGUUGUUACGCCAACUUGACGUAAACAAUGCCUUUUUACAAUGUACUUUACAUGAUGUCAUUUUCAUGCAACAAUCACCUGGAUUUGUAGAUCCCCGAUUCCCUAAUCACGUGUGUAAACUAGACAAAUCUAUCUAUGGAUUUCGCUAGGCACCACGCGUAUGGUUUACUAAAAUAAAGAAGUUCUUCUUAUCAUGUGGCUUUGCUCGUUCCAAAUCUAAUGAUUCUUUAUUCAUCAAAUGGUCUCAUAAUUCUCUCAUUAUUGUUAUGAUCUAUGUUGAUGAUAUUGUUGUUACAGGCUCUAACAACUCGCAAGUUUAUGCAACAAUUAAGUUGUUGGGUAAUAGAUUUUCCAUUAAGGAUCUUGGUCCUUUACAUUUUUUUCUAAGUGUUGAAGUUAUCCAACAUUAUCAUGGAUUGACUCUCACACAAAGUAGCUUCAUUGUGGACGUACUCAACAAGUUCAAUAUGUUGGAUGCAAACAGUGUGAGCACUCUUCUGUCCACAAGUGAAAUUUUAUCCUUGGAUGACGGUUCUCAUUCGGCAGACGCUACACUUUAUAGGUAGGUGAUUGGCUCAUUGCAAUACCUCACUUUCACACGGCCUGAUAUAUGUUUUACGGUAAACAAGCUCGCUCAAUUCCAACACUCUCCAUCAACUAAGCAUUGGCAAGCAACAAAGAGGCUUCUUCGUUAUCUAAAAUGAACCAUAACCUAUGGACUUCACUUCAAAAGUGGUAACUCUUGUCAGUUACUUGCAUACUCAUAUGCAGAUUGGGGUGGUAUUCCUGAUACAAGACAUUCCACUUCAGCCUACGUUAUUUUUCUUGGAAAGAAUCCAAUAAGUUGGUGCUUCAACAAGCAACGCACUGUUGCCAGAUCUUCAACAGAAGCGAAAUACAGGGCUGUAGCAAGUGUUGUAGCUAAGAUAAAUUGAUUAACCAACCUACUGCAAGAACUUUGGGUCAAGGUGCCUUGUUCCCCUAAGGUCUUCUGAGAUAACAUUGGUGUCACUUACCUGUGCCGUAAUCCAGUCUUUCACAGUCGAAUGAAACAUGUCGCAAUUGACUUUCAUUUUGUCCGUGACCAAGUGGAAAGUGGAAAAUUUUCAGUUCAUCACAUUCCUACAGGAGCUCAACUAGCAGAUGCCUUAACUAAAGGCACUUCCCAGAAGGUCCUUUGUCCACCUUGUUAGCAACAUCGGUCUCAAGCAAAUUGAGCCGAUGUUGAGGGGGCAUGAUAAGAUAAGGAUAUAGAGUCCUAGUACAUUAGUAUGUUUGAGUCAUAUACGUAGUUAUUUCUCUUCUCUUUAGGUCUCUUAUGUUCAACAGACUCCUUUAUCUGCUAUACUUGCUCAUGUAUAAAUACCACACAUUGUAUCAAUAAUACUCAACACUUUCAUAAUCAUAUACAACUCUUAUAACAUUUACUACUUAUAAAGUUGGUAAGGGAGAGAUAUUGGGAAUAUAAUUAAAUAAUAAAAGUGUGCUCUCUCACCGACAUCCAAAUUAAAAAGAAUUUGUACAUAUUUGACCCAUGAAAAAAGAAUCAGACUCCCCGCACGUUGUUAAAGAAUGACAAAAGUCCACAUCGGUGGUUAAUGAGAUGGGUGGACUCCUUAUAAGGCUUGGGCAAUCCUCUCCCUUUGAGCUAGCUUUUGGGGUGUGAGUUAGGCCUAAGACCGGUAUCAGAACAGGGCCCGUCUCACCUGAUGUUGGUGCCCCCAAAAUCAAAAUUGUCCACGUACCAGAUGCUAAGCAUUGGGCGUGAAGUGGGGUGUUAAAGAAUGACAAAAGUCCUACAUCGGUGGUUAAUGAGAUGAGUGGACUCCUUAUAAGGCUUGGGCAAUCCUCCUCCCUUUGAGCUAGCUUUUGGGGUGUGAGUUAGGCCUAAGACCUAAUGUAACACACGUAAGGGGUCGAUUGUUCAGAAUAAAUGUUUGUGUCGAUAUCUUUUAUCUUCAUUCAAAAAGGCAAUUUUUAAUCAAAGAAGAUUCAAUACUAGUAUACGGCUCUACCAUUGCAACACCAAGUACAAUACCUGCAUAGACUUGAUAUUUUGAUUAAUUAAUUAAAUAAAAAUUUGAGCGAAUUAAAAUGAAUCAAUCAAUUAAAUGAAUGAAUCAUUAACCCGUACCAAACUUACUAGAGUUGACCAACAAGGAUUGUAGUAGAGUGAUAAGUACUCCUUCAUUCUUAACCAGAUGUUUCGAGUUUGAGUCCUCGUGUGUAUGGAGUCGCCUUUGUUAGGAGCGCUUUACCCCAAUAUGGGAUUUCUCGCGUAAAUCCAAAUUUAGCUGGGCUCUAACAUGAAUACCGAACAUCAAGUUGACUUAACCAUAUGUUCAAUGAUUAAAUGGGAACAAGUCGAACAAACUCUCAUUAUUAAGUACAUGCGUAGAAGUAACAGAAAAUUAGGUUUAAAAGGAUCACGUCACUUAAGAAAUUUGAAAAAUGUACGUUAAUUCAAAUAAUUAUGCAUGAAACACAUUUUUAUGACUAAUUCCAUAUUAAUAUUUUGACUUUAAAUCAUACACAAGUGGAUAACCAAGAAGGAAAAAGAAAAAUUGAAAUAUCUUUCUGAAAAAAUUCACUGCCGUACCAUUUUAAUCAUUUAAGUUGUGUUAGAAAUGAAAAGGUUAACAGUUUAAUACAAGGUCUAUAAAUAGAAAUAUAUUUGAGAUAUAUAUGAUAUCAUAUAACUAGAAAAAAUGAUUAUGAUAAUUUUUAUUCUCUUAGUAACUCUUCCUAUUGUACUCAAUUUCCUAGCCAAAAAGGGUAGGAAAAAUGUUAUGCCACCUGGUCCAUUAGGGUUACCAUUUAUUGGAAAUUUGCAUCAAUAUGACGGUUUAAACCCUCAUAUUUAUUUUUCGAAACUUUCCAAGAAAUAUGGAAAAAUAUUUUCAUUAAAACUUGGCUCAACUCCAAUAGUUGUAAUUUCUUCAGCAAAAUUAGCAAAAGAAGUAUUGAAAAUUCAAGAUUUAACAUUUUGUAGUAGACCUUCUUUUCUUGGCCAACAAAAAUUGUCUUACAAUGGUCAUGAUAUUGCAUUCGCGCCUUACAAUGACUAUUGGAGAGAAAUGCGAAAAGUUUGUGUUGUUCAUUUGUUCAGUCUCAAAAAAGUACAAUCUUUUAGUCCAAUUCGUGAAGAUGAAGUAUCUAGAAUGAUCACGAAAAUAUCCCAACAAGCAACUGCUUCCCAAAUUACAAAUUUGAGUACUUUAGUGAUUUCACUAACAAGCACUAUUAUUUGUAGAGUUGCCUUUGGUAUUAGGUAUGACGAAGAAGCACAUGACAAGAGGAGAUUUGAUGAACUUUUAGCUGUGACACAAGAAAUGAGUGCGCGGUUCUUUUUCACUGAUUAUUUUCCUUUAUUUGGUUGGCUUGAUAAAUUAUUUGGAAAUAUUAGUAGACUUGAAAAGAAUUAUAAAGAUUUAGAUGAGUUUUACGAAGAUCUCAUUCAACAACAUCUUAAUUCCAGUAAGCCAAAAUCCAUGGAAGGGGAUAUUAUUGAUCUUUUGCUACAAUUGAAGAAAGCGCAAUUGACUCCAAUUGAUCUCACUUUGGACAACAUAAAGGCAAUUCUCAUGGUAAGUGAUCAAUUAUAAAUGUCUAAAACCAAAUAAUUUAAGUUAUAUAUAUCGAUAGUAUACAUAAUUGCAUAAGAAAAACCUAUUUCCAAAAUUUACGAAUUUAGGCUUAAUUCAUACACACAAGUACUUACUUGCAUACACAACUAUUUUAUAACAAUCACUUUCAUUUUCCUCUCGAUUUGAUUAUUUUGUAGAAUAUAUUUGUUGGUGGAACAGACACUAGCGCGGCUACAGUAGUAUGGGCAAUGACAGCCUUAAUUAAGAAUCCAAAAGUCAUGAAGAAGGUUCAAGAAGAAAUUAGAAAAUCAAUUGGGACUAAAGGCUUUGUGAAUGAAGAUGAUGUUCAAAACAUGCCUUAUCUCAAAGCAGUGAUAAAAGAGACAUUUAGAUUAUAUCCACCAGCUCCACUUUUAGUGCCAAGAGAAACAAUGAAAAAAUCCACACUAGAAGGGUAUGAAAUUCAGCCAGGAACUAUAAUUCAUGUUAACUCUUGGGCGAUUGCAAGGGAUCCUGAAAUAUGGGAAAAUCCAAAAGAAUUUAUGCCUGAGAGAUUCUUGAAUAGCGAUAUUGAUUUCAAAGGCCAAGAUUUUGAGUUGCUUCCAUUUGGAGCAGGCCGAAGAGGUUGCCCAGGUAUUCAAUGGAAACGAUGAUUUUAUUGAAUCCACACUAUUAUAUAUUAUACGUGAAAAUCUUACAUGUUUUUGAUCUAUAAAAGAUUUAAGUUUUGAAUUCGUCUUUGUAGGUAUUGCACUUGGUGUUGCAACGGUGGAUCUCAUGCUUUCAAAUCUUCUUUAUGCAUUUGAUUGGGAAUUGCCUUAUGGGAUGAAGAAAGAAGAUAUUGACACAGAUGUCAUGCCUGGAAUUACUAUGCACAAGAAAAAUGAUCUUUGCCUUGUCCCUAAAAAAUAUUUCUAGAUUAGCUACAUCUAUAGUCAUAAUUUUAUAUCUAAUAUAUCCAUUAUCACUUAUGUUUGAUAUAUGGUCAUGUGGCUUGCCACUUUAAUUUUCAUUGUAAUUUUGUUGCUAUUUGCUAAUAAAGAGUUGUGUGUUUUCAUCUAAAAUAUUUCGGUGUAUGUAUUCUUGGUUCAAUAUAUGUUACAUAGAUAAUAUAUAUAUUUGUAUUAGUUCAUUUGCAUAUUCAUUUGAGGCAUGCAACGAAGAUUUAUAGAGAAUUUAUGAAUUUCUAUAGCGAUCUCAAAUUAAUAUAUCUAAAUUACUUCCUAACAAAGAAGCAACUCUUCAACUAUGAAUUUCUAUAGCGAUAUGUAAAACUUAAGCUAUCAAUCAUUUGUAUUCAACCCUCCCUUAUUUAUUUCUAGUUUUGCUUUGAGUAUGCCUCGUAUAACUUAUUUUGAUUAUUAUUUAUGUAAGAUGCGCGUUAUUGUAGAGAUUUGAUUUUAUAGCUUUAAAUAAAUUUGUUUUUACGUUUAGGUCAUUUUUAUAUUUAUAAGAGAAGGUUUUUACACAUAACUUAUCUUAUGAAAAAAUCAUUUCCUCACAUUUACUUGUUUUAUGUGUUUUGCACAACAAUGGAAGUAAAAUUGUGAUUAGGAACUUUAACUAAAACAAAACACAAAUUAUGUCCUCAAUAACAUGAUACAUAUAAUUGUUGAACCAAGAACACAUUGUAUUAUUUCACAUAAAAAAACACAAUUUUUCUGCCAUAUAUAACUGCAUUCAGUCAUUUUUGCUGACAUAUAGCUAAAGGUAAACCAUUUUUAUCGAUUUUUUUUUUUUUGGAACCCCGAGGAUAACCCGCAGCCGCUAUAACCUCUGCCACAGCCUCUGCCCUUCGGGUGAUCACUCUGUGGUGAGUACUUUGUGCACACUGGGUAAACCCACCACUGUGUAAUAGCCUGCAAACCACCCUCCAAACCAACUGAGCCUCCCGAAGGACUUUUUAUCGAAACUUCAAUUAUAUAAAACUUUCAAUAUCACAAUACUUAAACUUGUUCCAAAAUAAAUAGACAUGCAAAUUAAAUAAUGAUGUUCAAAUAUAGUAUCCGGUAAACAUUUAACGUUAGUCUAGUAGUGCCAAAAUUGAUUCAACCCAUUCAAUUACUUGCCUACCUUUUAAUGGGUUGGGCUUGAAAGAUUAUUUUGAUGGGCUAUAUUGGAGUUUGGACUAAAAUUAAGUUAGCCCAAAAACAAACCAACACUUGGGAGGACGUAUUAGAUGAGAUGUAUAAGAAUAAUAUUUAAUUAUUUAUAUAUAAAUUAGCAUAAUUAAAACUUUGUUUCUUAUUUGCUACUACAAAUAAAUAUUGCAAAAAUAAGGUCUAAAUGGACGGUUUGGCUAUGAUCCGUACUUAUUGUUUAGCCUAUUUUUGUUCAGUCUGUUUUAAUUUAAAGUGAAACUUCAGACAUAUUUGGUUAAUAUCAUAUUUAUUAAUUCAAUAUAUUUUAAGUCGUUCAAAUUCAAACAAACAGUCCAUAUGUCACUCUCAAAAUUAAAGGGGCCCCUACCUGUUUAUUAAGAUACAACAAGUAAUACCAUAUGGCACAAACACUACCUUUAUAAGAAAGACUAGUGUUGAUCAACGGAAGAAGUAUAAUGUACAAGUACAGGUGAACAGAAGGAGUACCUAUCACUAUUUAUUUUUUUUUGGUUUCCCAUCCGAUGUGUCUGAAGCCCACAUUGGAGCUCCGACUAAAUUUUUUGAUUCAACCAUCUCUUUGUCUACUUGAAUCGGAUAUUUUGAAUACCGCGGUUCGGAAUUCCAUUUUUCUCUGUAAAGUUGUUCAAUUGAUCCAUCAAGGAUAGGAGGGCGGAGAAGAAAGCUUACGAUUCUGUUGGUGUGAAGUGAGCGCAAGUUGGCACAGCGCUUUCGCUUUAAAAAAAUUUAGCUCCCCAACAAGAUUUUCUCCAUACACAGGGCUCGAACCCGAGACCUCUGGUUAAGGGUAAAACACUCGCACUCUGCAGGGUCCACGUGGUUGCCAGCAGGCUAUAUGUUAUUUUGUCAUUUUAUUUGUCAAACUAACAUUAUAUUCACCUCACUUAAACCAAAAACAGAUCUACGUACAAUUUAAUUUUUUUUUAAAAAAUAUCUUUUAUUUUUUCACAAAUUACUCAACAAGGAAUUGUUUGGAUGCUAAGCAAAUUAUAUUUUCAAGUUUAAGGUAUUGAGAUUAUAGAUUUGAAUUACCUAAAAAAAUGAAAAAGUUGAAGCAUGUUAUAGGAGAAAAGAUCUCGCUAAACAUAAAGGGUUAAUUUUCGAAGUCAAACCUUUUCAAAAUAAUCCUCAACAGCCUAAUAAGAUCUUUCACCAGAAAGAACAGUGCCAAAAAGAAAUAAUAAAGUUAAGUCGAUAGAAUUUUCAGAAGAAGAUGUCGUUCAUUUAAUGAGAAAUAAAAAGGAAUAUAAAAAAAUUCUAGUAUCCAUAAAAUCAUAAUACAAGUGAACAACAAAAAUUCUAAAUAUAGAGUAGGUCUCACCUUCUGAAUAAAUGAUACACCUUUACAUAAUUUUAACUAUCAUUUCCACAUUUUUCACACUUGUUAAUAAAAUAAUAAUAUAUAGUAUAAUUGCUAAGUUACACCUAUUUAUUAAAAUAUAUUUUUGAAGAAGUAUUCUGAUAAUUUGGUUCUAAGGGAGUAUUAAACACUUCACACAAUUAUAAAUCGUAAUUCUACGAAGAAGACGAUUCUCUUUGUCCUAAUUUAUAUGACACAUUUUUUUAGAUAAUUUUUUUUUGGUAAUAAAUGUAAAUAUUACCAUUAACAAUCCAACCAAUACACCUAAAGAGCACCUAACUACUCGACAGUGACCUUAUAUAGAAGGGGCUAUGUAAGUUAAGCCUCAAAUAAUAUCUAACUACAUGAUAAAUUGUUGAGUCAAAUAAUCACUAACUUUGGCCUUUCCUUGUCUUUCUAACUAUGUCUAAUCUUGCCUUGAAGCUUUGUUUUAUCUGUGUAAUUGUUGUAUCUAUAGUCACCUUUGCUCCCCUAUACAACUUCCAAUUCCUGGGCUACGUAGGUGUACUUAUCUACUUCAUUUAUUUUAAAGGUAAUUUUAGAAUACUGCAAAGUUUUCUCAUACACAAGUGUAUCAUUUAACUUGACCUAAAUUGGUAUUUGUGUAAUUUAACUUUUAAGUUGAAUAGUUAGACACACAAGUCUAACAUGAAAACUUGUCUAAGAUGCACGCGUCUUACAUGACAAAUCGCGUUAGAAUUGCCAUGUUGUUUGUGUGCAUCUUAUUGGUUCAAUAUUAUGAUAAUUUAAAUGUCUACUGGUACACUUAAAAGUUGGAGGAUUUUAAUAUCAUUUAAAAUUAAGUUAAAGGAUAUAUUUUUGUCUCUCUUAAACUCAAUAUCAAGUCAAAUUCCAUUAUAUAAAUUGAGACAGAUAGAGUACUAAACUUUUCUAGAAAACCGAAAUAAAGUUAAAAUCACCCUAUUAUUCUAUUAGAGAAUAAUACUACAAUUAAGACACUAAUUACACUGAAAAAAAAUCAAGAUUAUAGAAAGGACAAAAACUCAUGGUCUAGAAAAUGACUAUUCACCACAAUUUACCAAAACUUAUAUAUAUACUAGAUAUAGGACCCCGUGCCAGCACGGGGCCCAAUAUAUAUAUAUAUAAAUAAUAUUUUAUUUUUUGUUUAAUUUUUUUUAAUUUAUGUCAUAUUAUGGAAUUUGAGAAGUUAUUGAAAAUUUUAUAUGAUUUUUAAAAUAUUUUAAAUUGUUAGCUAUUGUGAUUUGUAGUACUUUUUUUAAACAUAAUUUUGAAAAUAAUAUUUACUAAUCUAUUUGUUCUAAUUUAUGUGGCAGAUGCAUAAUUUCAAAUAUUAACCCUUUUUUNNNNNNNNNNNNNNNNNNNNNNNNNNNNNNNNNNNNNNNNNNNNNNNNNNNNNNNNNNNNNNNNNNNNNNNNNNNNNNNNNNNNNNNNNNNNNNNNNNNNNNNNNNNNNNNNNNNNNNNNNNNNNNNNNNNNNNNNNNNNNNNNNNNNNNNNNNNNNNNNNNNNNNNNNNNNNNNNNNNNNNNNNNNNNNNNNNNNNNNNNNNNNNNNNNNNNNNNNNNNNNNNNNNNNNNNNNNNNNNNNNNNNNNNNNNNNNNNNNNNNNNNNNNNNNNNNNNNNNNNNNNNNNNNNNNNNNNNNNNNNNNNNNNNNNNNNNNNNNNNNNNNNNNNNNNNNNNNNNNNNNNNNNNNNNNNNNNNNNNNNNNNNNNNNNNNNNNNNNNNNNNNNNNNNNNNNNNNNNNNNNNNNNNNNNNNNNNNNNNNNNNNNNNNNNNNNNNNNNNNNNNNNNNNNNNNNNNNNNNNNNNNNNNNNNNNNNNNNNNNNNNNNNNNNNNNNNNNNNNNNNNNNNNNNNNNNNNNNNNNNNNNNNNNNNNNNNNNNNNNNNNNNNNNNNNNNNNNNNNNNNNNNNNNNNNNNNNNNNNNNNNNNNNNNNNNNNNNNNNNNNNNNNNNNNNNNNNNNNNNNNNNNNNNNNNNNNNNNNNNNNNNNNNNNNNNNNNNNNNNNNNNNNNNNNNNNNNNNNNNNNNNNNNNNNNNNNNNNNNNNNNNNNNNNNNNNNNNNNNNNNNNNNNNNNNNNNNNNNNNNNNNNNNNNNNNNNNNNNNNNNNNNNNNNNNNNNNNNNNNNNNNNNNNNNNNNNNNNNNNNNNNNNNNNNNNNNNNNNNNNNNNNNNNNNNNNNNNNNNNNNNNNNNNNNNNNNNNNNNNNNNNNNNNNNNNNNNNNNNNNNNNNNNNNNNNNNNNNNNNNNNNNNNNNNNNNNNNNNNNNNNNNNNNNNNNNNNNNNNNNNNNNNNNNNNNNNNNNNNNNNNNNNNNNNNNNNNNNNNNNNNNNNNNNNNNNNNNNNNNNNNNNNNNNNNNNNNNNNNNNNNNNNNNNNNNNNNNNNNNNNNNNNNNNNNNNNNNNNNNNNNNNNNNNNNNNNNNNNNNNNNNNNNNNNNNNNNNNNNNNNNNNNNNNNNNNNNNNNNNNNNNNNNNNNNNNNNNNNNNNNNNNNNNNNNNNNNNNNNNNNNNNNNNNNNNNNNNNNNNNNNNNNNNNNNNNNNNNNNNNNNNNNNNNNNNNNNNNNNNNNNNNNNNNNNNNNNNNNNNNNNNNNNNNNNNNNNNNNNNNNNNNNNNNNNNNNNNNNNNNNNNNNNNNNNNNNNNNNNNNNNNNNNNNNNNNNNNNNNNNNNNNNNNNNNNNNNNNNNNNNNNNNNNNNNNNNNNNNNNNNNNNNNNNNNNNNNNNNNNNNNNNNNNNNNNNNNNNNNNNNNNNNNNNNNNNNNNNNNNNNNNNNNNNNNNNNNNNNNNNNNNNNNNNNNNNNNNNNNNNNNNNNNNNNNNNNNNNNNNNNNNNNNNNNNNNNNNNNNNNNNNNNNNNNNNNNNNNNNNNNNNNNNNNNNNNNNNNNNNNNNNNNNNNNNNNNNNNNNNNNNNNNNNNNNNNNNNNNNNNNNNNNNNNNNNNNNNNNNNNNNNNNNNNNNNNNNNNNNNNNNNNNNNNNNNNNNNNNNNNNNNNNNNNNNNNNNNNNNNNNNNNNNNNNNNNNNNNNNNNNNNNNNNNNNNNNNNNNNNNNNNNNNNNNNNNNNNNNNNNNNNNNNNNNNNNNNNNNNNNNNNNNNNNNNNNNNNNNNNNNNNNNNNNNNNNNNNNNNNNNNNNNNNNNNNNNNNNNNNNNNNNNNNNNNNNNNNNNNNNNNNNNNNNNNNNNNNNNNNNNNNNNNNNNNNNNNNNNNNNNNNNNNNNNNNNNNNNNNNNNNNNNNNNNNNNNNNNNNNNNNNNNNNNNNNNNNNNNNNNNNNNNNNNNNNNNNNNNNNNNNNNNNNNNNNNNNNNNNNNNNNNNNNNNNNNNNNNNNNNNNNNNNNNNNNNNNNNNNNNNNNNNNNNNNNNNNNNNUAUAUAUAUAUAUAUAUAUAUUUAUUUAUAUAUAUAUUUAUAUAUUAUUAUAUAUAGUAAUAUAUAUGAUUUAAAUAAAAUAAAAGUAGGUGGGCCAUGGUGCCACGUGUCGAAAGAAGAGUGAAUUUUAUUCACUCUUCUUAUAUAGUAAAAUAUAAAUAUAAAAUAGCAUCUCUAACACUCUGGCAUUGAGCAGAUAAUGAUUUAAUGGAAUGAAAUCCCCAAAUUAGGGCUGAGAGUUGAGGGUACUUCGAAUUGACUUGCCACUGAUGGUAGGGAUAGUUUUGGGAUUUCACCGAAAAACUAUAGUGAGAGAAGGGAGAAGGGGGAUUGACUAUAAUGCCCUCAAUUUUUUUGUGGGGAGACUGUAAAAAGUUGUUGAGGUGAGGGUAAUUUAGUGCUUUAGUCGUUGAAAUUGAGCAAGAAUGAUAUUUGCAAAAAAUUAUAUUUUUCCACGUAAAAAUGGUGCUACGAAAUGAAUCUUGCAUCUAAUUCGACCUCAAAAUGUAAUUAUGAGGAGAAAAUUGUUAAUAAUUAUAUAAAAUGAUCAAAGUUUUGACAUCUCAAUCGAUAUGAGCACUCAACAAUUCCACAUGCUCGAUCAAACAUAUAGAAUCCGGAAAUAUAUAAAAAAAAAAAAUCAACAUAGAAUAAAUAAUAAAGAUUGAAACAAACUCAAACUCUUAAACCAUGAUGAAGGAAAAACAAAUCUUAGACAUUAUUAAAUUCGAACAUCUAACUUAUAAGGUGAUGUUUGAUUGCCCGAAAUCAUUUAAAGAGAAGUAGAGUUUCGCAUUUCACCCUAUGUGGAAACUUAAUAAUUUGAUUCGAUUAAGAAUAUCCAUAUGCAAAAAAGUUUUUCUUUAUCCAUGAAAUUAUAUGAUAUAAUUUUUCAAAGAACGAAAAUCUUUAGCACACCUAUCUUUUUACAACGUGUCAAUAAAGAUUGGUAUAUAAUUGCAUAAUAUAUAGUAGGUCCAAUUUUUCAUGUCUAGAUCUCAACAAUUAAAAGCCUGUCAAUUCCAUACUUGUGCUCUCUAUCACUCAUGAAAAAUAUGCAAAUAAUUUCAACCAUUCAAAUGCAAUAAAAUGAAAUGGCUUAGCACACCACCUGCCACGUUUAUAAAAAAUGAAUAUACCUGACUAUUUCAGAUUCGUAUUACGUAGAGCCUUAGAAACAUUUGAUUAAGAAAUGAGUAACUUCAUCUGCGAUAUCAUACCAUCUAGUUGUAAGAUAGUUUAUUCAAUCUUUAGGUGAAAUAAGAUAAAAUAAUUUUAAAUAAGAUAUAUUAUUUUAUUUAAAAUUAUUUUAUCUUAUUUUGUGAAAUUAUAGUUGCGGAAUAAUUUAGUUAGUAUAUCAAGUUAAAAAUCCCAUCAUUUUCCAUGCACCGUCCUAGCCUGUUACUGAUAAUUCAUGUCCUUUUAUUCUGUCCACUCAUAUUAUUAUCUAAUAGAAGUAAAAACUCUAUUAGAUGAAGUAUUUGAGUGGACCUAAGGGCUAGGUUUAGUUGGGUAUAAUUAUUUUUUUCAUUGGUUCAAAUAUUUUAAAAAAUAUUUCUUCUAAAAAAAAAAAUCAACAAAAAUGAGAAGGAAAAUGACUCUGUAAUAGAAUAACUUGGUAGUUGGAUAAAUUCAAAAUUAAUACAUGAAUAACGUAGUUAUUUAUGUAUUAAUUUUAUAUCAUGUUUGAUUUGCUAAUAGAAUAAAAAUUAUUUAUAUAUUUAUUUCAAACAAUAUUUGGUUGGUAAGUUUUCAAAUGUUGUUUAAAAGUUAUUCAUGUAUUAUUUUUAUAUGGUGUUUGGUAGUAUUUUUUGCAAUCAUACAUGACUAAUACUUACAUAACUUAUGAGGGAAUCGACGUAUAAUUUAUGCGGGAUGGAAGGUGGAAUAAGUUUUAUGGGUAUUAGUUAUACAUGUAUUAAAAUAGUAAUUACAAAUUUGUCCCUAUUAAUUUACUUUUAAAUGUAUAUUAAUUUACAACAAAUCAAAUAAUUAAUAUAUGUGAAAUAAGUAAUUAAUCGUCUUUUUCUUCGAGCUUUUUAUUUAGUUAAUUGCUUAAUUACUGUUAGUUUCUUUUACUUCAUUUUUUGUUAAUUGUUUUCUUUGGCGGUAAAAGGUAGUGACUAUCAAUUUUAAUUAAUUUCUUUGUUUAGUUUCUCUACAACGCACCGUCAAUAUAAAUUUUUUUUAGUUAUUUGUUAUUUAUUUUAAAUUAAAUUAUCUAUUGCUUAAUCAUAUUGAAUACAAUUACUUAGUUAUUUUUAGUUAUUUGUUAUUUAUUUUAUUGUUUUUAGCUAUUGAUAUUUAUUUAAUUUUAAUGUGUUGUUUAUAUAAUUGGUUAUUUUCAUGGUUGAUGAUAAAUAUUAGCUCACUAAUUUUUUUUUGAAAUUAAGAAAUAAAAUUAGCUCACUAAUUUGUUUAUAAACUCUACCUAACCAAACUCUGCAUAAUUAAUACAUGUAUAACUAAACCGUGCAUAAUUAAACUCUGCAUAACUAAAUCGUGCAUAAUUAAACUCUGCAUAACUAAUACCUACAUAACUAAUACAUAUAUAACUAAAUCCUGCAUAACUAAUAUAUGUAUAACUAAUACCAAUAUUACUAAAACCACAUUACUAAUACCUGCAUUUUAUCCAUCUAGCAUGACCCUUAAAUUUGUUGUCUUCUAUCACUUUUCUAAUCCCAAUAAUAUUUUGCUAGAAAAUGUGUAAAUAUUUUUAAGAUAAUAGUUUUUAACUUCGUGCGUGAUUUUUGAAUUAUUGACUUUGGACUUUGCAUACCCUUAAAAAGACAAUAAAUGAUAUGUAUUGUUUAUAAUAGUAUUGACUCUAAUUUAUAUUAAGUGAAUUUAUCUAUAUCUCCUUCUUUAAUUAUUAUUUUUUUUGGCCACAAAUUAUUUGUCAAAUAAUGAGCACAAAGUAUUACGUGUGAGUCUCUUGACAAAUUAAUUAAUAGCCAAUUUUAACACGCACCAAACUUGUGCUAAUAAUAUUCUUUAGUGAAAGAGAUAUUGAUGUGAGAUACUAAAUGAUUAAUUAGGGUGUAAAUCAUACUUCUUAUGAUAUAUUUGAAAAUUUUUAUAACAGAAAAGAUUCAUAUUUGUCUUCUUACUAUCAGAAAAAUGAUAUAGUUAUGACUUAUUAUUAUCAUACUUUUUUUUAUAUAUAUUUAUUUUUAUCAUCUAAUUUUGAAUACAUAUUUAUUCUUGGACUAUUAACUCUCACAUCUCACUCUUGUUAUGAUACGUGGCACCUAAAUUCCAAAAUAUCUGGAGAACGUGAUUACUUCAGGACAAAGGUCAAUUUUCAAGCCUUAAUUUUCGUGGCCAAUAAUUUUUUUAGGAUCUUUACAUAAAUAAUCAGAUAAAUUUACUGAUUGUUUUUUUUAGAAGUAGAUUAUCCACCGUAUAUAUAUAUAUAUAUAUAUAUAUUCACUAAUAUUAAUUUUAAGUUAUUGAGUAGACGACAACUUUGAUUAAUUUCUUUUGAUUUUGCUGUGUUACUUUCAUGAAUACCUGCAUGUGUCCCAUUAUUUCACAUGUCAUAUAUUAUAUGGUUGUGAAAUGAUCUUACAUAAAAACAAAACAUGUGCAAUUAUGUAAAAGGUCAGAAUUCUUGAAUAGUGGUGAAAAAGCAUCUUGUACCUAACUAGCUCUAUAAAAUAUCAAGCUAUAAACACGUAAUUACUUAUGAGUAAAUAAAAAAGUAUAUAAUUAGUAGUUAAAAAGAUUUGUUACAAACAACAGAUAAAAAAGAUAAGUGCAAUUUCAUAAUUACAAAAAAAAAAAAAAAAACUAGUGUUACAAAAUGAUUUCUAAGGGAUAGUUUUGGAAAAAUUAGGAAAAUUCACUUGAAUAACUAUCCUUCGAAAAAAAAUAGUCGACAAAUAUAUAACAUAUGUAUAUUAAUUAACGAUUGUGAAUAGUUUUCAUCGAGCAUCAAAAUAUGUAACUUUCCCUUGAUAUUAUCCCAUAUGUUUAGGUCAUGACCAGACAAUUUUUAUAUUGUUGGGGGUGGAAAUUAUACUCUUUAAGAGAAAAGUUUGAUGACUUUAAUUAUUAAGUAUUUAACACAAGAUAGAUUUAUAUAAAGACACAAGAAGUGACUACCAAGGUAAUUAGACAAAAAAAUGAUGCUCUUUCUACUCUUUGUAGCCCUUCCUAUCAUUCUUAUUUUCCUUCUUCCUAAAGCCAAAAAGGGUGCAAAAAACACACAGCCACCAGGUCCUGUUGGCCUGCCAUUCAUUGGAAAUUUGCAUCAAUUUGAUAGUUUAACCCCUCAUAUCUAUUUUUGGAAACUUUCUAAGAAAUAUGGAAAAAUAUUCUCAUUGAAACUUGGUUCUACUCCAAUGGUCGUAGUUUCUUCAGCAAAAUUAGCAAAAGAAGUGUUGAAGACACAAGAUUUAGUAUAUUGUAGUAGACCCUCUAUUCUUGGCCAGCAAAAAUUGUCUUACAAUGGUCGCGACAUAAUCUUUGCACCUUACAAUGACUAUUGGAGAGAGAUGAGAAAAAUUAGUGUGCUUCAUCUAUUUAGUCUCAAGAAAGUGCAAUUAUAUAAACCAAUUCGUGAAGAUGAAGUAUCAAGAAUGAUCAAGAAAAUAUCUCAACAUGCUGCUUCUUCUCAAAUUACAAAUUUGAGCAAUUUAAUGAUUUCGCUUACAAGUACAAUUAUAUGUAGAUUUGCUUUUGGUGUUAGGUUUGACGAUGAAGCACAUGAAAGGAAGAGAUUUGAUUAUCUAUUGGCUGAAACUCAAGCAAUGAUGGCUAGCUUUUUCGUGUCUGAUAUUUUUCCUAUUUUAGGUUGGAUUGAUAAACUUAAUGGAUUGACAGAUAGACUAGAAAAGAAUUUAAAGAAAUUGGAUGAGUUUUAUGAAGAACUCAUUGAGCAACAUCAAAAUCCCGAUAGGCCAAAAUCCAUGGAAGGAGAUAUCGUUGAUCUUUUGCUUCAAUUGAAGAAAGAGAAAUCAAUACCAAUUGAUCUCACUUUGGAGGACAUAAAAGGACUUCUCAUGGUAAUUUCACAUGUCUUAAUUAACUCAAUACAUUGUUAUUUUAAGAUAAUUCGAUUGUUAUUUUAAUUAAAUUAUUUGCUUGUAUAUAGGAUGUGUUAGUUGCUGGAUCAGAUACUAGUGCGGCUGGGAUAGUAUGGACAAUGACAGCUUUGAUGAAGAAUCCAAAAGCCAUGAAGAAAGUUCAAGAAGAAAUCAGAAAGUCAAUUGGGAACAAAGGCAUUGUGAAUGAAGAUGAUAUACAAAAUAUGCCUUAUUUCAAAGCAGUGAUAAAAGAGGCUUUUAGAUUAUACCCACCAGUUCCACUUCUAGUGCAAAGAGAAUCAAUGAAAAAAUCCACACUAGAAGGAUAUGAAAUUCAGGCCAGAACUAUAGUUCAUGUUAAUUCAUGGGCAAUUGCAAGGGACCCUGAAAUAUGGGAAAAUCCAGAAGAAUUUAUACCUGAGAGAUUUCUGAAUAGCGACAUUGAUUACAAAGGACAAAACUAUGAGCUAAUUCCAUUUGGAGCAGGUCGAAGAGGUUGCCCCGGAAUGACACUUGGGGUUGCAUCCAUGGAACUUGCAUUAUCAAAUCUUCUUUAUGCAUUUGAUUGGGAGUUACCUCACGGGAUGAAAAAAGAGGACAUUGACACAAAUGUUAGGCCUGGAAUUACCAUGCAUAAGAAAAAUGAGCUAUGUCUUAUCCCUAAAAGUUAUUUUUAGAUUUUACUCAUAUGUGAAUCUAAGACGAAUUUUGUAAUAAUAAAUUGUAACGAUUUUAAAUCUUGAAAUCACAUUUCACCCUCCUUCUAUUUUGAUAUUCUUCACCUUAUAACCCCUUUAGUCAUCCACUACUCAGGUUUAUUUUACACUACUCAAUGGACCUUAGUUAAAUUGGUGUAUAUAUAUAUAUAGUUAUAGUUAUGGUUAUAGUUAUUAUAAAAAUGUGUAUCGUAGAUCCAAAUCUUGAAUAAUGAAAUGAAUAUAACUCUUAAAAAGUUUUAAGAAUAAUAUUAUUUAUGAAAUUGUUAUUCUUUAGGCAGAUUCAGUAUGCUUCACUUUUGAGAUGUUUAGGCCAAGAGUACUGUAUAGGGAUUGUACAUUCAUGAGUUGUAGUUCUCAUGGAGUCAUGUGUGGACGUUAUCGCUCAUACAAGUCCCAAUCAAAAAGCAAAUUGCGCCCACAUUGAUAGAAGCUCAUCUGCCCAUGGUUUGAUCAAUUGAAAGACAUCCUCUUGGUGCAAUUACGUAAGUAACAAAAAGAAUUUAUUUUUUGUUUUAUGUUACUCUAGAUGAUUUUUAUACAUAAAAAAACUGAAAUUUAUUUUAAUUAUUGUAAAUGGUCGUAGGAGAUAAUUUAGUACCCCAUAUGUGCACCUUAAUAUAUAUUAAGACAUUUCAAGUGGCCAUUAUUUUGUGAAGCUGGACAACAAAAUGAUGCUCUUUCUACUCUUUGUAGCUUUUCCUAUCAUUGUUAUUUUUCUUCUUCCAAAAGCCAAAAAGAGUGGCAAAAACAAUCUGCCACCAGGUCCUAUAGGCCUCCCAUUCAUUGGAAAUUUGCAUCAAUUUGAUAGUUUAACCCCUCAUAUCUAUUUUUGGAAACUUACCAAAAUAUAUGGAAAAAAUUUCACAUUGAAAUUUGGUUCUACUCCAAUAGUUGUAAUUUCUUCAGCAAAGUUAGCAAAAGAAGUGUUGAAGACACAAGAUUUUAGUAUUUUGUAGUAGACCUUCUCUUCUUGGUCAGCAAAAAUUGUCUUACAAUGGUCAUGAUAUUGGCUUUGCACCUUACAAUGAUCAUUGGAGGGAAAGACGAAAAAUAUGCGUCCUUCAUCUAUUUAGUCUCAAGAAAGUGCAAUCUUUUAGUCCAAUUCGCGAAGAUGAAGUCUCAAGAAUGAUCAAGAAAAUAUAUGAACAAGCUAUUAAUUCUAAGAUCACCAAUUUGAGCAAUUUAAUGAUUUCGCUUACUAGUACAAUUAUUUGUAGAAUUGCUUUCGGUGUUAGGUUUGAUGAAGAAGGACAUGAAAGGAAGAGAUUUGAUUGUCUUUUAGCCGAAGCUCAAGCUAUGUCCGUUAGCUUUUUUGUGUCUGAUUUUUUUCCUUCUUUAAGUUGGAUUGAUAAACUUACUGGAUUGACAAAUAGACUUGAGAAAAUUUUUCAGGAUUUGGAUGAGUUUUACGAAGAACUCAUUGAGCAACAUCAGAAUCCCAACAGGGCAAAAUCCAUGGAAGGAGAUAUUCUUGAUCUUUUGCUACAAUUGAAGAAAGAGCGAUCAACUUCAAUUGAUCUCACUUUGGAUGACAUCAAAGGAAUACUUAUGGUAAUUUUCCGAACCUACCUACUUCUACAUGCAUCUCGCAUACAUGUAUACACAUAUACAUAAUCAUAUGCAUAUAUACAUAUGUGCAUCUGGAUACAUAUACAUAAUGGUGAAAACUGAACGAGUUGAAUCAAAUAUAUAUGGGUGGGUCAUCAUGGGUUAUUGAUCUAACCCAUUCAAAAUUUACUUUAGUCAAAAUGAGUUAGGUAAAGAUAGGUCAAAUGACAUGUCAUAAUUCAAUACGGCCCAACAUGACGACCUUCCAACCUUGUAUAUUUUGCAUUUCUAAAGAAAAAACAAAUGAAAGCUAACUUACCAUUCCUAAAUUGUUUGGUUAAGUUCUUCCAAAUUUAUGUAGGAUGUGUUCGUUGCUGGAUCGGACACUAGCGCGGCCGCAGUAGAAUGGGCAAUGACAGCCUUAAUAAAGAAUCCAAAAAUCAUGAAGAAGGUCCAAAAAGAAAUCAGAGAAACAAUUGGGACCAAAGGCAUUGUGAAUGAAGAUGAUAUCCAAAAUAUGUCUUAUUUCAAAUCAGUAAUAAAAGAGACAUUUAGAUUAUAUCCACCAGCUCCACUCCUAAUACCAAGAGAAACAAUGAAAAAAUCCACACUAGAAGGGUAUGAAAUUCAUCCAGGAACUAUAAUUCAUGUGAACUCUUGGGCAAUUGCGCGAGAUCCUGAAAUAUGGGAGAAUUCAGAAGAAUUUAUACCUGAAAGAUUCUUGAAUAGUGAUAUCGAUUUCAAGGGUCAAAAUUUUGAGUUGAUUCCAUUUGGAGCAGGACGGAGAGGUUGUCCAGGGAUUACACUUGGGGUUGCAUCUAUGGAACUUGCAUUAUCAAAUCUUCUUUAUGCAUUUGAUUGGGAAUUACCUUAUGGGAUGAAAAAAGAGGACAUUGACACAUAUGUUAAGCCUGGAACCACCAUGCAUAGGAAAAAUGAUCUUUGUCUUAUCCCUAGAAAAUAUUUCUAAAUAAUUUAGGGUGAAUUCUUUAAGAUCGCCUGAAUUUAUCAUUGCUUUCGAUUCGAAUUAUGUAUAUAUAUAUAUAUAUCGAAUAUAUUCUACCUUUCGCCUCUUUUGGUAUAUCAGAACUUUCUUUCUAGUUCUCCACUACUGCUUUGUUUAUUUCACACUAGUCAAUUAGAAUCUUAGUAAUUAGGCUGAUUAAUCCCUUUAAAACUUCUAUUGAAAUUCUAUUUUAUUAUUUUUGUUAGUUAAUUUACUUUCAUUUAUUCUGCUCGCAUAGAACCCAAAUCAUAUCAACAUUUAACUUUCAACUAAUUAAAUAAAACCCUAGUUUGAUCCUUUGUGCUCAUUAGAGCUGUCAAAAUGGGUUGACCCAACUCAACCCAACCCUAACGGGCUAGAGAGUUAAAUGGGUUGGGACAGGCUGACCCUUUAAUUAAAGGGCCUAUAAAAUAGCAGCCCAACCCAGUCCUAAGCGGGCCACGGGUUGGCCCUUCAACCAAAAACGGACAACAUUUUCCUCUUAGAAAGAAUACGAACGUUGAUGAAUUACACAUACUUCAGUGAAUAUUUACAAAACAAAUACAUAAUAGCCAAGAUACAACAUUCAUAAGUUUCAUCCGAGCAAAAAACAUUGCAUGAUCACUAUUUUCAUAAACAAGACAAUAAAGGAGAAGUGAAAAAUUAGGCAUAAAAACAAAAGUAAAAGGCGUCAAAGAUUCAUAGUUAUAAUGGAGUAAUGAACUUGAGCUAAUAAGAAAAUUUAGUGGGCUAAUGACCCUAAAAUGUAAAAGAUCUGUAAAGAAUAUAGUCUUUAUUUUACAUUGAUAUUUUAAAAAUAUUUAUUGACAAAAUCUUAACAAGUAAAACACUACUUAAAAUAUAUAUAAUAAAUAUUUUUAAAAUUCACAGCCCGCGGGCUGGCCUUAGAGGCUUGCGGGUUGGACCUACGAGGCCAGCGGGCCAAAUGAGGUUGCGCUUUAAAGCCUCGUUCCUAAAUGGGCUAAAAAAAUUGAACCCAACCUCAUUUAAUUCAAAGAUUGGAUUGGACCGGCCUAAUGGAUCAAAUCCAUUUUGACAGCUGUAGUGCUCAUGAAUCUUUUCAAAUUUAACAACGGAUUGUAUACCAUCACAUCAUUUAGUUACCUUUAUUUUUUAUUAAGUUUGUGUUGUUACUUCAUAUUUAAAGAAAAUAUAAUUCUAAAAAAUAGUCUAAUAAUAUAACAUUUCUUUUUUCUAUAUAAAAGGAAAAAGCACACACAAGUCAAUUGAUUAAAAUAAAAUAUACUUAAUCAUAUCUUACAAGUAUCAAGAUAUAAAAGUUAUCCAUAAUUGCGAAUUAAUUGGGUGUGCCAUUUUUCCCAUCAAUAUAUAUAUUGCCUCCUUUCCUUUUUAGUUGUUAUGACAAGGUUUAGCACAAUCUUUAAGAAAAUAUUAGUGAAGAGUGUUGUUUAACCAAUAUAUAUAUAUAUAUAUAUAUAUAUAUAGAUAUCUAAUGAAUUCUCUUGUAUUUAAAUUGACAAUUAUUUUGAAAUAAAUAUUUUUAGUAUACAUGGGAAUGGAUGGAGUUUAAUAUAGCCUUUGUCUAAUAAUGCUAUCUAAAUAUUUAUGCUGCCUAAUAUAUUUGUAAAUAAUAUUGAUUGCUAGAUAGAGGACAGAGAUAUUUUAUGAAAAAUAGCAAGGUGCCUAAUUUUAUGAGAAAAGUCAAAAGUUGCAACUUGCAACUUGCAACUUGGUGACAAGUACUGAAUUAUGGGACAAUAUGAUUUUUCCAUGUCACCUUUCAUGACUUAAAUGUACAAUUUACUUUUUAAAAAGAUUUNNNNNNNNNNNNNNNNNNNNNNNNNNNNNNNNNNNNNNNNNNNNNNNNNNNNNNNNNNNNNNNNNNNNNNNNNNNNNNNNNNNNNNNNNNNNNNNNNNNNNNNNNNNNNNNNNNNNNNNNNNNNNNNNNNNNNNNNNNNNNNNNNNNNNNNNNNNNNNNNNNNNNNNNNNNNNNNNNNNNNNNNNNNNNNNNNNNNNNNNNNNNNNNNNNNNNNNNNNNNNNNNNNNNNNNNNNNNNNNNNNNNNNNNNNNNNNNNNNNNNNNNNNNNNNNNNNNNNNNNNNNNNNNNNNNNNNNNNNNNNNNNNNNNNNNNNNNNNNNNNNNNNNNNNNNUAUAUAUAUAUAUUUUAUUUUUUAUUUUUUUUUAUUUUUUUUUAUUUUUUUUCUUUUUUUUUUCUUUGAGAUCGAUUGAGAUCCCUUCCAAUAAGUUUAAUUAGUCAUGUAUUAUUCAAUGGUUAACUAAGAUUAUGUCACAUCAUUUAUUUAAAAUCAAUGGCUGUUAUUUAUUUGAUACUAAAAAUACAAACAAUAAUAGCUUAAGUCAUUCCCGGCCCCUAAAAGUUGUCCACAUAAUUCGCUUAAACACUUUAACUAAAACUUAUACCUAUUGAACACCUAUACCCUUUAAAAUUAAUGCUUAUUUGACAUUUUUUUUACAAUCAGCUCAAAAUAUUAGAUAUGUAAUACACUCGUUGUGACAUGACAAAUUGAUAAAUAAAAUGAUGACAUGUGCCAUUUAAAUCUAAAAAUGUAUUCAAAAAAAUAACUAUUUCAGUCUAUUUAACUAACUAAAAAAUUAAAAAAGAAUUUUCUAAAAAAAAACCACCUACACACCACGCCAUCCCUUUCACCGGCUAAAAGUUAAUUUCCCUUUCAACCGAAUAGCAUAAAAAAUUUUCACUCAUUUCCUUCAUUUUCUUUCCAUUACUAAUCAUUUAUUAUAAUUACAAGAAAAAUAAUAACUUUUACCGGAAAAAAAUUAAUUCCUAUUAUCUUCAUCUGGAAAAAUAGAGUUAUAUCGAUAUAUUUGAGACUUAGAGCCUGUUUGGAUGGGCUUUUAAGCUGGUCAAACUGGCUUAAAAGCCAGUUUUUAACUUAUUAGAGUGUUUGACAAUUAUCAAAGUGACUUAUUUUAAGUCAAAAAUGACUUAUUUUAAGCCAAAAACUAAAAGCUAGGUGAGGGGUGUUUUUUUUUUUUUAACUUAAAAGCCCUUUUAUGUUGACCAAGUAUAUUACCUUUUUGCCCUUAAUUCUUUUAUACAAUUCCCAAAUUGUCCAUAUUGAAUUAACCCUAACAACUUCUUCUUCUUCUUCUUCUUGUUAUUUUGUUUAUUAUUAUUAUUAUUAUUCUUAUUAUUAUUAUUAUAUUAUUAUUAUUCUUAUUAUUAUNNNNNNNNNNNNNNNNNNNNNNNNNNNNNNNNNNNNNNNNNNNNNNNNNNNNNNNNNNNNNNNNNNNNNNNNNNNNNNNNNNNNNNNNNNNNNNNNNNNNNNNNNNNNNNNNNNNNNNNNNNNNNNNNNNNNNNNNNNNNNNNNNNNNNNNNNNNNNNNNNNNNNNNNNNNNNNNNNNNNNNNNNNNNNNNNNNNNNNNNNNNNNNNNNNNNNNNNNNNNNNNNNNNNNNNNNNNNNNNNNNNNNNNNNNNNNNNNNNNNNNNNNNNNNNNNNNNNNNNNNNNNNNNNNNNNNNNNNNNNNNNNNNNNNNNNNNNNNNNNNNNNNNNNNNNNNNNNNNNNNNNNNNNNNNNNNNNNNNNNNNNNNNNNNNNNUUUAUUAUUAUUAUUAUUAUGUUUAUUAUUAUUAUAUUUAUUAUUAUUCUUAUUAUUCUUAUUCUUCUUAUUAUUAUUAUGUUUAUUAUUAUUAUUAUUAUGUUUAUUAUUAUGUUUAUUACUAUUCUUAUUCUUAUUAUUAUUCUUAUUAUUAUUAUUAUUAUUCGUAUUAUUAUUAUGUUUAUUAUUAUUAUUAUGUUUAUGUUUAUUAUUAUUAUUAUUAUCAUUAUGUUUUUUUUUUAAGUAUAAAAACCUUAAAAUAAUCAACUUUUUAUCGUGUUAACAACUUUAAGGGUAUUUCAGACAUUUUGAUUAAAAAAAAGUGUUUACCAGCACUUAUUUGUCAAACACAUCAACAGUUUUUUUUUCAACUGCAGCGCUUUUAUCCAAACACAUAACUAUUUAUUUUAAAAAUAAGUUCCACUUUAAAAAGUUACUUUUUAAAAGUUAUUUUUUUUAAGUCAAUCCAAAUGGGCUCUUAGAUCUAUGUAGUAACUAAACAAUUAAAGAAGGAAAAAAGCAUAAAGAAAUGGAGAGAGUGAGAGAAAGAAAGAAAGAGAGAGAGGUGGAGGGGGUGUGGUGCAAGGAGAUGAUAGCAAAGAGAUGACAUUUCUAUGACAAGUUGGCUGUAAAUGGGGCCUUUUCUUCUUCUUCUUUUUUCUUUUAUUUUUGCUAAUUAGUUUUUUUUUUUUUUUUUAAUAAUAGUUGUAUAAGUUGGAAAAUAAAAAAUAGUAAAAAAAAUAUUUCAACUGUUUAACGCGUUUAAAAAGGGUGAAACACACCUUUUUUUUGCCAUGUCAAUAUUUUGUGUUUAAUAAGAAUGAUUUUUGAACAAAUAAGUUCAAUAGGUACAAAUCUUAAUUGAGGUGUUUAAGUGAAAUAUGCGGACAACUUUAAAUGAUUGUGGAUGACUUAAGCCAAUAAUAAUUCACUAUGAAUUUCUCUUUUCAACCUCACUCCUUUGUUGCCACUUGCCACCACACAUCGUCUUCACAUCUCUCAUAUUUUAGAUAUUCGAAUUAAGUUUUGUUUCAAUUGAACACUUUAAGUUCUAAUAAUUAAUUUCAAUUUUACAUUUUUUAUUCAAAUUAAUAAAAAAGCUUUUACGUGUAAUUUCAUUCAUCUCUUAAAUAGUUAAUUAGCCUAACAACAUUAAAUAUGUUAUUUUCUUUAAUACUACGCAUCCGAUAGUUCAAUGAACCAUUAAACUUCAGACAUUUUCUAUUUAACAUUGAAAAUAUUUGUCUUCCUAUCAAAUACACUUAAUAUUUGUAAUUUAUCAAUGAAUAGAAGCCGUUGGAUUACAUAUAGCGAUGACGUGGCAUAAUCUUAGCUAACCAUUAAACAAUGCUGGAGAGGAUGUGAUUUUAUAGAUGCAAUGUCCAUUUUGCCGGCUACGAAUUUAUAGGAUAUAAUAUGGGUACGUGAAUUUAUAAUUAUUUUUGUAAAAUGAAAUUUUUUUAUAUAAUAAUUUUAUAAUAUUAUCUGUUGACAUCAUAAUACAAAAAAAUUUAAAUAAUCCACUUGAUCGAAUGUUGUUGCUCUAUAAAUGUAUAACUCUUCUUCUUUUUCCUCCUUUUAGUAUUCAUCUUAUUAAGGAUUUACAUUAUCAGUUUAAUAUAACGCUUACUGACAUAUAAAAAAAUAUUUUGUUGCAAAUAAACAAGAUAUUGAGGAAUUGUUUGCCGCAUGUUGUCCGUCUUAUUUUUCAUGUAUAUGGUUCCUCUUGUUAUGUAUAAUUACUUAUAUGUCAAGCAAAUUGAAAUGAAUAGUAUAUCUUUUUAGGUGGCGUGAUAGUCUAAAAUUCUUUUAAUUAUAUUAUAUUGACCAGAAGUCAUAUACUCCUUAUCUUUAAUAUAUAUAAAAAAAAAGGGACAAGUUUGACCCAAAGAUCCAUUUUUUUUUUAUAUAUGUAGGCCAUUUCAAGUGACUUGCAUUAUUUUGUGUAGUUGGACAACAAAAUGAUUCUCCUUCUACUCUUUGUAGCCUUUCCAAUUUUGCUCAUUUUUCUCCUUAGUGGAAAAAGAAAUCUGCCACCAGGUCCUAUAGGCCUUCCAUUUAUUGGAAAUUUGCAUCAAUAUGAUAGUUUAACUCCUCAUCUCUAUUUUUUGAAACUUUCUAAAAAAUAUGGAAAAUUUUUCUCAUUGAAACUUGGUUCUUCUACUAUGGUGGUAGUUUCUUCAGCAAAAUUAGCAAAAGAAGUAUUGAAGACACAAGAUUUAGUAUUUUGUAGUAGACCUUCUCUUCUUGGACAACAAAAAUUGUCUUACAAUGGUCAUGAUAUUGCCUUUGCACCUUAUAAUGACUAUUGGAGAGAAAUGAGAAAAAUUUGUGUGCUUCAAUUAUUUAGUCUAAAAAAGGUACAAUCUUUUAGUCCGAUUCGUGAAGAUGAAGUAUCAAGAAUGAUCAAGAAAAUAUCUCAACUAGCUGCGUCUUCUCAAAUUACAAAUUUGAGUAGUUUAAUGAUUUCAUUAACAAGUACGAUAAUUUGUAGAGUUGCUUUUGGUGUUAGGUUUGAUGAAGAAGCGCACGAAAGAAAGAGAUUUGAUUAUCUUUUAGCUGAGGCUCAAGCUAUGAUGGCUACCUUUUUUGUGUCUGAUUUUUUUCCUUCUUUAAGUUGGAUUGAUAAACUUACUGGACAGACAGAUAGACUCGAGAGAAAUUUCAAGAAUUUGAAUGAGUUUUAUGAAGAACUCAUUGAGCAACAUCAGAAUCCCAAUAGGCCAAAAUCUAUGGAAGGAGAUAUUCUUGAUCUUUUGCUUCAAUUGAAGAAAGAGCAAUCAACACCAAUUGAUCUCACUAUGGAGGACAUAAAAGGACUUCUAAUGGUAAUUUCCAUGUCUCGAAUCUAUCUAGUAGUACAUGCGCUCGCACACAUAUUUAAUUAUAUAUGCAUAUAUAUACAUAUGUACAUUUGUACGAAUGUAGAGGUGACAAAUAAAUGGGCAGGUUGAAUCAAACAUAAAUUAUCGUUCAAAAUAUAGUUAAGUUAAAAUGAAUUGUAUUAAGAUCGGUCAAAUGAGGGGUCAUAAUUCAAUACGCCCACCAUGACACAACCUCCCAUCCUUUUAUAUAUUUUGCUUUCUAGAAAAAGUUGAAAACUAAUUUGGACUGUAAUAUAUGACCCAUCUUGUUACACUAUUUGAGUAUUUUAACCCAUUAGUAUAACACUAGAGAUAUAGUGAAUUAAAUCAAUCUAGAAAAUUACAAACAUCUUUUAAGAGCCAACUCGAACACCUCCUUAAAAUUAAGAACAUAGUAAUAGGUACUUUGGAGAUAUCCUUAAACUAGAAGAGCUUUAGUAACGAGGAUUUAGAAUAUCACAUAUUGAUCAAUUAAAGAGAGAUUCAAUAUACAACUCGUUUAAAUUUAGUAGGGCGGAUUACUAAAAGAUGAAUUGAUUUUGCCAUCUCUAAUAUGUAGCAUAGAUGUGUCCAUUGCAUUGACAAAUUUCUUUUCUUAUUAAUUCACUGUUAAUUUUGUGUAGAAUGUGUUGGUUGCUGGAUCAGACACUAGUGCAGCUGUAGUAGUAUGGGCAAUGACAGCCUUGAUGAAAAAUCCAAAAGUCAUGAAGAAAGUUCAAGAAGAAAUUAGAAAAUCAAUUGGGACCAAAGGCAUUGUGAAUGAAGAUGAUAUUCAAAAUAUGUCUUAUCUCAAAGCAGUUAUAAAAGAGACAUUUAGAUUAUAUCCACCAGAUCCACUCCUAAUACCAAGAGAAUCAAUGAAAAAAUCCACACUAGAAGGGUAUGAAAUUCAGCAAGGAACUAUAGUUCAUAUUAACGCAUGGGCAAUUGCAAGGGAUCCUGAAAUAUGGGAAAAUCCUAAAGAAUUUAUACCUGAGAGAUUUUUGAAUAGCGAUAUUGAUUUCAAGAAAGAAGAUUACCAGUUAAUUCCGUUUGGAGCAGGAAGAAGAGGAUGCCCCGGGAUUACACUUGGAAUUACAGCCAUAGAACUUGCAUUAUCAAAUCUUCUUUAUGCGUUUGAUUGGGAGUUACCCUAUGGAUCGAAAAAAGAGGACAUUGACACAAAUGUUAGGCAUGGAAUCACCAUGCAUAAGAAAAAUGAUCUUUGCCUUAUCCCUAAUAAAUAUUUCUAAAUACACUUCCACAAUAAUUUAGGGUGAGUUAUCAUUGCUUUCGACUCGAAUUCUGUGUACAUAUUUUCAAUAAUGUGAAUUUGAUUUAAUAAAAUCAUACUGAUUAUGAUUUUCUUUAGUUCUCCACUACUCUUGUUUAUUUGAAACUAUUCAAUAAACCUUAGUUAGGCUGGUGUAUUAUAAUUGGGGAAGAUAUAAUAGUAUAAUUGUCAGGAAAGUUUGUUAAAGAAUAAAAAAAAAAUUCACGUCGAUAGAUAAUGAGAUGAUAAUUCUUUCUUCUUUCAAUAUGUCUAAUAUAUUGAUUGCAUAUAGUGAGCAUGUAAUGCUAUGCCAUGGUUUUUUUCUUUGAAAAAAAGAAGUUACAAUUACUUGAAGGUAUGUACACUAACUAGUUAUUCCAAAAAAUAUUUGGUCCCACUUUCACUUUCAUAAUUUCCAUUUUAUGACUAUUUCAUAUGGUUUAAUUGAAAUGAUAAAAAUUAUGAGUAGUACAUUCUUGACCAACUUCAAUUUGUGCACAAAAAAAUCCAACUCACUCUCCAAUUUUUAACCAUAGAAUUUUAUCCCCUUUUAUCAUAGGAAAAAAUAAUCAUUGAGAGGUGAGUUUAUAAAUGCAAUGUUUCGUUUAUUUUGAACUAUGGAUUAUGACAUUUCUUCUUGCUUCACACAUAUCAAUAAAAAGAUUAUCAUUUAUUACCCACAAUUAACAUGUUAAUUAAGACUCUAUAGUAGUAAAUUACACAUGAGGGAUUAAGGGGGUGUUUGAAUGGGCUUUUUAAAAGUUACUUAUAAGUCAAAAGUAAAAUUCAUACGUUAGAGACACCCAACUUUUGAUUUUUGAUUUUUUUUUUGCUACUUUUUCGAUCUGAAAAAAGUGCUUAAGUUGCCCAUACACUUCUAAAAAAUAGUUUAAAAUCCAAAAACCACUAAAAAUAAGUCAAUCCAAGCACCCACAUCUAAGCAUUGAAAGAUUAGACUGCUAAUAUAAUUAGUACUCAUCACAUAAUCAAGAAUUUAACUAAUAUACAUUGACAACAUAAUUUGUUUUUACACUAUCAGUUCAAUUUAACAUGUUACGGCAAGUUAUAUGCGUUAUAGGUUGUUUGACCAAUUUUUUUUUAAAAUUAAAAAUGUUUUAUACACUUUAUUUUUUAAAGAAAUGUGCUUAUUUUAGAGAGUUGAGAUGUUUUGCCAAUUUUUUAGGAAGAAAAUGAAAGCUUCUGAAUUAUUGUGAAAAAAAAUAGUUUUUCUCAAAAGCACUUAUGGAACCUUAGACAAGCAAAAAAUGUUACUCUAAUAUUUAUAAAAGUAAUUUUAUUAAAUUUAUUAAUCAAACACUUUAGAAUUGUUGAAGAAACUACUAACUGCAUUGAUCGGGAUCGAUCUCACUGACCCCUUGCUUCACCACGCUCAAGCCGGAGGCUCAGUGACGGAUCCAGAAAUUUUGUAUCAUGGGUGCUCAACUAUUUUUAGCUGGGAAAAUGCUACAUAUAAUGGGUGCUCAGUUAAUAUAUUUCAAUACAUUUCUAAAUUUUGUACAUAAAUAAGAAUGUUGACACAAAAGGUAGUGGGUGCUUAAUUACCCGUAAGUGACUACAUAGGUCCGCCACUGCGGAGGCUUCAAUUGUUAGAGCUCACUUCACACCAACAAAAUCGUAAGCUUUCUUCUUCGCCUCAGCUUGAGAGCUCCUUUCUACAUCAAGACCUGGCCCUCGCUAUUCUCCAAAAAGUACUUUCACGGAAAAUAAGCAUGACCAAAACAUACUAGCAACUAGCAUUAUUUUCUAAGUAACCAGUUCCACUGUUCCAAUUGUAUGGUUAGGUACUAUAUAUUUUAGGUGACCACACUAUUACUUUUUUAUGGUAUCAGUGAAAAAAAUAUAAAAAGAAAAGUCUAGCCAACAUCUAUUAUAUUAGUAUUUUAUUUAGGGAAAAAUGUCAAAAAUGCCCUUAAACUAUAUGAAAGGAAUAAAAAUGUCCUCAGUUUAUAGUUUGGCUCAAAAAUGCUCUUACCGUCAAUAGUUCAAAAUGCUCUUUAAACUAUGCGAAAGGAACAAAAAUGCCCUCCGUUUGUAGUUUGAUCCAAAAAUGCCCUUGCCGUCAAUACUUUGGUCCAAAAAUGUCCUUAUUGUUAUUUAAUGGAUCAAAAAUGCCCAUUUUACAAAUAAAUAUAUUAUUAUUUUCUUUUUAACACUUCAUUUUUCUAUUAAUGUUUUUUUAAAUUAGCAAAUGUUUAUCUUACUUCAAUUAAAAAAAAUGAAAAUAUUUUUUAUUUUAUUAUCAUUAUUUUUAUCGUUAUAUAAAUAUAAUUUAAUGAUGGAUAUACUAUGAUUUAUAUAUAUAUAUAUAUAUAUAUGACAUAUAUUAUUUGUCGAAAGGGUACAUGAAAUUAUUCUAUUUUAAUUGAUAAAAUGAGAUUACGAAGAAAAAUAAUAUUUCCUACAUUUUUAUUUGUUAAAGUGAUUUAAUAGAAGAAAGAAAACAAGAAUAGUGUUUUUAAUAAUAUUUUAAUUAGGAAGAAAAUGUGUUUAAAAAAAAAACAAUAUUAUAUUUAUUCGGAAAAGGGCAUUUUUGACCCAUUUUGUAACUAUAGGGGCAUUUCUGGACCAAAGUAUUGACUGCAAGAACAUUUUUGGACCAAAGUAUUGACAAUAAAGACAUUUUUUAGUCAAAUUAUAAACGAAGGACAUUUUUAUUCCUUUCACUAGUUUAAGGACAUUUUUUACCCUUUUCCCUUUAAUUUAUAUAUAUGACAUCUCAAGUGACUAGUAUUUCGCAAAGUUAAACAAAAUGAUACUCUUUCUACUCUUUGUAGCCUUUCCUAUCCUUCUUAUUUUUCUUCUUUCUAAAGCCAAAAAGAGUAGCAAAAACAAUCUGCCACCAGGUCCUAUUGGCCUUCCAUUCAUUGGAAAUUUGCAUCAAUUUGAUAGUUUAGCCCCUCAUAUCUAUUUUUGGAAACUUUCCAAGAAAUAUGGAAAAAUAUUUUCAUUGAAAUUUGGCUCUACUCCAAUAAUUGUAAUUUCUUCAGCAAAAUUGGCAAAAAAAGUGUUGAAAACACAAGAUCUAGUAUUUUGUAGUAGACCUUCUCAUCUUGGGCAGCAAAAAUUGUCUUACAAUGGUCGCGACAUAGUCUUUCAACGCUACAAUGAUUAUUGGAGAGAAAUGAGAAAAAUAAGUGUUCUUCAUCUAUUUAGUCACAAGAAAGUGAAAUUAUUUAGUCCAAUUCGCGAAGAUGAAGUCUCGAGAAUGAUCAAGAAAAUAUCUCAACAAGCUAGUGUUUCGCAAAUAACUAAUUUGAGCAAUUUAAUGAUUUCACUAAGUACUACGAUUAUUUGUAGAGUUGCUUUUGGCAUUAGGUUUGAUGAAGAAGCACAUGAAAAGAGGAGAUUUGAUGAACUUUUAGAAGAAUCUGCAACAAUGUUGACUAGCUUUUAUGUUUCUGACUUUUUUCCUUAUUUAGGUUGGAUUGAUAAAUUCACUGGAUUGACAAAUAGACUUGAGAAGAAUUUCAAGGAUUUGGAUGAGUUUUAUGAAGAACUCGUUGAGAAGCAUGUUGAUCCCAAUAGGCCAAAAUCCAUGGAAGGGGACAUUCUUGAUCUUUUGCUCCAAUUGAAGAGAGAUAAAUUAACACCAAUUGAUCUCACUUUGGAGGACAUAAAAGCAAUUGUCAUGGUAAUCUUCUUAGUAAUAUAUAUAUAUAUAUAUAUGAUUUAUCAUAGGUAUAUUAGUUUUACACUAGUUGUCAACCUAUAGUGAACCUCAUCUUUUAUCCAAACAUGGGAGCCACAUUUGUCAGCAAAGUCACACAAUUGGAGUUUUAGUUUUACACGGUACCGGCUGUCAACCUAUACUAAACCUUAUCUUUUAUCCAAACAUGGAACCCACAUUUGUCAGCAAGUUCACACAAUUAGAAUUUUAAUGAUGCUAAUAUGUUGAUUCUAGGUAUAAUGUUUGUUAAAAUCUUUUAGUCCUGAUUUAUAUGCCAAUAGAAAUAUAGAAAUUUUACUAUAUAUUAUUUUAGUGAUAGAAGCACUUAUAUAUUUUUCUUUUUUGAAGUCAAAUAAUAUUGCAUCGAGACUAGCUUUAAUGGAGCGCAAUGAAUAAUCUAGGACGGAAUUGAGAAAUAUAUAUAUAUAUAUAUAUAUUUUAUAUUAUAAGUGGGAAGUCUUUAUGUCAAAAGUUGAAUUACAAAAAUAUCCUUAUAAUAUCAUAAUCUUUAUGGACAAAAAUGUAAAUAUACAUUAAAUAUAAAUAAAACUAUUGUAUUUUCUAUUAAACACUAUUAUUACAUAUUUAUGAACAAAAAUAUAAAUACACAUUAAUUAUAAUAAAUAUCAUAAUAUAUUUAUAAUAAUAAUAUUAAUAUUCUAAAAAUGGAGAACUCACAAUCUAUGACAUGAAUUAAUAUAGAUACAAUGAAUAUUUGUACAAUUGGAUGAUAUCCUAUAUUAAAUGACAAAAGGAAAUCAAAAGUUUUGCAACAGUUAAAAUGACCCUUAAGUGUACCUCAGUUACUCCUACCGUGCAAAGGUAUAAAAAUUUUUUCAGAUGAAUUAUAUUCAUAACAUUAUAUUAAAUGCUAAGUAAUUGCUUCAAUAAAUACUUAACUAUGGAAGCUUGCAAUAGUUGUACUUUUGAUUUUCUUCUGUUAUAAUUAGCACAGACUAAUGAUGAAUUAUAUACUUGGUAAAUUAACAUUAUAUUAAAUGCUAAGUAAUUGCUUCAAUAAAUACUUACUAUGGAAGCUUGCAAUAGUUGUACUUUUGAUUUUCUUCUGUUAUAAUUAGCACAAACUAAUGAUGAAUUAUAUACUUGGUAAAAUUAAAUUAUCUUAUAAUAUAUAUAUAUUAAAAGUGGGAACAAAAAAAGUUAAAAGCUGAAAUACCAAAAGAAUCCUAUAAAGUUGAGUUACUACAAUAAUAUCAUUAUUAAUUAUUAAUUAUUUCACUAAAAUGGAUUAAAAAAAAGUUAAAAGUUGAAAUACCAAAAUAACCCUAUAAAGUUGAGUUAUUAUUCAUAAAUAAUAAUUAAUAUCCAUAAUAGUAAUGAAUCAAAAGUUAGUUUACAAUUUUAUCCUUGAAGUAAAAGCAAAUCUUCAUUUAAAUAACUUUUGUUUACAUAAGAAAAUAUAACAAAAUUCAUUAGCCCCUCAAAUUCAAUGAAUCCAAAUACUAUAUUAAUGCUUGCUUUCUGAAAAUGUUUACUGCCAUAAUUUUUUUAUCUCUUUCACCUUCUCCUUCACUACAUGUUUAGAGGAACAAAAACGUUUGGUGAGGGCGAGGAAGGCAUUGUGUAACAACAAUUAAUUAUGGUCUGGUCACAUGUGUAUAGGUUCCCUAAAUUAUUUCACUCGUUAAAUUUUCUUUCUUUCAUCUUCCAUAGAGUCUUUUUACAUUCUUCAUUUAUAUUAAUAUUAAAUUUCUUGAUUUUUAUUGGUUGUACAUAUGUGUAGUUUAUCUUCUCCAUGAUAUUUAGUAUGGUCAAUCUUUUCAUAUUCUUUAAAAUACUCUAUAAAGUGCAUCAUAAGGUGUGUUUGUCCCGUUAUUCCAUUUGCCUUCUUUCGAUUAGAUUUCUCCUCCAAGAAGAGUCUACUUCAGGUAAAUCUAUUCCAAUUGAUUUAGCUACAUAUAUUUACCACUUUUUGUAUUAUUGCUAAGCUAGCAGAAUAUUCACUUCUUUUAGUAUAAUAUGUAUUUCUGAAAAGCUUAUGUUGUAAUAAAACUCAAAUUCAGAUAGAAGUAAUUGAUCUGUGAAAUUCUUUGCAUAUUUGAACUUUGAAGUGUGGACAUGGACUAUGUUUGGAGCACACAAGUUCACAUUUGACUGUGUGUGUUUGUGUAGUUUAAAAUUGUAUGGAAUACACGUGCUUUUGCACGUGUCCAAGGACUAGUAUUACUAUAAGUGGGAACAAAAAAAGUUAAAAAUUGAAUUACAGUUUUACUCCUAUUAUAAAUUAAAAUGUUAUAAAACAUUUAACUGUUAAAUUUAAAUAUUAAAUUGUAUAAUUUUAAUUAACAUGUUAAUGACUUUUGUACUUCCUUAGAUUAAUUCCUAAUUAAAAUAUCUAAUUUAAUAAUAUUUAUCAUCUCUAAUCUAUAUGUAUAUAAUAAUAAAUUAAAAAUCCAAAAAUCUCUACAUAAAUUAGUCAACUUUUCUUCUCAUAACCGUUUUCGUAACUAUUCUUAUAAAUAAUAUAAUUUAUGUGGAUAAAGUAUUAUCCUUUAAGAUAAAUAAAGAAAUUUAAUAAUUUAAAAUGGUGCAAAGCCACAAAAUGGAGACACACACAUUAUUGGUUUAGAUAUUCAUAUUCAUACCUCAUAUCUAAUUACUUAUUCAAUUUUUAUACUUUUGAUAUCCAUAACUCUCAUCUUUUUCAUAACCAUAACCUCUAAAUAUUUAAUUUAAAAUUUUAUGAUAUCUUUUGGUAUUCCUUCAUUUCUGUCUAUAUAAAUUCAACUUUUUUAUUUCAUGAAACUACUACCAAGGUUAUCAUUUUUAUUCUAUAGUUAAAGUAGUUAAAGUAUAUGAAUCAGACUCUUGAAUUUUGAUAGGAUAUGGGAGAAAGAGUCGAUAAGAACUCGAAAAAUUAUGUACUAAUUUUGUGUUUGUUUUUCCAUCUAUAUUAUUACGAUCAAAGUCUUAACAAGUAUGUAUACAUUGUAUUUUUUUCCUUCUCUAUUUUUGUGUGUUUUUCCUCUAUUAGACUUCUUAAUUUAGUUUUCUAUGAAUGCUUUAUUGCCGCAAGUCUGUAUUCUUAUUUGCGCUCAAAUUAGCCAUUUGUGACUUAAUUGAAAGUUUGCUACUAUUAACCAAAGUUCAAAAGUUACAGUUGGUUGAUUAAAACAAAUUUAAUUUGAAACAUCAAAAUAUGCCCUUCAUUUGGCGGUUUUUUUGUUUAUAUUAUUAAAGAUUUAUUUAUAAUUGUUGUAUUAUAUUACUCAUUACCUGCUCUUUACAUAUAUAUUUCCAUAAAAUUUUAGUCAUUCUAACAUAUCUAUAAAAAUUCACAUGGAACACACGUGCGCUUUCUCUCUAUAUAUAUAUAUAUGUUGAUGGGUAGGUAGCACACAUGCGGUUCACAUUCCCAGCUUGAAACUUCCUCGUGAAUUGAUAUUUCUAAUUAUUUUUUUCUUUGUAGAAUGUGUUACUUGCAGGAUCAGACACUAGUGCCGCUGCAGUAAUAUGGACAAUGACAGCCUUGAUGAAGAAUCCAAAAGCUAUGAAAAAAGUUCAAGAAGAAAUGAGAAAAUCAUUCAAAAAGAAACGCGAUAUAUUGAAUGAAGACGAUAUCCAAAAUCUUCCCUAUUUCAAAGCAGUGAUAAAAGAGUCAUUUAGAUUGUAUCCAUCAGUUCCACUCCUACUGCCAAGAGAAUCAAUGGAAAAAUCCAUACUAGAAGGGUAUGAAAUUCAACCAGGAACUAUAAUUAAUGUUAAUGCAUGGGCUAUUGCACGAGAUCCUGAAAUAUGGGAAAAUCCAGAAGAAUUUAUACCCGAGAGAUUCUUGAAUAGUGACAUCGAUUUCAAAGGACAAGACUUUGAGUUAAUUCCAUUUGGAGCAGGAAGAAGAGGAUGUCCAGGGAUUGCACUUGGAGUUGCAUCGAUGGAACUUGCAUUAUCAAAUCUUCUUUACGCGUUUGAUUGGGAGUUGCCUUGUGGGAUGAAAAAAGAGGAUAUUGACACAAAUGUUAAGCCUGGAAUUACCAUGCAUAAGAAAAAUGACCUUUGCCUUAUUCCUAAGAAUUAUCUAUAGAUUCAUGUAGACUAUCCUUAGUAAUGUAUCUUAGGCGAGUGUGUGAAUUCCGCUGAAUUCAUUACUUUCUGCUCGAAUUAUGUAUAACAUAACAUCUUCUUUCUUAUUAUUGCAUAAUUCCAUGCUUGCCCUGGCUGUAUUAUUAUAUUAUAUGACGAAAAGGUUAAUUGGUCAAGAGAAAACAGGGGUAAUUUGGGUACAUGAAAGGCCAUUACUCUCUUAGUCUCAAUUUGUUUGUCUAGUUUUUUAUUAGAUACAAAAUUUAAGAAAAUAAAGACUUUUGAAUCUCAAGGUCUUGAAUUAAAAAUAGGCUUAACGUACCAGAAUGCCUUUUAGUCUUAUGGUUUCAAACGUGUCAAAAAGGAAAAUAAAACAAACAACGUAAAACAUAUAAGGUAUGUGACACUUUUCUCUGUACUUAUUUGUAAAAUUAAAAGAAAGGAGGAGGAGAUCUAGAGAGCAGAUGAUAAGAUAAGGUGGGGCAUAUAUGUAGCUUUGCACUUGUAUGGAGUUUAAAUACAAAUUUCAUAAUUUCAGACACUAGAAAACUCAAUUUAUUGGCAAAUCCAAUUCAUCAUUAAGGUGAGUACUUUUAACUUUUUGUUUUUCUACCAUUUAAUACCUACUCAAAUUUUUACAAAAUUCUCAAGGUUUGUAAAACUUGUUUUAAAUUCUCAUAAUGCAGGGGUGAGUUUAUAGAUAAAAAUUGGGGCACGUGAAUCUGUGUUGUCUUCGUAAAACUAGGUAUUUUAUGUAUAUAUGUAGACAAAUGGUGCACUUGGUUGAAAGUUGAGUUAUUUAUCCUUUGAAACUCUGCUAAAAUCACAAACAAGAUCAUCGAACCAUACUAUAUGUUCUUGAUUCAACGCACUUCCACUGUUCCACUGUUACACAAAUUUCCAAGCCUUUCUUUUCUUCUUAAUUAACGUAGAAGUUAACAAAUGAGCCUUGACGUAACUGAUAAAGUUUCUUUCAAGUGAGUAGGAGGUCAUGGGUUCAAGCUUCAUAGCCUCUCGCAGAAAUGCAGGGUAAGGCUGAGUAUAAUAGACCCUUGUGGUCCGGUCCUUCCUCAGACUCUACUCAUAGUGGAAGCUUAGUAAAUGUUAAAUUUAUUGUAAAUGAAUUAGCAACAGUUAAUUUAUUGCCGCUAAAAGUUAAUUUUAUAGUAGAGCAUAAGCAUUAACAUAGCUUAAAACAGUAGAUAUUGAAAGACAUGAAUAAAACUGUUCCUCUUAGUGAAUUAAUAUUCGAAGAAUUGGUGAGCUUGCAGGAAUUUUGAACUUUAUCUACAGAAGAUGGCUCUAAAUGAAAUUGAAGAAAUGUUAGAUCACCUAAGAAGGAUUAAAAACGGACGUGAUCUACAUGUUGACACUAUUGAUGAAAUCGAGAUUCUUGAAAUGGAGCUAAGAUUUUGGAGAACGUUUACAAAGUAUCAUCAUGUUCUUUUGCCUGAUUCCUUAGUCAAACUCGUAAAGAAUGCCAAAUUGAUUGUGAGAUGCUUCACAGGGUAUUCGAUGGAAUUCUAGAUGAAUGUAAAAUUAAUGUUAAUCUGGAACGACUAGUAUCAGAGUUGCUGAAAUUUACUGAUGGUAAUAUUACCAUUUAAAGGUAUGAUUAUGAGUUGAAUGAUUCUGAUCUGUCAGAAUAUAUGGAUUGCCUCAGAAAGAAUCUAAAUGAUGUACUGAUGUGCCUAGAAGAAAUCCUUGGGAUAAAACGAUUUAUAAAGCAACUGAAAAUCGUUCAAAAGAAAAUGAGAUUUUUGAGAUACUUAUAUGCCACAGAGAUAAAUGGUUGCGUUGACUAUGAGAAGCUGGAAUGUUUGAAGACUCGAAUUCAGUUCAUGGCUAACAAUGUGGGACAGUUUUGUCUGGAUGUUUCGGUUUAUGUUGCUGAGUUUGUAAAUAAUAAUAAUGAGGCUGAGGAUGAUAUAUUGAAUAAACCUCUGUAUCUGUUAUGCCUGAUUGUGCUCGUGGAGCUGGAAAUGAAGAAGAUUUUUCUUGGCGAACUAAAGGCUUCAAAAUUCGUUCAAUCAAAAACUUUCAAGGACAAGAAACUACCAAAAGGAUUUUCACAUCAUCUCCACAGUCUGGUGGUGUAUCUCAGAAACAUAAAGCUCGAGAACUUUCCUAAUAAUGUCUCUUCUCGAAAUAUUGAUGUGGCAAUAGAGAUCUUGUUGGUUUUCCUUAAUGCUGAAGUGUCAUAUCAUGUUAUUGAUGGUAACUGGUUGGAUGAGGUUAUGGAAAAGGUUGGAGCUAUAGCGGUUGAUAUUCUAUAUGUAAUUCAAAAGCUUCUUCCGAGAUCUAUAAACAAAGAUGACACUAGCAAAAUAAAUGUUUGCUCGAUACAGAUAUUGGAGAAAACUAAAGAUCUGAAGGCACAAGUGGAGACGUACUACAAAUCCUUAAAAUUCACUACAUCUCAGUACUUUCCGACUGUUGGUGGAUUGAGCUUUCUGGAUUCUCUUUUAAGGAAACUGAAUGAGAUGUCAAAAUCUGAAUCUGGUUUAGAUUUCUUGAAGAAACCUCUUUUUGGUAAUUUAGAGAAAGAGCUAUCAUCUCUUACAUCGAUUUUAGAAACGGAGCUUUCAACUUUAUCAUCCAUUUUCAAAAUGAGGCAAAGGUGCACCAUGAACAUGAAAUUCUUAAAGAUCUCCGGAGGCGUACUAUCAAUUUGGCAUAUGAAGCUGAAGUUGCAAUUGACUCUAUACUUGUCCAGUAUAAUGUUUUUUGGCAUAUUUUUUGCUCACUUCAUACAAUCCUAAAAGAGAUCAAGCACAUUAAUGUGGAGGUGACUGAGAUGUGGUCGGUGGACGUUGCUCUUAGACCUUGUAAUGUGGUAGAAUCAUCUAAGUAUCUGCCAAUUACUCGACGUAGCAAUCCUGUGAGUGAUGAUGAGGAGAUAUUUGGUUUUGAGAUAAUAUCAGAAAAACUAAUUCAGUAUCUGACUCGAGGGACAAGUGAGCUAGAUGUCAUCCCUAUUGUUGGGAUGGGGGGGCAAGGUAAAACAACUUGUGCUAGAAAGUAUAAUAAUGACUACAUUGUUUCUCGCUUCGAUGUUCAAGCAUGGUGCAUCAUUACCCAAACAUAUCACCGGAGAGAGAUAUUACAAGAUAUUUUCAGUCAAGUGACUGGUUCCAAGGACAAUGGAGAUAAGGAUGACAUCCUCGCGGACAAGUUGAGGAAAAGCCUAAUGGGAAGGAGAUAUCUCAUUGUAUUGGAUGAUAUGUGGGACUGUACGGUAUGGGAUGACUUAUGUCUUUGUUUCCCUGAUGACGAAAAUAGAAGCAGAAUUGUUGUAACAACUCGACUUGAGAAAGUAGGUGAACAAGUCAAGCACUAUACCGAUCUUUAUUUCCUUCUGUUCCUCACACCAGAUGACAGCUGCAAAUUGUUGCAGAAAAGAGUUUUCGAAAAGGAAGAUUGUCCACGUAAACUACAAGAUGUGAGUCAAGAAAUUGCAGAAAAAUGCAAAGGAUUGCCUCUGGUGAUUAUCUUAUUAGCUGGAAUUAUCGAAAGGAAUAAAAUGGAAGCCUCUUGGUGGCAUGAGGUUAAAAAUUCUCUGCUUUCCUAUCUUGGUGAAGCUGAAGGAUAUGGUCUUUCGACGAUGCAGUUAAGUUAUGAUAACUUACCAGAUUUUUUAAAGCCGUGUCUUCUUUACAUGGGGAUGUUUCCGGAGGAUGCAAGAAUUCCAGUGUCUAAAUUGAUAAGUCUAUGGAUCGCGGAAGGGUUCGUGCAGAACAUUGAAUCUGCUGAAGGUUACUUGAUGGAUCUCAUUAGCAGUAACGUGGUAAUGGUUUCAAGGAGAAGAUACAAUGGUAAAGUCAAAGUUUGCGAGGUUCAUGAUGUAGUGCUUCACUUUUGCUUGGAGAAGAGUAGAGAAGAAAAUUUUAUGCGGGCAGUGAAGGGACAUUAUAGCCAGCUUCAACCUUUUGAAUGGAAGGAAAGUCGAGUGAGCGUUAGUUUCAGUAAUGAGCUUUCCAAGUUUGUAUCUCCGAGCACCAAAACACGGGAGCCUUUUCACCAACACUUGAGGUCGUUGAUAACGACAAAUGGAUCAGUAAUUGGUACUCAUGUUUUUAAAGUGGGACUUCUUAAGGUCUUGGAUUUGAGUUCUCAUCAAAUGCCUCAUUUUUCGUCAGCUACAUUGAAACCACUAAUUCACCUGAAGUACCUCGCAGUUUCCACAGAUGAAUUCUAUUGUCAUUCAGAAUCACAUCUGCCCCAUCUGGAAACUCUACUUCUGAGGGGUUUAUCCAAGCUUACAGUGUUACCAUCGAGUUUUUGGAAAAUGGAAAAACUAAGGCAUGUUGAGAUUGGUAAAGCUGAAUUCGAAAACAAUAAGCAACAAAUCUUAAUUUGAAGAAUCGUCUAAAUUGGAAAAUUUGAGGAUAUUAAGGGGAGUUGAGUUUCCAUUUGAUCAAGUUGAUAGCGCGGAUGUGUUAUUAUGUAGGUGUCCUAAUCUUCAAGAACUUGACAUCACGUUUAAAGGUGACAAAUCUAUUAAUGUAGUUACUUCUUGGGUUGAUUCUCCGGAUAUUUGUCUCAAACUGGAAAGUCUUACUGAGCUUCAAAUACUUCGUGUUUCCUUUCAAUGGUCUAUACUACUAUCUGGGUUGCAGUUGCCUUCAAAUUUAAAGAAGUUGGUACUAAGAGGAACUUCUUUAUUUAGCUUAAAUAUAGAAAGCACGAUUUCCGUCAUUGCAGGACUUCCAAAUCUUGAGUAUCUCCAAUUAAGAGUGGAUCCAUAUAGUUGUUAUAAAUCAAAUGAGUGGUGCCUUAGACAUAUCACGUUCCAUAAACUUAAGGUCUUGAAACUGGUGAAGUUACGCGUCUCAACGUGGGAUGCCUCAGAGGAAUCUUUUCCAUUGCUUGAAACACUUGUUAUAAAAGACUCUAUGCAGCCCAAGGAGAUCCCUCUUAGUUUCGCGGAUAUUCCAACACUGAAACAAAUUAAGUUGAUUAGGUGCAACAACAAAUUUCUCGAGGCUUCAGCUAUGAAAAUUAAGGAAGAAGUUGAAGCGAUUGAAGGAUGUGAUCGUAUAGACCUCAUUAUAAAGAAAAAAAGCUAAGCACUGUUCGGACAAAGGUAUAACUCUGUUUCUUAUUCAUAUUGUGAAUUUCUUGUUGUUGUAACUCAUAUUGAUCAAAUGCAUCUUUAUUUCGAUGACACAGAAGCAGGGGAGACAAAAACCCCGCGUAUGUUUGUUCAUGAUCAAGUCAGAAUUGAUCGCGAGUUGAGCUAUGAGACUUUCAGAUUUGUGUUAAAUUCCCAUCAUAAACUUUGAAAACGUGGAUAAGGAUUCAGCUCGGUGUGUCAAAGGCUUGACCAGAAUCACCUAAAGCUAGCUCACAAGAAAGGGAUUGACCGUGAAUCGUGAUCAUAUAAGGAGACCAAGGAACUGAAUUGUUGAGAUUUCUAUCUUAUUAAUUUGAUUAUUAGUCAAUUUGUUUUCAAUAAUUACGGUUGCACAUAACCAAAUUAUAUCAACAUUUAACCUUAGCUUGAUCAAUUAAAUGAAAUGUACACUUUUGAUCUUUCUGUUUGUGAAUCUUCACAAAUUUAAUGAAUUAUAUUCCAUAUAUCAUUUAGCGUAUUAUGUAACCCUGCAAGAUACUUAUUCAUUCAACCUAUAUAUAGCCUUCGGCAAAAUAUCUUGAAAAUGUGCAAAAUAUUUAUUGCUAGAGAAGAAAGUUUUAAUUUUUGAUCAAUCUAUAUAUAAGGGCUAAUUCUAUCUAGGCUAUGCUGUUGAGACACAUAUUAGAAAUUAAACGAGCUCAAAAUGUCAUUUUCAUGAGUUAUUAUAUUCACGUAACGUACCUUAAUUAGCAACCUUAAAAAUUCAAAAGAAAAUUAUAAGUGGUUUGCAGAGAUUGAGGGAGAAAUUGUUGCAAGUAAUUGCAAAAAAGUUUAUUUGAGUAUUUAUGUCUAAGACACUCUGCCUUUUUGAAGUAAUUAACUAAUUUCACUUGUUAUGAAUUAUUACUUAUAAUAAUAGUUAUAAAUUUGUUCAGUUGUUUGCUCAACUGCAAAAAAUACUCGAAAUGUAAUCGAAAAAUGGAAUUUUGUGAUGACUUUCCGACUAUUUUUAAGUAAUCAGCAUAUUGAAAGUCAGAAGAUAUUUGCCGACUAUAUAUAGUAUUUAAAACAUAUAAAACUAGACCUAACCGUUAGACUACCUAAAUCGUCGACUACCAUAGUCGGAAAACUAUUAAUCACCCCUGAUUAAAUCCAGAUCGCACAUUGUAGGGCCCAUUCUAGGUGACACUCCCAACAAAAUUUUCUCCAUACUGCCAGGACUCGAACCCGAGACCUCUGGUUAAGGGUUACGUUUUUAAAAUCCAUAACAUGCUUAAAUGGAUAUAAGGAAAGUAAUGACAAUCAAGGAUGUUGGAGCAUUCUUCCAACCAUCAUGAACUCGAAGGAUUUAAAAGAAGAAUAGAAGGAAGACUUCAAGAUCACCAGUAUGCUUAGGUGGCUACAUAUAUAAAAUGGUCAUUCUUAUAAUUUGACUAUUUUUGUAAUAUAAGUAUAAAUAGUCUAACCCAAGAUCCAUUUAUAUAUAUAAAAAACAUAUCAAGUGACAAGUAUUUUGUAAAGUUGGACAACUUAAUGAUGUUCUUUUUAUUCUUUGUAGCCUUCCCUAUCAUUCUUAUUUUUCUUCUUCUUAAAGCCAAAAUAAGUGGCAAAAACAAUUUGCCACCAGGUCCUUUAGGGUUGCCAUUCAUUGGAAAUUUGCAUCAAUUUGAUAGUUUAACCCCUCAUCUCUAUUUUUGGAAACUUUCCAAAAAAUAUGGAAAAAUCUUUUCAUUAAAAAUUGGUUCUACUCCAAUAAUUGUAAUUUCUUCAACAAAAUUAGCAAAAGAAGUAUUGAAAACACAAGAUUUAGUAUUCUGUAGUAGAGCUUCUAUUCUUGGCCAGCAAAAAUUGUCUUACAAUGGUCGUGACAUAGUCUUUGCACCUUACAAUGACUCUUGGAGAGAAAUGCGAAAAAUUUGUGUUCUUCAUCUGUUUAGUCUCAAGAAAGUACAAUUAUUUAGUCCAAUUCGUGAAGAUGAAGUAUCAAGAUUGAUCAAGAAAAUAUCUCAACAAGUUGUGACUUCACAAAUCACCAAUUUGAGCAAUUUAAUGAUUUUACUAAGUAGUAAGAUUAUGUUCAGAGUUGCUUUUGGUAUUAGGUAUGAUGAAGAAUCACAUGAAAGUGAGAGGUUUAAUUUUCUUUUAGGAGAAUCUGGAGAAUUGCUGACUAGCUUCUUUAUCUCUGAUUUUUUUCCUUCUUUAAGCUUGAUUGAUAAAUUAUUUGGAAAUAUUAGUAGACUUGAGAAGAAUUUUAAAGGUUUUGAUGAGUUUUAUGAAAAACUCAUUGAGCAGCAUCUUAAUCCCAAUAGGCCAAAAUCCAUGGAAGGGAACAUUCUUGAUAUUUUGCUACAAUUGAAGAAAGAGAAAUCAACACCAAUUGAUCUCACUAUGGAGGAUAUAAAAGCAAUUGUUAUGGUAAUCUCUUAUGUCUUUAAGCUCUCAAAAACACACAUUCUUUUUUCUUUGUCAAUUUUUUCUUUUCAUUUUAAAACUUUUUAUGAUACAAUAUUGAAUUGAUCUUAAAUGGAGUGACUUGGAUAACAAUAUAUUAGCGUAGCCACAUAGAGUAAAGGAUGGUCAGUAGAACAUCUUUCAUCAGAAAAUUAUAUAUGUAUUGUAUAAAUAGGUACACCCUUAAAUAUUUGUUUUCUUUCUUUGUAGAAUGUGUUACUUGCGGGAUCAGAAACUAGUGCGGCUACAGUAAUAUGGACAAUGACAGCCUUGAUGAAAAAUCCAAAAGCCAUGAAGAAAGUUCAAGAAGAAAUUAGAAAAUCAAUUGGGAACAAAGGCAUUGUGAAUGAAGAUGAUAUACAAAAUAUGUCUUAUUUCAAAGCAGUAAUAAAAGAGACAUUUAGAUUAUAUCCAUCAGUUCCAACCCUAAUACCAAGAGAAUCAAUGAAAAAAUCCACACUAGAAGGGUAUGAAAUUCAACCAAAAACUAUAGUUCAUGUGAACUCAUGGGCUAUUGCAAGAGAUCCUGAAAUAUGGGAAAAUCCAGAAGAAUUUAUGUCAGAGAGAUUCUUGAAUAGUGAUAUCGAUUUUAAGGGUCAAGAUUUUGAGUUGAUUCCAUUUGGAGCAAGAAGAAGAGGGUGCCCAGGGAUGACACUUGGGAUUGCAUCAGUGGAACUUGCAUUGUCAAAUCUUCUUUAUUCAUUUGAUUGGGAAUUACCUUAUGGGAUGAAAAAAGAAGACAUUGACACAAACGUUAGGCCUGGAAUUACCAUGCAUAAGAAGAAUGUUCUUUGUCUUAUCCCCAAAAAAUAUAUUUAGAUUGUAUAUCCUCAUACGUGGAUCUUGGACUAGUUAUCUAAGGUUAAAUAAAUUUGUUACAUAUGUAAUGAACCCUUCUGCAUAUUAAACUUAGUAACUUUAAAUCUUGAAUGCACCUGACUUUAUCGUUUAGAAUAUUGUAUUUUAGUCUUAAGUCCAAAAAGACUAAUAAUAACAAAGAUUAUGGACAAAACAAAGUAAAUGGAAUUACGUAAAGCUUAACUCAGGAGGAGGGGAUUAUCCAAGACCAUAUAAGGAGAUUGACCCAGGAACUUGUUGAGAUUUCUAUCUUAUUCAUUUGAUUAGUUUAUUUGUUUUCAAUAAUUCUGCUUGCAUAGAGCCAAAUUAUAUCGUCAUUUAACCUCCAAUUAAAUGAAAUGUACACUUUUGAUCUUUCUCGUCGUGAAUCUUCACAAAUUCUAUGAAUUAUAUACCAUAUAUUUUUAAUUAGUUACGUAUGUGUUAUGCUAAUUUUGUACUAUAACCUUAUCCUUGCUAGAUAUUUAUUCAUUCAACCUAUAUAUAGCCUUUGGCUAAUGCUAUAGAAGUUAUAUUGACAAUUAUCUUGAAAAUAUGCAAAAUAUUAAUUGCUAGUGUACAAAGUUCAUUUUCAAGACCCAAUUUUUGGGCCAAUAAUUUUUAUAUGUCACUUUCAUAAUUAUAUGCCUUUGGUCUUUUUCUAUGUUACCCCAAUUAUUUGCUUUUUUUUUUGGAAAUUUCUUAUUGCAACCUAAAAAAGUCAAAGAAAAAGAUGUGGUUUGAAGAGGUUGAGGGACAUAUAUUAUAUGGUUCAUAUGAAAUGACACAACAAGAUGACUAGUAUUUUGUGAAGUUUGGACAACAAAAUGAUGCUCUUUCUACUCUUUGUAGCCUUUCCUAUCCUUCUUAUUUUUCUUCUUCCUAAAGCCAAAAGGAUUGGCAAAAACAAUCUGCCACCAGGUCCUAAAGGCCUCCCAUUCAUUGGAAAUUUUCAUCAAUUUGAUAGUUUAGCCCCUCAUAUCUAUUUUUGGAAACUUUCCAAAAAAUAUGGAAAAAUAUUUUCAUUAAAAUUUGGUUCUACUCCAAUAAUUGUGAUUUCUUCAGCAAAAUUAGCAAAAGAAGUGUUGAAGACACAAGAUUUAGCCUUUUGUAGUAGAGCUUCUCAUCUUGGGCAGCAAAAAUUGUCUUACAAUGGUCGCGACAUAGUCUUUGCACCUUACAAUGACUCUUGGAGAGAAAUGCGAAAAAUUUGUGUGCUUCACCUAUUUAGUCAAAAGAAAGUUCAAUCAUCUAGUCUGAUUCGUGAAGAUGAAGUCUCAAGAAUGAUCAAGAAAAUAUCUCAACAUGUUGUCACUUCACAAAUCACCAAUUUGAGCAAUUUAAUGAUUUUACUAAGUAGUAGUAUUAUUUUUAAAGUUGCUUUUGGUAUUAGGUAUGACGAAGAAUCACAUGAAAGUAGGAGGUUCUAUUUUCUUUUUGAAGAAGCUGCAACAAUGAUGACUAGCUUCUUUGUGUCUGAUUUUUUUCCUUCUUUAAAUUGGAUCGAUAAACUUACUGGAUUGACAAAUAGACUUGAUAAGAAUUUCAAGGAGUUGGAUGAGAUUUAUGAAGAACUCAUUAAGCAGCAUCUUAAUCCCAAUAGGCCAAAAUCCAUGGAAGGGGACAUUCUUGAUGUUUUGCUCCAAUUGAAGAAAGAGAAAUCAACACCAAUUGAUCUCACUUUGGAGGAUAUAAAAGCAAUUGUCAUGGUAAUCUCUUAUGUCUUAAAGCUCUCAAACAUACAUUUUAUUUUAUAUAAUACUGAAUUGAUCUUAAAUGGAGCGACAUGGAUAAUUCAGAUAACAAUAUAAUGACGUAGCCACAUAGAGUGAAGCGUGAUCAGUAAAACAUCCUUCAUCAGAAAAUUAUAUGAUUCUUUCUUUGUAGAAUGUGUUACUUGCAGGAUCAGAAACUAGCGCGGCUGCGGUAGUAUGGACAAUGACAGCCUUGAUAAAGAAUCCAAAAGCCAUGAAGAAAGUUCAAGAAGAAAUAAGAAAAUCAAUUGGGAACAAAGGCAUUGUGAAUGAAGAUGACAUCCAAAAUAUGCCCUAUUUCAAAGCAGUGAUAAAGGAGGCUUUCAGAUUAUAUCCAUCAUCUCCACUUUUACUGCCAAGAGAAACAAUGAAAAAAUCCACACUAGAAGGGUAUGAAAUUCAGCGAGGAACUAUAGUCCAAGUUAAUGCAUGGGCAAUUGCAAGGGAUUCUGAAAUAUGGAAAAAUUCAGAAGAAUUUAUACCUGAGAGAUUCUUAAAUAGCAAUAUUGAUUUUAAGGGACAAGAUUUUGAGUUUAUUCCAUUUGGAGCGGGAAGAAAAGGGUGCCCAGGGAUGGCACUUGGGGUUGCAUCAGUGGAACUUGCAUUGUCAAAUCUUCUUUAUUCAUUUGAUUGGGAAUUACCUUUUGGGAUGAAAAAGGAAGACAUUGACACAGAUGUUAAGCCUGGACUUACCAUGCAUAAGAAGAAUGAUCUUUGCCUUAUCCCUAAAUAUUAUAUGUAGAUUGUAUAUCCUCGUAAGUGUAUCUUGGGCAAGUUCUGUAAAGUUAAUUAAAGUCGUUACAUAAUACCACAUCAUGUAUUAUUUACAUGUCUAACACAUAUUGUAUAUCUUCAUAAGUGUAUCUUGGGCGAGUUCUGUAAGGUUAAUUAAAGUCGUUACAUAAUGCCACAUCAUGUAUUAUUUACAUAUCAAACACAUAUUUAAAAUAUAAUAAACCCUUGUGAAUAUUAAACUUUAUGACUUUAAAUCUUGAAUUCACCUUUUAACUUAUCGUUAAGAGUAUUAUGUCUUAGUCUUAAAUCCAAAAAGACUAGUAAUAGAAAAGACACAAAAUAAAGCUAAGAGAAAUAGCAACAAUUUGAAGGGGGUAGAAGAUAUUAUCAAAAGCGAAACAUGACAGGUAAAAAUGAAUUGACCAUUACAAAAAGUAAUCCUUCUCCUCAAGUAGCCUUCCAAGAUGUAUAUGCUAAUAUUUUUAGCAUGAAAGAAGCAAACAGUCUAGAGAUGUAUAUUGAAACUUUAAAUUAUAUAUGAGAGCUAUAAUCCUUACUACAAUCAGCUACAUGAUUAACAAGGAAUUUAGUACAAAAUCGAAGCACAGACGAGAGGUUGGCAGCAGAGAUGAUGCAUGCAGUCUUUGCUGGUAUCAAUCGAACUCCUGGAAUCUCGUUUGUUUUCUCAAGAAGAUUGCACCGCCAGUCGCUGAAGAUGCUGGAAGAAAACUUGGAGACUUACAUCAUCAGUGAAUAUCACAUCUGAACCUGCUGCCAUAUCGUUUGCAUUAUUGUAUGUGGCUGAGGGAUUCAACUUUGCCAAAAGAAAUCUUGCCUGGUAAAAGCAUAUGGGGAAAUAUUAGAACAAGAUAAUAAGCAUAAACAACCAGAAAAUUAUGUCAAAUGCAACUUUAUCCCUUCGAGAGGGCAGGGCAACCCAGUGCAUUAAGCUCCCUCUAUGCACGGGGUCUAGGGAAGGGCCAGACCCAUUGUAUGCAGCCUUACCCUGCAUUUCUACAAGAGGUUGAUUCCAUGGCAACAACUUUACCAAUUACGUCAAGGCUUCCCCUUCCCAGUUCCCACCCUACGAAAGUUCGUUCUGUUUUUCCCUCCAACAGAAGGCACAUCAUACCAAAAGAAAAAUCUAGAGAAAAAAAAACACUUUGCAUCUCGGAUUUCGAGGAACUUAUGAUCCAUUAUACUCCACAACAUGUUGUGCUGAUGUAGUACAAAGCAACAAAAUCUUACAAUCCCAAUACGAUGCUUACCUGGGAACCAUGCUGAUCACACACUACAAGUCUAGGAACAGGAAACCUCUCCUGGAUGAGUGCUUGGGCCUCGUCAUGAGGAACUUGCAAUAGAUGCGCAAAUGCCUGAAAGAACCAAGGAAAAUGGACAUCAAUUUGUUUCACAAUCACAAAUGAUGGUGAAAAGAAUUCCAAUAUAGCCAUAACGUAUUCCACAAGAUUGGGAAUGGAGAAGACAGAGAUUUCUAAUUUAGCAUAAAGGAUCUCAUCAUUUAGAAGAAGACAGCAAAGCAAUAAACUGUACCUGAUGCUCUGGCUGGUUCUGGUAUCCCAAAUUUCUCCAUUGAGCUAUUGUCAUUCCAUGGAAUAUGACAACACUGAAGUACGAAUCCAACAAAAGAAUGCGAUCAGCAGCAAUUGAUGCCACAUCCAGUAAAGCUGGAGAAGGCAGCGUAUUGAAUGAAAAUGCCAUUAGUGUAGGUUGAAUCAUAACAACAGCAUUGCUUAUACUCUCUCGGUAGAGCAGCAUCCGGAAAUAUGCUGUCUCAUCGGGACUAUUAUUGAAAACCUGUGAUGUCCACACAUUAAUGAUAGACAAUAGACCGUGCAUCCAUGAUAUACAUUCAAAAGUUGAAUGGAACAAAAAAAGAGAGGCUGGGUUAUAUUACUUGCAAAAAUUGUGAUCGCCGCAAAUGAAACAUGAACUGAGGGAGCAGAGAAAAACAGGGAUUCAAAGUGAAAGAUGCAGGAUCAUCCUUCCUAUAUUCGCCAAACUUUGAACACAGGCGAAUCAGAUUCCGAUCUAGCCACCUUGUGGGAUCAAAAUCUUCCUGGAAAGUGAAAUCUAUUAAUCAGGAUUUAUCAAUUAAAUAUGCAGAGAAGCAAGAACUGAAAGAUAGUAUCAACUCAGGUAGACUGAUUCAACAAUGCUUCAUACAAGCAAAAAAGGAGGAGAAUGAGUUGAGUAGGAUCAGUCCAGAAAAACUUUAGAAGCACACUCUCUUCAACUUUGAUCUCUUAAUAUCGUAAUGGAUUUAGGAAUAAAUUCUUCCACUGUUUGGCUCAUAUGCAACAUCAUGUCACUAUUAAUUUAGUCAAGCAAUGAGGUUGUUACCAUCCGUACUUUUUGUGUGAAUAGAACAUUUGAGAGUAUAGAGAAUUUGUUGUUGAGAUCCAACUUUUUUCUUUUGAAUCUUUGGUAUAAAAUGGAAGUAUGGACUUGUUUAGAUAGCCAACUAGGGUUUUCGGAGGCAUGAUGCAUGUGCUCACAUUAUAUUUUUGUAAAGAUCAUGACAUCAUGGUGUAGUAUAAAUACAUUAUUUUUGGCCAAAAAGUAGAUAUUGUACUAUUUACAAACUGGAAAGGCAAACAAAGACAAAGAUGACUAGUAGGCAUCUACACAUAAUUAAGUAAAUAGAGCAAACAAUAUUGUGUAGAACUAAUUAUAGCUUGAAAAUGAUACCUCUAGCUCCAUUUUAUAAGAAGCCAAUCUAGCCAUUACUACGGCAGCAGCUUCCUGAUCAAACCCUUGCACCAAGUCCUACAAACAUAGAUUUAUUGCACCAUCAGUAUCAACACCUGUAUGCACCCUAGAAAGUUCAUCAAAGCCCUUCCAGAAAGAAUUGUCAUACGAAAAAGUUUCCAGAGAAAGAAAUACACAAAAACAUACAGCAUAACAACAUGGAAAAGCUUAUCAUUAAUUGAUGGAGUCUGAAAUUAUAAUGAGGAUGACUGAACAAACAUCAAAACAAACUUCACAAGAGUUUUAAAAUGAGCUUGAAUCCUUGGCUGUUAAAUGUAUAAAACUUCUCUAGUUAUCUCAAAAUGGAAAUUCAAUUGCAUAAUACGGGGGAAGGGAGCAGUACUACUUCAAAGAAUACUGCUCUUCAAUUCAGAAAUGUAAUUCCCAUGAAAAAUAUCAGUCUCAUGAAGUACUAGUCAAAAGACAAAUUUAAGAUAAAAAGAUAAAAUUAGGAACAAAUAAAAGUAAUAUCAUUCUCUAUGCUUGGGAAAAGAUACGUGUGAACUAUAUAAAAAAGAACAAAAUAGACUUCAUUGUAUUACAAAUGACAAUAUAAAAUCAAAACUCGUCAUUACAGACCUCAGUGCCAACACCAGCAUCAACCCAUCUCCUAGUAAUGGUUGUAACUCGUAGUUUUGUUUGCCCAUCAGGGCUCUGAUAACUGCACAGCCAAGAACCAACAAAUUUUGGUUACACGAUAACAUCUUCUUUUUCUAGUAUACCCUCACAAUAUAUAUUGAAUACAGAAUGUUCUAUCCAUCAAAAGUUAAGUAAAUAUCAGGUUACAUUAACUGUUUUCAAAAGAAAUAGUAACAAUUAAAAAAAAGUAGAGCUGAAGUUUUCUAAGCACCUUGUAAGAAACUGUAUGUACAAUUGUGGAUUUAUAUUGCCUGAAGGAUCUGACUUCUCACUAGAUGAAACAUCAUAGAAAACUGUCAAGCAAGUGUUUUUGUCGAGACCACAGAGCUUCCAAGCUGUAGUAUUCCCCUCACCAGUAACUGUGCUGGAGACGGCAGGUCCUUUCUGCAUAAGACUACAUGAUCAGUAUCAAAUAAUUUCUGAAAAUGUCAUAUUUGAGGAUAAAUCUUGGUUUACCAGGUCGAUUCUUUCGGGUUAGCCGUCUAAUAUUAGGUCAAUGUAUUACGGCUGAGAAUGUGAAAAACUAAAGUACACCAACCUUCUCAAGAGAUGUGCAAGGACCAAUUAUCCCUUGAAUUUUAAUAUCCUUGGAGCAGUUGAUCUCUAAUGUAGCACUAGAACAAAAUUAAGUCAUCAGAUUCAUGAUCAAAUAGUUGAAGGAAAAAUAAAGCACAUCCAAGCAGAAGAGAGACGUAUCAUUUUAAGAAAUACUCACUCUACAGAAUACAAGCAAGAUAACUUUAAAUAUUUACCUCUCAAACAGUCCAAAUAUGGGCAUCCCUAGCUUAAUGGAAGUCUGCCCUCUCCUUCCCUAUCCCCUAGGAAACCCUUCUCACUCUUCUAUUUAAGGUAAGAGUAAAGGAAGGGCAUUUUGGGGCUUAUGCAGUUCAACAUUGGGGAUAAUGCGUUGUUUGUGAAGGUGGUAUAUAAUAAUGUUGGUAAUAAAAUUGGGGUGAACAUUUUAAAUGUUACCAAAUAGAAAGAAUUUCACAUAAUUGGGACAUAACUCAAUCAGUUUUUCACCGAAAAAGUCCAUUUCUUCUUUGCAAUUCCCUUAUCUCAUCUUCAAUGUUAACAACCUGAGCUUCAUUCUAUCCUCAGAGAAGAAGCUAGCUGGUGGAAUAGUCGCUCAUACAUUGGUUAUUUGUGCUGAAUUUCUACAUCAAAUAGUUAUUCUUGAAACAUAUCCUUCUCUAUUAUUUAUUUCUAGAACUUGUGAUGAUGCUAAGUUUUAGACAUCUAUGCAAUUGACAAAGAUGCUUUAUCAAGUUCUUUAAUAGUGCCUGGUUCACUUAACAGCUCACAGUGUCCCAGCUAGAAGAAGGAAAUUUCCCACCAUGAACUUGAAAAUAUUUCAAUAGUCACAAUAACCAUAUUAAAUGGAUAAACCAUAACCCUUUCACAUGAAGGAAAAUAAAUGACAUAUCAAAAAGCUCACUUGAAGCAAAGCCCAAGAGACUGUUCACCAACUUCAAAUACACGCUUGAAGGAAUCUUUGAAAACAGAAUGCCCAAAGCUUUCAGCAAGAACAACUUGUCCUCCAGUCUUUUCAAUAGCUACUUUCAUCUCUGCAACUCCAACCUAAAAAAACAAUACUAGUCAAAAGAUAACAUCUCUUAUGAAUCGAUCAGAUUCAUCAAUAAGUCAACAGACCUCUCUAGUAAGGGAUAGAGUUAAGUUUUCACAUUCAAUUGAUGAGGCUAAUAAUACUAAAAAUCAAAAUAUACCCGCACCAAGAAAAGAAAAUGCUUACACAUUAAUAUAUUUUUCGAUAAUUUAACAGAUAAACCUAAAUAAUUAAAUACUGUCCAGGAUAAAAUGCUUCAUCUGAAAGUGAACACCAGUUUUCAUUUUAAUUAAGGACAAGUGAACACCAGUCUCUUGCACCAAAAGCUUAUAAGACAAACAACACAGUUCAUGGAGACAAGUGGUUGAUCAAGUCAAACCUGGUCAAGUGCUGAAGCAAAAACAUCUAAGAUGUGACCGUGACUAACGAGUUGCUUUGCGAGUUCCUCGUAGAAAUGAACGGCCUUUCUAAAAAAUGGUGCAGCAUCCUUGUGUAGAUCUUUAUGAGAACGAACAGGUUCUGAUAAAUCCUUCGACACAAUCUACAAAAACAAACAAAUAAGGAAAAGAAAGUCACUUAAGAAGCAUUGUUAGGCAAACUUUCUUCAGAAUGAGGCCAAGUUCAAUUGAUUGUUUAAAUUUCAUGCAAAAAGAAGUCUCUUAAAUCAUUUGACUUGCUAACCUAUUAAAUUUCCUGGUUAGAAAUCUGGCCUCAACGUAUAGGGUGAUUAUUCAGGAGCCUUAAGAGGAGAAAAGGAGGGCAGACAGAGACCAAUUUAAGUGGCAAACAGAAUGCUUAAAACAAGAUAAAUACGCAUAUUAAGUUCUUGUUGUUGAAGUACCUUAUGAUCCUCAUCUUCUUAACUCACUAAGAUAUCCUAUAUAUCAAGUUAUUCUUGAGGAAAACAAAUGUUUAGUGAAGGUAUAGUACACGUGAUUUGGUUGGUCAAAAGUUGAAAUCCUAUAUACAAUUAACUCAAAUUUUAGUUAUCGAAUGAUACCAAUGCUAAUCUAAUACUACUCAUCUGCUAAGAAGGUUUACUGCAGAAGGCAAUGAUAAGCCAAAUAGUCUCCUUCAUGGAUAAGCAAGGAGGACAACAUUAAAGAGUGUGUGAAAGACAGGAGGAGACUGAUUGGUGACAAUGGUGCUUUUAUGACAGCUAGAAGUGAUUGCCUUGAAGGGCAUUUGCAGCAUAAGAAUAUUAAAAAUCCUUCCUUUUCCAGAAGAAUUUAGAUUGUGCACAAUCAGACAAUCAAAAAUGUAAUCAUUUGUCAAUAAGAAAUCAUUCAAACACUCAAAAAUUCCCCAGUAACUCCUUAGGAUAUUGGAAUUCGUAGAGAACUAAGAACAAAACAGAGCGAAAACAAAGUCAAAACUCACCGCGCCAGGUCCUUCAGUGCAAGGACCCCCAACUAAUGCAACAAUUCGAGCACCUGCCCCAGCCAAACAAGCACCAAGCAGACCAGUUGCCACACUCAAUGCCACCCCAGUGCAGCGUGAUGCUCUGUUUCCCGGUGUCACAGGCCAUUGAUCCGUAUUCAAUUCAUCUAGCAACUAAAAAAACAACACACAAGAACAAAAUCAACAUUAAAUUAACAACAGCUACACCACUCAAAGUCUCAAAGUAAUCAAAAAGACAGCAUUUUUAACCAACAAAGAACUCACCGAAUCGAGUGUAUACUCACACUCAGAAGCAGGUAACAAGAACCUAGUCAACCCGUGAUUAGGUCCACCAUUCACCCCAACACCACCACCCUUCCUACCACUAAUACUACCAAGUCCUAACUGAUCCAAAACUUGAUCUUUCGACAAGUCCUUCGAACCCUGAAACACAAAAACCUUCAACAUAUCCGAAAACCCAAGUUCAUGUACCUGCACCUGUGUACCAUACGAAAUAAACCCAACCAUAGCAUAAUCAGGCAAAAGUCCAAUAACCCUUUUCAAUGCAGAUUUAGCAAACUCCAAUUCUUCAUCCAACAUACAAGUAUCCAACACAAACAAAUACACAGGUGGAGAAUUAUGACCACCAGGGUUCUGAAUCGCAUACUGAAUAGUAGUAAAUUGCGGAUAAAGCUCAGCAGGUACAUUCGUUUCCGAAAUUCCCGAAUAAUGCUGAGGGAAAUGAUUACGUUGGAAACAAAACGGACAGAUCCAAAUUAAAGCUUGAAAAUCAACACGACAAAAGGGGUUUAAGAUUGAUGAACAAGUUUUGCAACGAAGGGGAGCGUAAGGUAGGGUAGGUAGAUCAGGGAAAGGACGAAGCAAUUGAAUUGAAGAAGCAAUUGGGAUUAUACAUUUGCUUGCUUCAACUUUGGUUCUUGGCCAAGAAUUCCAUGUCAUACGAACUCCAUCGAUGCCUUCUGGGUCUGUUUGUGCCAUUUCAGUCGCCAUUUUUGAAGGGUUUUUGAGAGAUUUGGGAAUGACCCAGAUGGAGAAAAGAGAUAAAGAUUGAGAAUUUGGGGAUUUUGAGGGUUUUGGUUAAUGUGAAUGAAUCUGGAAUUUUGAUUUUGUAUUGCUACAUUAUAUGAUCAUUCUGUAUUAAUCCCCAUUGUUUGAUGCAAGCAAGAAACUGAACCUUAUUAUAUUAAAAAAUUAUAUUUUUCCCUAAAAAGAACAUCUAUUUUCCUUUUUUGUUCUUUUUGAGUUUUAGUCAAAUACUAUUAAUUAGUACUUGUUACAUUUCAAUUCGUCUAUCGUAUUUUAACUUGACAUAAAAUUAAAAUAAAUUAUAUUCUUACAUUUUAUGCUCUUGAGUUAAAAAUAUACCGCAAUACUUUAAAAAUAUGAAAAAUUGAAAUUAAAAUAUGGAACUAUCUUUAGACUUAAAAACUAAUCAGUCACCAUAGCUAAGAACUCUUUAGAACUCUCCAGAUUUCUUGAACACUUCAUCAAUUCAUAGAACACUCUAGACCCCCAGAGUGACCUUCUAUAUAAACUCACAAGCUGCAAUGCAUUUCUCAACAAAUCUUGAAAACCCCACAUUUUCAAUCUGCAUUUUGCUUGAAAUUAACUAUCUUUUGAGCUUUUUUUCAAGAAAUUGUGAAUACCCUUUACAUUCUUUAGUACUAAGAAGGAAGCUAUGGAUGAGGAUUUUGAGUUUCCAGUAUCUUCUUCUAACAAUGCUGCUGCUGAAGAAAUGGAUAUAGAUAUGGGGAUGGGGAUGGAUGAUUUCUCUGAACCUGACCCGAUUAUGAAGGUUGAUGAAGAGAAGGAGAUAGGGAAAACUGGGAUAAAGAAGAAGCUUUUGAAAGAAGGUGAAGGUUGGGAGCAUCCUAGUAAAGGAGAUGAAGUUGAAGGUGAGCUCUGUCCUUGUUAUCUAUUUUGGAGAAAAGGGUUUUUUUUUUAGGAUUAAUUGGUGGUCUGAAUGAUGCAUUAUGCAUGUAUUUGGAUUAAAGGACUGAUCUUUUUAGCAAAAAUUUGCUUUCUUUAAUUGGUGAUUUGAAUUUAUGGAGUCAUUUUUAAUACUAGUAGUUGUAGUAUUAUUGCUCCUGUAAUUUAUUGUCAUUUGAUAUGUUACUGUUUGUUGUUGCUUGUAUACACUUCUAUUUAUUCUUUUUCUGGACUGCUUUAGAUUGAUUUUCGUUUAGCCGAGUGUCUCCCAUAAAUGAUCUCUCUACCUAUACACUUCAACCUUCUCAAAUCUUACUUUGUGACACUAGACUGGGUAUAUGUUGUUGUUGUUGUUGCUUGAGAUGAGAUCGAAUGGAGCUACAUUAUCAGGAUCCAUAUAGUCGAUCCCAAUUUGUAUAUCCAUCCCCAAUUACUUUCGAAUUGAGGUGUAGUUGUUGUUGGUUUUAGAUGAUAGAAUUAUGCAAGUUUUUGGCCUUACAAUAUUGGUUUGAGAUAAGAUCUAACGGAGUUGACAUGAUCAGGAUUGAGGCAUAGUAGUUGUUGUAAUCAAUUGGUGUUUGUUUCUUAUGAUAGAAUUAUGCAAGUUUUUGGCUUUAGUUUGGAUGAGGAUGAAAUUUUGCUUGGAUUAACAAUAUUAUAUUGGUCUUUACAGUUCAUUAUGUGGGUACAUUGCUGGAUGGAACUCAAUUUGAUUCAAGUCGUGACCGUGGCACCCCGUUCAAGUUUAAGCUUGGCGAAGGUAAUCUCCUUUCUGUUAGAGUAUUAGUGGUUUGGUAUAGUUUGGUUUAUGGUGUUAGAUGGAGCACUGUGCUUCCUUAUAUGCUUUCGGUUUGCUAUUAGAGCUAGGCCAUUUCCAAUUUAUUGUUUACCAUAUGUCUCUCACAUUGAUGUGGUGUGGGAUGGAUCAACAUGCUUCUUUAUAGGGUCUUAGGCAACCCUCGAGCUAGUCUUUGGGGUUAGUUAGGCCCAAAGUCCAUUUUCUUAUCAGAACGAACUUAGUUUUAGCCUUUAGGGACGGCAUGUGACAAUUGAUAUCUUUGACAAUGGAAUUUGAUUUUUCAUUCUUUAAAGUAUAUAGUGGUUCUUAUAUAUAUAUAGUUUUGAUAAGUGCGAUUAGAGGUUUGAUGGAUCGUUGUUAUUGUUAUAGGACAAGUGAUUAAAGGGUGGGAUGAAGGUAUAAAGACAAUGAAAAAAGGGGAGAAAGCUUUGCUCACUAUACCUCCAGAUAUGGCAUAUGGUGAAUCUGGAUCCCCUCCAACUAUACCUCCAAAUGCGACUUUACAGUUUGAAGUGGAAUUGCUUUCUUGGAUUAGUGUCAAAGACAUAUGCAAGGAUGGUGGAAUAUUCAAGAAGAUACUUGUCGAAGGAGAGGGAUGGCAGAAUCCGAAAAAUCUUGAUGAAGUGUUUGGUUAGUAGACUAUCAAAUUUUUCACGUUCUCCGUUGUGGUUUUUCUUCUCAAGAACCUUAGAAUUGAUGUGAUUUCUUUUGUGGUUUCUUGAUUGCAGUUAAAUACGAGGCACGCCUCGAGGAUGGAACGGUUGUGUCAAAAUCCGAUGGAGUGGAAUUCACUGUGCAAGAUGGUAUCUUUUGCAUUCAUUUUUGCUAUGUUGCUCAGAGUCUUCAAAAAUGUUGAUGGAUACAUAUUGGAUCAUCCACGGAUGCACAACAUUUUUUGGAGAGUCCGAGCAACAUAGCUGUUUUGGCUCUUUUUACUCUCCUUCUGAAGUAGAAUUAAUAACAUUAAUGUGGUGUUUUCUGUAUAGGCUAUUUCUGUCCUGCUUUGUCGAAAGCUGUUAAGACAAUGAAGAAAGGAGAGAAAGUCUUACUGACAGUGCAGCCACAAUGUAAGUUAAAGCCACUUGUGCUCUAGAUAUGUUCUUCGUAUUCUUUUAUUAUGUGAUGAUUAACUGAUGUUUCUGCAGAUGCAUUUGGAGAGACAGGUAAGGUGGCAAGCAGAGACGAAGGUGGUGUCCCACCAAAUGCCACCCUUCAAAUAAAUCUUGAAUUGAUUUCUUGGAAGAUUGUCUCUGAAGUAACAAAUGACAAGAAGGUUCUGAAGAGAAUUUUGAAGGAAGGAGAGGGCUAUGAGCACCCAAAUGACGGUGCUCUUGUAAAAGGUAUGAAAAAAGAGAAACUACUUAGUGAUCACGAUACAGAUAGAGAUUUAUGAUUAUCCUUCUGUAUUAAUUUGCUUGUUCUUGCAGUGAAAUUAAUCGGAAAACUUCAGGAUGGAACUGUUUUUGUGAAGAAAGGACAUGAUGAGGAGGAGCCGUUUGAGUUUAAGAUAGAUGAAGGUAAUGUCUUUUCUCUACUGAUUAUGCCAAUUAUUUGAUAAAUUUUCACUAAUAUCUUUUUUCUAUCUACUGAUAAUGCCAUAGUUUCUGACUUCAGUUGAAUUCUUUAUACAGAAAAAGUAGUCGAUGGACUAGAUAAAGCGGUGAAAAAAAUGAAGAAGGGUGAAAUUGCUCUGAUAACAAUGCAACCAGAGUAUGCAUUUGGUGCAUUCGACUCUCCUCAAGAAUUAGCUGUUGUUCCUGGCAAUUCGAUCGUGUAUUAUGAAGUUGAGUUGGUGUCAUUUGUGAAGGUUGGUGCUCUUGAAUUUUCUUUGUUUUCCUUAUCUUAAGCAAGUGACAAUGGAAGCAGCGGUGGAACUAAGGGGGCGGAAGGGGUUCACUCCGAAUCCCUUCGCUGAUAAAUUACAUUGUAUAGACAAGGUCAAAAAGUAUCUGUUUUCUAGUUUAGAAAUACCAGAUGUUGAAUCCCCUGGCUUCGUUGUGUUUAUUUGUUUAUAUUUUGGAUCCCCUCAGUGAAAAUCCUGGUUCCGCUGCUGUUGGGAAGAGUAAGACGUCUUUUAUUAAUCAUCAAAAAACUAAACAUGCAGGAGAAGGAAUCCUGGGAUAUGAAUACUCAGGAAAAAAUUGAAGCUGCAGGAAAGAAAAAGGAGGAAGGAAAUGUAUUGUUCAAGGCUGGGAAGUAUGUGAGAGCAUCAAAGAGAUACGAAAAGGUAAAUUUACGGUUGAAGUUGAUGAAAAAACAGUUUUAUGACCUUAUUAUUAUGAUGACAUAUUGUUGACUAUGCUCCUUUAUACUGUUCAGGCUGUGAGCUUCAUCGAAUAUGACUCCUCGUUCAGUGAUGACGAGAAGCAGCAGGUAAAACUGCUCAAAGUUAGUUGCAAUCUGAACAAUGCCGCGUGCAAGCUGAAACUGAAGGAAUACAAAGAAGCAGCAAAACUCUGUUCUGAAGUCUUAGAGAUUGACAGUAAAAAUGUCAAAGCUCUAUACAGAAGGGCUCAAGCUUACAUACAACUCGUUGAUUUGGACUUAGCAGAACUUGAUAUCAAGAAAGCACUUGAAAUCGAUCCAGAUAACAGGUAAAAAAAGAUUGUCUUUUCCUAUGUUCCUCGGACCAUCAACAAUAUUGGUGCACCCAUGUCGGAUUUGACACACACCUGACGAUAUUUUUGAAGAGUACGAGCAACAAAACAUUUAAAUCAUAUAUUAUUGUGCUUAUACUGUGAUAUGGAUGAUUCAGGGAUGUCAAGUUAGAAUACAAAGUUUUGAAAGAAAAGAUAAAGGAGUACAACAAGAAGGAUGCUCAAUUUUAUGGCAACAUUUUUGCAAAGAUGAACAAAUUAGAGCAAGUAAGUUGACAAAAUGACACUAAUGAAUAGUUAUUGUAUUUCAGAUUAGAUAUUGAUUCUGUUACUUAAUGUAAAUGCAGAGUGGAGAAGCAAAAAAUGAGGCAGCACCAAUGGCUAUAGAUAGUAAGGCUUAACCAAGUACAUGACACAAAUUAUGGAAUUAAUGUCUCUUCCAUAGUGUGCAGUCAAAAAGAUAUGUAUGUAGUUUUAGUUAUCAUUGGAUUUGUUUGUACUUGAGAAAGUGUUUUGAGAAAUGCAUAAUAAAUAAUCUUAUCUUUAUAUACUUUGACUGAGCAUGGAGCUUAUGAGAUAAAAGGAUGAUUUUUGAAUAUUGCGAUCUUAAUUUGUUAUGGAAUGUUAACAUACGCUAAACAUAGAAAGAGACAAGAAUAUAUAUAACUUAAACCCUUUUAGUAUUAUGCAAUAAUCUACUUGAAUGUGCGACUAAGCUUGCCAAGAAGUAUUCUAUUCACUAUAUAUACCUUGUAAUUGUAAAAUUUUGACUCUAAAAUCGAACCAUAUCAUAUAAAUUGGACCAGAAAAAAGUAAAUUUCACGAGUUACUUGAAGUUGCAACAAUAACUCAUAAAAUAAGAGCAACUUCAUUAGGUAAAAACUCCAAAUUGCAUACAUUAUAACUAAAAUACAAAAAUCACAACAAAACCUCCUAGAUAAUAGUGGUUUAUUCAUUGGCAAUGUCAAACAAUUGAACACAUACACACAUGAGUAUGUGUCCAAAUGAAGACAACAAGAAGCCUUAUUUUCUUAAAAGGACAAAAAAACCAACAACAUAUGUUUAGGACACAAAAUGAUCAAUCAAUUCUUGACAUCAUCUUCAAAUACAGCAUCAGGUGUUUGAUGAGCAGUGAAACAACAUUUUGCACAUCCAUUGCCAUAACGGAACCCACGGCAACAACCAUAUCGGCAACCUCUCCAUGGAUAUCCGUUACGUCCUCCUCCUCCACGUCCAGGGUAGCCCCCACCACGUCCAUUCCCCGGGUAUCCACCACCUCCGAGCUGAGCUUCUUGUACAUCACCACUCGCCUUGUUUUCUUCUAUAGAUCAACAACAAGCAGAAAGAAUGAAAGACAGAUUCAUAAUUUAAACUUAAUAAUUUCAUGAAUAGUUACUAUGGUACGUAUGUUACGUUGUGAGUUCUUUGUAAUCAUUAGUACAAAACUACUUCCCAUUUUGGACAUCAUUCGUAUUUGCAAAUAUUAACUAGUCGUGUUAUAUAUAUAUAUAUAUAUAUAUAUUUAAACACUAUAUAACUAUGUAAAUAAUAAUUUCUAUAACUUAAGUUUAAUUAAUUAACAAUUGAGAAUAAUUACUUACUUUGAGUAGAUUGAGCUCCCACUUGGAAAGAAAUAAGGACAAUAGCAAGCAAAAGACCAAAAAUGAGCAAAUUUUUUGUUGAAGCCAUUUUGAAAAAUAAUUGUUUUUAAGUAUCUAAAAGAUAUAGAGUAUAGUGUGAUGGAUCAAAUGAAAUGAACCAAAAUUCUAUUUAUAGAGCACAAAAAAUCUUACUAUUUAAUUUUAAGGAUUAAAGAUUUGCUGGCGUUGAAGAUUUCACGUGAAUAUAAGUAUGGGACUUGUCAUUUUUAUUUUUAUUUUAAUGAUAUUUUGGACCAAAUUAAAGGCUUCUGAAUAUUAUUAGAGUCCCCACACUUCCAUACAGUGACUCUGAUGAAAAGAAUGGAUUUUAAAAAUAUUUUUUACUUCAAUAAUUGUUCUUUCGUCAUGCAUGAUGCUCUCUUUUACUACUACUAUACCAAAAAAAUAUAUAAUAUUAUUGAUCUUAUAUCUUUAUUUGAAUUUUGGGCGUAUUUUUGUAAGACUCAAAAUAACACCAAAAAGAAAAAAAAAAAAAAAGCAUAGUAUUCCUAUGAUAAAAUGAAAAUUUUUGUGUCGGCAAUCCGUAACGUCCAGACAAACGUGUCUUCUACUUAAUGACUUCAAGUACACAAUUUGCAUUCAAACAGUACUCAACGGUUUAUGGAAUUUUACAAUUUACAUCAAGUAUUCGCUAUGUUCUUCAUCGAUAUGAGAACUCAGAUAUCUGUUGACGAGAGUCAUUUUAAAAUUAGAAAACAUGAUUCAAAUAAAGUUUAUUUUUUGAAGAAAAAAAAAAGUCUAUUUGUACAAGUCUUAUUGAUAUAUAGUUGUCAACUAGAUUUGAACUGUAGUAAAAGGGUCAAAGGCAACAUCUCCCCAACCACUUUGUUAAUUUAAAAAAUAAAAUAUUUCAAAAGUUCGUGAAAAAUUCGUAGUGUAAAAUUAUGGCUUUAGGGAUAAUGAUCUAAAAAAUAUCCCAACUUUGGUCGAAUUUGCUGUUGCGAUACUAAACUUUCAUGAGGAUCUAUUACCUCCCUAGACUAUUUAAUACCGUAUUUUAAACAUAUAUAUUUGCCCACUUGGACAUAAAAAAUAAUGCAAAAUUAUAAAUAGUAAUGUGUCCAUGUGGGCACAUAUAUGCCUUUAAAAUACACUAUUAAAUAGUUCAGGGGCUAAACAAUACUGUAUUAAAUAGUCUAGGGAGGUAAAAGGUCCUCAUGAAAGUUUAGUAUUGCAACAGCAAAUUCGACCAAAGUUCUGAUAUUUUUCAGACCCUUAUCCCCUUUUAAAUGAUAAUACUAGUACUAUUUUAGUCUCUCAUUUAUGUGUUGUACUUAUUUUCUUAAUUUAAUAAAAAAAAACAAUUUUAACUUUUUAUUUUACCAGUAAUAAAAUGAUAACUAUACAAAUAUUUAUAACUUGUUGUAUCACAAGUUUAAAAAAGAAAAAAAAAUAAAAAUUUAUGUCCAGCCAAAUAGUUUUGAAUACAUUAGGAUAAAGAGAGUAAUAGUACUUUUAAAGUACUAGACACAAUAAUAUAUACUUUUCGAAUAAAUAAGAAAAAGAUGCUUGAAAACAACUUUACAGAAAGUAUUAAUUGCAGCAUAGAGGCGUAUGAGAUAUGGGAUAAGAUUUGGAAUAUAUGCAAAUCGAUAAAUUUGUAAGUCAACCUUUAAUAAAUUUUCCUCCAAAUCACAAAAGCCCCAAUGUAUUUGACCUUUUCAAAUCUCAAGUAUUUUUUACAAUAUUUCAUUUAGCGUUUGGUAAUUAUUUUGAACUCGACUAAUAUAAAUUUGUAUCAAAAAGAUUUAUUUGAAAAUAAAAGAUUUUUUAUUAAAAAUAAUUCUACAUUCAAGACUGAAAUUCGAGACCUUUCAUAAUUUUUUAUGAUAAAUGUCAAUUAUUUUCAUAAUUAUCGAUCUAAAUUCGUCGGCCAUGCAAACUCAUGCACGUGAUGACCUUUAGAAGCUAUUUGGACAAAUAAGAAUUUGUCCGAAGGAAAACAAGGUAAAUAUACCCUUCAACUUUAUGAUUCAGAGCGGAUAUAUAUAUAUAUAUAUAUAUAUAUAUUUAUUUAUUUUAUUUUUUAUUAAAAAUUGAUGCAUAUAAGUUAUAACACUAUAACUCUUAUCGUCUAACAAAUUGUGCAUCCUCGUUGUCUAAUAAAUAAUACAUAUUUAUCCUCUCUUUUUUAUUAGACCUAAAUUUAUUGAGUUAACUUAAAUCCUCAAACUGAUUUUUUUAUUCCAAAAAUGUUACGUGAAUUAAAAAAAUUAUCUCAUCCAUAUAUAUGUUCCUAAAAAUAUCAAUUAAAAGGGUGAGUCAUUUAACCUUCUACUUUCGGUGUAGAUUAUAGAUAUAUAGGUAAAAAAUUAACUAAAAUUGCAAUAAAUAUUAGAUAUGAACACAUAACUUUUAAACUAUAAAAAUUCAAUAUUAAUCUUUAUAGAUUGAACUCAUAAAAAAUAAAUUUUAGACAUGCAUUUAAAUUGGAUCAACUAUUUUUAAUAAAUACGACAAUUAAAAUAGACCAAAGGGAUAUACGUGGAAAUAUUUUUGCAAGAUGUGUGCACAAAAUUGAUGGAUCUAAUUAGCGUAGAAUAUACAAAUUUUUAUUUUUAUUUUUGCGGCCUUUAAGUUUUAAUUAUAUUAUAAUCCUGUCAUAAAAACGAGCGACGCUGAUUUGUUUAAUUCCGUAUAUGUUUAUGUAAAGAUAAAUUUAUAUAGUGUUUUAUUUUAGGACUCUUCCUUAGAAAAUGAUUUUUUUUCUUCCUCGGGAGCUCUCACUUUUUUUGUUCUCUUGAUGACUUGAACUUACAAUUUUUUGUUAGAAAAUAUGAGAGAUACUUAUCACCCGAGCAAUUCACUCUUAUCUCUUUAGAAAAUAUUACUCUCCUCUCCGUUCCAAGAUAAAUAUGAGUAGCUUUUUUCACAUUUGAAAAUCAAUAAAUACAAGAUAUUAUGUACUACUAAGCUAUAUUUAUUUAUUACAUUUUUUUUAGAAUUAAGUAUUAGUAAGAAAAAAUAAAGUGACAAUCAUUUUGGGAUCAAAUAAAUUAAACUCCUAGAGCGAUAUUUGAUUUGAGACAGAGAAAAUAGUAACAACGUGUAGUUAAGGGCGGAGCCAAAAGGAAAUUUACGAUGAGUUCAAUCAAGUUCAAUAAAUUUAAUUGUCUUUGCUCUAAAUCCUAUAUUUGUGUAAUGAUUUGAGUUGCUAUAAUUAUAGGAGUAAUAUUUGUGUAAGAAUUAUAUCAAAAGUUUAAAUGCCUUCUUGAUUUUAUAAAUUAUUAAUUAUUUUAAAUUAAUUUUAAAGGCUAAAACAUCAAUUAUUUUGAACCAAAGAGAGUAGAAGUUCUCAACCAUAAAUGCAAUGGUUAUCCAAAAAGAAGAGGAAAAAGUACUCUUUAAAUCUAUCCAACUGCCAACUUAAUUACUUGGCUCCAUUAAUUAAUGUCAUCUUCAAAUCUUUGCCUUUUCAAUGUUUAGAUCAUGCUAUAAAUAGAGGCAAAAUAUUCACUAAUUUCCUCAUCCUUUUUCACUCUAAAUUAUCACAACCUAAAUAUAGUAAGUUAUCAAGUAAGAAAAAAAAAUGGGAUUAAAGGCUUUUAUACUUCUAAGCCUUGUUUUGGCUAUUUUUGCAAUUGUAACCUCAGAUGUUGCAGCUAGGGAAUUGGCUGAGAGCUCCACUACUACUGUGGAAAAUAGUAAGCUUACUUUCCUUUUAUAAUGACCAAAUUCCUUAUAUUAAUUCAUAUCAUAUCACACAAUAUGUAUGUAGCAAAAUAUAUGUGUUCGGUAACUAGUUUGGAGGUGAGUUAUGCAGAUACUAAAAUAUGCAUAGAUAAUAUCAUGGUUGGUAUAGUUGGUUAGGAGGUAAGUUAUGCGUGUAUAAAAUUAAUUAAUAUGGUAUUUAGUUUGCAAUUUAGAAAGUCGAAUAACUAAUACAUGUAUAAGUUAUAUGAAGGAAUCUAUGUAUUUUAUGCGGAAUAGAAUUAAGAUGGAAUGAAUAACUAAAUCCUACAUAACUAAUACAUGCAUAAAAAUUCAUAGAUUCUCUCAUAACUACUCCCUGUAUUACUAGUAUCUACAUUUUAAAGUUACGUGGCAUAGUUUGACUCUGCACGAAUAAGUUUAAUUGGAGAAAAUGAUUUUUAAAAUGUGUGGUCGUUUUGCACAUGACAUAACAUUUGUAUGACUAUAAAACUUAUGUAACUUGUACUCUUAAAUAUGUCAUCAUUAAUAUCUCAUAAGCUACUAAUAUACUUUCUUUUUUUUCUAAAAAAAAAAGGUCAUAGUGAGAAUCGGAUCGCCCUAUAUAUAUGUGUGUGAACUUUUCAAAAAUUCAAUAAAUAUUAAAUUUUGAACCUACAUAUAUAUUGAAUUCAUACAUGCAAUGAAUUCAAAUGAUAAGUACUUAAAAGUUGAAUCCAUUGAAUUUAAAUUUUGAAUCCUCUAGUGAUGAUAUCAAAUAUACACCUAACAUGUACAUGUACGAUUUUUAUUGCAGCAAAGAAAUCUGAGAAGAAAAAUGAGGUAAAUGAUGCUAAAUAUCCUGGAGGAGGUUAUGGAGGAGGAGGAUACCCUGGUGGUGGUCGCGGAGGUUAUGGAGGGUAUCCUGGUGGUGGUGGUGGUCGUGGAGGUUAUGGAGGGUAUCCUGGUGGUGGUGGUGGUCGUGGAGGUUAUGGAGGGUAUCCUGGUGGUGGUGGUGGUCGUGGAGGUUAUGGAGGGUAUCCUGGUGGUGGUGGUGGUCGUGGAGGUUAUGGAGGGUAUCCUGGUGGUGGUGGUGGUCGUGGAGGUUAUGGAGGGUAUCCUGGUGGUGGUGGUGGUCGUGGAGGUUAUGGAGGGUAUCCUGGUGGUGGUGGUGGUCGUGGAGGUUAUGGAGGGUAUCCUGGUGGUGGUGGUGGUCGUGGAGGUUAUGGAGGGUAUCCUGGUGGUGGUGGUGGUCGUGGAGGUUAUGGAGGGUAUCCUGGUGGUGGUGGUGGUCGUGGAGGUUAUGGAGGGUAUCCUGGUGGUGGUGGUGGUCGUGGAGGUUAUGGAGGGUAUCCUGGUGGUGGUGGUGGUCGUGGAGGUUAUGGAGGGUAUCCUGGUGGUGGUGGUGGUCGUGGAGGUUAUGGAGGGUAUCCUGGUGGUGGUGGUGGUCGUGGAGGUUAUGGAGGGUAUCCUGGUGGUGGUGGUGGUCGUGGAGGUUAUGGAGGGUACCCUGGUGGUGGUCGUGGACGUGGCGGUGGAGGUGGAGGUGGAUACUGCUCCUAUGGUUGUUGUGAAAGGAAUUACUAUGGUAAUGGUUGCAAUAAGUGUUGUUACUCCAAAAGUGAAGCCAUGAAUAAAGUCACCCAAGCUAAGCCUCACAACUAAAAUUACUAAGUUAUAAGCAAUAUUUAUGAAGUGUGUGUUUUAGUAGUAUGUAAAAUAGUUUUAAUUUGUUGUUGCGAGUUUGAAUAAAUGUAGCUUCCAUUCACUUCAUGUGGAUGGAUGGUCAAAUGUUAUCUUUUCAUUUGUACGUACUUACUCUUUUCAUAUAUAUGUUUGAAUGUAAUUAAUAUAUCACAAUAAUAAGGUCCACAUAAAACGCGUCGAUAGUUGGUAAGAUCUGCUUACUUAUAUACCCAAUAUGUUUCUUAUGUUUUGCCGAUAUGGACUUCUUAUCUUAAAAUGGGACAUCACAUACAUCCCCUUUAUGGACUCAACGUCCUCAUUGAGGUUUGCCCUUCCCGAUGUGGCACGAUUUAUAUAAUGAUAACGAAACUUACAUUCAUGAUUAAUUAAUCACAUAAUUGAUUCGUUCUGCUAUGCCCUUUUUUUCCCCUUUAUUUGAAAUUGAAAUCGCAUCGGACAAAUUAAAUUUAUAGAAGACAUUUGCGGAAGAAGAUUUGUAAACGAAAGGGAGAUGUAUUUAACCCAUAAAACGCAUUUCAAGAAUGCGAUUUAUGAACAAAACUAAAAACACUGUUUCUUUUGAUAUAACUUUUUUAUUUAUUAUUAUUAGUACUUAAGAUUUUGAAAAACGGCAUGAAAACUCUAUUUUUGGAAAUUUUAACCAAGAUCAUUCACCAAAUUGGCAACUCGUUCUUCCUAUUUAUAUGUCAUCAUUUUAGACUCACGUCCAUUAACCAAGAUCAUUCACCAAAUUGGCUACUCGCUGUUCCUAUUUAUAUGUCAUCAUUUUAGACUUCAGGUCCAUUAAGAAAUUAGGUAAGUUUAUUAUUGUACCCUUAUUUAGUAUUUUCUUUUAAAGUCAAGUUUUUGAUAAAUAAACAUAAAUUAAUUUAUUUUGAUUAAUUAAAUUGACCAAUGAACAAAUACAGUAAAACCUCACUAAAUCAAUACUCGGUUAAUUAAUAAUCUCUCUAAAAUAAUAAUUUUCUCCGGUUCCGACUUGGGCCAAUGGAAAAAAUCAUUCAUUUCGAUAAGAUAAUAAGAUAAUAUAUUUUUAGAAGACCCUUAUAUCAAUAUUAUAAAUUAAUAAUUCUUUAAAAGUACAAAUAUAUCUAAGAAAAUUUAGUGAAAUAUGAUUCUAUUAUGUUCUUCUUUUUGUUAAAAUUAAAUUUAGUUGAAACUCAUCUCUAACUAUUCUUAUUGCAUCCAAAAGUUUCGGUGUUGUCUUUUCUAAUAUCACCAUAAAAUUUUGAAGAGUUAUAGAUGCAAGUGUUUUCUUACGCGUAACUGGUUCCAAAGGUAUUGUAUCAUCUUCAAUUUUAUCAUCAACAUUGUUUUACUAAUGAUAUCCACAAUUUGUUCUAAGCUCUGGACCCUUUGAACAUGUAUCAUUUUCACCCAUCCAAUAGGUUAUUAACGUCCAUUUUAUUGUGGUAACUGAGAUCAUUAAUCAUGAUCUCAAGUUCACGAAUGACGUUUUCACAAGUGGGUUCUUUCAAUUUCUUUGAGAUUUCAUCCCUAAACAAUUUUUCGAUGUCGAAAAUCUCUUUAAAUUAAUAAAUAUUAAUUUAUCGAUUAAAUAAUACCUCUACAAAAUAAUAAUAUUACAUGGUCCCUCUUGUAUUAAUUUAGAGAGAUUUUACUGUAUUAAUCAUUUAGUUUUUCUAUGUUGGUCAAAUUCGUACUUUUAAGGCUAAGAACUCUCUCAAGGACAAAAUAGGAAAAAUAAUAUAAUUUAUGCAUUGAUUUUAUGAAAUAACAUAUAUUAAGGACCAUUUAUUUUUAAUAAAGAUGAUAUAUAAAUAAAAAGAGAGUACUUGACAAAAUUGAAAUGUCUAAGAUAUUAAUGCUGUAAUAAUUAGUGGGAAAAUGAUGGAUCUAAAUAUAACGUACAUUAUCUAUAUUUUUCCAAUAAAUUCUGUAGGCUGCGGCCUUCAAUUUUUGUUUUACUUUGAGGAUUCUUACGGGUUAUUGAAAAGUAUUUCUUCCAUAUCAAAUUUACAAAUUAUCAACCAUAAUUUUUUUACAUGUUUUAUAAUAAAUAUUAAUUAGAAGGAGUUUUGAUUAUUUUAUUUUUAUUUACGACUUAAGAUUUAAUCUCAUUUCAUUGAAUAUUAACUCUCUUUACGUAUCGUUAUUCAUUACUCUAUAAUUGAAGUGUUUUUAGUUUUUCAAUAAAAUUACUUAAUACUAAAGGUAAAAUAAAAAGAAUAAACAAUUUUAUUUGAAAGUUCUAAAAUUACAAAAAAUAUUGAAAUAACAAUUUUUAAAAAUCACAACAAAUAAUUUAAGACGGAUUAGGUAUAUAUUUAUCUAAAAUCUGUAUUUCCUCCCUGAUCUAUAAAAUUUCGGCUCUUUGUACCUCCCAUUUUAAUGUUCUUGUACAGUCAAUUAUAUUCUUUAUUUUUUAAUUCGGUGUUUAAUAUUAAAAUAAAUCAACAUACAAAAUAAAAUCCAUUAAAAAGAGAAAUACCCCUUAUCAAGAUUUUCCCAUAUUUUGACUAUUAUGUUCUUUUUUUGUCAACUUGUUAUUUUUAAAGACGUACAAUUUUUUCUCAGCUGGAUCUUAAUCUAGUCUAACUACAAUGUACGUGGAUUUUCUAUACAGAAACUCAAUCUAUAUAUGGAAAGGGUCGGGUAUCAAAUCCCCUUGACUAAGUUGGAGUUAAAAAAUUCACUUUAUUAUUACUCGAUUCUUAAAAAGAGAAAUGAUUUUUUCAGCUAGUGCAUACAUAUAUAAGAGCGCAUUUUGAUUUUUCCUUUACUAGUAAAGGAUCCCAUUCAUGAUUCUCAUGGUGUUUUCUGAUCGUUUUCUUUUAGUGUUUCGAUCUAAAGCAAUAUAAUUAUUUUUACUCUCUAAUUAAGAAUGUAAAAUUUCUAUUUUAUUUAAUGUAGAAAAAAAAGAAGUAAAAAGUACUACUCCUUGUCUACUUUAUUACUAGCUAGACCGUCUAUCCGAUUGUCAACUUAAUUAACAACUAGGUUAAUAUUCCAUUAAUGCCACCAUCUUCAAAUCUUUGCAUUUUCCAUGCUAUAAAUAAAGGCAAAAUAUUCAUUAGUUUCCUCAUCUUCUUCACAUUUAAUUAUCAUAACACAAGUAGUAAUAGUUAUAAAGUUUUUAAGCAAGAAAAAAAAUGGGAUUAAAGGUAUUUAUCCUUUUAAGCCUUGCUUUGGCUAUUUUUGUAACGUUAACAUCAGAAGUUGGCUGAGGGCUCCACAAAUACUGUGGAAAUUAGUAAGCUUUCCUUCCUUAUAUACCAUCAGUGUAUAUAUAUACGUUGAUAUUGUAUGCGCGUAUAUACAAUGUAUAUGCUACAUUUUGAAAGAACUUGUACUAAAAAAAUUAUCGCUAUUUUUUUACAAUUAAAAGGGGCACUAAUUAAUCUCGCUAAUUAUGAGAGAAAACAUGUAUAUCGCUAAUAUAAAAAACUUUUUUUUGUUAGAUAUGUUAUAUAUAUAGUUUUGAUAAAGAAUUUUUUUAUUAAUUUUGUUUGAUAAGAAAUAAAUUAUAAGAAAAUAAAUAAAAGAAACUAAUUAAAACUCGACAAUUAGAGUCGGGUGGGUUGACUAUGACCCAUUGUUUAGCUUAUUUUAAUUUAUUUAUAAUAUUGACCCAAAAGAUUCAAUCCAUUACCGUCCAAAUUUAGUUCAGAUCGCCUAUUUUAUAUCCCCUUCCUUAUAGUAGUAAUAGAGUCAAACAAAGGAAAAUUACACUCAUUUUGUACUGACUAACUCUAAUUUUUUAAUUUCCCUUUAGAUUUAAUAAAAUAUCGAGCCUAUUUUACUAGGUAUCACUAGUAUUUUCGACACAUAACUUCAAUCUAUAUACAUGUGAUUUUUUUAAAAAAGAUCUCAACAAAUAUUUAUGUUUUGAAUGCAAUAAAUUUAAAUCUUGAACGUGCUUAUGAUUAUAGUGACUAUCCCCUCUAACAUGAACAUGCAUGCUUAUAUAUUGUUGCAACAGACAAAUCAGAGAUGGAAAAUGAAGUAAAUGAAGCUAAAUAUCCAGGUGAUGGAUUCGGAGGAGGUUAUGGAGGUUAUGGAGGGUACCCGGGGCGUUGGUAUGGAGGAGGGUACCCUGGAGGCAGAUACUGUCGCUUCGGUUGCUGCCCGAGGAAUUUCUAUGGUGAUGGUGGUUGCUUUAGGUGUUGUUACCCAGGAGAAAGUUGAAGCUAUAACGUAUUACUCAAGCUAUUUACUAAGUAAUAUGUAUUGUGUGUUUUAGUAGUAAUAUACUUUUGUUGAAUAAAUGGUCUGAAAAGAUUGAGGGUCGAUCAGAAACAUAUUCUCUAGCUAUUUUAUAAAUGACUUCCAUUCUCUCUGGAUUUCCGUUGUGAGAUCAUAGUUGAUAUGUUGUUGUUAGUUUUGUUGAAUAAAUGUAUCCUCCAUUCACUUAUGGUCAAUGAGAAAUAAUAUAAUUAAUUAAGCAAUUUAAUAUAUAUUAUUUAUAAUAAUUUUAAAUGAGAUUGUUACAUAGUUCAGUAUGUAUAAUAUAUUGUAAUAUUCAAGAUGUUUUUAACUCAAACUCAUGUUAUUCAGAGUUUAUAACCAUGAUAAAUAAUAAUAAUAAUAUUUUGUAAUGGGAUAAAUAAUCCUGUGAUUUUGAUAUAAUAUUUAUCGUGGUUUUAGGUAAUGUCCAUACGCAAAUACCAAACAAAUUUAAUUCCGUAUUUUCUAUUGAAAUAAUCCCCUAAUCAAACGAUAAUUUUAAACUUUAUUUGAUUAGAAAGUGUUAAUUAGAAACAAGUCACAUCUCCAUCGUCUAAAUAAAAUUUACUAAUAUAUUUAAGGGGCUAACAAUGUAUUAAUUAACCCUAAAAUUUAAUAAAGGUGACAAAUGGUAAUUUAGGUCCAUCUUGUUUGAACGAAAACGGGUCAAGUAAAUAAACGGCAUCAAGACCCGCCCCGAAAUUAGAUCAAAAUGAAUUGGGUCAAAAUAUAGCAAAUAACUGGUCAUAAUAUAACCCUAGCAUUAUUGAAAAUUUUAAUUUUAGUUAAUACUUUAAGCUUAAGCUAAAUAUCACAGAUAAAGUUGAAAAUUUUAAAAUAAUGAUAGUAUAGGCUGCCUCGCACGGCUAGCGGUAAGGUAGCGGUGAGCAUGGUACGGUAUUGAAAAGUUUAAUUCAAUAAUUUUGGUUUACGAUUUUUAAAAGUACUAUACCACUAUCAUAUCAAAUUAAUUUGACUUAGUUCAAUAUUUUAAAGUUCGAUUUCGAUAUUUUACGAUUACGAUAAAUUGGUAAAUCGAUAAAGCCCAAACCAUGGUGAAAAUUUUCAAUUUCGAUAUGAUAUGAUAUUUAGUAAUAUCUACCAUAUCAUGUCCACCUUUACCGCAAGGGCAGGACUUGACCCUUGCGGCCAUGUGCAUAUGGUUAAUGGCCGGGUGUCCGGCCAAUGCACUAGGGCAAAGGACAACAUAGGUGCGGCCAAUGUGCAACAAGAGAUGACGAUGACGGCGAUAAUAACAUAUUUUCAGUAAAACUCCAUAAAUAAGAUUUGGUGAUGAUAGAAUAUAUAUAAAUCUUAUUCACACCUCGUGAAGAUAGGAACAUUAUUUACGAAAGACCCUCGACUCAAAUGUCAAGUUGAUAAUUUGUGUAAGUUGACCUUUUAAACGAUAUAUAGACUUUUCAAGAUGAGAUGAAAAUACAUCUUAAUUUUAUUAAAUGAGAAACUAAUUGGUCUUUAACUCUAAGAUCUAAACACAUGCUAGAGAAACUAAAUUCCUAAAAGUAUAAUCACUCUUCAUUUAAAAGGAAAACCAUUAAUUCCAACAACUAUUCCUUAAAUAAUGUUAGAAGCAAACUAAAUUCUAAUUAAUUUUGCAACUAAAGAAUAAGACAAGUUCUAACCCCUAUUGGGCUAGAAUUAGUGGGGCUGGUAAUUAAUUAGAAAAAAUUGUAUUAGCUUGGGCUAGAUAAUUAAAAAUGAUCGAUAUAGCUAGUACCAUAACUCUCAUAGGGCGGAGAUAAAACACUAAUCUCGAAAAAUCAUACGGUGUAUAUAUUUUCAGCUUAUUAGUAACUCAAGACUAUUGUACGUAACAUUUUUGGACAUUAAAUAAAAGAGACUUAAGAUUAAUAUAUGUUGAAAGAUAUACACAUAUAACUCAGUCACACCAACAAUCCAUGGUGGUAUGGUUGAGAUUCCUCUACCAUUAAUUAAAGGUUUCAAAUUCGAGUUCUACAAUAUAAAUUUAGUCGGACUCUAAUACAAACACCGAACAUCAGAUCAAAUGAAAAAAUAAAAAAACUCAUCCAUAAUAAUAGCUUAGAUAGAGGAAAAUGCCAUAUGCUUUAUUGAAAAGUCUGAGUUUGAAAAAGUCUAAUCAAUUAAUCUGUCAACUUAACUAGUAACUAGUCCAUAACAUCAUUACUCCAAUAUAUACAAAAUGUUCAGAUGAUUAUUCUAUAAAUAGAGGCAAACUGGUCCUUAGUUUCCUCAUCCUUCUUAUAAUUAUCACAAAAUCGUCAAGUAGUAGUUAUAUAAGAUAUAUUUAUGGUUUGAGACAAAAAAAAAAAUGGGAUCAAAAGCAUUUUUCCUAAUUGUUUUGGCUAUUUUACUUGUGAUAACAUCAAAGGUUGCAGCUAGGGAGUUGGUUGAACGUAAGUUUAUUUCUUACAACUAUAUAUCUUAAUUAAUUUUAACUUCAUAUUAAUAUUAUCACAUAUUAUUAUUAACAUAUGAUCAUACAUACUAUUAAAUGUUAUGAUCAAAUAUGUUGUGAUCAUCACACAGUUAAUAAUACGUAUAUUACCUUUCUAAACAAAAUAGUACAAGCUAGCUAAUUAACAUGCAUAUGUUUGAUUAUUGGUGCAUGUAGCAAAAACAUCCGAUACGCCAAAUGAUGGCCCCAAAUUUAUAGGAGGUGUACAACCAGGAUUCAGAGGAGGCGAAUAUGGGGGAGUAUUCCCAGGAGGAGGAUAUGGUGGAUAUCGUGGUGGUGGAUAUGGUGGAUAUGGUGGAUAUCCUGGUGGCGGAUAUGGUGGAUAUCCUGGUGGUGGAUAUCCUGGAUACCUUGGUGGUGGACAAGGAUACUAUGGAGGCUAUCCAAGAGGAGGAUAUGGUGGAUUUAAUCCUGGUGGUGGUUAUGGCGGAGGAGUAUAUCCUGGAGGUGGUUGGUAUGGAGGAUUGCCGCGCAAUUAAUUAAUUAAUUGCAUGCACCUCUGAUGUAUCAGUUAUUGUAUCCAUAGUAAAUAUUGAUGAGAAGCCGAGUGGAUAACGGACGACUAUGGCUAUUUAUAUAUUUUACUUUAUGUUUUAGUAAAGUAAUAGUUUUGUUGUUGGAAGUAUGAAUAAAUGUAUAAUAAAUCUCCAUUCACUUACUACUAUGGAUGAUUGGUCAUGUCUUGUUUUUUCUUUUUAUAUAAAUGUAUGAGAACCAACUUAUAUAAAUCUCUUUCCUUUUACAUGUAAUUGUCAUCCAUAUAUUUAACUAGUGAAAUACAAGUCAUUUUGCAUUUUAUUUUAUUAUUCCAAAAAGCAUUUGAAACUUAGAUGUAGUAUUUUAUCGAUUUCAAAAUAUAUACGGAGGACUUAAAUCUUAAGGUUAACAAAAAGUAGUGUGGUUAUUUAAUAACCGAAUAGAGUCUAUUUUGUUAAUUGAUGAGAAAAUUAAAAAGAUUAAAAUAUACUUGUAAAAUUUAAUCAAGUCGAUUUCUUUAAAUUAUGCAAUUAUAAAAUGCAUGAGUCGGAAAUUCAACCAAGAUAUAUAGUAAAGUUACUAUUCUACCGCUAGACCAUGAAUGCUUGUUGGUCUCUAUGCCUUUCGUUUUUAUUAUUUAUACUUUUAAUCGCAUACUAGUAUUUGUACUCGCGUGUUGCGCGGAUAAUUUCAAAUAUAAUAAUGUUUUAAAUUAAAUUUAUGACUUUUUGUUGUGUAUUUUUCGUUUGUUCCAAUUUAUUUAAUUAUGUUUUACUAUAAUUAUGUGCAUGAGCUUAAAAUAGCUAGCACUUUCAAUUUUAUAAUUGAUGUAUUUUUCUCAAAUAGUAAAACAUAGACAUGUGUCAUGUGUGAAAAGGUAACCAUUUUAAAUUUCAAUAUUCAAUAGAUUAUGAUGAUGAUUUGGAUAAAGAUUAUAUUUUAAAAUAAAGAAACAAUAAGGAGUCCAAAAUAUAGGAUACAUUAUAUUUAGAAGUUAGACUGUCUAAUUGAAUUAAUUCAAAAUAAAAAGAUGAAUCCAACUUUCAUGACUAAUAUAAUCUUUCUAAUUAGAAGUGCUCCAUUUCACGACCACAUCAUUAGCAACAUUAAGCACAUUAAUUUUUUGAAUAACUAAUUUUAUUAUUAUACUAUUUAUUUAUUUUGUCUUAAUUUAAAUUACAAAAAAUUAUUUUAAUAUAAAAAACUCACAUAUGAACAUCAACUUCUAUCAAUGUAGAUUUACCCAAAUUAUUAUAUUUGUGUUUGAAUUAUAUUGUUAAUUUGUUUUAUCAACUAUCUGUUAAUUACAAUUCGAGAAUUUACACUCUUUGACAAAGUAAUUUAGGUAACAUCAGCUAUCUGUUUUUACGAUCCGAGAGUUUGCACUGCACAAUAACCUACAAAAUACAAAGGAAUAAAGGUAAAAUGUUUAAAAUAAAUCAUCAAUUCUAAUUUUGGAAAAUUUUUGAAUAGCAAGAAGUCCAUAUUUGUGUUUGAAUUGUUAAUUUGUUUCAUCAGUUAUCUAUUAAUUACAUUUCGAGAAUUUGCACUCUUUGACAAAGUAAUUUUGGCAACAUCAGCUAUAUGUUUUUACUAUCCGAGAAUUUGCACCGCACAAUAACUUGCAAAGUACAAAGAAAUAAGGUAUGAUGUUUAAAAGAUAAAUCAUCAAUUUGAAUUUAAAAAAAAAUUAAAUAGCAAAAGGUCUUGCCAAGAAAAGGUGAUGUGAUCUCGAUCUAAUCAAUCUUUAAAUCACAUGAAACAUCUAUCAAAUACAUAAAAAUAUUAAUAAAAUCUAUUUCGUCUAAUAAAAAAAUAGAGAUAGAAACCAAUGAGAAUGAACAAAGCUUAUUUAAAAAAUCCAUAUGUUAAGCUUAGAUUAGCAAAAGAGAUUAACUUGGUGGUGGAGUAGUAUAAUUCUAUUAAAAAUAAGCUAAAAUUAAACUAAUCGUAGAUUAACAAAAACAUACAUUUCUAACAAAACUAAAGUAUUGAUUCAAUAAAGAAUAAAAUGCCGUGAAUAUUUGCGAUCUUAUACGUUCCAUCGUCGUAUAACUCCAUCUUUCAACCUCCAUAGCUUCUCAUUGAUGAGUUCAUCCUAAGUAGGCAUAUUUUGCCGGAAGGAGUAUGCAUUUAAAAAUAUAUAUUUACUCACUUAUUUGAAUUAUAAAUCUACGAUAAAUAACUAUUUUUAGAGAAAUAUUCUACAUAAUUUAAGUAUAUUACAUAUUAAUCCAGUGAUAAAACCUUUUUGAGUAUGCAACAAAUUUCACCCAGUAUACAGCAAAUUCCAAGAAAAAAAAGUGGCAUAUAAGUUCAAAACAUAUAUUGGAGUGAACCUUUGAAGCGUUUCUUGACUUUUUCAAAUGAGUCUUGAUUUAUCCACCGUUUUUUAAAAUAUAUUGUUGUCCACAAAAUUUGUGAUUUAUUAUCCACUAAAAGUAAAAACCGUAAAAAGUAAUUGUUUGAAAGUUUUACACCAUUAUCCAAGAUUUAAGAAACUGUAAAAUUUUCAAAUUUUAAAUUGAUUUUAAUAAUUUAUAAAUUCUAGAAAAUUUAUGGGGCUGACAUGUGCCACUUUUUCCUCUCCUAUUAUAUAUAGAUAGAUUUGGGCAAACAUAACGGAUAGAUUUUUCUGAAUAUUAUAUUUAAUUUAAUUUUUACACAGCACUGACUAUAAAACAAUGAAUGUUGUGGUUCAAUUUAUCAAUAGACUCGAUAGCAAAAAUAAUUUUCCGGGGCUUUAGUGCUAAAAGAACUAACAAAUUUCUAUUAUUUUGUGUCGCCAUCUAAUUAAUGCACAAGUUCUUGAGUCAUCUAACAACAACAUAUUCAGUGGAAUUCCGCAAGUACUGAGGUUUGAAGAUUCUUUAGUCAUCUAAACAAGAAGUGAAGUACGGAAUAAUCAACAUAAGAAUUUUACCUUGAAAAAAUUUGUUGCUCAAAGGAGUAAUAAAAUCAACGGAAAAAAAUCACGACGUAUACCUUCGUAAGUGAUUAGAACAACAAAAUCCGACUCAAUAAUAACAUAUUUGUGCCAACUCAAAUUCUGACAAGACGUCUAUCGAAAAUUUGCUAUUUAGUGAUUAGAACCAUAAAAGAAAAUAUGGUCCAGUGUUUCAAUGUCAAAGUGCUACUCUUUAAAAGUCGAAAUUUAGAAAUUAAAGGUAUCUUAAUGUGCCAUAUGUUUAAUUAGGCUAAUAGGAGUUUGUUCUUGGUCUUUCUCAUAGACAGGGGCGGACGUAGAAUAUCGAUAUCAGAUUCAUCUGAUUUCAGUAAUUUCAAUGCAGAUCGUAAAUUGAAUUGGAUGUUUCAUUUAGGUUAUUUCCUACCUUACCCUUUCAAUUAAUUCAGAAAAUACAAAUAACAAAUAUAAACUCAGGAUUCACUCGACGAGUUAAUUUAAGUUGGAUAUCAAUCACAUCCUACACCAACAUCAUUUAGGAGCCUGACAUCCUCUAUAACGGACAAGUUUGUUUAGGAAUCAAUUUUUCAUGUUAUGUUAUGUGCUAUAUAGCAAUCAAAACGUAUUCAGAUAAACAAUGUUGUUAGAGACAAGUUUUUACUGGAAUAUGAAACUUCUAGUUAGUAAAUCAAGACAUUUAUAACAUUUUUGGAUACUAAAAGACGCUACCUCUGUUAGAGCAUAUAUUACAAUAAUAUACUAUAAAUUAAAUAUAGUAAAUUCAAACAGCAUGAUCUGUUUAAUUCUUAACCAUAUAUAAUUAUUAUACGUUGCCAUAUAUUAUAUAUAGCUAAUUAGGAAUAUGCAAUAUAUAGUUAUUUCAUUUAGUCUAAUCUGUCAACUUAAUUAAUAGCUAGCGGGACUCUACUAAUACAAAAUUUCAAAUUGAUCAAUACUAUAAAUAGAGGGAAAAUGGUCAUUAGUUUUCUGCAAUUAUCAUAAUUCAAGUAGUUGUUAUAUUUAAACAAAAAAAAUAAUGGGAUCGAAGGCAUUUUUGCUAAUUGUUUUGGCUAUUUUUCUUGUGACAACAUCAGAGGUUGCAGCUAGGAAGUUGGCUCAGAGUUCCAGCACUUCCUUGAAAAAGAGUAAGCUCCCUACGUCGUAUUUUAUGUAAAGGUGGUACAGCUUGAAAAGUCAAAUCAUUUGACUCAUAAACUUUUUUAUAAAUAUUUUGAAUCGUUAUCUGAAUUGACUCGUAAUACUUUUCCUUUAAUUAAGACCUUAAUUUCUUAAAUUGAAUUGUUCCAUUCCCUCCUUAAAAAAAGCCUAAAUUAUUUUGUCUAUAAGUUGCACAAAAUAAGCCCAUGACAGUAUGGCAUACGCAAGUAAUUUGGUGGGUGAAUGACCCGGCCACCGUUUUAAUUACUUAGAUCAUUUUGAUUCGUCUAAAUUUAGUUCAUUUAAAAAUUGGGGGCGUAUGAUAAAUAUAGGGCCUAAGUUAAUCUGUGAAAAAACUUGCAAAAAUAAUAUAUUUUUAAAAAAAUAUAUUUAAUAUGUUAUAUAUUGUUCUUUAAUAAAGAAGAAUUUUCUUUAAUAAUUUGUUUCUUAUUACAAAAAUUAUAAGAAUUGGAGGAGGACAUUAACAUGCAUGUGUGUGAAUGAUAUCUGGUGCAGGAGAGGCAAGUGAGACAAAUGACGCCAAAUUUUUCGGAGGAGGACUUCCAGGAUUUGGGGGAGGUUUUUUGGGAAUCGGAGGACUUCCUGCAAUUGGAGGAGGACUUCCAACAAUAGGAGGACUUCCCGGAAUAGGAGGGCUUCUUGGAAUCGGAGGAGGAUUUCCGAAAAUUGGAGGACUUCCAACAAUAGGAGGACCCUCAGGAAUUGGUGGGGGAGGACUUCCAGGAAUAGGAGGACUUCCCGGAAUCGGAGGACUCCCAGGACUUCCUGGAAUCGGAGCACUUCUAGGAAUUAGAGGAGGAGGAGUUCCCAAAAUCGGAGGACCUCCAGGAAUUGGUCUUCCAAAAAUUGGAGGACCUACAGGAAUUGAAGGAGGACUUCUUCCAGGAAUAGGAGGACUUCCAAAAAUCGGAGGACCUUCGAUAAUUGGAGGAGGAGGACUUCCUAAAAUUAGAGGACCUUUGGGAAUAGGAGGAGUAAAAGGAGGACUUCCUGGAAUCGGAGGGCUGCCUUGAAUCGGAGGACUUCCAAAAAUUGGAGGACCUUCAAUAAUUGGAUGACUCCCUAAAAUUGGAGGACCUACUGGAUUUGGAGGAGGAGGACCUCCGGGAAUAGGCGGAGGAAAAGGAGGACUUCCAGGAUUUGGAGGAAAAGGAUGACUUUUCAAAACCGAAAAAAUGUUGGGUUUUUAAAAGGUGUGAAUGUUUAAUGAAGAGUUGCGACUUUUAUGAAGAGUUGUGACUUUGAUGAAAAGUUGCGACUUUUAUGAAGAGUUAUGACUUUUAUGAAAAGUUGCGACUUUUAUGAAAAGUUGUGACUUUUAUGAAAGGUGGUGACCUUUCCGAAAGAUUGUGACUUUUCCAAAGGUUUGUGACCUUUCCGGUAAGGCACAUUAAGAACCUUUUCACACUACCCUUUGAUUUCUAUAAAUUGAGGAAUUUCCUCUCAUUUCAAGAACGAAUUUUUCUGAACUUCUUCUACUACUACUAAAUCUAGUAUUCUAAGUGUACUUUACUACCGUUGAGUGGCUCGCUGACACCAGCGUUUUGGGUAUCAAUACACUGGUGAUUGAGAUCAUUCUAUCCUGGGAGGACAUAUUCCAAAUCAAACCUCGGAUACUAGAGGGGAAUAAUUUCCUUAAGGGGACAUUGUGCAUUCAGUGGGCUUGAUCUUCUUUCUGUUUUUCCAGAUUCUGGUAUGUGUUACAAAUUUUAGAUUUGUGAAUUAAUUUAUGUUCUUUUGUUCUUCACUGGUUCAUUAAACUUUGGUAACUUCGUGUUUCUGCAAAGUUUAUUGGAAUCAGUAAGAUUCUUUAAACACAGAUUGACACAAUUCUAAUCUGUUUCUAAUUCUAGUUUCUCUACAAGUUUUAAUUUUCUAGUUGUGAAAAUGUUCUUUAACUUUAUUGUGUCUUACCAAGUUCUUCAAAGUUUUGUUCUAAGUAUCUUAGGAAUACAAGAUGAAUAACAAAAACUUCCUUGAUCUAAUUAAUUAAUUAUAUAUAUAUAGUGUUUUAGUAAGUAAUAGUUUUGUUGUUGAAAGUAUGAAUAAAUGUAUAUCACAAAAGGUUGUGUUAGAGUGAUAAGUAAUUUUUAAUCUUAAUUAGAUGUUUUAGACCUGGAUAUGCAUGUAAUCGCCUUUGAUAUGAAACACUUUAUCUUUAAUGUGUAGCUUUUCGAUAUGAAUUCGAAUAAAAUGGACUCUAAUAUGGAUAUCAAACAUCAGAUUGAAAAAAAAGUAUGAAUAAAUGUAUGGCAUUCAUUUACUAUGGAUGAAUGAUUAACAUGUCAUGUUUCUUUAUAUAAAUAACAAUUAAAUAAUGUCAGAAAAUUUAGUACAAGUAAUUAUCAUCCAAUUACUUUAUGAAAUUUAUAAUCCUAAAAAUAAAAUAAAAUAAAAUUGUUGACUGCACCAAUCAGUUUAUUUAAAAAAAAAAAAAAAAACAGGUUGGAUCUAUCCGUUAAUGAAACAAUAAAUUUUGCGGUUCGAUUUACCCGCCAGUAACAAGUAAUUUCCCGAAUUUUGACGCAAAAAAAUUGAUAAAUUUUGCAGUUCAAUUUAUCGAUAACAACAAGUAAUUUCUCGAGUUUUGACGCUAAAAUAAUAGACGGAUAUUCGUUGGUUCCUUCAGAAACUCAGAUUUCACCAAAUAAAUUUUGAAAAGUAUGUUACGUACCAUAUGUUUAAUUUAGUCUAAUAAAAGUUUGUUCCAUGUCUUUUUCAUAGACAAGGGAGGAUGCAGUACUAGAUUUAUCUAAAUUUAGUACUUUUAAUGUGGAUGUAAAUUUAUGUGUAAAAUUGUAUAAAAAAAAAGGCCAAACACAUAUGCAGAUCUUUAAUUUUGUCCCUAAAUUUCAUUUUGACACUUUAACUCAAUCUUGUUCCUUUUUAACCCUUCAACUCCAAUUUUUAUGUUCCAUUUUGGCACUUCUAAGUGAUGUGGCAGAGAAUGUGCAUCACACAUUCUCUAAGAGAGUGAAAGACAAAAAAAAAGUAUUUUUAAAAAAAAUAAUAAAAGAUUACCCUUCAACUCUAUUUCUUUUAUGUAUCAUUUAUCACAAAACACUAAUUUUAUGAUUUCUUUAUUUCUAUAUAUGUUAUUCAACUGCAAUUUUGCAUUUUAAAAAUCGACGAUUAUCUGUUAAUUAUUGUAAAAAAUUAAAACUGACGGAUUAUCAUUGUUCUUUUUUAUAAAAAAAAGUAACAAUUUCUUUUUAAGAGUUUUCCUAUAUUUUUGCGUGAAAAAUAACCGAUGAAAGUGCGUCGAUUUUCUUUCUUAAAAAAAUCAAUGACAACCCAACGAAGUCUAUCGAGUUUCAACAUUUUUUUGUAGUGUUAUUAAUUAGCAAUGAACAUGAAUUUUUUUUUACUCGUAUUUAGUUGAAUGAAAAAUUAGAAAGUUGAUAUUUGAGUUAGUCCAAGUAGACUAGAUAUGAAAAAAAAAUAUAUGUGAUGUUAUUUAAAUUAACUAAUUGUUUUUUAAAAAAAUCAACACACUUUUGCCGAUUAUUUUUUCACACAAUAAUGUACAGAAACUCUAAAAAAAAAAAACCGAUUAUUUUUUACACAAAAAUGUAAAGAAACUCUAAAAAAUAUAUUUUUUUUUAAAAAAAUGAUGUUCAUCCAUUAUUUUUUAACACAAUAAUGGCAUGUGAAGUACACACAUCCCACUUUGUUGAUUCUUUGGAAAGAAGUGUCAAAAUGGAACAUAAAAAUUGGAGUUGAAGGGUUAGAAUGGAACAAGGUUGAGUUGGAGUGCCAAAAUGAAAUUAAGGGACAAGUUUAAGGGUUUGCAUAUUUGUUUGGCCUAAAAAAAAUAGCAACGAUUAAUAAAUAUGAAUUGAUAACUUUAAAAAUAUAAUUGGUUCAAUAUUAUAAAAAAUAGUAAAGAAAAUCCAUUUUCCGGUUAAAAUUAUUUUUUAAGUAAUAAGGUGAAUUUAUUGAUGUAAAAAUAAGGUAUGUAAGUGACUUUAGUUACUUUCACUAAGUAGCUUGAAAUUUAAUUUACUCAUAUUAUUCAGUUACGAUUUACUACUUUAGUAUUUUAGUAUGUACCAUAAACUGAAUUGGAAUCAGCUUUUCAUGUUAUGUUAUAUUAUAUGUUUUUUAUAAUAAUAUUGUGCUAUAAUAGUUUUAAAAUAUUAUUUGAAUCGUAAAUAACGAUAAUGUUAUAAAGAAGCUCAAUCAUUCAAGACGAUUAUAACAUUUUGAAUAUAACUAAUUCUCAGCCAUAUAUAAUUAUACUUUGCCAUAUAAAGAUAAUUAGGAAAAUGCAAUAUAUAACUAGUCUAAUAUAUAAUCUGCCAACUUAACUAAUAACUAGUCUGGUACAUACAUAAUCUAACGAUGCAACUUUUCAAUUUUAGCUCACAAGAAGUUCAAAUAAUCAGUACUAUAAAUAGAGGCAAAACGUUCAUUAGUUUCAUACAAUUAUCAUAAUUCAAGUAAUAGUUAUAUUUAAGCAAAAAAUAAAAUAAAAUGGAAUUGAAGGCAUUUUUACUAAUUGUUUUGGCUAUUUUGCUUGUGAUAACAUCAGAGGUUGAAGCUAGGAAGUUGCUUCAGAGUUCCACCACUCCCUCGGGAAAUGGCGGUAUGUUUCUUUCCAAUCGCAUUUUAUAUAAAGGUGUUAGUGUUUGAAAAGUUACUUUUUUUAAUUCUAAAUAUUUUUGAAAUUUCGGAGAAAUAAUUUCAGGACUUGGAGAUUUGAUUAGAGGACUUCCCAUUGUCGGACCAAUUCUAGGAGGCUUAUUUUAAUGAUUCGGAAGAGGACUUAUCAGAAUCCAAAGACUUUCCGGAGAUAAUUAAUUACUUACUAAAGAAUAAUUAUGGUGUCUAUUUAUAUAUUAUGUCGUGUGUUUUAAUUUUGUUAUUGUAAGUAUGAAUAAAUGUAUACCACCAAACAAUGGAGUGGUAACUAAUCUUUUAUCUUCAAUUAGAGAAUCGAAACCUGGGUAUGAAGUCAGCUUUGAUAGGAAAUGCUUUACUCCCUAAAAUAAAACUUCACCAUCAAAGAUCCCAAAACGAAUAUCAAACCCAGGUAGGAAACCCAAAUAAAACAUAUGAAUAAAUGUAUGAUAAGUGGCCGUUCAUUUACUAUAUGGAUGGUCAUCAUGUCAUGUUUCUUUGUAUUAUAUUAAUAAUAUAAAUAAAUUUAAGGGAAAUAAUAUCAGAGAACUUACUUUUUAUACGUUCCUUUUCGUUUACAAGUAAUUGUCAUUUGUCAUCCAAAUAGUUAAGCAAAAAUCCAAUUGAAGCUAUUUUUUUAAUUUGUAUUUAAUUAUUGUUUUUGUUCCGUUUUACAUAACAUUCAAUUUAAGCUUCUUCUUUUUUUAAUUUCUCGUUCAAUAGCUAAUAAUCAUUUUGAGCCCCUCAUAAAGUUUAGACGUUUGCACGAAGAAAAUUCAUUAGUAACUACAACGGAAAUGAAUAACAUGAUUUACUAGUGAAUUGCUUAUGAAAAAUCGAUUCUUCAAACGGUAUAUUUACGGAAUUCGAUAUUGUAUUAGCAACAAAUUUAGUAUAUAUAUCAUUAGUUUAAAGAAUUUUUGAACGAUUUCUAUAUGUAAGUUUCAUCAAAAUAUGGGAAUUUUAAUUAUAAAAAUAAAAUAUAUUAUUUGUUAUAACAAGUAAAUAUGGUCUAAUGGACGUCACACAUUUCCAUUAGUUUACCAAAAAAAAGAGACAAAAACAUUUAGAUAAAAUAUCUAUUGGAUUAAAAUUUCUUAUCUAAAAUGACUCACAUAUCAUUUGUACAAAAUAUGACCAUUCAGCCCCUAUCUUCAACCAAUAAAGUGCAUAAUCAUUUUUUUCUUAAUAGUAAUAAUAAAACAAACGUCAUAAUCGGAUCAUUAGCCAACCUCCGAUUAAAACGAGAUAUUACAUAAAACUAGUAAUUUCAAAGAGUCAUAAAAAUGGAAAAAAGAGAACCGCAUUGAAGAGCUUUGUGACUCAAAUUUUUAAAUUCGACUUGUCACAAAUUUGUAUCGUUUCGAGUGAAUAAUACAGAAGUUCAUAUUUAAAAUUUGGGACUUAUUAGAAGAGAUUUGAGCUGGAUGUCCAUUGAAAUAUAUCACCGAAAAGCUUCCAAGUUCAAAUUUUGAAAUUCGACUUUCAACACCCUUGAAUCAUUUAGAUGAAUAAUAUAUCAAAAGAAUCAAAACAUCGAGAGGAGCUCAUAUCUAAAAUUUGAGACUAUUUGGAGGAGAUUUGUGUUUGUCGGGAUUGAAAAAAAUAUACAUCUAGUAAGAAAGAAAAACUGCUGCAAUGUAUAAAUACCAUAUAACAAUGUAUAUACAUUUAUGAUACGUGGGUAUAUAUCAUAUAUGCACGGUUAUACAUAACUAUUUAUAUAAUAUUGACACAUUAUAUUACUAUUUAUACAAUAUCAAUAUAUUACGUAACUAUUUAUACAAUAUCAAUACAUUAUAUAAUUAUUUAUACAAUAUCGAUACAUUACAUAUACAUAUAUUCAUUUUGUUUAUUUUUUUUUGUAUAAAUGAUAUAUAUGCUCUAGUUUUUGGACGGCAAGGGCACCAAUGUCCCAAAAGUAUGACGGAGGGUAUCUGCACACCAUUUACGAUAGUUCGGGGAUAUAUUUGUCCUUUUUCCCUUUUUCAUUUAUACUUUUAAUCGCAUUUUUGGGCAAAAAUAACUAACAAAAUUUGUGAAAAAAUUAAAUUACCGACUAUGCCGACUAAUUUAUCUAUUAUUUUUAAUGAUUUUAACCACAAUUUUGACCAAGUCAAUCGAUUUUCUGAAUAUUAUAAUUAAUUUAUUUUUUGAAAAAAUUACGUAAAUGAGUCAUAAAAUGCAAAAUAAUUACAUGUUUAUACCCAAAUCCAAAGUAAUUCAAGAAAUACUCAUUCUCUCAUAAAUAAUUACGGCUCAUAUCCCCUUCAAGACUGAUAAUUUUUGCUUAACAGAUACUAAAUUAGUAUGAUAUACUGUAUUGAUAUCAUUAAGGUUGAUUUUGCUUAGAUACUAAAUCAGUACCAACUCAAAUUUUGAUAAGACGUCUAUCGAAAAUUUGCUAUUUUAGUGAUUAUAACCAUAAAAAGAAAAUAUGGUCCAGUGUUUCAAUAUCAAAGUGCUACUCUUGAAAAGUCGAAGUUUAGAAAUUAAAGGUAUGUUAAUGUGCCAUAUGUUUAAUUGGAGUUUGUUCCUGGUCUUUCUCAUAGACAGGGGCGGACGUAGAAUAUCGAUAUAAGUUUCAUCUAAUUUCAAUCAUUUCAAUGCGGAUUGUAAAUUAAAUUGGAUGUUUCAUUUCGGCUAUUUCCUACCUUACCCUUUCAAUUACUUCAGCAGAUACGAACAACAAAUAUAAACUCAGGGUUUACUCGACGAGUUAGUUUAAGUCGGAUAUCAAUCACAUCCUACACCAACUCCAAUUGGGAGUCUGGCAUCCUCUAUAACGGACAAGUUUAUUUAGGAAUCAAUUUUCAUGUUAUGUGCUAAUAUAGCAAUCAAAACGUAUUAAGAUAAACGAUAGUAAAUCAUAUGAAACUUCUAGUUAGUAAAUCAAGACAUUUAUAACAUUUUCGGAUACUAAAAGGCGCUACCUCUGUUAGAGCAUAUAUUACGAUAAUAUACUAUAAAUUAAAUAUAGUAAAUUCAAACAGUAUGAUCUGUUUAAUUCUUAACCAUAUAUAAUUAGUAAAAAUUAUGCAAAGCACAUAGUAUAAGAAAGAAAUUACUUUCUAUCCCUACUCUUUCAUAAAUUACCAAAAAUCCCUUUUUUUAGUGUCUUUCAAAUACAUAAUAUUGCAGGCGGAUACUUUAAUUAAUAAGUUGUUGUUAUCAGUUUAAUGUGUUACAAUAAGGAAUUAAAAACUGAAAUUAUAAUUGACUGCCACAAAUCACGCGUACGUUUCUUGCUUCAACCAAUCAGUCGUUCAUAAAACUCUAACUGAAUUAGAAAUUUUAAAUUUCAAAUUGUGAAACCUUCUCCAUGUUCUUCGAAAAUCCAGUAGAAGUUUGAUUCAAAAAAAUUUGGAAUGCAAUUUUGUGAAGAUUCGUAAUGAAUAUUUCGAUCUUGUUAAGGCAUUCUGGGUUAUGGGAAAGUGAUGUUAGAUACGAGCGAUACAGAAGUGAUGGGAUAGUGAUUGGGGAAAAUAUUUCGUAUGUUAAUCUUAUUUCAGCAAUUGCAGCUGAAUUGGAUAUUGAUAAAUUGAAAAAAAACAUCGAGAUCAGAUACGUUGUUGAGGGUGCAAUUGUGUGUGUUGAGGGUGGAAAAAGCGACGCAAAGACUCUAAGCAUUGUUGAAUCAAAAAUUGGUGAUUCCUAUUACAUACCAAAAAUGGAGGUUGAAAAUUAUAUAUCAGAUACAAAUAUUUAUGUUGUGGAAGUGAAGCAAUUGUACAAGGAUAAGGCAACUCUAAAGGCUGUAAUGGAAAAAUACAAAAUAAAGAAUAGCUUUAAUUUUAAAGUUAAAAGAUCUAAUAAGAAAAGGUAUGUGAUACAAAUAUCUGAUAAUGUUCUUCAUUUUUUUAUAAUUUAAUUGUUAAUAUGUUUAUCAUGGUACACUGAUAAUAUGUGUUACGUGCAGUUGUAGAUGUUAGGUAUCGUGUUCGUUUUGAUUUACUUCUAGUUAUUAAUGUAUCAAUUAAGAAUGGUAGAUGAAAAGUGUUUAAUAUGUGUAUUGUGUUCAGUGUAUACAAUAAAGUAUCAUUUUGAGAUACUUUUAUUUAUUAAAGUAUCAAUUAAGAUUGGUGUGUGAAAUAAGGUUAAUAAGUGGAUUUUGAAUUAGUCAUCAAAUUUGUAUUUGAAUAUGAUUAAACGUGUCCUCAUUAAACUACAUAUAUAUAUAUUAAUAUGUGUGCACAACACUAUUUAAAUAAAUGUAUUGUAAUAAUGUAUCUUGUACUGUUUUUUGUUUUUAUUUAUGUAUUGAUACAUUAAACCUGAUCAAAUAACAAAUAUAUAUGGUGUAAUUGCAGCUACAUAUUAGAUUGUUUUUCAGAUGAUUGUUGUUGGAAAUUGAAGACGUCUGUUAGGAAAAAUACAAACAUAUUCAAAGUGAGAUACUUUAAUAGUGAACAUAUAUGUCCAUUGAGGGAUAGAGUAUUAAAUAAGGUACAAGCUACUGUUAGGUUUGUUAGUGGUGUGACAGCUCCAAUAUUGGGGAACCAUAAAAGAAAACAUACUCCAAACGAUAUAAUUGUUGAUAUUAGGGCACUCUAUGUUGUUGAAAUUUCUUACCAACAAGCAUGGCGGGAUAAAGAACGUGCAUUGGAAAUGAUCAGGGGUAAGCCUGCUAAUGGAUAUAGACAGAUGCCAAGAUACAUAUAUAUGUUGGAAACUGUGUAUCCAAAUUCAUAUAUAAGGAUGCACAAGUCGAAAAAAAAUGAGUUUAUGUAUCUAUUCAUAUCAUUAAGGCCAAUGAUGAGAGGGUUUGAGUUAUGUAGGCCUGUUGUUGUUGUUGAUGCUUCACAUCUUAGCAGAGCGUACUGAGGGACAUUUGUAUCGACAAGUACACUCGAUGGGGAAUGUAUGAAUUUAAUUUUUUUUAAAAGUAAUUUAACAUUCUGCAACAAUUAUUUAAAAUUAAUCAUAAUGUUGUGUGUUUCUAUGUUAAGGUUGCAUAUUGCCUUUAGCUUAUGGAAUUGUUGACACGGAAAAUGAUUGUUCAUGGACAUGGUUCUUUCCGCAGUUUAAAUAUGAAUUUGGUGUGAGAGAAAAUGUGUGUUGUAUCUGACAGAAAUGAAAGCAUAAUAAAGAGUGUAAGAAUUUCUUGGAACUGCAAAAAUCGAGAAAUAGCUUCUUAUACAAAGGAAACAUUAGGGAGGAGAUUUGAAGAAAUAUUGAUUAUAAAGGCGUCAAAAUGUGCAAAUAUGAAGGUACAUAAUUGUAUUACAUGUAAUAAGUAUCUAGCUUUACUUAGGAAUUAGUGACGGUUUUAGUUGCCAUAAUACAAUCUUUUUGUGGAGACUUUUAUUUAUUUUAGUAGCGGUUAUAGUUGCCACUAAUACAUACUUUUAGCGGCGACUUUUAUUUGUUGUAGUGGCGGUUUUAGUUGCCACUAAUACUUACUUGUAGCUGCGACUGUCAUUUGUUUUAGUGGCAAUUUUAUUUGCCAGUAUACUUACUUUUAGCGACAACUUUUAUUCGUUUUAGUGGCGACUAUAGCUGCCGAUAAUACUUACUUUUAGCGGUAACUUUUAUAGAAAUUAGUGGCGACAAAAGUUGCCACUAAUACAAACUUUUAGCGGCGAUUUUUAUUUGUUUUAGUGGCGACAGUAGUUGACGUUAUAGUUGCCGCUAAUACAUACUUUUGGCUACGACAUUUACAAGAAUUAGUAGCGACUCUAGUUGCCGCUAAUACUUCUUUUUAUAUAAAUGGAUGUGAACCAACUUAUAUAAAUCUCUUUCCUUUUACAUGUAAUUAUCAUCUAUAUAUUUAACUAGUGAAAUACAAGUCAUUUUGCAUUUUAUUUUAUUUUUCGAAAAAGCAUUUGAAACUUAGAUGUAGUAUUUUAUCGAUUUCAAAAUAUAUACAGAGGACCUAAAUCUUAAGGUUAUCAAAAGGUAGUAUAGUUAUUUAAUAACCGAUCGAAUAGAGUCUAUCGGUUAAAUGAUGAGAAAAUUAAAAAGAUUAAAAUAUACUUGUAAAAUUUAAUCAAGUUGAAACUUAGAUGUAGUAUUUUAUCAAUUUCAAAAUAUAUACGGAGGACCUAAAUCUUAAGGUUAUCAAAAAGUUGUGUGGUUAUUUAAUAACCGAAUAGAGUCUAUCGAUUAAUUGAUGAGAAAAUUAAAAAUAUUAAAAUAUACUUGUAAAAUUUAAUCAAGUCGAUUUCUUUAAAUUACGCAACUAUAAGAUGCACGAGCCUGAAAUUCAACCAAGGUCUAUAGUAAGGGGUCGUUUGGUUUGAAAAUGAGUUAUGAUGGGAUAAGUUAUGUUUGGAUUAAUUAUGAUGGAAUAAGUUGUGCUGGAUUAUUUCUUAUGGAGUGUUUGGUUUGUUGUAUUCAAAAUAAUAUAUAUUGAUAAAUUUUAAGAACAAGUUGUUUGUUUACAAAAUUACCCUUCACUUUAUUUAGUUUUUUAAAAUUUUCUUUGCAAGCUUUAAUUAAUUAUUUUUUAAAAUAAAACUUUUAUUUUAUUUAACAUAAAUAUUUUUGUUUAUGUAUACCCGUGAUAAGUACCAUGUGUAUUUAAAAAUAUAACUUUUUUUUUAUUUAGCUUAAAAUUAGAACUUCCCUCUUUAGUUUGUUAAAGAGAAAUUUUUUUAUGAGAAAUCAAAAUAAAAUAAACAUAAGAAUUAGUCAAAUAAAAAUUAUAUUUAUAUAGUGUAAUUUUUUAAUAGAAAAUAUGAAUGAUUAUCAUAAAAAUAAGAAGUAGUAAAUAUUAUUAUACAUGAUAUUAAAAAUAAUGUAAAUAUAAAUAAAUGUGAAAAAUGAUGUAUAAAAAGGAUUUAAAGGGAUAUAUUUGUCAUUUACCUAUUUUAUCCUGGGAUAAGUUGUCCCGGGAUUAUUAUACCACCCAAUGUGAGGGAUAACUUAUCCCGGUACUAAUGACAAACUCCUAUGUUCCUUUCAUUACGGUAUUUCUAAACAAGUUCCUAGAUAACAAGUCUAAUGGUUUUCUUCUUGAUGAGAUCGAUAUUGAUGAUAGUGACGAUAUUGAUGAUAGUGACAAUCUUGAUGCUAAUGACGAUAUCGAUCGUGACCUUGAUACGGAGCUGGAACUGCUAACUAGGAUGAAUGGGCUAACUGUGGAUAUGAUGCCUUUUUAUUGGAACGUUGAUAUAUAACUAAUGGAAUGCUUAGAAUAUCUCCAUUACUUGCUAAAAGAAUCUUGUCAGUAUUGGUAUAAACGAUCCUUCCCUGUACUGAGCCAUUCGGUGACUUUCGCGGUCGCCCUCACUAAACCAACUUGAAUCUGAACUACUAUUUGCGCUCACCUCACCGGAACCUAAAUUUGUAUUCACCUCUGCUACAUCACCUGAACUACAUAAAGAUUAUGACCUGGAUCAGAUCGAUUCUUUUUUGAAUCUCUAUACGUGCAAUUCCCUCGAUGCCAGAGGACGUUCUCAUAUUCUUUUGUACAUAAUUCUUGAUACAAUCUCUUAUUUUUUUAUCUUCUUGUAAACCCUCAGAAUAAUUUUUGGGUUGUGAAAAUCAAAGGGAAUGAUGACCUUGGGUUGUACCCAGUCUGAAACCAAGUGGAUUUAUUUUUUGUCCCAUAAUCCCCCGUUAUUAUACAUAUCACGAUACGUCAUAGCUGUAGAUUUUUUUUCCAUCUCGUUUUUUUAACGAAGACAUCUCGCCAUAUUCAUCAUCUAAAGAUAUAUCUUUCAUUACAAUAGUUAUAUGACAGGUCGAUCUUUUUAUCGGAAAACUACGUUUCAUAAUCCCGGGAUAAGUUAUCCCAAACUUUCCAACCAAACAAGGAAACAAAGGGUACUUAAAAUUUAUCCUGAGAUUAACUUCCCUUAUCCAUUACACCAAACAAGUCCUAAGGUUACUAUUCUACAGCUAGACCAUGAAUGCUUGUUGGUCUAAGCAUUUCGUUUUUAUUAUUUAUACUUUUAUUCGCAUACUAGAAUUCGUACCCGCGCGUUGCGCGGAUAAUUUCAAAUAUAAUAAUGUUUUAAAUUAAAUUUAUGACUUUUUGUUGUGUAUUUUUCGUUUGUUCCAAUUUAUUUAAUUAUGUUUUACUAUAAUUAUGUGCAUGAGCUUAAAAUAGCACUUUCAAGUUUAUAAUUGUGUAUUUUUCUCAAAUAGUAAAACAUAGACAUGUGUCAUGUGUGAAAAGGUAACCAUUUUAAAUUUCAAUAUUCAAUAGAUUACGAUGAUGAUUUGGAUAAAGACUAUAUUUUAAAAUAAAGAAACAAUAAGGAGUCCAAAAUAUAGGAUACAUUGUAUUUAGAAGUUAGACUGUCUAAUUGAAUUAAUUCAAAAUUUAAAUUCAAAAUAAAAAGAUGAAUACAACUUUCAUGACUAAUAUAAUCUUUCUAAUUAGAAGUGCUCCAUUUCACGGCCACAUCAUUAGCAACAUUAAGCACAUUAAUUUUUGAAUAACUAAUUUUAUUAUUAUACUAUUUAUUUAUCUUGUCUUAAUUUAAAUUACAAAAAAUUAUUUUAAUAUGAAAAACUCACAUAUAAACAUCACCUUUUAUCAAUGUAGAUUUACCCAAAUUAUUAUAUUUGUGUUUGAAUUGUUAAUUUGUUUCAUCAACUAUCUGUUAAUUACAAUUUGAGAAUUUACACUCUUUGACAAAGUAAUUUAGGUAACAUCAGCUAUCUGUUUUUACGAUCUAAGAGUUUGCACUGCACAAUAACCUACAAAGUACAAAGGAAUAAAGGUAAGAUGUUAAAAAUAUAAAUCAUCGAUUCUAAUUUUGGAAAAAUUUGAAUAGCAAGAAGUCCAUAUUUGUGUUUGAAUUGUUAAUUUGUUUCAUCAGCUAUCUGUUAAUUACAUUUCGAUAAUUUGCACUCUUUGACAAAGUAAUUUAGGCAACAUCAGCUAUGUGUUUUUACUAUCCGAGAAUUUGCACCGCACAAUAACCUGUAAAGUACAAAGGAAUAAGGUAAGAUGUUUAAAAGAUAAAUCGUUGAUUUUAAUUUUAAAAAAAAUUAAAUAGCAAAAAGUCUUGCCAAGAAAAGGUGAUGUGAUCUCGAUCUAAUCAAUCUUUAAAUCACAUGAAACAUCUAUCAAAUACAUAAAAAUAUUAAUAAAAUCUAUUUCGUCUAAUAAAAAAAUAGAGAUAGAAACCAAUGAGAAUGAACAAAGCUUAUUUAAAAAAUCCAUAUGUUAAGGUUAUAUUAACAAAAGAGAUUAACUUGGUGGUGGAGUAGUAUAAUUCUAUUAAAAAUAAGCUAAAACUAAACUAAUCGUAGAUUAACAAAAACAUACAUUUCUAACAAAACUAAAAGUAUUGAUUCAAUAAAGAAUAAAAUGCCGUGAAUAUUUGCGAUCUUAUACGUUCCAUUGUCGUAUAACUCCAUCUUUCAACCUCCAUUGCUUCUCAUUGAUGAGUUCAUCCUAAGUAGGCAUAUUUUGCCGGAAGGAGUAUGCAUUUAAAAAUAUAUAUUUACUCACUUAUUUGAAUUAUAAAUCUACGAUAAAUAACUAUUUUUAGAGAAAUAUUCUACAUAAUUUAAGUAUAUUACAUAUUAAUCCAGUGAUAAAACCUUUUUGAGUAUGCAACAAAUUUCACCCAAUAUACAGCAAAUUCCAAGAAAAAAAAAGUGGCAUAUAAGUUCAAAACAUAUAUUGGAGUGAACCUUUGAAGCGUUUCUUGACUUUUCCAAAUGAGUCUUGAUUUAUCCACCGUUUUUUAAAAUAUAUUGUUGUCCACAAAAUUUGUGAUUUAUUAUCCACUAAAAGUAAAAACCGUAAAAAGUAAUUGUUUUGAAAGUUUUACACCAUUAUCCAAGAUUUAAGAAACUGUAAAAAUUUUCAAAUUUUAAAAUUGAUUUUAAUAAUUUAUAAAUUCUAGAAAAUUUAUGGGGCUGACAUGUGUCACUUUUUCCUCUCCUAUUAUAUAUAGAUAGAUUUGGGCAAAAAUAACGGAUAGAUUUUUCUGAAUAUUAUUUUUAAUUUAAUUUUUACACAACACUAACUAUAAAACAAUGAAUGUUGUGGUUCAAUUUAUCAAUAGACUCGAUAGCAAAAAUAAUUUUCCGGGGUUUUAGUGCUAAAAGAACUAACAAAUUUCUAUUAUUUUGUGUCAUCAUCUAAUUAAUGCACAAGUUCUUGAGUCAUCUAACAACAACAUAUUCAGUGGAAUUCCACAAGUACUGAGGUUUGAAGAUUCUUUAGUCAUCCAAACAAGAAGUGAAGUACGGAAUAAUCAACAUAAGAAUUUUACCUUGAAAAAACUCGUUGCUCAAAGGAGUAACAAAAUCAACGAAAAAAAAUCACGACGUAUAUUUCGUAAGUGAUUUGAACAACAAAAUCCGACUCAAUAAUAACAUAUUUGUGCCAACUCAAAUUCUGACAAGACGUCUAUCGAAAAUUUGCUAUUUAGUGAUUAGAACCAUAAAAGAAAAUAUGGUCCAGUGUUUCAAUGUCAAAGUGCUACUCUUUAAAAGUCGAAAUUUAGAAAUUAAAGGUAUCUUAAUGUGCCAUAUGUUUAAUUAGGCUAAUAGGAGUUUGUUCUUGGUCUUUCUCAUAGACAGGGGCGGACGUAGAAUAUCGAUAUCAGAUUCAUCUGAUUCAGUAAUUUCAAUGCAGAUUGUAAAUUGAAUUGGAUGUUUCAUUUUGGCUAUUUCCUACCUUACCCUUUCAAUUAAUUCAGCAAAUAUAGACAAAAAAUAUAAUUAAACUCAAGGUUCACUCGACGAGUUAUUUAAUUCGGAUAUCAAUCACGUCCUACACCAACACCAAUUGGGAGCCUGACAUCCUCUAUAACGGACAAGUUUAUUUAGGAAUCAAUUUUUCAUAGCAAUCAAAACGUAUUCAGAUAAAUGAUGUUGUUACGGAGAAGUUUUUAUUGAAAUAUGACUUCUAGUUAGUAAAUCAAGACAUUUAUAACAUUUUUGGAAACUAAAAGACGCUACCUCUGUUAGAGCAUAUAUUGCAAUAAUAUACUAUAAAUUAAAUAUAGUAAAUUGAAACAGCAUGAUCUGUUUAAUUCUUAACCAUAUAUAAUUAUUAUACGUUGCCAUAUAUAGCUAAUUAGGAAUAUGCAAUAUAUAGUUAUUUCAUUUAGUCUAAUCUGUCAACUUAAUUAAUAACUAGCGGGACUCUACUAAUAUAAAAUUUCAAAUUGAUCAAUACUAUAAAUAGAGGGAAAAUGUUCAUUAGUUUUCUGCAAUUAUCAUAAUUCAAAUAGUAGUUAUAUUUAAACAAACAAAAAAAAUGGGAUCGAAGGCAUUUUUGCUAAUUGUUUUGGCUAUUUUUCUUGUGACAACAUCAGAGGUUGCAGCUAGGAAGUUGGCUCAGAGUUCCAUCACUUCCUUGAAAAAGGGUAAGCUCCCUACGUCCUAUUUUAUGUAAAGGUGUUACAGUUUGAAAAGUCAAAUUAUUUGUCUCAUAAAUUUUCUUAGAAAUAUUUGAAUCGUUAUCUAAAUUGACUCGUGAUACUUUUCCUUUAAUUAAGACCUUAAUUUCGUAAAUUGAAUUGUUCCGUUCCCUCCUUAAUAAAAGCCUAAAUUACCCAACCUUUAGUAACUUAGCCAAGCAUGAUUCGUCGAAAGUCAAUUUGUCUAUAAGUUGCACAAAAUAAGCCCAUGAAAGUAUGCCAUACGCAAGUAAUUUGGUGGGUGAAUGACCCGGCCACCGUUUUAAUUACUUAGAUCAUUUUGAUUCAUCUAAAUUUAGUUCAUUUAAAAAUUGGGGGCGUAUGAUAAAUAUAGGGCCUAAGUUAAUCUACGAAAAAACCUUGCAAAAUAAUAUUUUAAAAAAUAUAUAUAUUUAAUAUGUUAUAUAUAGUUUUUUAAUAAAGAAGAAUUUUCUUUAAUAGUUUUGUUUGUUAUUACAAAAAUUAUAAGAAUUGGAGGAGGACAUUAACAUGCAUGUCUGUGUAUGAUAUCUGGUGCAGGAGAGGCAAGUGAGACAAAUGACGCCAAAUUUUUUGGAGGAGGACUUCUGGGAUUUGGGGGAGGUUUUCCGGGAAUUGGUGGACUUCCAAAAAUUGGAGGACUUCCAACAAUAGGAGGACUUCCCGGAAUAGGAGGGCUUCCUGUAAUCGGAGGAGGAUUUCCAAAAAUUGGAGGACUUCCAAAAAUAGGAGGAGGACUUCCCGGAAUCAGAGGACUUCCAAAUAUUGGAGGACUUCCAACAAUAGGAGGACUUCCCGGAAUAGGAGGGCUUCCUGGAAUCGGAGGAGGAUUUCCAAAUAUUGGAGGACUUCCAACAAUAGGAGGACUUCCCGGAAUAGGAGGGCUUCCUGUAAUCGGAGGAGGAUUUCCAAAAAUUGGAGGACUUCCAAAAAUAGGAGGAGGACUUCCAAAAAUAGGAGGAGGGCUUCCUGGAAUCGGAGGAGGAUUUCCAAAAAUAGGAGGAGGACUUCCAACAAUAGGAGGAGGACUUCCCGGAAUAGGAGAACUUCCAAAAAUUGGAGGACUUCCAACAAUAGGAGGACUUCCCGGAAUAGGAGGGCUUCCUGGAAUCGGAGGAGGAUUUCCAAAUAUUGGAGGACUUCCAACAAUAGGAGGAGGAGGACUUCCCGGAAUCAAAGGACUUCCAAAACUUGGAGGACUUCCAACAAUAGAAGGACUUCCUGGGAUAGGAGGACCCUCAGGAAUUGGUGGAGGAGGACUUCCCGAAAUCGGAGGACUUCCAGGACUAGGAGGACUUCCGAAAAUUGGAGGAGGAGGAGUUCCCAAAAUCGGAGGACCUCCAGGAAUUGGAGGAGGAGGAUCUCCGGGAAUAGGAGGAGGAAAAGGUGGACUUCCCGGAUUUGGAGGACUUCCUGGAAUCGGAGGACCUUCAGGAAUUGGAGGACUCCCCAAAAUUGGAGGACCUUCGGGAAUUGGAGGAGGAGGACUUCCUAAAAUUGGAGGACCUCCGGGAAUAGGAGGAGGAAAAGGAGGACCUCCAGGAUUUGGAGGACUUCCUGGAAUCGGAGGACUGCCUGGAAUCGGAGGACCUUCAGUAAUUGGAGGACUCCCCAAAAUCGGAGGACCUUCGGGAGUUGGAGGAGGAGGACCUCCGGGAAUAGUAGGAGGAAAAGGAGGACUUCCAGGAUUUGGAGGACUUCCUGGAAUCGGAGGACUUCCAGGAUUUGGAGGAAUCGGAGGACUUCCAGGAAUUGGAGGAAAAGGAGGACUUUUCAAAACCGAAAGACUUCCUUGAUCUAAUUAAUUAAUUACUAAAGAAUAUCUAUGAAGAAUAUCCAUUGUGGUUAUAUAUAUAUANNNNNNNNNUAUAUAUAUAUAUAUAUAUAGUGUUUUAAUAGGUAAUAGUUUUGUUGUUGAAAGUAUGAAUAAAUGUAUACCACAAAAGGUUGUGUUGGAGUGAUAAGUAAUUUUUUAUUCUUAAUUAGAUGUUUCAGACAUGGAUAUGCAUGUAAUCACCUUUGAUAGGAAGCACUUUACAUUCAAUGUGUAACUUUAUCUAUAUGAAUUCGAAUAAUUUGGACUCUAAUACGGAUAUCAAACACCAGAUAGAAAAAAAGUGAAUAAAUGUAUGGCAUUCGUUUACUAUGGACGAAUGAUUAUCAUAUCGUGUUUCUUUAUAUAAAUAAUAAUUAAAUAAUAUCAGAAAACUUAUUACAAGUAAUUAUCAACCAAUUAUUUUAUGAAAUUUAUAAUUCUUUAAAAUAAAAUUGUUGACUGCACCAGCCAGUUUAUCGAUCAAUCAAUUAUUUUUAAUGAGUUAACCAGAGUUUUAACCAAGAAAACUGGUUUUCUAAAUAUUAUUCUUUAUUUAAAAAAAAAAAAAACAAAACAGGUUGGAUCUAUCCGUUCAUGAAACAAUAAAUUUCCCGAUAGUAACAAGAAUUUUCCCGAAUUUUGACACUAAAAUAAUCGACGGAUAUUUGUUGGUUCCUUCAUAAACUCAGAUUUUACCAAAUAAAUUUUGAAAAGUAUGUUAUGUACCAUAUGUUUAAUUUAGUCUAAUAAAAGUUUGUUCCACGUCUUUCUCAUAGACAGGGGAGGACGCAGUACUAGAUUUAUCUAAAUUUAGUACUUUUGAUGUGGAUGUAAUUUAUGUGUAAAAUUGUAUUAAAAAAUAGUUAACAGUUAAUAAAAAUGAAUUGGUAUCUUUAAAAAUAUAAUUGGUUCAAUAUUCUGAAAAAUAGUAAAGAAAAUCCAUUUUCCGGUUAAAAUUAUUUUUUAGUAAUAAGGUGAAUUUAUUGAUGUAAAAAUAAGGUAUGUAAGUGACUUUAGUUACUUUCACUAAGUCGGUUGAAAUUUAAUUUACUCCUAUUAUUCAGUUAUGAUUUACUACUUUAGUAUUUUAGUACGUAUCAUAAACUAAAUUGGAAUCAGUUUUUCAUGUUAUGUUGUAUUAUAUGUUUUUUAUAAUAACAUUGUGCUAUAAUAGUUUUAAAAUAUUAUCUGAAUUGUGAAUAAUGAUAAUGUUAUAAAGAAGCUCGAUAAUUCAAGACGAUUAUAACAUUUUGAAUAUAACUAAUUCUCAACCAAAUAUAAUUAUAUAAUUAUAAUUUGCCAUAUAAAUAUAAUUAGGAAAAUUUAAUAUAUAACUAGUCUAAUAUAUAAUCUGCCAACUUAACUAAUAACUAGUCUGGUACAUACAUAAUCUAACGAUGCAACUUUUCAAUUUUAACUCACAAGAAGUUCAAAUGAUCAGUACUAUAAAUAGAGGCAAAAUGUUCAUUAGUUUCAUACAAUUAUCAUAAUUCAAGUAAUAGUUAUAUUUAAGCAAAACUAAAAAAUGGGAUUGAAGGCAUUUUUACUAAUUGUUUUGGCUAUUUUGCUUGUGAUAACAUCAGAGGUUGCAGCUAGGAAGUUGGUUCAGAGAUCCAUCACUUCCUUGGAAAAAGGUUUGCUCUUUCCACCGCAUUUUAUAUUAAGGUGUCACUGUUUCAAAAUUCAAAUCAUUUUUUUUAUUUUCUAAAUAUUUUGAAUCGUUAACUAAGUUGAGUAGUAAUACUUUUUUUUAAAAAUAAAUAAAUUAAAGAAUCUAUACUCGAUUUCCUAAUUAUAUGACAUAAUAUAAGUGCUUAGUAUAUUUCAAAGGUUUAAUUUCCACAAUGACACAAGUUUGGGUGGGUUCAUUGGCCUUUUAGUAAUUUAGCAUAUCUUGAUCCGUUUAAAUUAUGUUCAUCUAAAAAUUGUAAAAUCUACCCAUGAAAGUAUGGCAUACCGAAAUAAUUGGGUAGGUGAAUGGCCAUCCUUUUAGUAACUUAGAUCAUCCUGAGCCCCUGAUUUAGUUCAUUUUAAAAUUGGACUGAUUGUGUAUAUGAUUACUGGAGCAGGAACGACAAGUGAGGUAAAUGACGCGAAAUUUUUAGGACUUCCAGUCGGAGGAGGAGGACUUCCAGGAAUUGGAGGAGGAGGAGGAGGACUUCCAGGAAUCGGAGGAGACGUAGGAGGACUUCCAGGAAUUGGAGGAAUCGUAGGAGGACUUCCAGUAGUGGGAGGAGUCGUAGGAGGACUUUCAUGACUCGGAGGACUUUCCGGAACCAAAAGACUUCUCUGAUCUAAUUAAUUACUAAAAAAUAUCUGAAGAAUAUUUACGAUGUCUACUUAUAUAUUAUGUUGUGUGGUUUAGUAAGUAAUAGCUAUUGUUGGACGUAUGAAUAAAUGUAUACCACCAAACAGUGAAGUGGUACAUAAUCCUUUAUCCUCAAUUAGAGGUUCGAAACCUGGGUAUGAAAUCCCCUUCAAUAAGGACUCCCUAUUUGUAGUCAAAUUUCAAAAUGGACAUCAAAACCCAGGUAGGAAACCCAAAUAAAACAUGAAUAAAUGCAUGAUAAAUGACCAUUCAUUUACUAUGGAUGGUUAUCAUGUCAUUUUCUUUGUAUUAUAUAUUAAUAAUAUAAAUAAAUUUAAGGGAAAUAAUAUCAGAGAACUUACUUUUUGCCCUUUUCGUUUACAAGUAAUUUACGCAAAAAUCCAGUUGAAGCUAUUUUUUUAAUUUCUCAUUCAGUAUAUAUUAUUCAUUUUGAGCCCCCAUAAAAAUUGGACAUUUGCACAAAGAAAAUUCAUCACAUAGCUACAACAGAAAUGAAUAACAUGAUCUACGAGUGGUUGCUAAUGAAAAAUCGAUUCUACAAAUUAAAUGGGAUAUCUUAUUAUGCCAUAUGUUUAAUUAGGCUAAUAAUAGUUUGUUCCAUGUCUUUUUCAUAGACAGGGUAGGUGCAGAAUAUUGAUAUCAAAUUCAUUUAUGUGAAAAUUGACAAAUCAUAGCAAUAGAAAAUAAUAUGAGAAAUCUUAUUUGUAUACAAAAUUAGAUUCAUAUUAACAAAAUAUAGCAUGAGAACUUUUGUUUACCAAACAUAACAUGAGUUUUCUUUUUUCAAAACAUUUACGUAAUUUUGCUCAAAAUUUUAUUCAUGAAAAUUAUAUAAAAUCGGUAUGAUAUAAAUUGUCUUAUAAAGUUUAUGGUAGAUUUCUAAAUAUAUAUAUANNNNNNNNNNNNNNNNNNNNNNNNNNNNNNNNNNNNNNNNNNNNNNNNNNNNNNNNNNNNNNNNNNNNNNNNNNNNNNNNNNNNNNNNNNNNNNNNNNNNNNNNNNNNNNNNNNNNNNNNNNNNNNNNNNNNNNNNNNNNNNNNNNNNNNNNNNNNNNNNNNNNNNNNNNNNNNNNNNNNNNNNNNNNNNNNNNNNNNNNNNNNNNNNNNNNNNNNNNNNNNNNNNNNNNNNNNNNNNNNNNNNNNNNNNNNNNNNNNNNNNNNNNNNNNNNNNNNNNNNNNNNNNNNNNNNNNNNNNNNNNNNNNNNNNNNNNNNNNNNNNNNNNNNNNNNNNNNNNNNNNNNNNNNNNNNNNNNNNNNNNNNNNNNNNNNNNNNNNNNNNNNNNNNNNNNNNNNNNNNNNNNNNNNNNNNNNNNNNNNNNNNNNNNNNNNNNNNNNNNNNNNNNNNNNNNNNNNNNNNNNNNNNNNNNNNNNNNNNNNNNNNNNNNNNNNNNNNNNNNNNNNNNNNNNNNNNNNNNNNNNNNNNNNNNNNNNNNNNNNNNNNNNNNNNNNNNNNNNNNNNNNNNNNNNNNNNNNNNNNNNNNNNNNNNNNNNNNNNNNNNNNNNNNNNNNNNNNNNNNNNNNNNNNNNNNNNNNNNNNNNNNNNNNNNNNNNNNNNNNNNNNNNNNNNNNNNNNNNNNNNNNNNNNNNNNNNNNNNNNNNNNNNNNNNNNNNNNNNNNNNNNNNNNNNNNNNNNNNNNNNNNNNNNNNNNNNNNNNNNNNNNNNNNNNNNNNNNNNNNNNNNNNNNNNNNNNNNNNNNNNNNNNNNNNNNNNNNNNNNNNNNNNNNNNNNNNNNNNNNNNNNNNNNNNNNNNNNNNNNNNNNNNNNNNNNNNNNNNNNNNNNNNNNNNNNNNNNNNNNNNNNNNNNNNNNNNNNNNNNNNNNNNNNNNNNNNNNNNNNNNNNNNNNNNNNNNNNNNNNNNNNNNNNNNNNNNNNNNNNNNNNNNNNNNNNNNNNNNNNNNNNNNNNNNNNNNNNNNNNNNNNNNNNNNNNNNNNNNNNNNNNNNNNNNNNNNNNNNNNNNNNNNNNNNNNNNNNNNNNNNNNNNNNNNNNNNNNNNNNNNNNNNNNNNNNNNNNNNNNNNNNNNNNNNNNNNNNNNNNNNNNNNNNNNNNNNNNNNNNNNNNNNNNNNNNNNNNNNNNNNNNNNNNNNNNNNNNNNNNNNNNNNNNNNNNNNNNNNNNNNNNNNNNNNNNNNNNNNNNNNNNNNNNNNNNNNNNNNNNNNNNNNNNNNNNNNNNNNNNNNNNNNNNNNNNNNNNNNNNNNNNNNNNNNNNNNNNNNNNNNNNNNNNNNNNNNNNNNNNNNNNNNNNNNNNNNNNNNNNNNNNNNNNNNNNNNNNNNNNNNNNNNNNNNNNNNNNNNNNNNNNNNNNNNNNNNNNNNNNNNNNNNNNNNNNNNNNNNNNNNNNNNNNNNNNNNNNNNNNNNNNNNNNNNNNNNNNNNNNNNNNNNNNNNNNNNNNNNNNNNNNNNNNNNNNNNNNNNNNNNNNNNNNNNNNNNNNNNNNNNNNNNNNNNNNNNNNNNNNNNNNNNNNNNNNNNNNNNNNNNNNNNNNNNNNNNNNNNNNNNNNNNNNNNNNNNNNNNNNNNNNNNNNNNNNNNNNNNNNNNNNNNNNNNNNNNNNNNNNNNNNNNNUAUAUAUAUAUAUAUUGUAUAAAACAAUAUGAAAUAUGCAUAUAGUUAUAUAGAAAUCUUGCAUAAAGUUACUUACCAAAUUAUUAUUUUUUGCAUAGAGUUUAUGUUGGUUUCGGAAAAUCUAAUAUAACUAUAACAACAUUGAAUAUUACUUUCUUUCAAAUUUAAUACAUUUAUGUUUGUGGGUUUGUUCAAAUCAUCUUUUCGGAAAAAUAUUAUUUAUACUAAAUAAGGUAUAAGUUGAGUAAUUUUAGAGAUAAAAAAAUAAGACAAGUAUUAUUAUAUAUAUUAGUCAAUUUCACUAAAUUGGUUGACGUUAUGUGUGAAAUUAUAUACUUUGCAAUAUACUGCUAAUUAGGAAAAUGGCAUAUAUAAUUAUUUCCUUUAAUUAUUCUAGUUUGCCAACUUAAUUAAUAAAACUAGUCUGGUACAUACGUACUCUACUAAUGCAAAUUUUCAAUCUUAGCCCACACGAAAUUCAAAUGAUUAAUGCUAUAAAUUGAGGCAAAAUGUUUCAUUAGUUUUUCUCAUCCUUCUUACAAUUAUAUUAUUAAUUCAAUUAGUAUUAAUAGUUAACUAUAUAGUUUCAAAAUGGGAUCGAAGGCAUUUUUGUUAAUUGUUUUGGCUAUUUUUCUUGUGAUAAACUCAGAGGUUGCAGCUAGGAAGUUGGCUCAGAGCUCCAUCACUUCCCUCGAAAAGGGUACGCUCCCUCACUUGUAUUUUAUGUAAAGAUGUUACUGUUUAAAAAGUCAAAUUAUUUAAAAAAUUGUUAUAUAUAGCUUUAAUAACGAAUUAUUUCCUAUAGUUUGGUUUGUUAUUACAAAAAUUAUAAGAAUUGGAGGUGGACAUUAACAUGCAUAUGUAUGAUUACUUUUGUAGAACAAACAAAUGAAGAAAACUAUAAUGCCAAAUUUCUAGGAGUAGCGCUUCCACCAAUAGGAGGAGUACUUUCAGAAAUUGGAGCACCUAUUGGAAUUGAAGGACAUAUCGAUACCAGAGGAAUGUUUGAUAACAAAGGGCUUUCAGAAAUUGGAGCACCUAUCGGAUUCGAAUAUGAAUUAGUCGAGCCAUAAACGAAUAUUGAACCCAAGAUAGAAAAAUAAAAAAUAAUAUGAAUAAAUAUAUCAUAAAUCUCCAUUCAUUUAUUAUGGAUGUGUGGAUGGUUAUCAUGUCUCUUUUUAUAAUAAAUAAUCUCAGAGGGAUUAGGGAUUAUUUGAUAGGAUGUAUACGAAUAACGUUGAAUAGGGCAAUGCUUGCAUUAAUAAUGUUGGUAUAGUUAUGUAACAGUUAUUUCUUGUGCAUUGUUUAAGUUGAUGUAUUAAAAAUAACAUGCACUACAUAGUUUUAAUUUUAUUUAUUUAUUUGCAAAAUUACGCUCCAUACUGAUGCAUUUAUUAAAGUCUCUUACAUUUCUAAUACCAUGAAUUUUAAUAAAUUAUUUGAUCAUAAAAAACGAACAACUUGAAUCGAAUUCACAUUAAACGAUAGUGAGGGUGUUAUUAACUCUAGUACUGAAGAAUUGGGCCUGGAGAGGUUCAUGAAGUAUUUGGGCUAAAACAAUUAAAGAUAUAUAUAUACUCUAAAUAUAGUGUGAUACUAUCUGGAUUUUUCUCUAAGAGAAUCAAAAUACGAAAAAAUAUAUAAACACAGGAAAAAAGAGAUUAAGUAUAGGAUUCAUACAAGUGGUCAAACCAGUGCAUCAUUCAAUUGUUUUUAAAAAAAAAUAAAUUAUACGUGCCUUCAUAUAAUAUUUGAUAUAUUGUAAGAAUUAUACUUAUUGUAUAUCGAGUUUAGUCCUUUAAUCACGAGUUCGCAUAAUCUCUUUCUUACACAUAAAUUAGCCAUUGGAGAUAAAGUCUUCGUAUAUAAUAUAUAUACUUCAUCCUUUUUAGACCCGACUUAUAAAACUAUAUUGUUGUUAUUGCUAUUAUUAUUUUGGUGCAACUGGAAAUUGGUAAAUUGUAGAAAAAAAUAAAAAAAUUAAUGAUAAGAUACUAGCCCUCAAUAUAAUUUUCAUUAAUAUUUGUUAACCUUAUGAAACAUUAGCUCAAAAAUUCAUACUACCAAAUAAAAUGAAGAAUUAUCAACCGAAUUAAAAAUUGAAAUUUUGUGAAAUCAAUAUACUAAAGUAUGUGUCUUAUAAUGACUUUAAAUGCUGAAUUCUUUAAUAUUAUCUACGCAUCACACUGAUUCAAUUUCAUAUUAGUAAAAUUUUAUACUUAACAUUUUUAGAUAUCGCUUAACUCAAGACUCUAGGUAGGUUAGAAUAUCUUGAAGAAAGAUAUCAGUAUAUCAAGAUAGUAAAUGCAAACAGCAUGAUCUAUGAUCAACUCUCAGCCAUAUCUACGUGUACCUUGCAUAGCUAAAGAAAAAAAAAAUUCUCUAUCCGUUUUAAUUAAUUAAUUAAUUUAAUUUUGAUAUGGCAUAAAUUUAAGAAAAUAAAGAAAAUUCAUAAAUCUUGUGGUCUUAAAUUAUAUAUUCGUAGAAUAUGUUAAAAUGUCUUUUAAUCUUCCAAAAGAGACAUUCUUUUUUUUAAAAAAAAAAAGCGAACCAAAAGGAAAAAUAAGACAACCUAAUUGAAACGAUUUUUUUUUUAAGAGUCCAUAUUCAGAUUCAUAUCCUAAAUUAAGUAUUUUGAUUCUUGCACUCCGAGAGUAGAUUUUUUUUUAAGAAUAGUUUAUAAGAAAACAAAUGGAGAAAUCAAAAUUUGGCAAGAGCUAGGGUACGACUUUGUGCUUAGCUCAUCUUAACUCAAUUCAUCUCACUUCAAAUAAAAUUCUAAAUAUUGAUCUAUGUAUUGAUUCAACUCAUUUUAAUUCGCACAAAGUCAACAUAUACAAUCCAUUAGCCACCGAACCACCCCUAUUAACACGAAUAUCUAUGAUUAUCGGAAUGUUUCUUUCUCCCUUUUAAUUUAUUUAUUUGAUUUUGAUGUGACACAGAAUUUAAGAAAAAAAAAUAAUAAAUCAUGAAUCUUGUGGUUUUAAAAAACAAAUAUACAUAAAAUGUAUUAAAAUGUUCUUUAAUCAACCAUAUAUUUUGUUCUAAACAAACUAAAUGAUAAAAUAUGACAAACAAAUUGAAAUGAAAAAAGUAUAAUAUAGUUAAUUAUUUAGGAGAAAUCAUUUUGUAGGUGCUUUUUGGAAAAGUCGAGUCUAAAUAAUCUAUCAAUCUUGCCAACUUAAUUAAUUACUAGCCCGGUACUUAAUUAAUGCAAUGUUCAAACUUAACCCCCAAGAAGUUUAUGAUUAUGCUAUAAAUAGAGGCAAAAUGUUCAUUAGUUUCCUCAUCCUUCUUACAAUUAUCACAAAAUCAAUUAGUAGUUAUAUCUUAAUUACAAUAUAGUUUCAAACAAGGGAAAAAUGGGAUCAAAGGCAUUUAUGCUUAUUGUUUUGGCUAUUUUUCUUGUGAUAACCUCUGAGGUUGCAGCUAGGGAGUUGGCUCAACGAUCCACCACUUCUUUGGAUAACGGUAUAUUAUCUCUGUUUCAUUAACCCUAUAAAUAUAGUCAUUUUUGUAAGUUGCUCUUCAUUUUAUGUAAAGGUCUUACUGUUUGAAGAGUUAGAUCAUUUUUUCUUUGAUAGUGAUUUUUUCAAAGUACUCCUUUUGAAUUUUAAGCUAAUUAAGGUGACUUGUAGUACUUGUUUUGUUAUUUUCAAAUAUAUAAAUUUUAUUUUUAACAAAAUGGAAGAGUCUAUACUCAGAUUCAUAUCCUAAAUUAAGUAUUUUGAUUCUUGAACUUCGAGUGUAUUAAGCUAUAAUAAAGAACCAUUUUAAAUAGUUUUGUUUGGUACUUACAAAAAUUAUAAGAAAACAAACAAAGAAAUCAAAAUUUGGCUAGCGUUAGAGUAUGACUCUAUGUUUAGAUCAUCUUAAUUACUUAAUCAAUCUCAAUCUAAAUUAAAAUUUUGAAUAUUAAUUAAUUUAUUGAUCCAAUUCAUUUUGAUUUGUACAAAUUCAUCAUAUAAACAAUCUAUUUGUCACCCCUACUAACACAAAUAUGUAUGAUUAUUGAUGCAGAACAUGCAAAUGACGCCAAACUUCUAGGAAUAGGAUUUCAAGGAUAUUUAGGAGAUGGAAUAGGAGGACUUCCUGGUGCUCGAAUAGGAGGACUUCCAGGAAUGGGAGGACUUCCAGGAUUAGGAGGACUUCCAGGAAUGGGAGGACUUCCAGGAAUGGGAGGACUUCCAGGAAUGGGAGGACUUCCAGGAAUGGGAGGACUUCCAGGAAUGGGAGGACUUCCAGGAAUGGGAGGACUUCCAGGAAUGGGAGGACUUCCAGGAAUGGGAGGACUUCCAGGAAUGGGAGGACUUCCAGGAAUGGGAGGACUUCCAGGAAUGGGAGGACUUCCAGGAAUGGGAGGACUUCCAGGAAUGGGAGGACUUCCAGGAAUGGGAGGACUUCCAGGAUUAGGAGGACUUCCAGGAAUGGGAGGACUUCGUCCAGGAAUAGGAGGAGUCGGAUUUCCAUGGGGAGGAUAUGGUGGAUAUGGUGGUGGUGGAUAUUAUGGCGGUUAUCCAAGAGGAGGAUAUGGUGGAUUUUAUCCUGGUGUUGGUUAUGGCGGAGGAGGAUAUCCUAGAGGUGGUUGGUAUGGAGGAUUGCCUCGCAACUAAUUAAUUAAUUACAUACUAUAUAAGGAAUAUUUAUGAAUACCCUUCUAAUGUAUCAGUUAUUGUAUUCACGAUAAAUAUUGAGUAGCCAAGUGCUAUUCAUAUAUAUAUUUGUAUUGUGUGUUUAAGUAAUAGGUAGUAUAGUUUUGUUGUUGAAAAUAUGAAUAAAUAAUAGUAUCAUAAAUCUCCAUUCACUUACUAUGGAUGGAUGGUCAUGAUCAUGUAAUGUUUCUUUAAAUAAUAAAUAAUUAUUAGAGAAUUUAAUUUCUUUACGUCCCUUUUCGUCUACAUAUUAUUAUUCAAAUGAUCCAAAUAGUUUAAGUGAAAUCCUAGUGAAGUUAUAUUUUUUUGUUGUAUUUGUUGACUAUGAUUCGCUUUACGUAACACUAUAUUAUUGUUGAGUUUUAGUUAUAUACUAACCAUGCAUAUACAUUUUAAGAUUUUUAUUUAUUUCUAUUUCUAUUUUAAUGUACGAUACUUAUUUUAGGACUUGAUAAAAAUUAGAUGUUUGAACCAAGAAAUUUAUCGAAUAAUUUUAAAGGAACUGAAUAACCUGAUCUACAAGUGAGUUGCUUAUGAAAACGUCUUGUUACUGUUGGUAUGACAUAGUAACAGAUUUAGAAUUUAAAGUAUAUAUAUAAUUAUAUACAUUGGGACAAUAUAUCAAAUUUUCUUAGAUUUGUUUCGAUUUUUCCAUUAUUAUUUUUAAAAAAAAAAUCAAAGGUUCCCUCAAAGGGGCUCAAUAGAUAAGUCAAAGGAGCAUGGAGGGGGGUGAAACUUGACCUCCGCAUUACAAAACUAGGAGUGAGGGCAAAUCCUUACUCUCUAACUUAUCAAAAUAAAAGGAAAGAAAAAAGGAGGGUUGCACUUCACAUAAGCUUACAAAAAAUUCUAGAAUUCAUAAACUAGAAGCAACCAAAUAAAAUUUAACCAGGGUCGAAUAUGAAGUUGCCCUUCUUCACUCGAAUUAUAAUGUUGGGCUUGCCAACUACAUCAUUCUUCAAGGUGGAAGUAACCUUAGAAGGAAGAUUUAUGGCCUUGGUGAAGAAGGUAGUUGUUUUGCAAUGUUCAACCAUAUUCGCAAGCAAAUAGCUGUAGUGUUACCUUCUCUGAAGGUGUGAAUGAAAGAGAAGUCACCAAGUGAACUCAUGGAUUGAAUCUGUUAAUAUCAUUUUUCAUCUGCCAAGGGGGAUUAUAUUGAUCAUACCUUUAACCAUCUGAAUAAUCAAGAGGGAGUCAGACUCAACAGUAACUCUGUGAAAACCAUGAUCUAGACACCAUGCAUCUUAGGCCAGUCUUUAGAGCUAGAGCCUCAGCUGAAUUAUUUAAGCAAAAACCAAAAUAGGCACUGAAAGCCAUAAUCAUUUGUCCAGCAUGGUCCCUAAGAACUCCUCCACCUCCAGCACUUCCAGAAUUUCCUUUACUACAACCAUCCACAUUCAGUUUUAGCUCAUUCUAGUUUGGUCUCUUCCAUUUCACCAAUUUAAAUUCAAGCUUUGGUGUGAUGUGAUCUGUGAGAUGAGAGAUACUGAUAAUAGAAGGUGAGAGUGGAAGUUCUGGAAAUUGAGAAUUAAUAAUCAAAUAGAGGAGGUUGGAGAUUUGAUCAAUGAUUCUAGGAAUAGGAAUUCUAACACCUUCAUGUUUGAAAUUGCACUCGAAUGGGCCUUGCAGAGCGUGAUCCGAAUUUAAUCGAAGCUUUAAUGUGAGCUCCGAACACCGGGUGGGAGAUUAAAAAAAAUAAAAAAUGUGUUGAAGAAAAGUACUAAAUGAAAACAAAUAGUGAUGGUCCCAAGAAGAUCAAGGCAACAUCUCUCAAAUAACUCCAAAGUAAAUGAAUAUCCUGAUCUACAAGUGGACUGCUUAAGAAAAAUCACCAUGUAUUUGGGAUCUCGCUCACUUCACUCCUUCUCUCGUUUGUAGAAAAAUCACCAUAUAUCUGGAAUCCCACUCACCUCACUCCUUCUCUCGUUUGUCUCAUUUGUAGUAGCGGAUACAUAAUUGUUAUCAAGGGUGUCAAUGAUUAUAGUAAAAAAUAUAAUUAUUGGGUCUUGUUAUGUUAUACAUGUGGAAUUAUUUUGUGUGGUGUUAGUGACACGUUGAAAAUUUAUUAUUGGUAUAUAAAAACUAAUUCUUGCUAUAACAGUUAUCAUCUAUAAAUAUUUUUGAUAAAUAAUCAAUAGUUCGUUUGAAAACGAUUUAUUAUGUUAUUAUAUGUUUUUUGUAACAAUAUUUCAUUAUAGUUGUAAAAAGUAUUUGGACAAAUGACAUUUAUCAGUUUAGCUUCAUUUACCAACGAUUCCAGCACAAUUUAGAAAAUCAUGAAGAUGCACUUAUAAUCUCUUUCCUUCUCAUUUUAAAGUAGCUUGUAAUUCGUCCCAAAGAUAUGUCUUGCUUUCCAUUUUUUCAAAAGUCAAGUUAAUUAAUCUAUGAAAUCAAAUUUUAUCAAAUUAACUUAAUAUAAUAAAAUUAAAAGAGUUCGAGAAGUGAAAAACAAUAUAUAAUUAGUGAUUGAGGAGUAGUUUAAUAAUAAGUUGUGAAAUAAGAAGAAACAUACUUUCCUCAUCAACAACAUAUUCAAUAUAAUCAAGAAAAAGAAGAAAUGUACAUUAUAGAAAUAUAUUGUGUUAUAUUUUACAACAAAAUAUUACAUGAUCAACCAUACAUAUGAACUGAAUGACGUUUUAUUCAUACGAUUUUUAAAGCAAGGUUUAGAGUAGCAAGACUAUUACUAUAUUAUACAUCUUGCCACUACAUACAACAGUUUUAUAAUAUUACAUGAUGGUUUGUUGUGAGAUAGUUGACUAGUUACUUACUCAUGGCCACCAAUGAGAGGGUUGUAUCCACCACUUGGAGGUUUGUAUUCGUCAUUAGGGGACUUAUAUUUAUCAUGUGGGGAACUAUGCUUGUCACCUGGAGAUUUAUAUUCAUCACUAGGGGGUUUAUAUUUGUCAUGUGGGGGGUUAUAUUUGUCACCCGGAGGUUUGUAUUCAUCACUAGGAGAUUUAUAUUUGUCAUUUGGAGGGUUAUACUUACUACCUGGAGGUUUGUAUUUGUCACUAGGGGGUUUGUAUUUGUCAUGUGGGGGGUUAUAUUUGUCACUUGGAGAUUUGUAUUCGUCACCAGGGGUUUUAUACUUGUCACCUGGAGGUUUGUAUUCGUCACUAGGGGGUUUGUAUUUGUCAUGUGGGGGGUUAUAUUUGUCACUUGGAGAUUUGUAUUCGUCACCAGGGGUUUUAUACUUGUCACCUGGAGGUUUGUAUUCGUCACUAGGGGGUUUGUAUUUGUCAUGUGGGGGGUUAUAUUUGUCACUUGGAGAUUUGUAUUCGUCACCAGGGGUUUUAUACUUGUCACCUGGAGGUUUGUAUUCGUCACUAGGGGGUUUGUAUUUGUCAUGUGGGGGGUUAUAUUUGUCACUUGGAGAUUUGUAUUCGUCACCAGGGGUUUUAUACUUGUCACCUGGAGGUUUGUAUUCGUCACUAGGGGGUUUGUAUUUGUCAUGUGGGGGGUUAUAUUUGUCACUUGGAGAUUUGUAUUCGUCACCAGGGGUUUUAUACUUGUCACCUGGAGGUUUGUAUUCGUCACUAGGGGGUUUGUAUUUGUCAUGUGGGGGGUUAUAUUUGUCACUUGGAGAUUUGUAUUCGUCACCAGGGGUUUUAUACUUGUCACCUGGAGGUUUGUAUUCGUCACUAGGGGGUUUGUAUUUGUCAUGUGGGGGGUUAUAUUUGUCACUUGGAGAUUUGUAUUCGUCACCAGGGGUUUUAUACUUGUCACCUGGAGGUUUGUAUUCGUCACUAGGGGGUUUGUAUUUGUCAUGUGGGGGUUUAUAUUUGUCACCUGGAACUUUGUAUUCAUCACUAGGGGGUUUAUAUUUAUCAUGUGGGGGGUUAUAUUUGUCACCUGGAGGUUCGUAUUCAUCACUAGGAGGUUUAUAUUUGUCAUGUUGGGGGUUAUACUUGUCACCUGGAGGUUUGUAUUCGUCACUAGGGGGUUUGUAUAUGUCAUGUGGGGGUUUAUAUUUGUCACCUGGAGGUUUGUAUUCGUCACUAGGGGGUUUAUAUUUAUCAUGUGGGGGGUUAUAUUCGUCACUAGGAGGUUUGUAUUCAUCACUAGGAGGUUUAUAUUUGUCAUGUGGGGGGUUAUACUUGUCACCUGGAGGUUUGUAUUCGUCACUAGGGGGUUUGUAUUUGUCAUGUGGGGGUUUAUAUUUAUCACCUGGAGGUUUGUAUUCGUCGCUAGGAGGUUUAUAUUUGUCACCUGGAGGUUUGUAUUCAUCACUAGGAGGUUUAUAUUUGUCAUGUGGGGGGUUAUACUUGUCACCUGGAGGUUUGUAUUCGUCACUAGGGGGUUUGUAUUUGUCAUGUGAGGGUUUAUAUUUAUCACCUGGAGGUUUGUAUUCGCUACUAGGGGGUUUAUAUUUAUCAUGUGGGGGGUUAUAUUUGUCACUUGGAGGUUUGUAUUCAUAACUAGGAGGUUUAUAUUUAUCAUGUGGAGGAUUAUAUUUGCCACGUGGAGGUUUGUAUUCAUCACUAGGGGGUUUAUAUUUAUCAUGUGGGGGAUUGUAUUCGCCACUUGGAGGAUUGUAUCCGUCAUGUGGAGGUUUAUUUCCACCAUCUCGAGGCUUAUAUCCACUAUUAUAUUCGUCAUGUCCAUCACUAGAAUACCCGCCAAUGCCAUUAUAUCCGUCAUGGUGUUCAUCAUUCUUGUUAUCCAAUUUCACUGCUACAAAUAUCAAAUGUGAAAUUUAAAAAUUAGCAUAGCAUUGCAUAUAUGUCAAAUAAUUAUAUAAGAGAUCCAAUAUUUCAAAAGAGAUAACUAAUAAAAGAAAAAUAAUAAUAAACUUACAGGUGUCUGAGCUUAUCAUUGCAAAAAUAGCCAAAAGAAUGCCAAGAAAUAGAAUUGUCUUGGAACCCAUCAUUUUUUUCUUCCUUUAAAGCUUAGUUAUAUGAAUUAAAGGAUGAAGAAAUUGAAGCAACAUUGGGUUAUAUUUAUACUAAGAAUUUAAUGUUUUAGAAAUUGAUAAAUGGUUACUUAUCACUUAUCUUGCUCAAUUGGCACGCCACGUAAUUAAUUAUAUUUCCUCUAUUUUAAUUUAUUUGAUUUUUUUUAUAUUCGUUUAAGAAAGGAACGUAGUAUAGGACCACAAUGUUUACUUGCAUUUGUAGUGUCCACUAAAUAAAACAAUUUUUUAUUUAUAGUUAAAAUAUAAAAUAAGCAUAUAUUGUUUAAUUAUAAUUAAAAAAAAAUAUUUUAAUAAACACAUAUUUUAUCUUGUGAUGGGAGUGAAUCUCAAACAAAAGAUGAAAUGUUUUUGUUAAAUAUAAUUUUAAUACUUAACUAAAAUCUUUGAGAGUAAUAAAUAACUAAAAAUUAUUAUUAUAUUUAUCAUAAUGCAAAUUUGUACAUGUUUUUUACGUAAUUUGUUUUUCUUAAACUCUCUUUUUUUUGGGAAAAUUUGAAUAAACACAAACUACUUCUCCAUUACUAAUAAAAAAAAGUUUCUUAAAUCUUACUUAAACACAAAUUGUUAUAAGUUAUAACCAUUCAAAGAACUUUUCAAAAACACGUUGGAAAAAUUAAAAUACCUAAAUUUAAAAGUUUUCCCAAAUAGGUUUUAAUUACUCACAAAAUCUUUAUUGCUUUAGUUUUCUACUUCAUAUAUUUGAAGUAUUGCUAUCAAUUUUUGUGGUAGGUGAUCGAUAAGUACCUUCUAUCUUUAAUUAUAUUUUUUUAAAUUCAAAAUUUGAGAUCAAAUUUUGAUAGAGAACACUUUACCCCUAAAGUGAAACAUUCAUGUUAGAGGUAAAAGUAGAGUUGGGACAUCGAAUUUAUCUGAACUUAAUCUUUUGAUGUGAAGCAUAAAUUUUAUAGAUAAAAAUUUAUUCAAAUAGCAACAAAUGAUAUAUCUGAAUUCAUAACUUUAAAAUUACAAGUAGUUCAAUGCUAGAAACCUUAACCGUUAAAGUACUCAUAAAGUUUAAAUCUAUUUUUUUGAGUUAAUUUGAAUAAAUCCACAUUAAUGGUGAAUCAUUUACUUAAAUUAGUUCAUAGAACACAUCAAAAUGACUAAGUCGCUAAAAACAUAGAUCUACUGUAAUUAUCAAACGACAUUAAAGGCUCGUUUGGAUAUACUAUACAUAAUCAUAAGUUCUCGAAGUUUUUUGUAUGAACAUGCACUUUGAAUUUUUUAAAUUGUAUUUUACUUUUCACAAACAUGAAACCUCACGAAUUGUGAAAACUAUCAAAUGCUAUUAUUUUCAUAUUAAUUAUUAGUCCGUAUUAUAUUUAUGUGAUAGGUGAUUGUCUACCUCAGAGUCGAUAUUGAUAAAUGAUUAGAAAAGUGCUAUUAAUUUAACAAUGUAACGUCAAGUCAUUUCAUAUGAUUAAUUGGUACUAAUAAAAACUAUAACAAAUCACAAGGAAAACUUGUGUUAUGAAGUCAAACAUGAGAGGUUGUUUAUGAAAUUAUCUCUAAAAGGAUAAUAACUCGAAAUACCGUAAGUCUUAUGUUUUUCUAAGAAAAUAAAAUUUAGAGACCUUUCUUUAGGUUUAAAUUGAUUCGCAUGGGUACAUGGGGAUCUAGAAAUUUGAUUAUUGAUUUGCAUGAACUUAACGUUAUAGUAGAAACUCAUAAACUUUAAGUUCAAAAUUUGCCUAUAAUGAUUUGGAUAUUUUCGUGGGGUACUGAGGAACUAAUAAUGGGCUUUAAUUUUGUUCAUACUUUGGUAUUAUAAUUAGGGUAAAUUACAUAAAUCCCAUAGUUUUAAUAUGAAAUUACAAUGUAUCCCUAAUAAGUUUCUAAUUACAUUAAUCCCUUAAAAAUUAAAAAAAUCGGAUACAAUAAUUGAAUCUCGGAUACAUUAAUAUGUAGCUCGGAUACAUUAAUAUGUAGCUCAGAUAUAUUAAUAUGUAGCUCGGAAACAUUAAUAAGUAGCUCGGAUAUAUUAAAUACUGGUUCGGAUACAUUAAAAACUAGCUUGGAUACAUAAUAUGUACCUCGGAUACAUUAAAUACUGGCUCGGAUACAUUAAUAUGCAGCUCAAAUACAUUAAAGAAAUAAGGAAUUUUGGAGAUUUUUAAAAUUAAUAGGGGAUAAUGGAAAUAAGUGAAACAAAAUGCGUGUAUUUCUGUAAUUUGCGCUUAUAAUUAAAAGCAAGGUCUAAAAUUGAAGGACUAUUACAUCUUGCCAAUUAAUUCUCAAUGGUAGAGUUAGGAAUUUUUUUUUUUUGGAACCCCAGGAUAACCCGCAACCGCUACAAUCUCUGCCACAGCCUCUGCCCUUCGGGUGAGCACUCUGUGGUGAGCACUUUGUGCGCACUGGGUACAGAGUUAGGAUUUUGUAUCUAUGAGAUCUUAAUUAAUUAUUUAUAUGUUAAUUAGAUUUUUUAAUGUAAAUAAGUAGGCAAUUUUUGAAAAUUUUCUUUUAUGUUAUUUAUAUUAUAUGUUCUUUAUAAUAAUAUUUCGUUAUAACGAUAAAAAAAUAUCUGAACAAAUGACAUUUAUUGAUCGAUUUUCAUUUUUCCAACAAUUCCAACACAAUCUAGAAAAUCAAGGGGUUUAUUAUAAUUUCUUGCCUUUCAUUUUAGAGUAGAUUGUAUUUUGAAUUGGAGAGGGUGGGGAUUGAGAAGUACUACCUUAGUCCCAAAGUAUUAUUAGUUACAGUUUUUUUUGUAUAUCAAUAUGAUGAAAAAAUUAUAUUUUUAAUAAUUUGUUGAUUAAAAUUUAUAUAAUAAUUUAAAUUUUGAGAAACAAAAAGCAACAUAUAAUAUUAGGGAUGGGGGAGUAGUUUUCAAUAAGAAAAUGUGAUAUAAGAAGAAACGUACAUUAUGAAAAUAUAUUCAUCACAUAAUAUAUUGUACAACAAAAUAUUAUAUGACCAACAAUUCAUAUCAUGCGUUUUAUUCAUACUAUUGAUACAAUAAUCUGGUCUAAAAGCAACAAGACUAUUAUAUUACUGGUACUAAUCUUGCCACUACGUACGUAUACCAUAGCUUUAUAACAGUACACAUCAUGAUUUGUUGUGAGGCAAUUGGCUAGUCACUUAAUCAUGGCCUCCACCAUGUGGGGGGUGAUGUCCGCCGCCGCCACCACCACCUGGGGGGUGAUAUCCGUCACUGGGUGGUUUAUAUUCGUCAUGUGGAGGGUUGUAUCCGCCACCUGGAGGUUUAUAUCCACCAUGCAGAGGCUUAUAUUCACCAUGUGGGGGUUUAUAUCCACCACCUGGAGGCUUAUAUCCACCACUCGGAGGCUUAUAUCCGCCACUCGGAGGCUUAUAUCCGCCACCUGGAGGCUUAUGUCCGCCACCAGGAGGUUUAUAUCCAUAGUUGUAUUCGUCAUGUGGGGGUUUAUAUCCGUUAUAUCCGCUACGUCCGUCAGUGUGUUCAUCAUUCUUGUUAUCUGAUUCCAAUGCUACAUCAAUCGUAAAACUCAAAAAUUAUCAUAACGUUACAUAUAGGUAAAAUAUUUAGAUAAGAAAUUCAUCAUAUAUAUAAAUAAUAAAAUUAGAAAAAUAAUCUUACAAGUCUCCGCUAACUCCCUAGCUACAACCUCAGAGCUUAUCAUUGCAAAAAUAGCUACAAAAAGGCAAAGAAAUAUAAAUGCCUUGGAACCCAUCAUUUUUUUCUUCUUUAAAGCUUACUUAUAUUAAUUAAAGGAUGAAGAAAUUGAUGCAUAAUUGAGAUCUAUUUAUAAUAAGAAAUGAAUGUAUUAGAGAUUGAAGGAAAGGGCAUAUUUGGAAAUAUUCGGUGACACGUAAGUGGUAUAUUUUUUAAAAAUUAGUAAUUAAAGAUGUGGACAAGUAAUUUUUCUUUUGGUAGGUGAAGAAAUUCUUGAAUUCACAAUUGAUUUUCAAGAAAAAAUCAGUAAAAGUCAUCCUAAUCAAGAUUAUGUUGGAAGAAAAUUCUUCACAUAAAUCCAAAGGAAAUAAAGAACCUUGAAAGUUGAAUCAAUAAGAGGUCGUUUAAUUUAUGGGAUAAGAGAUAAUAAUGAUUUUCGAAAUAUAAUAUUACUUGAUUUUUUAAUUUUGAGAUAGGAUUAGCUAGACGGUAUAUCACAAUUAUGAUAUUAUUUUUAUAUGACCUUCUAUGCUGGAUAACAAUGAUUACUAAUCCCGAGAUAAAAUUACCAAAAUGAUCAAGAUAGAGUAAUCAUGCAAGUAGUAUAUAUCUUACUACUAGACGUUUUUGCUUCUUCUAGAAAUUAGUAUAUAUAGAGUAACAAGAAAAAUUAUGUGAAGUUGAAGUGAAGUUAUUGGUAGUGAGCAAAAGAAAAACUAUCAAUGUAUAUAGAACGUAUAUCAUUAUCGGGAGCUAAAGGAAAAUUAAUUUGAUAGUAUAAUGUAAAUACGUAAUUUUUGACCCUUUUCAAUUUUUUCACCGUUUUAGUCAUUUAAAAUGGUUAUUGAGUACGGAUAUGUGAUCGUGAUAAUUGUGUAAAAAUCACUCUUCUCAUGUAAACAAGAAAGAUAUGAAAAGGAGUUGAAGCCCUUAUGAAUCGAAGAGACUAGACUAAAAUUUAAAUGAUAAAUGGAUGGACUAGAUCGAAUUUGAACAAAUUAACAUAGGCUUUAUUAACAAAUGCCCUCGUAACUUAAUAUAUACUUAUUGUGUUUAUAAAGUGGUUCGUGAAAAAUAUAUUUAAUGGAUUUUAUUGAUGAAUAUUUAUCGAUUAGUGUAAAAUAGACAUACUACAUAUCUACAAUACAAAACAUGUGACUAAAUUUAUGCAUAACGUUCAUUCAUUAAUACCUACGGUUAAAAUAAAUUCAAACUUUUCAUAACGUUUGUAGAUUAAUUUGUGUGUAAAUAAAGUAGAUAAUGUUGUUAUUAGCUUUUUAAUAUUAGGCAAGUAAAGAAUUCAUUUUUUUUCUCCACAUAAUUGACACUUCACAAAGAAAAAAAUCAUUUAGAGAGGAAAUCGAAGAUGUCCUGCAACAGCUUCUAACUUCUAAGAACCACAAUUUGAUUAUUGACUAGUAUGGAGGUUAUACAGUCGUGUACAUACGUAGAUAAAAAGGUGAUCAAUUAAACAUUUUUUAUCGAAAAAUUAUAUUGUAUAUAUAGAAAAUUAUGUUAUGCUUAUAAGUUUUAAUUCUCGAGAAAUAAAAAGCAUCACCAAAAGGAGAGUAAUAUUACAUAUGAGUUGAAUUCUAAUACUUCCUCCGUCCCAUUUUAUGUGGCACCCUUUUCUUUUUAAUUCGUUCCAAAAAAAAAUGUCACCCGAUUCUAAUUAGAAACAACUUAACUUUAAAAUUCCUCUUUUACCCUUAAUGAAAUGAAUCUCCACCACAUAAAUAUCCAAAAAUAUUUUAGACUGUAAUUUUCAAAAGUCUUUUUUUUUAUUAAACAUCGUAUCAAAUCAAAUAGUCAGUGGCGGAGCCAGAAAUUUCAUCAAGGGUGUUCAAUUUUUUUUUAAUAAGUGAGUUAAAUGUUAUUUAUUUAACCUAGUAAUUCUACCAUGAACGAUCUAAACAUUUGUCAGUAUCAAAUAUAAACAAUCGAGUUUUUCUUCUUCUUUUUGAUGCAUUGACUUUAUAUGAUAAAAAUAUAUGAUUAUUGUUUUUAAAGUGAAAUAUUGAUAGAACAAAUACAUCUAGCUUUACGAAAUAUAAAUCACACCAGUAGAAAUUUUUUUCUUAAAAAAAAGAAGAAGAUAAAAUGCAUGUAUUGAUUUUAGCUCUGGGUUUAAAGUUGUUAACAUAUAUAAACACAAUUUUUUUUAACGUAAAAUGUUGCCUUUUUUGUUUUAACCAUUCGAAAGUACAUUAUAUCCUAGAUAAAAAUUAGAAAUACGUGAUUUUUAAUAUUCAAAAUUAAAAUAAUUUAUUCAUAUAUGUUACUCUAUAUUAUUAAAAUUUUAAUAUUAAUAAUUAAGAAAUUUGAGGAACAUGAUAAUGGUGUGUGAGGUUGUGUUCUCUAUCAAAAUAAAAUUAAAACGGUUGUGUGCUCCGUGAGAUUCGAACCUGCGCACAAAGGGUGGAAAUGAACAAACUUUACCACUGUGCCACGGAAGAGUUUAUCUUAAGGUUGUUCAACAUUAAUUAUUUAUCCCUUAAAUACAGAAUUUGACCUCUCUAUAUCGUUUAAUUUUCCGGCGAAGGGUGGUCAGCUGACCACCCUUCGAUGGCUGUAGCUCCACCCCUGCAAAUAGUGUCAUAUAAAAUAAAACGGAAGAAGUAGAUUAUAUAAAAGAAAAAAAAUAAGAAUUUUGGUUGUUGUGUUGUCGGUCAUUUAAUUUCCUAGAAGACUUUUCUCACAACUUUUUUUAAUUUAAAAAAAAAAACGACUUUUCUUGAGUUAUAAAGCAAAUGAAGAGAGUUAGCCCCCCGCUUAUUUAAUUUUUUUUAUUCGAUAUUCGAUAUUUAUAUUAAAAUCUGAUUAUUUUAAAUUUUAUUUCAUAGAAACUUUAUUCAAGAAGGGAGAUCUUUCUAUCAAUUAUUUUUCCAUAUUCAAAAUUCAUACUCAAGACUUCUGAUUAAAAAAAAAAACAACUUCAUUCGAUACAUCUCCUUUGGGACCCUCUUAUUUAACUUGAUAGUACACUAAAAGAGUCAUUGAAUACGUCAUUUAAGUCUUUGAGUAUUGACCAGAUCGAAGAGUACGUAUAUUUGCACCACUAUUUCUAGAUAUUUGAGGAUAAGGUAGUCCUACAACUUAAAAAAAAUGGAGGAUGGAAAGGGAUAAAUAUGAGAGAUGUUAUGGAAAUCAAAUUCAAAUUAACAAAAUAAAAAUUCAGAUAGUUAAAUGAUUGAGCUAUUAGAAUCUUCGUAAUAUGAUUAAUUCACAUAGUGAAUAUAUUCUGCUAUUAUUAUUUUAUCCCAUAAGUUCUUGUCAUCUAUCCUAAUUACCCUUUGUGUUUAGAUGUCUUAAUUAUUUGAAAUAUUAUACGCUCUUCAUUAUCAUGUUACGUAGAAAGUUGGAAAUCAAGAAAUUGUCAAAUUCUUUUCAUUUUUGAAAUGAAUUAAAAAAAAAUAAGUUAAAUAAAUUAAAACGAACCUAUAAUUAAUUACGUGGCGUGGCGGCUGAAUAACUGAUAAGUGACCGUUUGACAUUUUCUACAUACGUUAAAUGAUGGGCCAUCAACUCCAUGCACGUGGUCUAGAUUUGUCUGAUUGAUGUAUGGAUUUUAAGAGAAAGAAAUUUAUUUAUUUAUAAAUUUAUAAUUUAAUAUAACUUGAGAAUUUUUUGUAACUAUAAAUCAUUUUUUAAUUAAUGUAAAAGUGCCUAAAAAUAAUUACUCAAUUAUGGGUGUAGUUAGUUUUCAAGAUAUUUCAUUUUUUCAAUUAGUUUUCAUGUUUUUCUUUUCAAAAAUUAAAUAUGAUAAUUAUUUUGAUUAAUAUUUUAAAAUCAUAUUGACAUGAGAAAAACUUGUGACUUGUAGAGUUUUUUUGUAUAAUUUUUAUGAUGUUAAUUUAUACAAUUUAGUUUUGAGUUAAAUUGACUUUUUAUAAACGAAUCAUAAUAACUAAUUUGUGACAGAGAGAUGGCUAAUUUUCCAUUUAAAUCUUUUUUAGUUUUGUUUUCAACCGCCCUAUUCUUCCAUUUUGUUUUCUUUUUUUUGUCUACUAUAAACUCCUUCAUUAUUCGACAAUUAUACCUUAUAAAUGGAGAUUUUUAGGCAAUGCUUAGUGUAUAAACUGUUUAUUCUAAUAUUUAUUGAAAUAUUUUGAUGCAGUAUGUUAACGAUUAUUACAAGAUUAAGAACAACAAUAGCUCAUGUUGUAUUUUAGGGGAAAAAAAUCUAUUAUUUAUUAGUUUUAAGUAAAAAUUUGACUUUCAUAAGUAAAAAGAACAUGCAUAGUGAGGUUUUUAUUUUAACAUUUUUGAUAUAGUAUUAACGUAUGUACUUUUGUCUUUCUACUUUUACUAAAAAUGGUGUUUUGAUAUUUUUUAACUCUUAAUUUAAUUAUUUUGAAUAUUUAAGAUUUGUAAAAUACAAACAGAUAAAAUUUAUAAAUAUUAUGUUUUUUUUCAUCUUAACAAAAAUCAAAUAAUAUGAAGUAUAGAAAAUACUUAUGACUCCACCAUAAAAUCAACACUCUAUUUAUGUACCACUUGUAGAGCAAGUUGUUCAUUUCUUUGGUCCAUACAAUAAUUGCAAUCCGUACGUGUCCCCUCACACCUUCAAUUUAUGCAUUCAAAAUCUUAUUAUAAAUACAGCCCAAAAAUGCAUUAGUUUCUUCAUCCCUCAAUUUUCAUAUUUCAUAAGUACUAAGCUUUGAAACAAAAAUAAAAGAAUUAAGAAGAAUGGGUUCCAAGGCAAUUAUGUUUCUUGGUCUUUUUUUGGCUAUUUUCUUAAUGAUAAGCUCUGAGGUUGCAGCUAGGGAGUUGGCAGCUGAGACUUCCAAUGGUAAGCAUUUCUUUUCAUUUGUUCCCUCUCUUAGGGUAUGUUCGAUAAAAAAAAAUAUUUUUCAUGAAAAAUAUUUUGUAAGAAAAUAUAAGUGACUUCUUUAUUUACUUUUUUGUGUUCAAUAUCGUGAUAUAAUCUAGACAGAUAUAUAAUUGGUGGGGUUGGAUGGUGACGGUGGGAUGAAGAUGGGGCGAAGAUAAAUAUGUUUGAUCAUAAAAUUUGUCUACUUUUUGAAAAUUAUUUGAAACAAAAUCCCAAAAUUUCAAUCACUAAUGCUGUAGUUUGAUCAUGACACUUAAUAUAUAUUCUUUUUGUUUCAUGUUAUACGUCUCAAUUACUAUGCAUAAAGUAUAAGAAUAUACCAUAAACUUCCCAAACUUUGCUAAACUAAACUAAAGGUAUGUAAAUUAUAUUAUAAAUGCCCUAUGAGUUUUGUGAUCUUAUGUUACAUUGAAAUUAAAAAAAUUACAAUUAAAUAUAUAUAGGAAGAGGAGUACUCAUUUUGAAAUAUAAUAAAAAGGAAAGUACGACAUAUAAAUUGAAGUGCAAUUCAAAGACUAGUAAUGACUCAUCGUACGUGUUAGCUAGUUUAAUUAAUCUUCACAAUUCAUCGAUGCAGCGGUAAACGUUGAUGGACAUUAUUAUGGAGGCGGCUAUGGUAAGGGCCAUGGAAAACCUAAGAAAUGUUAUAGUUGCUGCAAGAAAUACAAAUAUGGAUGCAAAAAAUACUGCUGCUCUUAUGAAGAAUAUGUGGCUGCCCAGACUCACAACUAAAUAAUUAAUUAUUAUUGUAAACUUUUGAAAUUAAGUGACAAGAUACUAAUAAUCUUGCUACUUAAGACCCUUUGCUUGUAACAAGUAUGAAUAAAGCCAUUCAUUUACAAUGAAUGGUUGGUCAUGAUGUAAUGUUUUGUUGUACAAUAUAUCAUAUUGUGUUAAAAAUGUUUCCCUAAUGUUAAGAUUUUCUUCUUAUUUUUACUUAAGUAUUCUAUCAUCCCUUAAUCAUAUGUUUCAAGAUUGAAUCCUGGUCCGAAUAUAGAAUUGUCUUUGUUACAUAGUAUUUUACUCUAUUUGAAUUUUUUACCGUGAAUCCAAUUUAUUUAAGGCAUCUCUAAUUAAGGAUAUUGAACAUUGAGGGGAAAUUUUAAAAUAUUUAAUUUUCUUGUUAUUUAAUAAAGUAAGGAAAACAAUGCAGAAAAAAAGAAACAAUUUGUUCUUUUCUUUGUAUAAUAUUUAAAAAAAUAUAAUCACAGAAGAAAUAAAAUUAAAGCAUGGGGGACAAACGACUAAUAAUGUCAAAUCAUCACUUAUUUUUUUAUUUCUAAUGAACACUUUAGUCAGGGCUGAAAUCGAAAUUUUAUGAAAACAUCACAACAUAUAAACAAAAAUGAACACAUGAGUAAAUUUUAAUGAUUCAAUAUAUGAUACAAUGUAGUAGCUUUUUUCGACGAAGGAGAGUCAAUUAACAAUAUUAGAUAAGGAUGGUUACAUCAUUAAUAUUCACGAUCACCAUUAAGGGCGUAUUUACCUUAAGCUCGCAAUAUAUAUAUGCAACGUCAACCAAAUAACUCACAUUAGGGGUGUACAAAAAUGAACCGAAAACCGAAUUAAACCGCAAAUCGAGAAAAAAAAAUCCGACUAGUGGUUGGUUUGACUUGGUUUGGUAUUGAAAAAAAAACCCAACUAUAUUUGGGUUGGUUUGGUUUUAACUAAAAAAAACCAACCCGAGACCAAACCAACACGUCAUUAUAUAUAUAAUUUUAAAAUUUAUUUUAUAUUUUAUACAUAAAAAUAUUUACUUUGAAAUAAUUUUUAAAUCUUUCUUAUACUUUUUCAUAGUUUUUAUCUUUUAAUAUAUUAUUNNNNNNNNNNNNNNNNNNNNNNNNNNNNNNNNNNNNNNNNNNNNNNNNNNNNNNNNNNNNNNNNNNNNNNNNNNNNNNNNNNNNNNNNNNNNNNNNNNNNNNNNNNNNNNNNNNNNNNNNNNNNNNNNNNNNNNNNNNNNNNNNNNNNNNNNNNNNNNNNNNNNNNNNNNNNNNNNNNNNNNNNNNNNNNNNNNNNNNNNNNNNNNNNNNNNNNNNNNNNNNNNNNNNNNNNNNNNNNNNNNNNNNNNNNNNNNNNNNNNNNNNNNNNNNNNNNNNNNNNNNNNNNNNNNGAAAACAAAAAUACAGAAUGAUUAUUAUGAAAAAAAUAAGUGAACAAAUGGGGUUCUUUUGUAUAUUUUAUUUUUUGUUAUUGCUGAAUUUGCCGAACUUUUACAGCUUGUUUGAGUACUUGUUACCUAUAUAGUUGUAUUUUGGUGGCGAAAUGGUCUAAUAGACCCCUGUACUUGUAUGAGUUUGUAUUGUGAACCCUUCUACUUAACUCUUUAUCAAUUGAACCCUUAAACUUAUAAAACACAAUUUAUCAAACCCCUCUGACCAUUGACUAGGCUUAUGUGGCAUCAAUAUGGUUGAGUUGGCAAGAGUGUGUGAAUUCACUCUCGUUAAGGCGAGUGAUAUCCUAUUUAAGUUUUAAAAAAUAUUAAAAAAUUAAAAAAAAAUAAAACAAUAAAACAAAAAAACUUUAAAAAAAAUAACUAAAAAAGGCUUUCUUCUUCCGCCAACAGGUUCACAUCCAUUUUUGGCCAUCUCCAUCCCUGUCCAAUCCAUUUUUCUUUCUUCUUCACACUCUUGUCAUCUUCUUUAGCAGAUCUUCGCAUUGGCACCUAGAGAGAGACGACGCAGGUCAGUGGAAGAAGAACGAGGCGGUUGAGGGUAGGAUCUGGUCACGACAGCGAAGAGGUUUUUCGGUCAGAUCUGGUGGCCAUGGUGCGACGGAGAUGAAGACGGGUGAGGAAGAGGGCACGUAUGGUCGCCGGCAAGAGUUGCGACGACGACUGAGACGGCGGCGAGGAGCCUCCUAGAAUAUUUGUAUGCCGGAGACAGUAAGGGGUUUCUUGGCCUUCUGAUACUCCGGAGAGGAUGAAGAGCAUAUCGGUCGGUGAUGGUGAGGGGAGAGAAGCUAGUGCGGUGGCUUAGGGUUUCUAGAUUUGUGGAGGUUAGAGAAGGAGAAAAGAAAAUGGUAAGGGUGUGCGAUGAAGAUGGAGGUUGGUGGGGAGAUCGUAUUUGUGGUCUCGCCGGCAAGAGGAGCGGCAACAGCAGCGACUUUUUCCGACAGUUGGGCCAUUUCACGGUGAAAAUGGAAGAUGAUGUGAGGAGACCCAAACUUUUAAUUUAAAAUAAUAAAUUAAAAUUUAAUUUGUCAAAAUUACAUCAAAACUUUAUGAUUUUUCUUUUGUUAAAAAAGAAAUUAUUAUAUAAAAAAAAAAUGAUGUGGCAAAUUUUAUCUGACAUAGCGUAUGACAUUAGCGUGAUUGAGAAUCACGAUGAGUUGAAAGGGUUCAAUAGGUUGAGUUUAGAUGGGUUCAGGGGUCCAUAUGACAAAGAGGUAAGUAGAAGAAUUCACAAUACAAACGCAUACAAGUACAAGGGUCCACCAGAUCAUUUUGCCUAUUUUGGUAGGACUAAAGAAAUAUUUGAAGUACAAGUAAAUUAUAUGUUCGUAUGAAUACUUUACCGGAAAAACCCGAAAAAUCCGAGGUUGAAAAACCCGAGUUUUAUUGAUUUGGUUUGGUUUAUAGAUUUAAAAAUUCAACACAAAUGGUUGGAUUUGAUAAUUGAAAAAUCCGAACCAACCCGGUCAUGUACACCCCUAACUCACAUGAUUAUGAAUCAAGGAAAAGAAUAAAUAAUUUUCGUCAUGUUGUGCAAAAAUAUAUAUUUCUAAUCUUAUUAAUAUUAGGUUAGGGGGAAACCUUUUUUGGGUUAUUUAUUAUUUCUAUCUAUAUUUUGUGUAUAUAUAUAAAAAAAAAAUUGCAUAAUAUAUAAACGUAUCCUUUAAUUUGGUCUCAACUGACAUCUAGCCCUCCAACUUUGGAUGUGCACAAGUAGGGACUUAAACUUGUAUAGAGUUGAACAAGUAGACACACUAGUCCUACGUGACAUAAUACGCAUAGGACACCAUGUACGACACAAAUUAUCAUGUAGGACAUGUAUAUCUACUUGUUCUAUUAUAUAUAAACUUAAGUGUUUACCAUUAGUACACAUCCAAAAUUAAAGGUUAUAAAUAUCGAUUAAGGUCAAAAUAAAAUAAUAUUUUCAUGUAUUAUACUUGUUUUUUUAGAAGACUUUUCUUGAGUUAUAAAGCAAUAAAGAGAGUUGGCCCCUCUUAUUUAACUUGAUACGUUGUACAUUAAAAGAGUCAUUAAAUACGUCAUUUAAAGUCUUUGAGUAUUGACCAAAUCCAAGAGUAUAUAUACACCACUAUUUCUAGAUAUUUUAGGAUAAGGUAGUCCUACAAGUUAGCAUAUUUUAAAUUACUUUUUUGCAUAACUAUCCAAAAAUAUACUAUUAACACGACGAUUUAUUAUCGAAAUAUAUAAUACCCAUCACAUGCAUAUUAUUUUUUAAAGUUAUUUUAAUGUUUGAUUUUCUACUAAGUAUUAAUCUUUGUUUUUAGUUUGUUUUGUCGGAUGGUGUACGUAAGCCACUUGGUCAUAUUGAUGUGAUAUAUUUACAAAUAUUUUUUCGAAAAAAUAAGUAAAUUUUUAUCUAUUCUUAUGUUUUUUUAUAGGGAAAAAGUCUGAAAUAUAUUCGAACUUUAGCCAUUCUACUUAAUUUUACUAAUGGUGUUAUAGUAUUAACGUAUGUACUUGUGCCUUUCUACUUUUACUAAUGGUGUUUUGAUUAUUUUUAACUUUUAAUUUGAUUAUUUUGAAUAUUUAAGAUUUGUAAAAUACAAACAGAUACAAUUUAUAAAUAUUAUGUUUUUUUCAUCUUAACAAAAUAUUACUUACGACUCCACCAUAAAAUCAACACUCUAUUUAUCUACCACUUGUAGAGCAAGUUGUUCAUUUCUUUGGUCCAUACAUAAUUGCAAUCCGUAUAUGUAUCCCCUCACACCUCUAAUUAUUUAUGCAUUCAAAUCUUAUUAUAAAUAGAGCCCAAAAAUGCAUUAGUUUCUUCAUCCCUCAAUUUUCAUAUUUCAUAAGUACUAAGUUUUGAACAAAAGAAAAAUUAAAAAGAAUGGGUUCCAAGGCAAUUAUGUUUCUUGGUCUUUUUUUGGCUAUUUUCUUAAUGAUAAGCUCUGAGGUUGCAGCUAGGGAGUUGGCAGCUGAGACUUCCAAUGGUAAGCAUUUCUUUUCAUUUGUUCCCUCUCUUAGGGUGUGUUCGAUAAAAAAAAAAUGUUUUCAUGAAAAAUAUUUUGUAAGAAAAUAUAAGUGACUUCUUUAUUUACUUUGUUGUGUUUAAUAUUGUGAUAUAAUCUAGAUAAAUAUAUAAUUGGUGGGGUUGGAUGAUGACGGUGGGAUGAGGAUGGGGGAAGAUAAAUAUGUUUGAUCAUAAAAUUUGUCUACUUUUUGAAAAUUAUUGGAAACGAAAUCCCAAAAUUUCAAUUAAUAAUGCUAUAGUUUGAUCAUGACACUAAAUAUACAUUCCUUUUGUUUCAUUUUAUAUGUCUCAAUUACUAUGCAUAAAGUUUAAGAAUAUACCAUAAACUUUCCAAUCUUUGCUAAACUAAACUAAAGGCGUGUAAAUUAUAUUAUAAAUGUCCUAUGAAUUUUGUGAUCUUAUGUUACAUUGGAAUUAAAAAAAUUAAUUACAAUUAAAUAUAUAUAGUUAAUGGAGUACUCAUUUUGAAAUAUAAUAAAAAGGAAAGUACGACAUAUAAAUUGAAGCUCAAUUCAGAGACUAGUCAUAACUCAUCGUACGUGUUAGCUAGUUUAAUUAAUCUUCACAAUUCAUCGAUGCAGCGGUAAACGUUGAUGGACAUUAUUAUGGCGGUGGCUAUCACGAGGGCUAUGGAAAACCUAAGAAAUGUCAUAGUUGCUGCAAAAAAUACAAUAUGGAUGCAUAAAAUACUGCUGCUCUUAUGAAGAAUAUGUGGCUGCCCAGACUCACAACUAAAUAAUUAAUUGUGUGUAUUAUUAUUGUAAACUUUUGAAAUUAAGUGACAAGAUAAUAAUAAUCUUGUUACUUAAGACCCUUUGCUUGUAACAAGUAUGAAUAAAGCCAUUCAUUUACUAUGAAUGGUUGGUCAUGAUGUAAUGUUUUGUUGUACAAUAUAUCAUAUUGUGUUAAAAAAUGUUUCCCUAAUGUUAAGAUUUUCUUCUUAUUUUUACUUUAAGUAUUAUAUUCUAUCAUCCUUUAAUCAUAUAUUUCAGGAUUGAAUCCUGAUCCGAAUAUAGAAUUGUCUUUGUUACAUAGUGUUUUACUUGAUCUGAAUUUUUUAACGUGAAUCCAAUUUAUUUAAGGCAUCUCUAAGGAUAUUGAACAUCGAGGGGAAAAUUUAAAAUAUUUAAUUUUCUUGUUAUUUAAUAAAGUAAGGAAAACAAUGCAGAAAAAAGAAACAAUUUGUUCUUUUCUUUGUCUAAUAUUUUUUAAAAGUAUAAUCACAGAAGAAAUAAAAUUAAAGCAUGGGGGACAAAAGACUAAUAAUGUCAAAUCAUCACUUAUUUUUUGAUUUCUAAUGAACACUCUAGUCAGGGCUGAAAUCGAAAUUUUAUGAAAACAUCACAAUAUAAACAAAAAUAAACACAUGAGUAAAUUUUAAUGAUUCAAUAUAUGAUACAAUGUAGUAACUUUUUUCGACGAAGGAGAGUCAAUUAACACUCUUAGAUAAGGAUGGUUACAUCAUUAAUAUUCACGAUCACCAUUAGGGGCGGAUUUACCUUAAGCUCGCAAUGCCAUCUAGCUAUUAGUCAUGCAUGGAAAAUAAAUUUUCUUAUGCACAUGAUCAACUAAAUAAAUAUCGUAUUAUUUAGAAAAGAUUUAUAUAUAUAUAUGCAACAUCAACCAAAUAACUCACAAUCUCACAUGAUUAUUAAUCAGGGAAAAGAUUAAAUAAUUUUCGUCAUGUUGUGCAAAAAUAUAUAUUUCUAAUCUUAUUAAUAUUAGGUUAGGGGGGGAAACCGUUUUUUUGGGUUAUUUAUUAUUUCUAUCUAUAUUUUGUGUAUAUAUAUAAAAAAAAAUUAGCAUAAAAUAUAAACGUAUCCUUUAAUUUGGUCUCAACUGACAUCUAGCCCUCCAACUUUGGAUGUGCACAAGUAGAGACUUAAACUUGUAUAGAGUUGAACAAGUAGACACACUAAUCCUACAUGACAUAAUACGUGUAGGACCGCAUGUACGACACAAAUUAUCAUGUAGAACAUGUGUGUUUACUUAUUCUAUUAUAUAUAAAGUUAAGUGUUUACCAUUAGUACACAUUCAAAAUUAAAGGUUAUAAAUAUCGGUUAAGGUCAAAAUAAAAUAAUAUUUUCAUGUAUUAUACUUGUUUUUUUAGUAAGACUUUUCUUGAGUUAUAAAGCAAAUGAAGAGAGUUGGCCCCUCUUAUUUAACUUGAUACGUUGUACAUUAAAUACGUCAUUUAAAGUCUUUGAGUAUUGACCAAAUCCAAGAGUAUAUAUACACCACUAUUUCUAGAUAUUUUAGGAUAAGGUAGUCCUACAUGUUAGCAUAUUUUAAAUUACUUUUUUGCAUAACUGUCCAAAAAUAUACUAUUAACACGACGAUUUAUUAUCGAAAUAUAUAAUACCCAUCACAUGCAUAUUAUUUUUUAAAGUUAUUUUAAUGUUGUUUGAUUAUCUACUAAGUAUUAAUCUUUGUUUUUAGUUUGUUUUGUCGGACGGUGUACGUAAGCCACUUGGUCAUAUUGAUGUGAUAUAUUUACAAAUAUCUUUUCGAAAAAAUAAGUAAAUUUUUAUCUAUUCUUAUUUUUUUUAUAGGGAAAAAAGACUGAAAUAUAUACAAACUUUGGCCAUUCUACUUUUAAUAAUGGUGUUAUAGUAUUAACGUAUGUACUUGUGCCUCUCUACUUUUACUAAUGGUGUUUCGAUAUUUUUAACUUUUAAUUUGAUUAUUUUGAAUAUUUAAGAUUUGUAAAAUACAAACAAAUACAAUUUAUAAAUAUUAUGUUUUUUUCAUCUUAACAAAAUAUUACUUACGACUCCACCAUAAAAUCAACACUCUAUUUAUCUGCCACUUGUAGAGCAAGCUCAUUUCUUUGGUCCAUAAAAUAAUUGCAAUCCGUACAUGUGUCCCCUCACACCUCUAAUUAUUUAUGCAUUCAAAUCUUAUUAUAAAUGAGCCCAAACAUGCAUUAGUUUCUUCAUCCCUCAAUUUUCAUAUUUCAUAAGUACUAAGUUUUGAACAAAAGAAAAAUUAAAAAGAAUGGGUUCCAAGGCAAUUAUGUUUCUUGGUAUUUUUUUGGCUAUUUUCUUAAUGAUAAGCUCUGAGGUUGCAGCUAGGGAGUUGGCAGCUGAGACUUCCAAUGGUAAGCAUUUCUUCUCAUUUGUUCCCUCUCUUAGGGUGUGUUCGAUAAAAAAAAAUGUUUUUCAUGAAAUAUAUUUUGUAAGAAAAUAUGAAUGACUUCUUUAUUUACUUUUUUGUGUUCAAUAUUGUGAUAUAAUCUAGACAGAUAUAUAAUUGGUGGGGUUGGAUGGUGAGGGUGUGGGGAUGAGGAUGGGGGCGAAGAUAAAUAUGUUUGGUCAUAAAAUUUGUCUACUUUUUAAAAAUUAUUGGAAACCAAAUCCAAAAAUUUCAAUCACUAAUGCUAUAGUUUGAUCAUGACAUUUAAUAUACAUUCCUUUUGUUUCAUUUAAUAUAUGUCUCAAUUACAAGGCAUAAACCUUCCAAUCUUUGCUAAACUAAACUAAAGGUGUGUAAAUUAUAUUAUAAAUGUCCUACGAAUUUUGUGAUCUUUUGUUACAUUGAACUUAAAAAAUAUACAAUUAAAUAUAUAUAGGAAAAGGAGUACUCAUUUUGAAAUAUAAUAAAAAGGAAAGUACGACAUAUAAAUUGAAGCUCAAUUCAGAGACUAGUCAUGACUCAUCGUAUGUGUAAGCUAGUUUAAUUAAUCUUCACAAUUCAUCGAUGUAGCGGUCAACGUUGAUGGACAUUAUCAUGGUGGCGGCUAUGGUAAGGGCUAUGGAAAACCUAAAAAAUGUUAUAGUUGCUGCAAGAAAACCAAAUAUGGAUGCAAAAAAUACUGCUGCUCUUAUGAAGAAUAUGUGGCUGCCCAGACUCACAACUAAAUAAUUAAUUGUGUGUAUUAUUAUUGUAAACUUUUGAAAUUAAGUGACAAGAUAAUAAUAAUCUUGCUACUUAAGACCCUUUGCUUGUAACAAGUAUGAAUAAAGCCAUUCAUUUACUAUGAAUGGUUGGUCAUGAUGUAAUGUUUUGUUGUACAAUAUAUCAUAUUGUGUUAAAAAUGUUUCCCUAAUGUUAAGAUUUCCUUCUUAUUUUUACUUAAGUAUUCUAUCAUCCUUUAAUCAUAUGUUUCAGGAUUGAAUCCUGAUCCGAAUAUAAAAUCGUCUUUAUUACAUAGCUUUUACUCGAUCUGAAUUUUUUACCGUGAAUCCAAUUUAUUUAAGGCAUCUCUAAUUAAGGAUAUUGAACAUUGAGGGGAAAAAUUUAAAAUAUUUAAUUUUCUUGUUAUUUAAUAAAGUAAGGAAAACAAUGCAGAAAAAAGAAACAAUUUGUUCUUUUCUUUGUAUAAUAUUUUUUAAAAAUAUAAUCACAGAAGAAAUAAAAUUAUAGUAUGGGGGACAAAAGACUAAUAAUGUGAAAUCGUCACUUAUUUUUUUGAUUUCUAAUGAACACUCUAGUCAGGGCUGAAAUCGAAAUUUUAUGAAAACAUCACAACAUAAACAAAAAUAAACACAUGAGUAAAUUUUACUGAUUCAAUAUAUGAUACAAUGUUGUAGCUUUUUUCGACGAAGGAGAAUCAAUUAACACUCUUAGAUAAGGAUGGUUACAUCAUUAAUAUUCACGAUCACCAUUAGGGGCGGAUUUACCUUAAGCUCGCAAUGCCAUCUAGCUAUUAGUCAUGCAUGGAAAAUAAAUUUUCUUAUGCACACGAUCAACUAAAUAAAUAUCGUAUUAUUUAGAAAAGAUUUAUGUAUAUAUAUAUAUAUAUAUAUGCAACGUCAACCAAAUAACUCACAAUCUCACAUGAUUAUGAAUCAGGGAAAAGAUUAAAUAUUUUUCGUCAUGUUGUGCAAAAAUAUAUAUUUCUAAUCUUAUUAAUAUUAGGUUAGGGGGGUAAACCUUUUUUUGGGUUAUUUAUUAUUUCUAUCUAUAUUUUGUGUAUAUAUAUAUAUAAAAAAAUUGCAUAAUAUAUAAACGUAUCCUUUAAUUUGGUCUCAACUGACAUCUAGCCCUCCAACUUUGGAUGUGCACAAGUAGAGACUUAAACUUGUAUAGAGUUGAACAAGUAGACACACUAAUCCUACAUGACAUAAUACACAUAGGACACCAUGUACGACACAAAUUAUCAUGUAGAACAUGUGUGUCUACUAGGGGUGUACAUGGCCGGGUUGGUUCGGGUUUUUCAAAUAUCAAACCAACCCAUUUGUGUCGGAUUUUUAAAUUUAUAAACCAAACCAAACCAAUAAAACUCGGGUUUUUCAACCUCGGGUUUUUUCGGGUUUUUCGGUUUUUCGGGUUGUUUCGGGUUUUUCCGGUAAAGUAUUCAUACGAACAUAUAAUUUACUUGUACUUCAAAUAUUUCUUUAGUCCUACCAAAAUACAACUAUCUAAGAUGUUUCUUAAAAAUAUAACACAAUAUAAUAUGAUAAUGACACUAAAAUAUCCAACAAAAAUAAUAAUAAUGAAAUCGCGUAAAACAAAUAUUGCAAAUUAACAAGUCAUAAUGAAAAUGAUCAUAAUUUAAAAGUACUAAAUCAUGCUAAAAUAAGUUUAAUAAGUAUUAGUUACAUUACUAAAUANNNNNNNAAAAAUAAUAAUAAUGAAAUCGCGUAAAACAAAUAUUGCAAAUUAACAAGUCAUAAUGAAAAUGAUCAUAAUUUAAAAGUACUAAAUCAUGCUAAAAUUAAGUUUAAUAAGUAUUAGUUACAUGACUAAAUAUUAAAGAAAAUUAAAAUUAGAUUAUGUAUUUUAAUUGUCUAAACCAAUGUAAAACUAAAGAACAAAUAUUCAAUAUUAUUGUCAUUCUUAGUGUUGAAUUGAUUUUCUUUUUGCAUUAGUAUUAAUUUGAUUUUGAUUUAAGCUUUAUUAUAAUUACCAACAUAUGUGGACUAUAAUCUUUAUUGGCCCAUUCAUAAUUCUAAGUUUCAAACUUGAAAUAAUAUAUUAAAUAUUAAAAACUAUGGAAAAGUAUAAGAAAUAUUUUAAAAUUAUAUCAAAGUAAAUAUUUUUAUGUAUAAAAUAAAAUUUUAAAAUUAUAUAUAUAAAUUCGGGUUGGUUUGGUCUCGGGUUGGUUUUUUUUAGUUAAAACCAAACCAACCCAAAUAUAGUCGGGUUUUUUUUUUCAAAACCAAACCAAGUCAAACCAAACCACUAGUCGGGUUUUUUUUUCGGGUUGACUCGGUUUGCGGUUUGGUUCGGUUCUCGGUUCGGUUUUGUACACCCCUAGUGUCUACUUGUUCUAUUAUAUAUAAACUUAAGUGUUUACACAUUCAAAAUUAAAGGUUAUAAAUAUCGAUUAAGGUCAAAAUAAAAUAAUAUUUUCAUGUAUUAUACUUGUUUUUUAGAAGACUUUUCUUGAGUUAUAAAGCAAAUGAAGAGAGUUGGCCCCUCUUAUUUAACUUGAUACGUUGUACAUUAAAAGAGUCAUUAAAUACGUCAUUUUAAGUCUUUGAGUAUUGACCAAAUCCAAGAGUAUAUAUACACCACUAUUUCUAGAUAUUUUAGGAUAAGGUAGUCCUACAAGUUAGCAUAUUUUUAAUUACUUUUUUGCAUAACUAUCCAAAAAUAUACCAUUAACACGACGAUUUAUUAUCGAAAUAUAUAAUACCCAUCACAUGCAUAUUAUUUUUCAAAGUUAUUUUAAUGUUGUUUGAUUAUCUACUAAGUAUAAAUCUUUGUUUUUAGUUUGUUUUGUCGGUCGGUGUACGUAAGCCACUUGGUCAUAUUAAUGUGAUAUUUACAAAUAUUUUUUCGAAAAAAUAAGUAAAUUUUUAUCUAUUCUUAUGUUUUUUUAUAGGAAAAAAAGUUUGAAAUAUAUCCGAACUUUGAUCAUUCUACUUUUACUAAUGGUGUUAUAGUAUUAACGUAUGUACUUGUGCCUCUCUACUUUUACUAAUGGUGUUUUGAUACUUUUAACUUUUAAUUUGACUAUUUUGAAUAUUUAAGAUUGUAAAAUACAAACAGAUACAAUUUAUAAAUAUUAUGUUUUUUUCAUCUUAACAAAAUAUUACUUACGACACCACCAUAAAAUCAACACUCUAUUUAUCUACCACUUGUAGAGCAAGUUCAUUUCUUUGGUCCAUAAAAUAAUUGCAAUCCGUAUUGUGUCCCCUCACACCUCUAAUUAUUUAUGCAUUCAAAUUUUAUUAUAAAUAGAGCCCAAAAAUGCAUUAGUUUCUUCAUCCCUCAAUUUUCAUAUUUCAUAAGUACUAAGUUUUUGAACAAAAGAAAAUUAAAAAGAAUGGGUUCCAAGGCAAUUAUGUUUCUUGGUCUUUUUUUGGCUAUUUUCUUAAUGAUAAGCUCUGAGGUUGCAGCUAGGGAGUUGGCAGCUGAGACUUCCAAUGGAUGUGCACAAGUAAGGACUUAAACUUGUAUAAAGUUGAGCAAGGAGACACACUAGUCCUCUGUGACAUAAUACACAUAGGACACCAUGUACGACACAAAUUAUCAUGUAGGACAUGUGUGUCUACUUGUUCAAUUAUAUAUAAACUUACGUGUCUACCAUUAGGUCCAUUACACAUCUAAAAUUAAAGGUUAUAAAUAUCAAUUAAGGUCAAAAUAAAACAACAUUUUCAUGUAUUAUACUUUGUUUAGAAGACUUUUCUUGAGUUAUAAAGCAAAUGAAGAGAGUUGGCCCCUCGUAUUUAACUUGAUACGUUGUACAUUAAAAGAGUCAUUAAAUACGUCAUUUAAGUCUUUGAGUAUUGACCAAAUCCAAGAGUAUAUAUACACCACUAUUUCUAGAUAUUUUAGGAUAAGGUAGUCCUACAAGUUAGCAUAUUUUAAAUUACUUUUUUGCAUAACUAUCCAAAAAUAUACUAUUAACACGACGAUUUAUUAUCGAAAUAUAUAAUAUAUAUCCAUCACAUGCAUAUUAUUUUUUAAAGUUAUUUUAAUGUUGUUUGAUUAUCUACUAUUAAUCUUUGUUUUUAGUUUGUUUUGUCGGUCGAUGUACGUAAGCCACUUGGUCAUAUUUAUGUGAUAUAUUUACAAAUAGGUUUUUUGAAAAAAUAAGUGAAUUUUACGCCACAAAAAAAGUGUGAAUUACAUAGAAAUUUUCCUGGAAAUUAGUAUGAGAAUCUGCAGGAAACUUAUUUUCUUGUAAAUUUUCAUAUUAAUCCCCAGAAAAAUCCUCGUGGAAUUCACACUUUUCUUAUAGUGUUUUAUUUAUUUUUAUGUUUUUUAUAUGUAGGCAAAAAGUAUAAUCUCAAAAUCAUUUAUAUAUAAUUAGAAUAACUAUUAUAACAAGAGAGGUAGGGGUUAGGGAAGGUAGGGAUCAAGAUGAAAUAUACUGUGUAGGAGGAUGGAAAGGACAUUAUCAAUAAUUUGGAAUAUCACCUGCAGAACUUAUUUUAUCUAUACUUUCGAUUUUUUAUUGGAGAAAUCAUUUUCCUCAUUAAUAAAAAAAAAAAAUUAUUUUUUUAGAGAAACAAAUAUAUUUGGAUGCUUAGUGUGAAAGCAAGACUGAAUAAUAUUGAUAAGUCAACUGACAAGUGACAUUUUGACAUGUUAUGAUGCAUUAUUGUUAGUUAUUGUCACUUAUGCUUUAAUUUGUGGACUAGAAACCGCAUGCACCUACGUACUAUAAAAGAUUGCCACGAACUUUAUUUAUAAAGAAAAAUUACAUAAUAUAUAAGAGAUUAUCAUGAUUAUGACAUUUAAUCGAUUUGAAAUUAUGAAUAAAGAUUAAUGGAGGGUUGUGAAGAUAUAGAAGCUACUAUUUACGUCUGUAUUAGCUAUAAUAUUUUAUGAUACUUGUUUUAAAUAUCCAUAAAUAAUAUACCAAGUUAAAAUUUUACUUUAAAAAAUUAUGAUAUAAUUUUUAAAUUUAAAAUUUUCAAGUGAUUCAUUUGGUAGUUUGAGCAGUAAUGGAGGGUGGUUGGGUGUGGGGUGUGGGCGGGAGGAGGUCUAAGAAGACCUAGUCAACUUAAUUGAUUAGUGAGUGAUUGACAUUUUGCCACUUGGAAUUAUUAAUAAGUCAACUAAUAAGUCAUUCACCUUUAAUUUAUCGAACAAUAAAUAGCAACAAUAACAUGGCAUUUAAUUAGUCGCUGUUAUAUACUCUUCCAAACUCUAUCUAUUAUCUAUUCACUUUGUCCUAUUUUUCUUUUAUUCAACUUUACAUUAAUAGUGUAUUUAGUAGGUAAAAAAGCAUUUUAUAUAAUUUUUUAGAUUGAAAAAUAUUAUUUCAAUAAUAUUUAUAUAUAUAGUUCGAUAAUACAAGGAUGGAGGUAAAAUGGACUCAUCGUGUGCGUAUGGAGGGUGGGGGGUGGAAGUGGGCUUUUUGGGAGCCGGGGUCGAUGUGAGUGGGCAAGGGGAUGCAACGGUGGAGAGAGGACAAUCAAGAUUUUAUGUCAUUUAUAAAAUUUAUUUUUCAUAUUUUUACGAGAAAAGUCAUGAUUUAAGUUUCACAUAUAAGUCACAUUAAAUUAACUUGAUAAUUUUAAAAAUCAUUACGUUAUCAGUACAUAUAACUUAAAUGUUUUCUAUCAAGAUUUUCAGGAUAAGGUUUGUCCUACAAGUUGAGCAAAUAUUUUAUUUAAUUAUUGCAUAAUAAUCUGACAAUACAUCAACAUUUAAUGUACAAUUUCCCCACAAGAGCCGUCGUCUACUAAUUUGUUGCCAAAAGGAUUUUGGAGAUCUUAUAAUGAUGUGUACAAAAUAUUUAGAGGAAUUUUUGAGAUUAGUGGUUAACAAAAAUUAAUCUUAGAAUAAAAGUUAGCUAAUUUGCAAUUUGGCAAGCCUGGCUAGAGGGUCGAAGUGCGCAAAUAUCCGAUUUUGAGAUUAUCAUUUCCAGGCGUACUACAUAAAAAAUUUGCAAAGUCUAUCCAUUUUUUAGAAUAAUUUCAAACAUGUAGGGUUUGAAGUUAGGCUUGAUGAAACUAAAAUUCAAACAAAAUGUUUUAAGUUUUAUACGGUUGAGGCUCAAACACAUAUGAUGUGAUUAUAUAAAUUACUUUUAAACUAACGAUAUAUAUAAUGAGCCCAAUAAUUGUGAAUUCUUUACCUUCUUCACCUGCCAAAAGCACAUCCCAUAAAUGCACCUCUCACACCUCCAAAUAAUGUUCUUUCCCUACCAUUUGUAAUACAUUCAAAUCUUACUAUAUAUAGAGACCAACUAUACAUAAGCUUCACCAUCCUAUAAUUUCAAGUAUCAUAGUAAGUUUAGUGGGUAAAAUGGGUUCUAAGACAUUUAUGUUCCUUGGCCUUUUUUUGGCCAUUUAUGUAAUGAUAAGCUCUGAGGUUGUAGCUAAAGAGUUGAGUGAGACUUCAGAAGAGAAGUGUAAGAAUCCUCUCAUUAUUUGUUCCUUUUGUGGUUGUGUUUGGUACCAAGGAAAAUGUUUUCGGUGAAAAAUAAUUUAUUAGAAAAUAUUUUCUUUGAAACAUAAACGUACUUAUUAUAAUAUUAUUUAAGGUACAUAUAUAUUUUACCCGUAAGAACGUAUGUUUUUAUAAUCAUAAAAAUGUCAUCACAUAUUCGAGAUCACAAAUUUUUAAAAUAGGUUAAUGGCAUAACAUUCUUGUUUACACAAUUGAUACAGCAAAGAAAUCCAAUAACAAGAAUGUAGUACAUGAAGACCAAUUUGGUGGCGGAUACCCCGGCGGUGGCGGUGGAUACCCUGGCGGUGGCGGUGGAUACCCCGGUGGUGGUGGUGGAUACCCUGGUGGUGGUGGUGGCGGCUACCCUGGUGGUGGCCGCGGUGGUGGUGGCUACCCUGGCGGCGGUCGUGGUAGAGGCGGAUAUCCCGGUGGCGGCCGCGGGGGAUACCCUGGUGGUGGUCGCGGACGUGGUGGAUACCCCGGCGNNNNNNNNNNNNNNNNNNNNNNNNNAUGAAGACCAAUUUGGUGGUGGAUACCCCGGCGGUGGACGUGGUGGCGGUGGAUACCCUGGCGGCGGACGUGGCGGUGGUGGUGGUGUAGGAUACUGUCGCAAUGGUUGUUGCAACGGCAAUAACUAUGAGUGCUAUAGUUGCUGUUAAUUAUGGGGAGCAAUAAAUAUUUGUAAUGGCAAAGAUGUAAUACUAGUGAUUAAAACUUUUGCUAAAUUAAUUUAAUUUCUACAACUUUUUGUAAGAAUUAUGAAAUUAAAAGUCAUCAUGUAUGUAACGUUUGUUAAUUAUGCUAUGCUGUGAGACAAUAUUUUCCCUAAUUUGGUGUUUCUUUCUCAAUUAUUUAAUCAGAUAUUAUGUCGUUCAAUUUGAAGAGUGAUAAGUUGAAAUUAUGGUAUUAAUCGAAAAUUUAUGAAAAAAGAGAAGUCAAUUGAGAUAUUAAUAUGAUAUAUAAUUGCGACAUUAUUUUGAAAAUUGAAGUCGUAAGCUUUUACUCUAUAUAUCAUACCAAUUUACUAUGACGAAUGCUAUCGAAAUCAAACUUAAAACUAUGAUUACACCAAAUUAGUUAAUUUGAUAUGAUAGUAUAGUAUUUUUGAAAAUCGAGAAUCGAAAUUUUCAAUAUCAUGAACACCUAGACUAAAGGAAUUUGGUAAAUCCAAUUUUGACUAUAAUCUAUAUAUCCUUAUAAAUAAACCAAAGAACGACAAAAUUAAUGCCACCAUAUAUUAUAGUAAGUAAUCCCACAUAACAUUAAUUCUCAGUAAGGCGUGAAAAUCUUCAUAUUAUUACCAAUGGUAUAAUAUAAUAAUAAACUGAAUUAUCAAGAUUGAUCAGAAUUCUUUAGACUCUGAUCUUCAGACGUAAUACACAGAGACGAACAAAAUUCUCCAGAUUCUGAUCUUCAGACAUAAUACACAGAUGACUUCUCCAGAUUCUGAUCUUCAGAUGUAAUACACAUAUGACUUCUUUAAAGUUUUAUCACCCGCUUUGAUACCAUGAAGAUAUUCACUAUGAAUUAUAAGAACAAUAGAAUUGGAAAAGAAGAAAGUAUUUGUUAUUUUUCCUUUUUAAGCAGUAGUUAUACAAUGACUAAAUCCUAUGUAUUUAUAUUUUCCUUACUAACUAACUUACCUAACUUUUUGGUAACUACCUUCUAACUAACUUCUUGAAGUAGUCCUAACUAACUCUAAACACUCUCCUUCUUUUUUAACUAUCUCAUUACAAACACUCUGAGGUUGGAAGAGGGGUGGAUGAAGGUGAGGGGGAUGGAGGGAGGGGGGGGGUUGAGAGCCGGUCGGAGACUGGGUUUCGAGAGGAGGUGUGGUGCAUGGUAGGAUAGGGACGUAGAGACGAGGGUGAACUAAAGAGAGACAAUCAACUUAGAAUAACACUAAUAUAAAAUUUAUUUUUUCUAAUUUUCCAUCAUGUAUACCAUUUUUAGAGAAUAUAAGUCACUUACUUUUUUUUGAUAAAAUAUUUUUAGAAAAUUUUGACAAUGAACACAAAAGAGUCACAUGACUAUGUCUAUUGCAAUGCAAUAUAUUAUAUUCAUUUUUGUAUGAUAUAAUAUACCAUUUCCACACAAGAGCCGUCGACUACUUUGCUAACAAAAGAUUUUGGUGAUCUUAUAAUGUGUCCAAAAUGGAUAAUGAACCCACAUAAAUACGUACAGUUGAGUAAUAAUGUUUUGUAUUUUUGAAGGUCUGAACUCCUCUAGUAGACCUUCUAUUCACCACUGUCUGAGGAUCAUUAGACAUACAAUCCUGUCCUUGAACUGUUUCCUCCACUGUAUCUUGUUCAAUAUUAUCAGUCAAGUUUCUGUCUAAUUAUGUAUCACAUUGAGUUUCUUGUACAUACCUAUGAUUAAAUUUGUUCUUGUCACUCAUGUUAUCAUAGCCUAACUUUCAUUCUACAUUCAGCAUAUCAUUAUCCAAAUGAUUUACAAACGGACCUUUUUCACUUUUAUCUAAAACAGUUAAGAAAGGAAAGACCGACUCUCUGAAUAUCACAUCUCUACUCACAAAGAAGCUUUUGGAAGUCAAAUCUAACAAAAUAUAACCCUUUUGAGUUUCUGAGUACCCCAUAUGUACUGCAGCCUUUGUCCUGGAUGCUAGUUUAUCACUUUCAGUUAACAAUUUAGCAUAGCAUAAACAACCUAAUAUUCUAAUAUGAGAUAUCAUUGGCUUAACACCAUACAUCAUUUCAUAUGGAGAUUUACCUCCCAGAACUCUGCUAGGUAUUCUGUUUAUCAAGUAAGCAGUUGCAAGUAUACACUGACCCCAAAACCUUAUAGGAAUAUGGCCCUGAAACCUUAGCGCUCUAGUCACCUCUAAUAGAUGUCUAUGCUUCCUUUCAGCCACUCCAUUUUGCUGUGGAGUAUAAGGACACGAUCUUUGAUGUACUAUACCUCUUUCUUUAAACAAGGUAGCACAUAUAGCAUUCAUAAAUUCAGUUCCAUUAUCAGACCUUACCUUCAUUACCACUUUGUCAAAUUGUGUCUUGACAAACUUCAGAAAAUAAUCUAAAGCUACACACACAUCUGCUUUACUUUUUAAUAGAAAUAACCAACUCAUCCUUGAGAAAUCAUCAACUACUGUGAGAAAAAAUCUAUUACCAUCAAAAGUUGCCUGUUUGUAUGGACCCCAUACAUCCAAAUGAAUCAAAUCAAAAAUUUGACUACUUUUAAUACUACUAACAUGAAACAUAUUUCUAGUUUGUUUUGCACAAGGACAUACAGUACACUCAUUUAGCACUUUAUUCACUACUUCUGAAUUAACAGGAAAAACUUUACUCAACAUUUGUGCAGAUCCAUGUCCUAGCCUUUUGUGACAUACAUUCAAUUCCUUUUCUGAUAACUGUUGUAUCUCUAGCUUCUUUUCAGGUACAACAAAUGACUGGUGCUUUAAUUGAUCUUUUGAUAAAUUCCUUAGCAGUAGGUACAAACCAUCCUCCUCUUUUACCAACUUCCCUCACCUUGCCAGUGUAAAGCUCCUGAAACACACAAAAAUGAGGGAAGAAAGUGACUGAGCAAUUUAACUCCUUAGUCACCUUACUCACUGAUAGCAAGUUGUACUUGAACUCUGGUAUGUGAUAAACAUUUGUAAUCACACUUCUUGGAGAUAUGUUACAUAAUCAUGUAUGAGACACAUAUGACACUUCCCCAGUAGGUAAAUAUAUAGGUUUUGGCUCUUUAACCCUGAUAACAGACUCACUAGUAAGCAUAUCCAAGUUUAAUACCAUAUGAUUAGAUUCCCCAGUAUCUACAAUCCAGACCUGACUAUUUUCAGAAAUUAACAAGACUUUACCUGCAAUAUUAGCCUGAGUUUCAUGCGCAUGGCUUGAAUCUUCUGAUUUCUGUCCACCUUCUUGAUUCUGCUUCAACAUUUGAAGAAUUUGACUAUACUGAUCUUUGGUGAAAUUACAUCCUUGUAACUGGUUUGAACAUUCCUCUAUAUUACUCAUAUGAUUUUUCACAGGUACAUUAGUGUUACCUCCAUAGUUGAAAGAAACUCUACCAGACACAUCCUCAUAAUCAUCCUUUUUUGUGUUGUUAACAUCAUUUCCAACCAUGUAAGCUCCAGUUCCUGUACUGAUAUUCACUUUCCUUUUUGACUUGAAAUCAGAUGGAGUUUUAGAUAAUCCGAGACUCAAGUCUUAGUUUAUCUUGAAUGUUGAGCAGAAACACUAGUAAUUUAUUAUUUUUCCAGAAAAAUUACCAAUAAUUAGAUGUAGUUCUUUCAACUUAACUCAAUUUGAAGUUGUUUUAAAUUCCAAGCACUUUUAAUGAACGUCAAAGUUUAUGAACUUCAUACAGUUUGCAACAUUUGUUAUACUAAUCCCUCUUCAAUUGGUGUUAAGGGUGCUUCAUAGAUUGUAGAGAGGCUAAAGAUUAUGCUAUAUAGUGGACCCAUAUAUUAUCCUUGAUGUAAUCUUUUACUGAACUUCAAAUCUAUACUUUUGCUUUUCCCACACUCUGUUAGUCUUAUUUGUGUGGCCGCAAUGGUAAAUCGCUAUUUGAAGUUAUAUGCUUGUGAAUUUUGAUACCGAAGUAGUUUCUACCAGUCUAGCUAAUCUGGUUUUCUUCGUUUGCUCUUAUUUUGUGGUGAACAGAGUAUAGAAGCUUUGUUAUGCUUUUUGAAUAGUCAAAAAAUUUGAUUGCACUCAUCCUUUACAAUCUUUAGAACAAUGAAUCAGUAUCUGCUAUUACGCUCACCUUUGUACCCUUUCUGGACAACUUAUGCAUAUUGACACUUUACCAGUACUAACCAAAUCAAGAGGGUUUUAAAUAUGAUAGGUACUUUCCGUCUUUGAAUAGUGUUACACUCUCAUAUGAUAGAGUUAUUGGAAGACAUCUCAUAGGCUAUGAAUGAUAGCUUUGAUCUACACUCUUGAGUCUUGGUUGUGCUAAAGCAACAACAAAAAUAUGCUUUAAAAAUACGUGGUCGAAAAAGUUACUUUUUUACUAUGAAGUUGUCAUAUAAAUCUACUGAUCUAUAAAAGUGUGAACACAGAGAGGAUUCAAAGAUAUUACAGUAAUCAGCCUUAGUGUAUAGGCUUCUAAAGUGCCAUUAUAUUUUCAAGGGAAAAAUGACAAAUAUACCCCGAACUAUCGUAAAUGGUAUGCAGAUAUCCUCCGUCAUACUUUUGGGACAUUGGUGUCCCUGCCGUCCAAAAACAAUAGCAUAUAUGCCCUUCACUCUAACGAAAGACUAAAUAGGGACACGUAUCCGUCGAUCUGAUAUUUAAUGAAUGUCGGUCGGUGGAUAAGAUUAUGACACGUGUGUAUGUCCGUUAGUAUAAAGGGUAUAUAUGCUCUAGUUUUUGGACGGCAGGGGCACCAAUGUCCCAAAAGUAUAACGGAGGGUAUCUGAAUACCAUUUACGAUAGUUCGGGGUAUAUUUAUCCUUUUUCCCUAUUUUCAAUCAUAAUUAGCCUACGGGGUUGUCAUUGAAAAACUCACACUUCAUAUUAUCUUUGAAGUAGACUAUCUUAAGAAAACAAUCUGCUCAACAUGUUUGAAGCACCAUAAGCAUUUAUGGUAUUAUCUAUUCCAAGCAGGUAAUAAUAACAUCUUGUUUUACUACUGCAACACCUUUAUGGUAAAUUACAAAUUAACAAUUAUAACUACUGAAUCUUUUUUGCGUUUUGCUAGGUGUGUGGUUGUAUAAUAAACUUAUUUUUUUAUAGAGUAAAAAGGAAAUAUAAUUUUUUUUAUUUGAAUGUGAAACAUACAACUCUAAUAUUGACCAUUUAAUGUGCGAGUUAUAGCACCUCUACUUUCAUCAAUUAUUUAUGGCUCAGUUACAUCGGCUAAAGCUUGGCAAAGAGUUGUAACGAUUGCUGGUUCCAUUACUACUGUUCCACACCUCUAUUUCUACAAUAUGUCCAGCAUUUGAACUUGCAAUUCCUUUUGACAUGUUGCUGGAAAGAUUGUGAGUUCUUUUUUUUUUUGAAAGAUGCAUGGAUGAACAUAUUUGGGAGUUAAAAGGGACCCUUUGUGAGUUGUAAUUUUUUUUUUAUUAAGAUGGUAACAUAUUUUUGUUGAUUGACUGCUUAGUUGAGGUCUCUUAUUAAUUGGCAAUCCAAUCCUUUUCUCCACUAAUUCAUGAAUCUUUUAUAUUCGAUUACUAGUGGAUAAUAAGAUCAUUUUAUUGUUGUAGCCAAUGAAAGCACGAAGAUACUGAUUCAGGAGUUUUGUGAAUUGGUUGAACCUUUUAGUGCUUAUCCCAGGUUCUAACAUGAAAAUCUUGUGCCUCAUCUUUCAUGAAUUUACUUGGUAGCGUCGCACCACUCAAUCUAAAAUUCUAAAUUGUUGUGGUUCAAUAUAUAGUGCUAGUUCCUGCCGUUAAGUUGUUUGUCUUUCACCCUAUAUAUGUCAUGUGGAGUUACCUAUAUUUCCUAUGUAAUGAAACAAUGUUUUGCGGAUCUAUAAUAAACAUAACUUCCUAUUUUUUUAGCAAAUCCUCAUCUAGAUACAUAGACAUUUCUGAUGGUAGACGAAGCUACAUCAACUUGAACUAAAUCUCUAAUAACACAACUGCAGUAAACUUAAUUCUAUACUUUUGCUUUUCCCACUUUGGUUAGUCUUAUAUUUGUGUGGAUGCUAGGGUAAAUUGCUAUUGCUAUGAUUAUACUUGUUAAAGAAUGACAAAAGUCCCAUAUCGGUGAUUAAUGAGAUGGGUGGACUCCUUAUAAGGCUUGGGCAAUCCUCCUCCCUUUGAGCUAGCUUUUGGGGUGUGAGUUAGGCCUAAGACCUAAUUUAACAAUACUUGAAGUUGUAUGUAUGCUUGAGAAUUAUGAUACUUAAGUAGUUUUUACUAGAAAUCAAGAGAAAUUAACUUCUUUUUUAUUUAGAUACUUCUUGAUUGUUAUUUUUUCAGACAAGUCACACUUCUUGCAAUGUUUUGAUACUUUACAUCUCAUCUUUUGAUGCAUUUGUUUUUUUAUUCCAGGUCAUAUAAUCUAAAGUCCUCAAAUUUCAAAUUUGGGAGAUUUCAAUAUGAAGAAGAGGUGCAAAACUUAUGUGAAAACAUUAUUCAAUAGGAUAGAUAUAUACAAACAAUAUAAGUUUAAUUUUAUACGUUGUGACAUUCAUAUUUUGGAUUAGUACUUCCUUUUAUUUGUCUAGAUUUUAUGAUAUAUAUUCUAUUUUAUGAAUUAAUAAUAGUAUAUGUUUUUUGCAUUUGUCAAACUUUGUUGUUACUAUCUGGUGCUCUUUUGCCAACAAGUUUGUUGAAUUUGUAUAUAUACAUUUUCUCGACCAAUGUAGUAAUUAUUAUUAAUGUUGGCUAUAAAAUUGUCGUUAAAGGUUAUAAUAUUUAGCGUCAAUCUAAUAAAUUUAUUGAUCAUAAAAAUGGACACUGAAAAGGCAAACUAAUUUUUUUUAGAAGGGAUAUUGUAGCCAUUACUUGCCAUAGUAAAUUGUCGUUAAAAUUACUACCUUGUGGCUAUUUAAUUGGAUUUAUCUACUAAAACAAUAGAUGCUAAAAACAAUAGUUAGUCGAUAUUAACUACCUAUAGCAGUUAACAUAAUUGCCACAAACAAUUGCCGUUAAAACAAAUACUUUUAGUGGCUAUGUAUUUUGAUUUAUCGACUAAAACAAUGGACACUAAAAUUAGAUCAUAGUUAGUUGAUAUGAAUUACCUUUAGCAACCAACAUAUGUGCCACAAACAAUUACCAAUAAAAACACUACCUUUUAGUGGCUAUUUAUUUAGAUUUAUCGGCUAAAACAAUGGACGCUAAAAACUCAUAGUUAGUCAUUAUGAAUUACCUUUAGCAGCCAACAUAAUUGCUACAAACAAUUGCCAUAAAAGCUAAUGAUUUGUAGCGGCAAUUCAUGCUACCCUUUACCAGCAUUUCCCACAAUGGUCGGGAAAGCCUUUGCUGACCCCUACAUUACCGGCUAAAGACAAUUCACCGGUAUAGGUUAUCGUGGCAAAUGUUAUUGCCGCUAAAGUCAUGUUUUAUUGCCACUAAAUGACCCUUUUGUAGUAGUGUUUGUAAAGUAUACAGACACAGAAUCUGUACCCUGUUGCAAGGUUGCAAUUUCUUUGUGUAGACUGAAGGUUCUUGAUCCAUCUAAUUGAUCAAACCUUUCUUUUAAGUCAUUCCACACAGCUUGAGCUGAUGAUGCAAAAGCUACUCCUCCUAGCAAACUCUUUGACAUAGAAUUUAGAAGCCAUGAGAGAACAAUGACAUUCACCCUUUCCCACUGAACUCUUAAUUCUGCACUUACAUCUUCUUGUUUACACGAUCCAUCUACCAAACCAUUCUUGUUUCUUCCAAGUAAUGCCAAUCUAAUCGACCUACUCCAUAAAGCAUAGUUCUCAAUUCCAAUAAGCUGGAAUGAAAUCAGAUUAACCCCACUGAUAUCAGCAGGACUCAAGAACAGAGGAUGACUAUAAUCAACCCCUUGACUCAUCGACAUAGCUGGAAUAGAGCUUGGAUUUCCAGAAAUUCCACCAACACUACUGGUUCCAGUUGUCUGUUCACCAGUUACCCCUUGAGUCAUGCUUGUAAUCUUUCUUCUUUUUCAAAUUGAUUUCCGGAAGCUAAACUGAAUUAUCAAGACGAUCAGAAUUCUUUAGACUAUGAUCUUCAGACGUAAUACACAGAGACGAACAAAAUUUUCCAGAUUCUGAUCUUCAGACGUAAUACACAGAUGACUUCUCCAGAUUCUGAUCUUCAGAUGUAAUACACAGAUGACUUCUUUAAAGUUUUAUCACCCUCUUUGAUACCAUGAAGAUAUUCACUAUGAAUUAUAAGAACAAUAGAAUUGGAAAAGAAGAAAGUAUUUGUUAUUUUUCCUUUUAAAGCAGUAGAUAUACAAUGACUAAAUCCUAUGUAUUUAUAUUUUCCUUGCUAACUAACUUACCUAACUUUUUGAUAACUACCUUCUAACUAACUUCUUGAAGUAGUCCUAACUACCUCUAAACACUCUCCUUCUUUUUUAACUAUCUCAUUACAAACACUCUGAGGUUGGAAGAGGGGUGGAUGAAGGCGAGGGGGAUGGGGGAUGGAGGGGGGGGUGUUGAGAGCCGGUCGGAGCUUGGGUUUCGAGAGGAGGUGUGGUGCAGGUAGGAUAGGGACGUAGAGACGAGGGUGAACUAAAGAGAGACAAUCAACUUAGAAUAACACUAAUAUAAAAUUUAUUUUUUCUACUUUUCCAUCAUGUAUACCAUUUUUAGAGAAUAUAAGUCACUUACUUUUUUUUAUAAAAUAUUUUUAGAAAAUUUUGACAAUGAACACAGAAGAGUCACAUGACUAUGUCUAUUGCAAUGCAAUAUAUUAUAUUCAUUUUUGUAUGAUAUAAUAUACCAUUUCCCCACAAGGGCCGUCGACUACUUUGCUAACAAAAAGAUUUUGGUGAUCUUAUAAUGUGUCCAAAAUGGAUAAUGCACCCACAUAAAUACGUACAGUUGAGUAAUAAUGUUUUGUAUUUUUGAAGGUUUGAUUCAGGGCCGGCUCUAUGCUUUGGCAAAUAAGGCUUUUGCCUUUGGGGGUCGCAAAUUUUAUCAAGAAUAAAUUAUGUGUUAAAAUUUCUAUAGAACUAAUUGAUUAUUUAUGAUAAAAAGUUUAAUUUUUUUUAAAUAUAUUAUUUUACCCACUUUAACAUUUUUUAUACUUUGUUAAAAAUAAGAAUUAAUAGUGAAAAGUGUUGAACAAAGUGAAUUGCAAUUUUUUUUUAAUUUCUUUUUUAAUUUUAGUUUCAGGCAUUACUACAACAAUAUUAAAAUGGGUAUACCAAGUGAUCAUCAACUUCUUGCAUCAAAUUCUAUGGUUCUAACUCUUAUCUUUAUUUAAUAUUUGUCAACUUAUUACUUAUAUAAGUAUGUUAACAAUUCAUAUAAUAAUUGCCUCACUGAAAGGAUGUUUUUCAAUGUUGAGUUGAUAAAAUCUUACCUAAAACUAAUUACUGAAAAAACAAUAUCAAAAUACUAAUAAUUUUCAUCUAAAUAAUGUAAGAAAAAUAAAUUUUGAAUAAAUACGUACAUGAAGUUUGUUUAUAUUUUAGGCCCAGAAUCGAAAUUUCGCUUUAGGCCCCCAAUCACGUUGAGCUGCCCUUGGUUUGAUUGGAUUUAAUCAUUGAAAAUUAUUGAGAUUGAUAUUAGUAGGUUCAAUGUCAAAUUUAAUUCCCUGUUCAUCUAUCAGAAACUUUUGGAUAAUAUAUUCUAAAAUUAAAAUACAAUUUUUAUACUAAAAUCACGAUAAUCUGUCCGAUAGAUGUCUUUAUCUGUCGAUCCAAAUUUAAAGAUAUCAAAUUAGACUUUUAUGGAGAUAAAUAUGUAUCAGUUUAAUUUGUUACAUGUAAGUUUAACUUAAAUAUAAUGCAACAAAUUAUAUAUAGUACUUGUAAUGUGUAUGAAUGAAAUCUUCACUAAAUUUCUUCAGCUGCCGACUGAAUAUUGGUCCACACAUUAAUUCCAUAAAUACAUGUUCCCGCUCUAGGGGGGGAUCUAGAGUAUCGGACGUAAAUUUUUAGAAACGUAAUAAUUUUUACAUAAAUCUUAUAUUUAUAUUAAAAAAUCUAUUAAAUAUAUAAAAAAUAUUUCUUCAAAAUCUAAUAAAAAAAUAAAUUCUUAGUUUGAUGGUAGAAAUGAAACCUACUUAACCUUCUUUAUCAUGAUUCGACCCAUACCUCAGACCUAAGAUCGAGCACCAGAGCUGCUCAUAACAACGUACCAAAAAGAAGAAUGCGAGAAGUUCAUAUUCUCCAGAUUCUACUAUAAAUCAGGUAGUGAGGAUGAAAAAAGCAUAAGCUACCUCGUUCGUGCUCCCGUCUUUCCCGCUGCCAUCUUUGGUGGAUGCGCCCCUUCACUUAAAGGCGGCCAAACCAACCCACUGAGCCAACCUUUUAGAUUGAAUAAAGUUACUAAGAUCUUUAAAAAUCCAUAAACUUUAAAUUCUGAAUUUGCUUCUGUCCGCUACAUCCAAAUAAUACUCUCUCUUCAAUCAUUAUAUCCAUUCAAAUCUUUCUAUAAAUAGAACCCAACAAUCUCUCAAUUUCUUCAUCCUUUAAUUAAUUCAAAUAUCAUAAGGGAAACAAAAAAUGGGUUCCAAGGCAUUUCUGAUUCUUGGCCUUUUUCUGGCCAUAUUUGUAAUGAUAAGUUCUGAGGUUUUUGCUAGGGAGUUGGCUGAGACUUCCACCACUACUUCUGAAGAGGAUUGUAAGUAUAUCCAUUCAGUAUAAUAUGCUCAUUUUAUAAGGAAAUUUCACAUAUAUUUUUAUAAUUUAUCUCGAAAAUAUUGAGUUCAGAUGAACAUUCCUUACUUGUGCUUUAGAUGCUAGCUUGACCAAUCAUUCUUACUAAUUGUUCAAUUUUAUAUAAUUAGUUUUACAUUUUGCAUGUAUAUUACGAUAAUAAUAAUAGCAUAUUCAGUAUAAUUUCACAAAGGAUAUGGAGGAGGUGGUAUGUACACAACUAUACUCUUAUCAUGUGAAGAUAGAGAAGUUAAUUAAUUCGAUCAAUUCUCAACUCAAUUAAAACAUAAAGUAGCCCAUGCUGAACCUAAUGAAAUUUUGCAUACAUUUUAUAUAGUAUACUUUAACCUUCUGAACUUUGACGAGAAAUCUCCAUAUAAGUUAUGGAUUACAGAAUUUUAUAAUGCAGAGUUGGUAUUAAACAAAAAUAUUUCCUCCGUUUUAAUUUAUUUAUUUGGUUUUGACGUAUGCAGAUUUUAAAAAAAACUAAAGAGAAUUUUUGAAUCUUAUGAUUUAGAAUUUUUGAAUCUUCCGGUAUUAAACAUACCAAUAAGUAGUUGCCGAAGAAGGAAAGUGUCAUUUUUUUUUAGGCCUAAAAAAAGUAAGACAAAUAAAUCGGAAAUAAUAUUUUUUGAAAAAAAAAAACAAGUUAAGAAUAACAUUCUUGAUUACUUAAUUGAUGCAGCCAAGAAAUCCAGUAACAAAAAUGAAGUACAUGAAGCCGAAUAUGGCGGGUACCCUGGUGAUGGCGAUGGAUACCCUGGCGGCGGCCGUGGUGGUGUUGGUGGCGGAUACCCUGGCGGUGGCCAUGGUGGCGGUGGUGGUGGCCGUGGUGGUGGUGGAUACCCUGGCCAUGGUGGUGGUGGUGGAUACCCUGUCGGUGGUAGUAAAUACUCAGGCAACCGUGGUGGUGGCGGCCGGAAGUGUUGCUCCUAGAUACAAAGGUGAAUAAAUAGUAAUAUAUACUUAUAUCACCUUGUACUAAUUAGUGGCAAGAUGUAGUAGUAAUAUUCUUGCUGCUUUAAAUUUGGAGCUUAUUGUAAGAAUUAUUAUCAUGAAAUAAAAGCCAUCAUGUAAUGUUUGUUAAUUAUGCUAUGGUAUGAUAAUACUUUCCUUUGGUGUUUUACUUAUGGGCGGAAUUCUUAUUUCAUAUUAUUAUAAUUUGUUUCAAUUAACCGUUCACUAUUAUUAUCAAUAUCAAGUAUCAAUAUACAUCAAUAGUGUAAAUUUGCUUAUAUUUUUCUCUUCGAUUUCCGUGGAACUCAUCACACAUUUAUUAUGAAACAUACUUAUAAUGUCCAAAAACUAUGUAAAUUUAGAUUAGGCAAAAUUGAGGGCAUUUAUUAUUCUACGAUUUUCUCAAAUGUUUUGAAUUAUUGAUUAUUGUAGCUCUUUUUUGAAAAACUAAUUAUAGUAGUAUGACUUAUAAUACUUGGUAUUUGGGUCAAAAUAUGUGAUUUUAAAAAAAAAAAUUGGAAAAAUCAAUAUAUGUCUGAAUUCACAAAAAAAAUUCGAAAAUGAUAAUCGAAUUAUAAAAUGAAAUAGGCUUCAUUGUUGGAUUUUAUUAUAAGAAGCAUCACUGUGAAGACAAUCUAGCUACAAACUCUCAUUCCUUGAUAAAAUGAUUAAUUCUCAAACAUUACUAGAAAUUUGCACACCAUUUUUUUAAACCAUAUUUUGCUCCAUAUAUACCUCAUAUUUUGAUAGGAUCAACAAGCAAUAAAAGUAAUUUAUUUUGCUAUGCCAAUAUUUUAUUUAAUAAUAAUUUUAAUUGAGUGAUUUUAUUGAUAGAAAUGUCUAAGUUUAGUGAUUUUAUUGAUACAAAACAAAGUUCAAUGACUUUGUUAGAUAAAUUCUCAAAGUUGGGUGACCUUUUGAGAUAUUAACUCUAUAAUAUGACGACCCUUUCAGUAUAUUGCUUUAGUUAUUGCACUACCGAGAAAUCUAUGAUUUCUAUUCAUAAUUUUAUCAAAUCCGGAGUUAUUCGGACUCCAUUAUAAUAAAAUCAAACCACCGUAAAAUUAAAUACAUAUAGCAUAUACAUAUCAUUUGUAGCCUAAGUAUUUUUUUCAUCUAGUAAUUGUAAGGAGUGAUGCAACUUUGAUUUUACAUGUGUUCAAACUUUUGUAUUGCUCUUUGAUUUCCUUGGUGUCCACAUUGCUUAAUGUCUUAUUAGAACGGGAGCUGUUUAUCCAAUUUUAGACCUUGAGCUACAUGUCAACAAAGGUGGAGUAGAAGGACUUCUGACAUUUACAAAAGUGUUGUAAACCUUGUGAUUAAAGGUACUAUCAAAGGAAAGAAAUGUGUUUUGUAAUAGAAAGUGUCAACAAUGAGCUAACCUAUUGAAAGUUAUGUUGGAAGAGUUUCUUUGAUUUUUGCAGAUAGGAGUGAGCUCAUAGAAAUUUAUAAAUCAAUUCAAUCAUAGAACAAUAUUAAGUAACUAAUUUUACAAGAUCCAAUGAGAAGCAUAGGCUAUAAAGUGAACAUAAUUUUUUUUGUAGAACAUAAUUGUGUUACUUACCUUUCCAAAUUUUGUUCAUAAAUUUUUCCGUAUUCUAAUCAAACGCAUCUUAUAAAUGGACAGUAAUCAAAUGACCAUAUUUGAGAUCACUACAUCAAAAAUAAUCAUUAGCAAAAAUUAAUUUUUAAUUGCCGUUAAAUAUGUAUUUUUAGCGGCAAUUAGCACUCUUUGUAUAUGUCCCUAAAGUCUUUAACGACAUUGGUUCUAAUAGCACUUAACUAAUACCGGUAAAGACUUUAACACUCUUUAUUACUGUCAAUAUUUAUUGCCGCUAAAAGUUAUUUUUGUUGUAGUGGAUACACCCAGUGAAAUUCUUGAAUAUAUAAAGGAAGAAAGUCACUCCAUUCACUCGAGUAUAUAAAAGAAGGAAACUACUCGUAAUUUGAUAACCACAAAUUAAAAUUGAACUUCAUUUUUUGGGCACCUAGAUUUUGAUUCAAAUAUGUAAUAUAUUAUGCUCAAUAUUGUUCUAGUCCAGUUGAAAUCAAUAUUCAAAUUGAAUAAAUUUCAUAAUAUUAUGACGUAGAAAGUCAUAAUAAGCUUGUUUGGAUCAUGCCUUUCCUUGUUGCAUGCUAAAAUCACUAAAUGAUAUAAGACCUCUGACUUUCUUAAAUUAGUGUAUUGUUACAAAUUGGAGUAAUCCUCUCUUAGCAAUUUAGUUUAGGCCACAAGUUUUUGAGACUAAAAAAGACCUGAGAAAUCUUAUGUUUUUGCAAUCGACUUGGCAUUUCAAAAUCAUGUUAGGCAAAGCUUUGUAGUUUAAAGCAAUAUUUUUUAAAAAAAAUAAUAAUAACUUUAUCAAUGAGCUUCAAAAUGCUACAACAGAAAGGACAAUAUCUUUAUUAGCCUUUCUUAAUAUAGUUUAAUUAAUAUUAUUUAUUAUGUCUAAAUGUUAAUAUUUAUCUCAAAAAGUAUGAAUACAGAGCUCAAAUGUUAUGAAUGAAAAUAUGAUUUACUUGAUCUGUUUUCGCCUUCCCUUUCAAUCUUAUCUAAGCUUUGUAACUGAAGGCGUUAUUGUAUGAUCUACUUGUACGAUUUUUACGGCAUAAUAUCUCAUUUAAAACGUAAGAUUAAUGUGUCUACCAAUUCUAGAAAUGUUUAUAGAGAUUUAGGUACGAUAAUAAAAUGAUUAAGCUUCAUCUAUGAAACACGUGUUUUUCGUGAUAUAUCCCUAUUUCUUCUCAUUGAUCUAUUUUCUGUCCUAGCUUUAAGAAAAAAUGCUUUGCAAAAUGGAUGACCUAAUCUGAAAGUUUCCCAUUGAAACUUAAGCCACCAUAGGUAUGAUGUAUUCACAUCCUCUUUCCUUCUUUCUUUCUUAUCAUUUUAAUUGGGGAAAAUACAUAGAAUUCCCCCUGAACUUGGCACGAAAACUUACUUUAGUACUUAAACUACACGAAUGUUUCUUUACCCCCCCCCCCAAUUUAAUUUGAAUUGAAUUUAAUUACCCCUUAAAGAGUGACGUGGCAAAAUUUGUAUCACCAACUUUUCAUAAGCGGGUGAGAAAGGAAAAGACAUCAAAAACUGACACAUAUCAUCUUUUUAUUGGAUAACAUACUUAAUAAUUUAUUUUACUAAUUUUUAAAUAUUUUAUUUUUAAUUAACUUUUCUCUCUCUAUAUUUCUUUUUCUGCAUCUUCUUCUUCAUUUUUUUUUUCCAUUUUUGUUCUUUUUCUAGCAUCUUCUUCUUCUUCUUUUUUUCUCUUCUCAUAACUCUUUCUCUUUUUUAUUCUUUUCAUUUAGUUCAAAUAAACAUUUACUUCCAAAUAUAACUUCUUCCACAUUUUUUCUUCUUCUUUUCUUUUCUAUUUUUAAUCGUUUCUUUCUUCUUCUUUUUUACAAAAUUUUUGGUGUUUGAUUCACCCACCAUUUUUUACAUCAAAGAAGAUUAUUAGAUCUAUCAGUUUAAAUCGUCUUCAGAAUGAAGUUGACUUCCAUUAAAAAAAAAUCGAAGAUAUUGUUGGCAAAAUAUUAACUAUGGAGAUUUCCCCCAAUUCAUUAAUAAUUUUUCAUUUUUAUGCAAAUAUUUUUUUAAAUUUUUGAGGAAGGUGGUAUCGUAUAACUAAACUGAAAAUACAAUUGAAAUUUGAAUUAUAGUUUGUAUAUUGAGGAGUAAAUUCAUUGAUGGGUUUAAUUUUUGGCUCAAUAUUUUUAAAAAACAAUUAUUAUGGAGAUUUAAGCAAUUAAUUAGGAAUUUUGCUAAUGUACACGUGGACGAAUGAAAAACGCGUGUGACUCAACAACACUCAGCCUUCAACUAGGCUGGUGCUGGGAAGUUUGAAAAAAAUCACUUAAAAGAUGUUAAGGGGGUAUAUAAACAUCCGUGUAGUUUAAGUACUAAAGUAAAUUUUCGGACCAAGUUCAGGUGGGUUUUUAUGUAUUUUCCCUUUUAAUUGGCUUUCUUCCACCUAAUUCUUUCAACCAUUCAAAUUUAAUAGUAUUUGUUUUUGUUGUCUUCACACCUUCUUUUCCGAGAUUUAGUUUUACAAACAUAGUAUUUAUUAAUUUAAAUGCAUAAGGUGCAUUAAAUGCCUCAAAUUAGUUGAUAACGAACACAAAAUACAUGAAAAAGACAUAAUACAUGUAGAAAUCAAGAAUAUUUGCUAACAAACAUGUCAAAACUCUAGCACACAUAUUAUACACAUUCACCCCAAUUUCCAACACUCAAUAACAACUAUAAGCAUAAAAAAUUCAUUUGCCAAAACUUUUACAAACACAUAUUAUAUGCCUCAAAAGAGAAGUAGGUUAAGAACAACGUAAGUAGAUAGAAAAAUUCUCCUGAAAACAGAGCGAUAUUCAGCGAGGGAAGAAGAAAGCACUUGUGAAAAUUAAGGAGUAAAUAUCUCAAAGCUCAGUCGAAUUAUGUUGUAAAGUCAUUCAACUUUAUUUUGUAUCAAUGAAAUCAUUGAACUCUUUUAUAAAAUUAGUUGAUCAAAUUUACCAUAAAAAACAUUUUAACAUGAUAAAAUAAAUUAAUUGCUCUCCCACAUAUCUCAAUCUUUUAUAUGUUAUUCUUCUUUUCUGCAAUAAUUACAAAAAAAUUACUCUCCAUUUCAAAAAAUUACAAUCAUGGAUCAAUGAAUUAAGUGUAAGAUAUGAAUUUUUUUUUAAAUUAUUGGUGAAAUUAUUUUUAAAUAUAAUACGAACAAUAUAAUAUGGGAAGAGGAGAAAGUGGAUACCUCAUCACGUUCAGUUUUCAUACGUUCCCUCGAAUGGGUUCGAUUCGCUUCACAAAUUUACUAAAAAGUUCAAAAUUCAUGCCAAUUGUUUUUAACUUGUUCAUGACUUUUAAAUAUUUUAAGAAGUUUCUCGUAAAUAUAUUUUAAAAAAUAAUGAUUUUAUCUUGUAGAAUAAUUUUUAUGGUAAGUUUGAUCGAGUUAUUUUAUAAAAGAAAUAUUCAAAGUUGAGUGAUUUUAUUGAUAUAAAACAAAGUUGAAUAAUUUUACAAUAUAAUUUCUCAAAGUUGAAUGACCUUUUGAGAUAUUUACUCGAAAAUUAAGAGAAAUUUAACGCUUUUGGAAUUAUGAUACUGUAAGGGAAAAAUGGAUCAUUCCAUAGAUAAUAUAAAAAGCAUCUAUGUGUUACACAUAAUACAUGUGUCUUUGUGAUAUGAGUGAGGUAAGCUUAAGAAAAUUACAGAUUUGUCCUUGUUGGUCCUUCCCAACUCCCUACAUAGUACACAUGUCUUUGUGAAAUGAGUGGGGAGUAGUACUUGUUUAAUGAAAUGGCCCCCAAUACAGUACAACUUGUAUUACCUUUGGUACAUCUAUUUGAUGCUAUGUUAGUCCCACUAACUAUAGUACAUGUGUCUUUGUGAUAUGAGUGGGGUAAGCUUAAGAAAAUUACAGAUUUGUCCUUGUUGUUCCUUCCCAACUCCCUACAUAGUACAUGUGUCUUUGUGAAAUGAGUGGGGAGUAGUACUUGUUUAAUGAAGUGGGCUGGUACAACUUAUAUUACCUUUGGUUCAUCUAUUUGAUGUUGUGUUAGUCUCAUCAACUCCCACUUAUAUAUAGGAGUAAUAUUGAAUUUCAAAAUUUUAAUUAUAUCACAUGACACAAAUUUCGGCAGACGAACUAUAACACUGAUAUGCUUCAUCUUUCCGAUGCCCAAAUGGCAAUCACUAUUAAAAAAAAACUCAACGGAUGUUAGUAAUACAAGUAUUUCAAACAUACCAAUAAGUAGUAUUUAUUUGGUAUUAAACAAAAAUAUUUCCUCCGUUUUAAUUUAUUUAUUUGGUUUUGACGUAUGCAGAUUUUAAAAAAAACCAAAGAGAAUUUUUGAAUCUUAUGGUUUAGAAUUUUUGAAUCUUCCGGUAUUAAACAUACCAAUAAGUAGUUGCCGAAGAAGGAAAGUGUCAUUUUUUUUUAGGCCUAAAAAAAGUAAGACAAAUAAAUCGGAAAUAAUAUUUUUUGAAAAAAAAAAACAAGUUAAGAAUAACAUUCUUGAUUACUUAAUUGAUGCAGCCAAGAAAUCCAGUAACAAAAAUGAAGUACAUGAAGCCGAAUAUGGCGGGUACCCUGGUGAUGGCGAUGGAUACCCUGGCGGCGGCCGUGGUGGUGUUGGUGGCGGAUACCCUGGCGGUGGCCAUGGUGGCGGUGGUGGUGGCCGUGGUGGUGGUGGAUACCCUGGCCAUGGUGGUGGUGGUGGAUACCCUGUCGGUGGUAGUAAAUACUCAGGCAACCGUGGUGGUGGCGGCCGGAAGUGUUGCUCCUAGAUACAAAGGUGAAUAAAUAGUAAUAUAUACUUAUAUCACCUUGUACUAAUUAGUGGCAAGAUGUAGUAGUAAUAUUCUUGCUGCUUUAAAUUUGGAGCUUAUUGUAAGAAUUAUUAUCAUGAAAUAAAAGCCAUCAUGUAAUGUUUGUUAAUUAUGCUAUGGUAUGAUAAUACUUUCCUUUGGUGUUUUACUUAUGGGCGGAAUUCUUAUUUCAUAUUAUUAUAAUUUGUUUCAAUUAACCGUUCACUAUUAUUAUCAAUAUCAAGUAUCAAUAUACAUCAAUAGUGUAAAUUUGCUUAUAUUUUUCUCUUCGAUUUCCGUGGAACUCAUCACACAUUUAUUAUGAAACAUACUUAUAAUGUCCAAAAACUAUGUAAAUUUAGAUUAGGCAAAAUUGAGGGCAUUUAUUAUUCUACGAUUUUCUCAAAUGUUUUGAAUUAUUGAUUAUUGUAGCUCUUUUUUGAAAAACUAAUUAUAGUAGUAUGACUUAUAAUACUUGGUAUUUGGGUCAAAAUAUGUGAUUUUAAAAAAAAAAAUUGGAAAAAUCAAUAUAUGUCUGAAUUCACAAAAAAAAUUCGAAAAUGAUAAUCGAAUUAUAAAAUGAAAUAGGCUUCAUUGUUGGAUUUUAUUAUAAGAAGCAUCACUGUGAAGACAAUCUAGCUACAAACUCUCAUUCCUUGAUAAAAUGAUUAAUUCUCAAACAUUACUAGAAAUUUGCACACCAUUUUUUUAAACCAUAUUUUGCUCCAUAUAUACCUCAUAGUUUGAUAGGAUCAACAAGCAAUGAGAUGAGUCUGUCCAUAAAUCCACAAUUAGUACUUAUAAAAUCAUUCUUUUCGAAAGAAAGUGUCAAGUGUGUUGGAUUUAUAGCUUGUUCUACAGCAAACAUUGGUACUUGAGUAGGAUAGAGCAAUUCCGUGUUUAUAUCUUUCCAUGCAUUACUCAUUAUCUUCUGAACCUCGAUAUAUGUCUCUUGCUUUGAAACUACACGUUCUUUCAUAUAACAUUCAAGGAAUGAUGGUAUAUGUGUUCUUUGUUGUUCAAACUGCAUCAAAUAGAUUUUAAUAUGCUCAAUACAAUAAUAUAUUUAAUUUUUAUCAAAUUCAUUUAUUAUCUUACAUGAUGUCCAAUAAUGUCGUCCUUUAAUAGACUUAAUACUGAUGAAGCUUGAAGAACCGAAGAAUCACUUGUUACCCAUUCCAAAGUUUCUUUGGUUAUAAUAAAUUCCUCCAAACAUACCAAGGAAAUUGUUGCAAUCAAUUUGAUGGCAAUGCUUGUAAUUGCAUUUUCCAUAUACUCCUCACAUUUUGGAAAAUAGCAAGCAUUCAACCAUUGUGCUUCCUUGAAAUAUUAUUUCAUCCAUUUUUUCAUCUAUAAAGAAACAAUAUAAAAAGUAAAAUUAGAUAAUAAGCAUACUUUAUCUAGUUUUGGAUUGUAAUUUUGUCACGCUCCGAGCCUACAUCCUGGGCGGGACUGGCACUCGAAGACCAUUGCUGGCCACAAGUGAACCCUUGGUCUGGCUUACUUACUCAGUGGAAGACAAUAUUCAUACUUAAUGAUCAAUAACACUUAACUGAACUAAAUCAUAGGAUAACUGAGAAUGUUAAAAGCUAAACAUUCAACUUGGCCAAAAGUGGCAACCCAAGUCUUAACAAUAAGAAAUGAUAUUGAAAAAACUCAAAGGACUAACAUAUGACUGUCUAUGAAGCCUCUAAUGACCAAUGAGAUGGAUGUUGGGACAGACCCCACAACAUCCUAAUUAACUAAACUAGAAAGCAAUGAAAUGGAUGCUCCGGAAAGCAAGGAGGCUUACCAACAGACUCUGGACUGCUCACUGGAUCAACGAUGCACCGGAAUGUCGAUCCUAGUUACAUGUGUCUGCAUCAUAAUACGAUGCAGGCCAACUGACAUCAGUACAUUGAAUGUACGAGUAUGCGAGUUGGAAUGCUAAAAUAACAUAGGCAUGAAAGAAUUUGAGAGAAACUGAAGAACUUACCUAGCUCAACUCAACUCAACAUGACAGAAUUCAUUUCAAUAUAAAGCAGUUCAAAAGCAAGUGCAAUAUAAAGAAAAGUUGUUUAAAAACAUGAUAUCAACUCUGUGUGUAUACAAGAUACAAAUAACUCUGAAAUGUAUUUAAAAAUACAAUGAACUGAUGUAUAUAAAAAUACAAGAACUUAUGUGGGAGUUUCUCUAACCGACAACCAUCACUUAAGAGCUAUAGUGAUGAUACAACGAUCUNNNNNNNNNNNNNNNNNNNNNNNNNNNNNNNNNNNNNNNNNNNNNNNNNNNNNNNNNNNNNNNNNNNNNNNNNNNNNNNNNNNNNNNNNNNNNNNNNNNNNNNNNNNNNNNNNNNNNNNNNNNNNNNNNNNNNNNNNNNNNNNNNNNNNNNNNNNNNNNNNNNNNNNNNNNNNNNNNNNNNNNNNNNNNNNNNNNNNNNNNNNNNNNNNNNNNNNNNNNNNNNNNNNNNNNNNNNNNNNNNNNNNNNNNNNNNNNNNNNNNNNNNNNNNNNNNNNNNNNNNNNNNNNNNNNNNNNNNNNNNNNNNNNNNNNNNNNNNNNNNNNNNNNNNNNNNNNNNNNNNNNNNNNNNNNNNNNNNNNNNNNNNNNNNNNNNNNNNNNNNNNNNNNNNNNNNNNNNNNNNNNNNNNNNNNNNNNNNNNNNNNNNNNNNNNNNNNNNNNNNNNNNNNNNNNNNNNNNNNNNNNNNNNNNNNNNNNNNNNNNNNNNNNNNNNNNNNNNNNNNNNNNNNNNNNNNNNNNNNNAAAUCCUAGAUUCCCCUUUUACUGAUUUAAACGUAGAUGUAGGGCGUGAGUAUAAACUAGUCCAACACUAUGAUAGCCUUACAUACUUGAAUAAAACAAGGUUCUUGAAGAAUCUUGAAGAAGAACUUGAUUAGAAGCCUUGAAACCCUAGCUUGAAGGUAAACAAUCAAGAAGACCUUUCUUGAGAUUCUCGAGUUAGUUUCUUAAAAUCUCUAUAGCCAAAAAUUAUGAUUUUCAUGAGUGAAGAUGAAAAUCUGAUUGUUUUGAGCUUUUUAUUAGUUCAAGAAAUUCGUUGAUGGUUUUCUUGGAGGUAAAAAGACAAAAACGAUUAUUUUCAAUAUUUUCCCGUCGGCUAAUUCGUAACAGCACUGUAUAGGUUACUAAAAUAGUCAUAACUUUUUACUCAGAUAUUGGAUUGACAUGAAACUAGUGGGGUUAGAAAGUAGAUUCAAUUACCUUUAAUUGGAUAGGUUAUGACUCACGUAACUCUUAAUAUUCUAAGAGAUACGGUCGUUUAAAGUUGACCUAAGCAAAAUUUUACUUCAAAACUUAAUGAAACUUCAAGAACACUUAUCAAGAACUCAUCAAGAACUCUAAUCUUUAAAUUUCAUGAACGAAAUUACGCUAAAUAAAUCAUGAUUGGUGUGUGGGUGAAAGAACCCAACACUAUGGAAGCUUACAUACCUUAAUGGAUUGAAUCCUCGGCGAAAUUCCCAAGCAAUUCCUUACGACGACGAAGAAUCUAGCUUUUUCCUCCUUUUCUCUUUUCUUGCGUUCCUCCUCCAAAACCCUAGCUCUAUUUGGUAAAUGUCUAAAUUGAUCUAAUUCAGUUUAGACCCCUUAUUAAUUACCAAAAACGAUUUAAAAUAAGGGUAAGGAAAAGACCAAACUACCCUUUAAAAUCCGGAUUGGACAUUUCCUUAAUCCAACAGCCCAAUUUCCAAAGGGCAUAUCUUACUCCUACGAAAUCGGAAUCGCGCAAACUUGGCGGCGUUGGAAAGAUAGUUCCAAGAACUUUCCAACCAUAUCUAUAAUUACUCCUAACUCAUCCUGAGCUAGGAGUUAUGAUCAUUUGAAAAUGACAAAAACUCAACUUUUCUUGCUUACAAUUUUCCAGAUUUCCCUUGAACGUUCCAAAAACGAAAAUUUCCAGAUUUAAACUACAUUCUAAUUAUUUCUAGAUGCGGGAUGUUACAGAUUUCACUAAUUAUCACAUGACUUUUGUUUUAUCGUGUACCAAAUUCACUAAAUUAUUUUUCCAUGGUAAUUAUAUUUUCUUCAUACGUUCACACCGACAAGUAAAAGUGAAAAUGUAUUUUUGAAACACUGGACAAAUAAAAAUGAAUAGAGUGAGAGUAAUUAUUUUACAUAGAUUAAUUAAUGAGGAUGAGUUAUCAAGCAAGCUUAAUUACCUCAACUUUUGCAUAGUAGGCCCGGUCUGCUUUACCUUCUUUUUUCAAUUCAUCUUCUAUUUCAUUUAUAAUUUGCUAUUUCAUACAAUUUUUCCUAAUAAUAUACCACAGAAUUUAACAUGGGCCGGGUUCAAACUCUUAUUAUAAUAAUGUUUUUUUAAUGCGUCAUAAUUCAAUAUCAACAUUAAUUUAGGAGAUUUAUGAAAUUAUUUUAUCGCGGAAUUGAAUCCACUAUGACCAUAGUUUGUAUUAUCGAUCAUAGAAAUUAUCACAAAACAAAUUAAUCCUUUGAUUUCUCCAUACACUCAUAUUGUGUGUAUAUUUACUUUUAUAUGUAUACCAUAAAUAUAAAUAAGAGGACGCUAGUUAAUAUAUGCUAACGAGCUAAUUAACAGUAGUACUCUUAUGAAUAAAUCCGACUCAAUAAUAAUUUUCGAGUUUAGUGGUUGGUUGGUUGGUGAGCAUAAUUAAUUAAUACAUUUUUUUGUGAUAAGCAGAACUAACAAACAAGACGUUUUGUCAACACAAUUGGUAAGUGUCUGUUUGACAUUUUCCACAAGCAUUUAUUCGUCGGCAUUAAUAAAACUGUAUGUAUGUGGCUAUUAGAGCCUGUUAUCUUUUCAUAUAUAUAUAUAUAUAUACUAGAUAAUGUUGCCCGUGCUAUGCACGGGACCAAUAAUAUAAAUGGUGUGUUUUGGGGCUAAUAAUCGAGUUUUUGAAGCAAUUGUUUGCGUGGAUAAAGGAAUAAAUUUUUUUAUCACAAACCUGUACUUUCUUUGACGCUAUUUAAGGCAUAAUAAGACAACCCACAUACAACAUUUUUGAAAUAUUUUAUGUUGUCAAUUAUCAUGAUUUAUAGUAUUUUUACGAUAGAUUCACUUCAAGAAUCAGUGGAAUUUUUUGUAUUUUUUUUCAAAACAUAUUUUAUAUUGUCAAUUAUCAUGAUUUAUAGUAUUUUUACGAUAGAUUCACUUCAAGAAUCAGUGGAAUUUUUUGUAUUUUUUUUCAAAACAUAUUUUAUAUUGUCAAUUAUCAUGAUUUAUAGUAUUUUUACGAUAGAUUCACUUCAAGAAUCAGUGGAAUUUUUUGUAUUUUUUUUCAAAACAUAUUUUAUAUUGUCAAUUAUCAUGAUUUAUAGUAUUUUUACGAUAGAUUCACUUCAAGAAUCAGUGGAAUUUUUUGUAUUUUUUUUCAAAACAUAUUUUAUAUUGUCAAUUAUCAUGAUUUAUAGUAUUUUUACGAUAGAUUCACUUCAAGAAUCAGUGGAAUUUUUUGUAUUUUUUUUCAAAACAUAUUUUAUAUUGUCAAUUAUCAUGAUUUAUAGUAUUUUUACGCAAUUUUUAAAUAUAAAAAAAAAUAAGACAAAUAAAUUAAAAUGGACCCAAUAUAUGUUAUUUUUGUUGUGAAAUUUGGAGAGUCGUCCAAAUUUUCAUAUAUUUUUUAAAAAUGUUUUAAGUUAUUAAUUAUUGUGAUUUAUAAUAUUUUUAUGUAACUUUUAAAUAACGUACAUUACUGGUCACUUUGUCCUAAUUUAUGUGAUAUGGAUAAAAUUACAAAAUUAACCCUUUUAAAAUGUCUUUCAGAUAUUUUAAGUUGUUAAUUAUUAUUAUUUAUAAUACUUUUUUGGUAAUUUUAAAAUGAUAUGUGUUAUUUUUUCUGUCCCAAUAUAUGUGAGCCUGAUAGAAUUCUGAGAGUCAACGUAUUUUAUUAUAUAGCUUUUUAAAAUAUUUUAAAAUUGGUAAUUAUUGUAAUUUUUAAUGCUUUUUAAGUCAUUUGUAAAUGAUAUAUGUGCCAGAUCAGUCGAUUUUUUUAUAUGUUUUCUUAAAAAUAUAUUUGAAGUUAUUAAAUUGUUGUGAUUUAUAGUAUUUUUGCGUUAGUUUUGAAUAAUAUAGGUUACUCAUAUUUCAAUUCACGUGAAUAAUAAUAAAUAUUUUCAGUUGUUAAUUUAUUGUGAAUUCUAGAAAUUUUGACGUUAUUUUCAAAUAGUACAUGUUACUUAUUCUAUUCCAAUUAGUCAACCAAAUUCCAUAUAUGAUUUAAAAAUAUUUUUAAUUGCUAAUUAUUGUGAUUUAUAGCAUCUUUUAUGUAACUUUUAAUAAUAUAUAAUUUGUUCAAAUUCAUAUGACAAUGAUAAGAUUUCAAGAGUCAACGCAAUAAAAAUUUAAAUUUUUUAAAAAGUUGUACCUCUAAUAUAUUUUGUAGCUAAAAUAUACUCUCUCCGUCCACUUGUAUUUGUCAUGUUGCGCUUUUUGAAAGUCCAUUUGACUAAUUUUCAAAGUUAAAUCAGAUUGUAUUAAUGUAUUUUUAGAAAAAAAUUUAAAUAUGCAAAAUCUAUACAAAAAGUACUAUAAAUCGUAAUUUUUUGCCUAUGAUUAUGAUGAAAAAACACAUUGUAAAAUAUUAGUUAAAAUUCUUAUAGUUUGACUCUAAAAAGGAAAUCAUAACAAUUAAAAGUGCAUAGAGAGAGUAAUAAAUAGGUAAUUAAAUUUCAAGAAGUUUAAAAUAAAAGGUUGAAAAAAAGAAUUAGAUAGACAACAUUUAUUGAAAAUUGAAAACAUAUAAAUAAUAAAUGGGCCCAAAUGAGGUCAAACUUUUUGGCUUAAAUUGUCCAAUAAUAUAAAUUUUAAAGGUACAACCAUAAAAGAAGAAUGUACAACACUAGCAAGCACAUAUCAUCCAACAUUUGUCAUGUGCUAAGUAGUAGUUAUCCCCACUUAUUAUAUAUAAUAAUAUAUAUACAUAAUUUUAUGUUAAAAAUAUGUUUGAUACGAUAAAAAAAUAUUAUUUCAAAAAUAUUUAUAAUAUAAUCAGACAAACACUCUGAGGUUGGAAGAGGGAUGGAUGAAGGCGAGGGGGAUGGGGGGGGGGGGUGUUGAGAGCCUGUCGGAGCAUGGGUUUCGAGAGGAGGUGUGGUGCAUGGUAGGAUAGGGACGUAGAGACGAGGGUGAACUAGAGAGACAAUCAAGUUAGAAUAACACUAAUGUAAAAUUUAUUUUUUCCAUCAUGUAUACCAUUUUUAGAGAAUACAAGUCACUUACUUUUUUUUAAUAAAAUAUUUUUAGAAAAUUUUGACAAUGAAGAAACACAAAAGAGUCACAUGACUAUGUUUAUUUCAAUGCAAUAUAUUAUAUUCAUUUUUGUAUGAUAUAAAUCCAAUAAAACAUCAACAUUUAAUAUACCAUUUCCCCACAAGAGCCGUCGACUACUUUGCUAACAAAAAGAUUUUGGUGAUCUUAUAAUGUGUCCAAAAUGGAUAAUGAACCCACAUAAAUUCGUAUAGGGGUGUGCAAAAAUCGAUUUAACCAAUAAACUGAACCAAAAAAAACACUAUUGGUUUAUUGAUAUUGGGUUAUUGGGCUAACGGUUUUUAAACGGUUUUGCAAAAAAUUUUAUUGGGUUAUUGGUUCGGUUUCCGGUUUGAUAAUUUUUGUUAAUGGUUAAACCGAUAACCCAAUAAGACUAUACUAAAUUUAUUAGUCUUAUUGUUAAUGGUUAAACGAUUGUUACUUUCACACUUUUUCCUUUGAAUGUGUCUAGUGUCUAAACUUGCAAGAAAAAUGAUUGUUACUUUUAUGAUUAUUACUUUCAUGCCAAAUGCUGGAAAAAUCAUAUGGUUUAUUUGAAAAUUUUCUUAUCGUGUAUAUAAUAUAUAUGAGUAUUUUCUUAUUGGUUAAACCGAAAACCGAACCGUUAAGUACCAUAAACCGAUUAACCAAAAACCGAUAAGAAAUAUGUUAUUGGUUUGGUUAUCAGUUUGAAGUAUUUACAAACCGAAAACCGAUAAACCGAACCAAUAACACCUAAAACCGAACCGAACCGAACCGACCGAUGCUUGGUUAUCGGUUUGAAGUAUUUACAAACCGAAAACCGAUAAAUCGAACCAAUAACACCUAAACCGAACCGAACUGAUCGAUGCGCACCACUAAAUACGUACGGUUGAGAAAUAUAAUGUUUUGUAGUUUUGAAGGUCUGAUUGGAUUUAAUCAUUGAAAUUUAUUGAGAUUUUGAUAUUAAUAGGUUGAACGUCAAAUUUAAUUUCGUGUUCAUCUAUCAGAAACUUUCGGAUAAUAUAUUCUAAAAUUAAAACAUAAUUUAUAUUAAAAUCACAAUAAUCUGUCCGAUAAAUUUGUAGCGAGACAAGUCUUUAUCUAUCGAUCCAAAUUUAAAGAUAUCAAAUUAGACUUUUUAUGUAGAUAAAUAUGUAUCAGUUUGUUACAUGUACGUUUAACUUAAAUAUAAUGCAACAAAUUAUAUAUAGUACUUGUCAUGUGUAUGAACUCAAAUGUGAAAUCUUCACUAAAUUUCUUCAGCUGCCGACUGAAUAUUGGUCCACACAUUAAUUCCAUAAAUGCAUGUUCCCGCUCUAGGGGCGGAUCUAGAGUAUCGAGCGUGAAUUUUCAGAAACGUAAUAAUUUUUACAUAAAUCUUCUAUUUAUAUUAAAAAAUCUAUUAAUUAUAUAUAAAAUAUUUGUUGAAAAUCUAAUAACAAAAUAAGUUCUUAGUUCAAUGGUAGAAACGAAACCUACUUAAGUUUUCAGUGAGGGUUUAAUACUUUAAUUCCUCUUGGGUACUUAUAUUAAAGUCCUCUUUUAAAAUAAAAAAUAAAAAAUUGAGAUCGUUAAAAGCCCAUAAACUUUAAAUUCUGAAUUUGCUUCUGUCCGCUACAUCCAAAUAAUACUCUCUUCAAUCAUUUUAUCCAUUCAAAUCUUUCUAUAAAUAGAACCCAACAAUCUCUCAAUUUCAUCAUCCUUUAAUUAAUUCAAAUAUCAUAAGGGAAACAAAAAAAUGGGUUCCAAGGCAUUUCUGAUUCUUGGCCUUUUUUUGGCCAUAUUUGUAAUGAUAAGUUCUGAGGUUUUAGCUAGGGAGUUGGCUGAGACUUCCACCACUACUUCUGAAGAGGAUUGUAAGUCUAUCCAUUCAGUAUAAUAUAUUUUUAUAAUUUAUUUCGAAAAUAUUGAGUUCAGAUGAAUAUUUCUACUUGUGCUCUAGAUGCUAGCUUGACCAAUUAUUCUUACUAAUUGUUCAAUUUAUAUAAUUAGUUUUACAUUUUGCAUGUAUAUUACGAUAACAAUAAUAACAUAUUCAGUGUAAUGUCAUAAAGGAUAUGGGAAGGUGGUAUGUACACAACUAUACUCUUAUCAUGUGAAGAUAGAAAAGUUGUUUAAUUCGAUCCAUUCUCGACUCAAGUAAAACAUAAGGUAGUCCAUGCUGAACCUAAUGAAAUUUUGCAUAUAUAUUACUAUAUAGUAUAUUUUAACCUUCUGAACUUUGACGAGAAAUCUCCAUAUAAGUUAUGGAUUACAGAACUUUAUAAUGCAGAGUUGGUAUUAAACAAAAAUGUUCCCUCCGUUUUAAUUUAUUUGUUUGGUUUUGACGUAUGCAGAUUUUAAAAAAAAGUAACGAGAAUUUUUGAAUCUUAUGAUUUAGAAUUUUUGAAUCUUCUGAUAUUAAACAUACCACGUGGAAAAGCUAAAAUAAGGAGUUGCCAAAGAAGGAAAGUCUCAUUUUUUUUUAGGCAUAAAAAAUAGUAAGAAAAAUAAAUCGGAAAUAAUAUUUUUUGAAAAAAAAAAACCAAGUUAAGAAUAACAUUCUUGUUUACGUAAUUGAUGCAGCCAAGAAAUCCAGUAACAAAAAUGAAGUACAUGAAGCCGAAUAUGGCGGGUACCCUGGUGGUGGCGGUGGCGGUGGAUACCCUGGCGGCGGCCGUGGUGGUGGUGGUGGUGGAUACCCUGGCGGUGGUGGUGGCAGCCGUGGUGGUGGUGGUUGUGGAUCCCCUGGCGGUGGCCAUGGUGGUGGUGGUGGCGGCCGUGGUGGUGGUGGAUACCCUGGCGGUGGUGGUGGCGGUGGUGGAGGCCAUGGUGGUGGUAGAUACUCAGGCGGUGGUGGACGUGGUGGUGGCGGCGGCCACGGUGGACGUGGUGGUGGCGGCAGGAAGUGUUGUUCCUAGAUACAAAGGUGAAUGAAUAGUAAUAUAUAAGUAUCACCUUGUACUAAUUAGUGGCAAGAUGUAGUAGUAAUAUUCUUGCUGCUUUAAAUUUGGAGCUUAUUGUAAGAAUUAUUAUCAAGAAAUAAAAGCCAUCAUGUAAUGUUUGUUAAUUAUGCUAUGGUAUGAUAAUACUUUCCUUUGGCUGGGUUUGAGAGAGAGAGCGUGAGAUAGUUGGUCUAAUAACUAGUCCAACUUCCUUGUAUCUGAAAGCGAUGACAGGAUGUUAGGUCUAGUAAGGAGACUUUUUGGAUAAUUUACUUCCACGAAUAGAUUGUUAGGCUAAGAAGAAUAGGUUGGGAUUGAUCCCACCUUUGAAAGAGUGGUUUUGCUCUGUCAAUACGGUGUUUUACUUUUGGGCGGAAUUCUCACUUUAUAUAAUUAUUUAAAUUUAUAAUUUCAUAUUAUUAUAAUUUGUUCGACUAACCGUUCACUAUUAUUAUCAAUAUCAAGUAUCAAUAUACACCAAUAGUGUAAAUUUGCUUAUAUUUUUCUCUUCGAUUUCCAUGGAACUCAUCACAUUUAUUAUGAAACAUACGUAUAAUAUCCAAAACUAUGUAAAUUCAGAUUAGGCAAAAUUGAGGGCAUUUAUUAUUCCACGAUUUUAUGAAAUGUUUUGAAUUAUUGAUUAUUGUAGCUCUUUUUUGAAAAACUAAUUAUAGUAGUAUGACUUAUAAUACUUGGUAUUUGGGUCAAAACAUGUGAUUUUAAAAAAAAAAUUGAAAAAAUCAAUAUUUGUCUGAAUUCACAAAAAAAAUUCGAGGCACCAAUUCCAUGGCACUAAUGUCACAUCUGCAUGAAAUUAUACAAAAAAUAAAUAGUUUGAUUCUUACACGUGAUCAAAUUACCGCCACAUAAAAUGUAACGAAGGGAAUAACAUUGUUAUACUUUACCUCUCUAUUGCAUUUGUGAAAAGCUCAAGUUCAUCAAAUGUUGCAUAAGCAUCAAAUGUAUCAUCAACAAUGCUAAUGAUGGCAAUUAUUUUUCCUGUCAUUAUUCUUGCACGACUCUGUUGAGGCUCAAAAUGCAAUCCAACUGCUCCAAAAUAACACUCCACCAAUCUGUCUCUUGCAUAUGAAAAUUUAUUUGCAACAUCGAUAUUUUUCCACCAUCUAUAGUAUAAAAUAUCAAAUAUAUAUUAAUUAGGGAUUAGUUACGUAAGAACCAUAAUUAUGAGAUUGAAGAGGGUAUAAGAGUACUAAUCUUUACCUUGUAAGUUCGCUAAGCUCUCUUUGGUACACCUUUUGCAAAAUAUUGAAAUCCAAUUUCGCAAAUUUCAAAAGUAAAUUGUUACGUGAUUCAUCGUUCUCAUACAUAUAUAUGUUUUUCCUUGCUAACAAUCUUGGUAGAUUUGUAUGAAUGGGCUGGUUUAAGGCUUCACUAACUUGGGCCUUGACUGAGUUGCCCAAUUUAGGGGCCAUGGACUCCAGAUGAGUGACGGUAAAAGUUAGAGCUUCUUCAAGAAUUUCCUCUCCGUGUACUCUUAGAUGUGUUGCUUCGUAUAGACUUAAUAAUCCUUGCACAUCUUUAGUAAGAGUUUCCUUGAAUAUUCCGUCAUGAUUGGUGAAUUUUUUGAAGACAUCUGAUUUCACAUCAUAAUAUAAUUAUAUCAAAGAAAUUAAUAAAGAGCCACACAAAAUAGGAAUAAAUUAGUUACCAGAAGACAUGUAAUGUCUUUGUUGUCUCACUAGUCGAAAUUGAAGAGCAACAACGUAUAGAUCGUCAUCAUUUUUUAGACUCUUCAAAAAUGUUCUGAAUGGAUGUUUCGAUGUCAUUUUUGAAAUGAUAUGCCACUCCCAAUCGUUGGAUUGUGUCAAUCAAAACAAGUUUUUGUGUACUAUUAUUAGGUGACUCAACUAACAUUUGCCUUACUUUUUCUUUCAACUCUUCAUGUUCAUGUUUUUCUUUGCUACUAAUUUCCUGCACCAAAUGUUAAGUGUUAUUAUUUGACAUAGAGUAAUACCUCCAUUAUAUAAUUUAAUCAUAGGGAUUAGGGAAAAUAAUUAUUGCCUGUUUAUGCAACAUUUGAUUGACUGUAUAAGAAAAGGUUUGUAAAUGGAUACACUACCAAUAUAAUUGCCCUAUUAAUUAGGUCAAUUUAGCUAGGCGUUUGGACAUGAAUUAUAUUAAUGUUAUUUGAGAAAUAAUAAUUAGUAUUUGAAGAUGAAGUUUGUUGACACCCAAUUUUGACCUUCCCCGAUAAGAAUNNNNNNNNNNNNNNNNNNNNNNNNNNNNNNNNNNNNNNNNNNNNNNNNNNNNNNNNNNNNNNNNNNNNNNNNNNNNNNNNNNNNNNNNNNNNNNNNNNNNAAUUAGUUUAUAAUUAAGUUAAUUAUUUUAUUUCAUUGAAAUCAAGAAGCUCGUUAAUUAAUUAUAUUUAUUCAUCCUAUCUAAGUUUUAGCCAAAUUCACUAGUGAAAUACAUUGAUCAAAUCAAUAGUUCAUGUGGUUAUAUUAAAUGACCAAAACGUGGGCCUCUUUUACAAGUUCAGCAGCCCAUCUCUUUUUCCAAUUCCUUUUCACCUUUCCAAACCAAUUGGAAAUUCCCCACAACCCAGGCCCAUCCUCUGUUUCAGCCACAACUCCAGCAAAUCCCAUAUGUUACAACACCAAUGGCCCCAACGAUCCAGCCCAAUUCCCAUCCGACCCGGUCCACCAAUACACAAAAAUAACCCCAACAUUACAAUACCCACCAAACACACAAUACGUAUAGCAACACCCAAAACAGUACCCUGUGUUUUUCCCCAUUCCAGACGCGACAAAAGUCGAAACCCAGCGAUUCCAGCUCUAUUUUCAGCAAAGGGUCGUCCUUGCAGUUGUGAGAUGAGGCCACGUCGAGCUCCAAGGACGAUGGGAAUCGAUCCAGCCGUCCAUCCUCCAUUCCUUUUCCGGAAUGAAGUUGAAAUUUCAGAAAAAAGCUUGUUUUCCCCUUAAUGGUGUAAGUUUUUUUUGAGGAUUUGAAUUUCAAAUUGGGCCCUUCUAUCCGGAUUUUCAUCCGUUUUCCCCCCAUUUUUCGGAAUCAUAUUCUCCCUUCUAUAUAAUUGUUUUUGUUCACUGUGGGAAGGGGAGGAUUUUUUUUGGGAAAAAAAAUAUAGAAAGUUAGCCGAGCUUUACUCACAAAGGCAUAGUUUACAGGAGGUUUUGAGGAACACUCGAUUUUACGUUUUGAUAAAUUAUUGGAAAAACUUUCUAGUUCAAGGUUCUGGGAAGAUAGUUAUUCGGGUUUCAUUUAGUUUCUCUUGGUGUGCUGUUGGAACUCUUGAAGUUUUGUGUGUGGUGGUGGAAGCUCUCACGGCUAGCCUCGUCCCGUCCCCGUUCGCUGCUCGGAAAAGGUAAUAUCUCUUUUCUUCCGCGUCUUGUUUAGACUUUGGAUAAACCUGUUUCUGUGGAGUUCUUUUUUUUUGGGGUUUCAUUUUGUUCUAAUCUUAUUUUGAUUAGAAUACUCAUGGAUGAAAACUUGUUUAGUUUGAAUACAAGUGUUUAAAUUACUCCCGAAUAUGUCAUGCUUACGUUCUUGAGCGAUCCCUUUUUUAAAAACAUUUUUUCUGUAUCUAAUGCUAGUAUUGAUUCAAAAUGUUGCUGAUUCGUAUUCAAUGUUGUUGUUUCCCCUGCUUGCUCUAGUUUUUGCUUUUGCUUAUUCCUCUUAUCAAAUCCUCUGCUUGAAUCUCGUCGAACCCACUUUUCUCCACCCCUGCCCAUUUUAAAUUUAUCUUCACUUGUCUAUUUUUUUUUUAGCAUGAUUUGAUUUAUGUUUUCUGUCGAAGUUAAUAUCCUAAAUGAUCUCUCAACUUAGAUAUUUAUGUCAAUAAAAUCACUCAACAAAUUUAUCAUCAUUAAGAGAAAUCUGAAAUGACAAAAUAAUUUACUUUUUUUAUAGCAUGUAAAUAUGAAUUUCACAAAUAAAUAAAUUUUUAAAACCCAUUAAAACUUUUGACGGAUAUACUUUUUUUUACUAAGUAGGCGUUACUUAAAGGCGCAUAAUGUUGCUGCCAAUUUGAUUAAACUAUUAUAAAAAAUGGAAAGAUGUCUUUUAAUGAUAUAAUUUCCUAAUUGGAUUAAAUUAUUAUAAAAUAAAAAGAUGUCUUUUAAUGAUAUAAUUUCCUUUUUUUUAUGUUGAUAGAUUUGAACGGGUUAUUUCAAUAAAACGACGACACUAAUUAAUUGUUUAUCUAAUUUAUAAGCAUAUUUUAUUAAUACCAAAAAAAAUAAUAAUAAGUUUAAAGUGUAUGCGGUACUUCAUUUUAUUUUAUUUUCAUACACCUAUCAUAAUUAUUGCAAAGGUUAAAUACAUAAUAAUAUUACAAUACCCAGUUUACUAAUUAAGUUUGUUCUGCAUUGUUUAAGCAUGAGUAUCUUUCUCUAUAAUUUUGCUCUUUUAAUAACUUUUAAAGUUGCUUGUCACUUGCCUCUCCUUCAAAUUACUACUAUGUAUUAAGCUUUGGGCCACAAUAUUGAAAUGGUUACCAUAGAUAUAGCAGUAGCCUUAAUUUUCGGCAGUUGGGAUCUUAUACGUUGGAAAUCUGGCAUUCAAUUAUCAAAUGCCAUUGUGACUUACAUGUCUUCUAUCAACUUGUUUCUUUUUUUUGUAAGCUCGGACAAGUCUUUUCUUUUGGAUCUAAAAUUAUUAGUGUUUAACGUCAUGGAAUUAAUGUUAACAACUUAGUUUCCCCACUUCUCAAAUCUUUCAUUGCCUGACUGUUUAGCAUGAUGCGUCUUGAUCAAGUAUUUACUUCUUCUUCUUUUUCUAGCUAAGGAUCGCGUUUAGUGUAGUGUGACAUUGUUAGCUAAGCUACUGCCAGUUGUUUGCUAUAUUGAUAAGUCGUGCUCCUUUUUGAUACAUUCAUUAUUUAGUGAUUGGUUCAGAUAUAUUAUUGCGGGUUACUAAUUCUCAUUUUUGUGUUUGCAUGUGAAAUCUAUCCGGGUCCUCUGGAUCCCCUCCUUGUAUUCCUCUUUGGGCCAUGGAGGCCCAAUUCUAUUUUUAUCCGAGCCAGCCUAUUAAAAAAUUGACGAACAGGUCCCAAAGUUGAAAGAUGCCAUAUAUCGAGAAAUUGAAAGUUUGGGUUUUAAAAGGCCCACUCCUCUUUAAGAAUUGUAUUUUGUUAUUAUUGGGCCUAAGCCCUCGCCAUUUUACUUACUAUUACUUGUUAGUUCUUAGAACAGGUGAAAAUUGGGCCAAAGGCCCAAAAUGAAAAUGGGCCCAAAUACUGGCCCAGGCGGACAGAAAAAACCAGAUUUGGGCCCAAAUCUCUUUCCCUCCUUUAUUUGUUGUGUUUAUUUACUCGUCACUAUCUGCUAUUAGUCUUAAGGGUUUUAAAAUUUUCAAAUCCCCAAAAGACACCCAUUUUGAAUUAAUUACUUAACCAAUUAUUCGUCUUUACUUGACUUAAAUAAUAAAUAAAUAAUUUCACAAAAAUUUUUCACUUAGAUAAUAUUUCAAUAUUUCCCCCCUUUCCCCUUUAAAAAUAAUUCUAACUAUAAAAUAGUUCAAAUUUUUGCAAUUUAAGUUAAAGUCAAAAUUAUUUUAGCCAAAUAAAUUGAUUGUUGGAUAACCGCAUUAGCGGAUAUUCUAGGUGCCUUAAAAACCUUCCUAGAAUAUUAAUAGGAACCUCGAACCCCUCUUUAAAUAGUUUUCAAUAGAUUUACUGUUUUAGUCUUUUGAAAACAAUAGUUUUCUUGAUUUUUCUUAAAAAUUAAGUGGCGACUCUUAAACAAGUCCAAAAUAAUAUUUUCCUAAUAAAACAAAGUUGAAAAAUAGUUUGAAGUUAAAGUUGUAUUUGAACAUGCGUAUUUCAAAACAAGUGUUGUGAAUCCCGAAGAGAAUUGGUUUGUGAAAAACUCAUAUUAAAAAAUUAGCCAAAAAAUCGUACUUAUAAUAUGCAACUAAACACUACUCUGAAAAUAUUUUUAGAAAAAAAAGUAAUAGAUUGCCCCCGGCCUAGAGUUGUUCGAAAAAGUCACUUACACAUUGAAACUUUGGGGACAAUCUAUUACUCCCUUUAUUUUGAUUAAAAUGAAAUCAAUAUCCCUCAAAGUUCAGAUAGUCAACCAAUUGAAUUACUAUCCAUUUGUCCAGAACUUUCACCUAGUUUGACUACCUAAACAUUCAUACGAUUGGUGAGGGUUUGAACCUUUUUUUUUUUUUUAACAGCAAUGAAGAUUCUAUUUCAAAGCAAAAGGUUACAGAGGAGGACCAAACCUUACCUCAUGCAAGAGUAGCUAAAUAAAGCAAUUUUAGCUUCCAAAAAUAAAGCAAAAGAGGAAGAUCACAAAUAUAAAGCAUGCAACCACCAACGGAUGUGGUGAAGCAGAUAAGAUUGCUCCUUCCUUAACCAAAGAUCUCGGGUUUGAGUCUGGGUAUGAAAAAAUUGAACGUUUUUUCCCGAACGGAGUCCUACUCAGCACGAAUCCAAAAUAGUCAGACUCUAAUAAUGAGUGUGAAAGCAUUAGUUAAUUGUCAUUGCAUUCAAUGUUGUUAUAGGCUUGAAGGAAAUUUACAAAGAGUAUUAUUUACCUGUUGAAACACAUAUUUAGCAGCAAUCAAGCUAUAUCGUUAAUUAAUUACAUAAAUAUCCUCUCUUUUUUAAAUUUCAUACUUAAACUAUCACUCACUAAGGAGAAAAAAUGGGUUCCAAAAGCAUUUCUGAUUCUUGGCCUUUUUAUGGCCAUAUUUGUAAUGAAAAGCUCUGAUGUUUUAGGGAGUUGGCUAAGACUUCCACCACUUUCGAAGAGGACUGUAAAAUUAUUUUGAUCUUUCUAAUUAGUGGUUCACUAAAUUAAGUACUUAAUGUUCCUUGCCUCUAUAGGUGAUGAGGCAAUGGACAAAGAGCCACACAAUAGAUUAAGGAUAAUGCUAAAUGGCCAGAAAAUUUGGUCAGAAUUUGGUCAGAAUUUAAAAAGUCUAUAAUAUCCUUUUUACUUUAAAAUAAACUAAUCUUUUUUCCAUUUUUUAAUUAAAAGAUAUUAAAGUUAAAAGGGUAAAAAUGCUCAAAAAGAUAAAAUAACAUAGUGUGAACUAUGUUAUUUUAUCAUUCUGCAAUUUUCUGGCCAAAAAGAUUUUUCCAUAGAUUAUUUAUGUGGAUUGUGGAGCAAUAUAUUAAAACUAGAUAUGGACCUCGUGUUAGCACAGGGCCCAACAUAUAUUACGUUAAUCAAUUUCUUAACAUGUUUUUAUAUAUUAGAGUUAACCAAGGUUUUAUAUAUAUUUACAAAUAUAUAGAGAGAGAUUUUUUGAGUUGCUAAUUACUGUGAUUUAUGGUAUCUUUUUUACGUAAUUUUCACAUAAUAUAUAUUUCUCUUUUUGUGUUGAUUUAUGUGAUAUAAAUGAAAUUUCAAAAGUCAAUCAAUUUUUUUAUAAAUUCUUUUUGAUAUUUAAGUUAUUAAUUAUUGUGAUUUACAAUAUAUUUUAUGUAUUUUAUAUAAUAUAUCUCUCUCUUUAUCCCAAUUUAUGUGUAUAGAUGAAAUUUUGAGAGUUAACAAAAUAUUUUUAUAUCUUUUCAAAUAUUUUGAAGCUAUUAAUUAUUAUGAUUUAUACUACUUCUUACAUAAUUUUUUAAUAUAUAUAAAGUGAUAAAAGACAAAUUUUAAAAAAAGAAAACUUUAAGUUGCCAAACUACCCCUUGCUACAAGCAGGCAUGUUGAUGAAGAGUUGCCAGCUUGUAGCCUCAUCUAUAGUAUAGUAAUAAUAAUAUAUAUACAAGAUACGAGAUCCGUGCCAGCAUGGCCCAAUAUAUAUUAUUUUUAUUUUUAUUUAUGUGACACGGAUGAAACUUGAGAAGUUAUUCAAAAUUUUAUAUGAUUUUUAAAAAUAUUUUAAGUUAUUAAUUACUGUGAUUUAUAGUUUUUUUAAGCGAUUUUGAGGUAAUAUAUAUUAUUUCGUUUUUCCAAUUUAUGCGGCAUAGAUAUAAUUUCAAAACUUAAUUAUUUUUAUGUCUUUUAAAUUGUUAAUUAUUGUAAUUUGCAGUACCUUUUACGUAAUUUUUAAAUAAUUUUUGUUACUUCUCAUGUCCCAAUUUAUGUGGUAUUGAUAUAAUUUCGAGAGUUAGCCAAUUUAGUUUUUGUCUUUUAAAUUUUUAAGUUGUUAAUUAUUGUGAUUUAUAAUACUUUUAACGUCAUUGUCAAAUAAUAUAUGUCAUUUCCUCUAACCCAUUUUUUGUGUCACUCGUAGAAUUUUGAGAGUCAAUUGAUUUUUUUAUAUGACUUUUAAAUAUUUUAACUUAUUAAUAAUUGUGAUUUUGUCACGCCCCAAACCUGUACCCCGGAUGUGGCUGACACUCGAGAACCAUUGUUGGCCCCAAGCGAACCCUUGGUCUGGCUUACUUACUCAGUGAAAGACUUUAAGCAUUAUUAUAAUGAUCAAAUGCACUUCUACUCAUUGUUUAAUAAAAUAACUUAGAGCGUUUGAAGGUCAAACAUUCAACUUGGCCAAAAUGGCAACUCCAGUCUUAACAUAUGAAAUAAUAAUGUAAAUACAACUGAACUACUGAUUGUCUAUGAAGCCUCUAAAACAAGAAGGGAUGUCGGGACAAGACCCUCAAUCAUCCUAGCAAAUGAAAUACUAAAAGCAAAUGAUAAAAAGGAGCCCUCCGGAAAGCAAAGAGGCUCACCAACUGACUCUGAAUGCUUAACUGGAUCAACGAGGUGCUGGAUGAUGAUCUUGGUUACCUGUGUCUACAUCAUAAUAAGAUGCAGGCUAAAUGACAUCAGUACAUUGAAUGUACGAGUAUGCGAGGGGAAUUCUAAAACAAGACAUAAGCUUGAAAGAAACUGAGAACUUACCUGGCUCAACUCAACUCAACUUAAUUAACUGAACUCAUUUCAAUAUAAAGCAAUAUAAAACAAGUGCAAUAUAAAGAAAAGCUAUUUAAAACAUGUAUGUCAACUCUGUGUAUUUGGAAAUACAAAAAUACUCUGUAUGUAAGCAAAGAUACACAUAGCUCUGAAAUGUAUGUAAAAUACAAAUAAACUGUGUAUAUAAGAAUACAAUUAAUUAUGUGGAAGUUUCUCUAACUGACAACCAUCACUUAAGAGCUAUAGUGAUGAUACANNNNNNNNNNNNNNNNNNNNNNNNNNNNNNNNNNNNNNNNNNNNNNNNNNNNNNNNNNNNNNNNNNNNNNNNNNNNNNNNNNNNNNNNNNNNNNNNNNNNNNNNNNNNNNNNNNNNNNNNNNNNNNNNNNNNNNNNNNNNNNNNNNNNNNNNNNNNNNNNNNNNNNNNNNNNNNNNNNNNNNNNNNNNNNNNNNNNNNNNNNNNNNNNNNNNNNNNNNNNNNNNNNNNNNNNNNNNNNNNNNNNNNNNNNNNNNNNNNNNNNNNNNNNNNNNNNNNNNNNNNNNNNNNNNNNNNNNNNNNNNNNNNNNNNNNNNNNNNNNNNNNNNNNNNNNNNNNNNNNNNNNNNNNNNNNNNNNNNNAUUUACUCUUUACUGAAAACUAGCUCAAAGGCUCUUUUGGAAAUCUCAGUUUCCUUUCUUAUUUAACAUGUGAAAACAUUUUAACUAUUUGGGAAUACAUAGUCCCCAUAUACUUUGAAGAAAUGAACUUCAACUUUACUCUUUACUCAACUCAAAACUCAAGUCUUAAAACAAAGUUAAAUCAUUUGUAAAAGACUUUUAGAAGACUCUAUGAACUUCUCUUGACUUGGCUCUUAACUUAUCUUGACUUGACGCUUAACUGAUCCUUGAAUUGAAUUAUGGAUUCAAGGAUUGAGAUUUGUGAUAGGAAAGAUCUCAUGAUGUUUAGGAGUGUUUUUAGAUAGUUAAACAUGAGAAAUGAUCAGGAAAUCACUGUCUGGAAGCAAGUCCGCGACGCGGAGAUGCAUUUAAUUAUUUGGUCGUGAAAUAAAUUUUGAGGCAGAACGGUCCGUGACCGCUCCGCUCCGCGAAGAAAAAUUGUCAAUUCUGAGGAACAAGUCCACGACGCGGACCUGGUACCUAGAUUCUGCCGACUUGUUCCUUCUUCGUUUUCUAACCCCAAAUCACCUAAAUUCGAUUCUUUUUCUCCUAUUCUCUUUAGAUUCAGAUACCCAACAUAUGUACACAAGAAUCUAAUCAAACACAACUCUAAAAUCAACCUUAAAGUCUAAAGAACUCCACAAUCUCAUCCCAAAUUCAAGAAUGAAAGUAAAUUCAAGAACAUUCGAACUUUCAACUUUUAAGAUGAAUUCAUGCUGAAUUAAACAUGUUUGGCGCGUGAGUGAACGAAUCCAACGCUGUGUGAACUCACAUACCUCGUAGGGAUCACCCCUUGACGAAAUCCACAAGUGAUUCCUUACGAAGACGACGAAUCUUGAACUUUCUUCUCCUUCUCCUCUUUUCUCUUUUCUCCAAGCCCUAGCGCGAACUUCAACUUUUCUAAACUAACUAAAAUCUUAUUUGAUCCCAAUUAAUUACCCAAAAACGAAAUAAAGUAAUUGGGUAAGGAAAAGACCAUAUUGCCCUUCAAAAAUUCGGAUUAGACUUUCCUAAAUUGAACAGCUCAACUUCAAAUGGGAAUAUCUCACUCAUACGAACUCGGAACCGCCCAAACUCGGCGGAGUUGGAAAGAUUAUUCCAAGAUCUUUCCUACAACAUCUGGAAACACACCUAACUCAUCCUGAGCUAUAAGUUAUGGUCGUUUGAAGUUGACCAAAAAUCCAACUUAACAUACCUAACAAAUUUUCCAGAUUUUUAUAUUCUUUCCAAAAAUGACUAUUUCACUUAUUAACUUCUAUCUAGUUCUUUCUAGUUACGGAGAGUUACAGAUUUAAAGUAUUAUUAGUGUAAUUUUCAAAUAUAUAACAGGUUAAAAAAAGAGUAAGACAAAAUUAAAAGGAAAAAAGUGCAGAAUUAAUGGUCAAAUUAAUAUGACGCAAAUGAAAUUUGAAGAGUCGGUCAAGUAUUGUAUAUAUUUUUUUUUUAAAAUUAAGUUAUUAAUUAUUGUGACUAAUAAUACUUUUAACAUCAUUUUUAUAAAUAAUAUAUGUUCCUUCUUUUAUCCUAAUUUAUGUGGCACAAUAGAAUUUAGAGAGUCAAGCAUUUUUUAUAUAAUUUUUCAAUAUUUGAACUUUUGUAAUGGCAAUUAUGAUAUAUAGUAACGCUCCAUGCUAUUUGGGGCGUACAUAUCAGUUUGAUUUAGUUUUCUAUUAAACUAAAUCUAAAUUAGUCAUGUCAAUUUAUUAAAUUUUAAAAUCAAAUAAAAUCACAUAAAGUCAGGUUUUUAAUUUUGGUUUUAGUUGGUUUUUUCAAUUUUUUUCAAUUAUAUGGUGAUUGAAAAAGAGAUUAAAUAUACUUUCACUUAUCGGUGUGAUAAGCUAAACUUUAAAAACGUUAAAUGAAUAGAAAUCUUCAAAAAGGCGGUAAAAUUGAUAUGAGUACAAAAUAAUUCUGUUGAAAUCAUUAUGUUAAAUUUAUAUGAUUAAAGGUUCCAGUCACACUGGAUACAAAACAAAAUAUUUACAGAGUAGAUAGUUAACUUCGAAUUUAAAAAACUAUAUUGUAACUUCCGAUUUGAAUAUAAAAUAAAAUAUUUAUAAAAGUUUACAAGUCCAAAUUUAAAAUAAUAUAUCUAAACAUUGAAAACUAUAAAUUAAUAAAAAAUAUAUUAACAAAAUAGAUUAUAACUAAUUAUUUUUAUCUAUAAAUUAAAAAUAAAAUAAUAUAUAUUAUGUCGGUCUGGUUUGGAUUUGGUUUGAUUUUUUUUCUUUUAAGAUAUUUCAGUUCGAAAAAAAAUUUGAUGACUAGAUCACUGAUCUAAUUUCUUUAAUCACGAGUAAUUGAGCUUUAGUUGAUUUUUUUUUCUUUAUCUACUAAAAUAUUUCAGUUGCUAAAAUUGAUGACUAGGUCACUAAUCUAAUUUCAUAAUCACGAGUCUAUUAUUAUUAACGGAUUUCUAGUUGAUUUUUUCUCUAUAACUACUAAGAUAUUUCAAUUCGCUAUUGAUCUAUUUCUUCAAUCACAAGUCUAUUAUUUACUGGAAUAAUCUAGAAUAUCUCCAACACACAAGGGUAGGUCUUUGGACUGAAUUUGUUGCUAUCCUUGAUAUAUGGAAAACAUCUACAUCCAAACACUUUUAAGCUAUUGUAAUCAGGUUGUUCCCCAUACAACUUAACAAAUGGAGUCACCAUCUUUAGGACUGAGGAGGGCAGUCUAUUGAUGAGAAAUACUGCAGUGAGGAAAGCCUCAACCCAAAGAAACAAAGGUAGAUUAGCAUGAAGUAGUAGAGUUAAGCCAGUCUCCACAAUAUGCCUAUGUUUUUUCUCUGCAACUCCAUUUUUUUCAGGUGUGUUAGGACAGGAAAUAUGUCUCACGAUGCCACAAUCUUCCAAAUGCUUAAUGAAGUCUGUUUGGAUAAACUCACCAUUUCCAUCACACUAAAAAAUCUUAAUUUCUUUAGAAAAUUAUUUUUCCACCAUUUUCUGAAAUUUUAUAAAGACCUCAAAGAAUUCAGAUUUCUUUUUCAGUGGAUAAAUCCAUGUAUAUCUCGUGUGAUCAUCAACAAAAACAACAUAAUAUUUCAUAUGUUGGGAAGAUUCGACAGGAGCAGGUCCCUAUAAAUCACAAUGUAUUUUCAAUAAAGGUUCUUUAUCAAUUUUAUUUCUCAAACCAAAUGAAAGUUUACAACUCUUUCCCAACUGACAACUGAAACAAACAGUAGGCAUUUUAUUUCAACUACUAAUAUUGAUGCAACUAUUACUAUUCAAAACUUUCAAAGACUUCAAACUAGGAUGUCCUAAUCUAGUAUGCCACAUGUUAUCUGACGUGUUUCAAUCAUGUGCAGCAGUCAAAGCAUAGUGAUUGUUAUCUUCCAAAGCAUAGAGUCCAUUCCUUUUAGUUCCCUUGGCCAGCAGUGUCCUUGUCUUCUUAUCCUUUACAACAAAGUUAUUUUCAUCAAAUUCAAGAGUGCAACAAUUAUCCUUUGCAAGCUUACUAAUUGAGAGUAAAUUUUUAUUAAUCUUAGGGCCUAUAAGAACUUCUUUUAACUUUAGACCUGAUCCGGAUAUGUUUCCAACAUGUGUUAUAACUAACUUUGAUCCAUUCCCAAUAAUGAUUUUAUCUGUUCCAUUGUAGUGUUUAAGAUCAGUUAGGAUACCUGAGUUAUGUGUCAUAUGGCUACUUGCUCCUGAGUCCACAUACAAUGUGUCAUCAGUAGUGUUUUGUAGAUUAGUAGCAGUCAAUGCUUGUGAUAGCUCAUCUGCGGCUUGGUAAGAGUAAUCUCACCUGUAAAAACACUUAAGAGCAGUAUGGUUAUUCCUACCACAGAUUUGACAUGCAUCAGUACUGUUCCUCUUAUGACUUCCACUUGAAGAAUUGUUCUGAGGACCUGAUCCGUUUCAGUUGUUAUAAGAACCUGUUCCUUGGCCAGCAGGCUUAAAGUCUCUUCCUCUAGAAUUGAAAUUAUUGUUUCCUCUUCUUUGAGAGUAGUUUCCUCUUCCCCUGCCUCUUUGGGCAGAGAAUGUCAUGUUAUGAUUUUGCAUCCUCCCUCAUAUCAAAACCCCUUAGAGCAUUAACAAAUUGAUUAAGAGUAGGAUAUGGUGUCUUACCUAGCAUGACAGUCCUGAAGGUCUUGUACUUAAGACCUAGACCUCUAGCAAAAUUAAUCACUUUGCUAUCUUCAUCUACAGGCUUGUGAAUGGCUGCAAGGCCAUCGCAUAUGCCUUUGAAUUCCUUAAUCUAAGGUGAGAACAUUUUUCUUAUUGGUUUCAUGUAUAUGAGUGUCUAUGGAAAUUCUUUGUGGGACUGAAAAUGUCAUUGUCUCUUCCUUCUAUAUGCCAAAAUAGUGAAUUUUGAAGUUUUAUUCAGUAAAUUCAAUGAUCGAAAGUUCUGUAAUGCCAGUCAUUCUAACUAUUUUUUUGUUUGAAUGGAUUGUUGUCACUUUUUUCACGUUUUUGAAUGAAUUGUUUCUUUUAUUUUUAUAUAUGGUUAAUAACCGAAAAACCGAACCAAACCGAACCAAAACCGAAAACAACCAAACCGAUAAAUGUAUAUUAUAUUUGGUUUGGUUUGGUUUUGAUAAUUUUAAAACCGAUUAAGUUGGUUUGGUUUUGGUUUUGACUAGUAACCGACCCAAACCAAACCGUGAACACCCCUAAUUGUAGCUCAUUUUAAAAAUAAUAAUAAUAAUAAUAAUAAUAAUAAUAAAAAAUAUGAUAUAAUAAUAAUAAUAAUAAUAAUAAUAAUAAUAAUAUUCUGGCUUACAACACUUGGUAUUAAUUGGUCAAAGUAUGUGAUUUUAAUUUUUGUUUUGGAAAAAUCAGUAUAUGUCUGAAUUUACCAAAUUGAGGUAUUUAAACGUACAUUCUCAAAUUGAAGUGUUUAUUUGUUAUCUAACUAAGGCCAAACUUAAAUGUUUGUUUCAAUAUUACUUAGAACACCUUAUGAGUCCAAAUCUUUAUCAAAUGCAAACUCUCUUUGUUCCCAAAAAUCGUAUGCUAACGUAAUUAAAAUUAUUGAAAUCAUAAAAGAAUUAAAACAAACAGCAUUAACAUUAUUCACCCAUAUAUAAUUAAAUAGAGGUAUAUCCAAUUAUUUUUAUAUAUGUACUCGAUACCGAACCACUGUUUACUUAACAUUUAUCCUCGAACAUCACAUUGACAGGUUCAAUAAACAACAAGGUAAUCAUAUCCUUAAAUUCGCUUCGGGUAUUUAUAAAAUCGCCCUCUUUGAAAAUAUAUGCCAAGCGUGCAAAAUUUAUAACUUGUUCGAGGACAAAUAUUGGUACUUCAGAAGGGCUGAGGAAUUCCUCGUUCAUGUCUUUCCAUGCAUUAGCGAGUUUCUGCAUUAGCGAGUUUCUUUUGAGCCUCAACAUAUGCUUCUUGCUUUGAAACUCCGUGUUCUUUCAUGUAGCAUUCAAUGAAUGAAGCUACAUGGCUUCUUUGUUGUUCGAACUGCAUGCAUAAAAAUAGAUUUCAAUAUGUUGGAGUUGGAUUACGGGUCGUCCAUGUGGGCUAACUCGAUCCUAUUCAGAAAAUAUAAAUUAAAAGGAACAGAAAAGAAACAUGUCUAUAGUGGUAAACCUAAUUGUUUAUUAUAAAUUUUAGCAAUUUUCAUCGAGACACAUAGCUAUUUAUUUAGAAUUGGUGUUCAACACUUACAUCAUUUGUAUUAAUAUCGUCCUUUAAUCUGCCGAUUACUGAUGAAGCUCGAAGAAUCAAAGGCUCAUUUAUUACCCAUUCAAAUGUCUCUUUGGUAAUAUUUUCCUCCAUAACACACAAGAAAGUUGUUGCAGCCAUCAUAACCGUAGUACUUACAAUUGCAAUUUUCAUGUACUCCUCACAUUUUGGAAUAUAGACAUCAUUUAACCAUAGUGCUUCCUUGAGAUAUGCUCUAGCUACUUUCUUCAUCUAAUAUAGGAGUUAAAAGAAAACUUAGAAUCAGAUAAUGUUAAAGACAUAAUCAAGUAAAUAAAAAUGUGUUCUCUUUUUUUAAAAAAAAAUUGAACUUUUGAACGACAUAGUCACACGAUAUAAUUCUCAUGGCAUCAUAGUUGAGACAAAAUCUUUACAUACUUGGCACAUUAAACAAGAACCAAUUUCUCAUGUAAGGAGCGUAUUGAAGGCAUAAUAAUAAAUGGCAAUGUUAAUGUUUGAUUUAAAAGAAAUAAAGCUAAGGGAGCUUACCUCUUGUUUUGCAUAGUAGAGACAUUCCAAUUUACUUUCUUUGGUCAAUUCUUCUUCUAUUUCAUCAUAACGGUCUAGAAGAGUUCGAUAAACAGGUCUCAAAUUGGGUGAUACUAAAUUAAUGGCACUUAUGUCAUCACAUCUGCAUGUUAAGAGUUUGGAUCGAAGUUACAAACUAAAAUUUCUUAUUUAUACAAAUCAUCUCAUAAUAGUAACAUGUCCUUGACACAUUUUAUUUUCCUACUCAUUUGAACGCGUGAGAAAAUCAUUAGUGUAUAGUUUAAUUACCUAUCGAUUGCAUUUGUGAAAGCCACAAGUUCAUCAUAGGUUGCAUAAGUAUCAUAUGUGUCAUCAAUAAUGACGUAUGUCGUGAAUAAUUUUGUCAUCAUUUUUCUUGCACGACUAUGUUGAACUUCAAAGUACACACCAGCUACCCAAAAGUAACACUCCACCAUUCUAUCUCUAGCAUAUGGAAAUUGCUUCGCGAAAUCUUGAUUUUUUCACCACCUAUAUGGUCAAAGAUGGAGUUAGAAUUGUCAUUAAGAAUGUUCAAAAUAUAAAAAUCGAAGUAAACUUACAAAAAAAAUCAAUAGUAUACAUCAUUUACUAUAUAUACAUAAAUGACAAGGAAAGAGUAAUGUAUGUACCUUGUAAGCUCGCAAAGCUCUCCUUGAUGCAACUUUUGUAGAAUAUUAAAAUCCAAUUUUGCAAAUCUCAAAAGCAAAUCACUAUGAGAUUCAAUGUUCUCAUAAAUACAUAUGUAUUUCCUUGCUAACAACCUUGGUAAAUUUGUAUGAAUGGGCUGGCUUAAGGCUUCACUAACUUGGGCCUUGAGUAAGUUGCUCAAUUUUGGGACCAUGGACUCUAGAUGAGUGAUGGUAAAAAUUAGAGCUUCUUCAAAAAUCUCUUCCUCGUGUAUUCGUAGAUGUGUUGCUUCAUAUAAACUUAAUAAUCCAUGAACAUCUUUAAUAAGAUUUUCCUUGAACUUUUCGUCAUGGUUAGUGAAUUUCUUAAACACAUCUGAUUAAUUAUAUUGAACAUCAUAAGAGAAUUAACUAAAGAAUCGUAUACAAUGUUGGAAUAUAAUUAAGGUGAGCUCUUUUAGGAUAGAAGAGAAGAAAUAAACUUACCAGAAGACAUGUAAUGUCUUUGUUGUCUCACUAGUCGAAAACGAAGAGCAACGACGUAAAGAUCGUCAUCAUCUUCAUUUUUACUUUGUUUGGAUUCAUCAAAAAUAUUUUGAAUGGAUGUUUUAAUUUCAUUUUUGAAAUGAUAUGCCACUCCUAGUCGUUGGAUUGUAUCAAUCAAGACAAGUUUUUGUGUAGUAUUAUCUGGUGUUUCAACUAACAUUUUCUUGACUUUUUCUUUCAACUCUUCAAAUUCAAUUUUUUCUUGGGUACUAAUUUUCUGCACCAAGAAUUAAGCCUUAAUACAAAACAAAAACAAUACUAAAAUGAAGGUGUCAUGUGUGAUUGGUCGAAAUGCUUUAAAAAAAAUCUAUACAAAAAUAAGUUUCUUAAAGAUAAGUAAAAUGAAUAAAGGGGCGAGAGAAACAUGAUCUAUAUAGUGUUUGUCUAAAUUAUAUAUAAAUAUUUUUGAGAUAAUAUAUUUUGUAUACUUAUCAAAUAGAGUUAAUGGUCAAAAAACUAUACAUAAAAUAUCAUAUUUUGCGAGUUUUCUACCUAAACUAUCAAGUGUUCACAUUUUCUACCUGAACUACAUCAACUAUUUAUCAAAAUAUACCUCAAGUUCAAUUAUCAAUUGUUCCUUUUUUUCUACAUGAAAUAUAACUAUCGUUCAGGUAGGAAAAGAGAAUAACUGAUAGUUGAUGUGUGUUUCGAUAAACUUUUGGUGAUAGUUCAAAUAGGAAACUCGCACAACUGAGAGUACAAGUAUGAAACUCGAAAAAUAAAAAACAUGAAUAUAAUAUGAGUAUAUUGUAUGUCAUACCGUGAGUUGAGGAGUGUAAGAGAGGAAAUAAUUUUCCCAAACAGUUGAGUGAAAAUUUGCCAAUGGACGUUUAAUAUUGCCGCUGGAAGAAUCAACCAUUGCUACACUCAUUUUUAAUUUACUCAUAUUUUUCUCUCUUCCUUUUUUUCCCUAAAGGGACAUGUGAAUAUUUAUGUGGUAUUUUGAUUACUUUAGAAUUAGAAUUAUAGGACAGAAAAUUAUUUCCCCAAAAUGUUGGUUGAACAUUUCUCAAAUGACAAGAGAUUGUAGAAACAAUCAUUGUUUUUUUCCUCUCUUUUUAUACAAUUAAUUAAUUAAGCUGUGAAGUAUUUAUAGUAAAGGUGUGAUCACUGCACCAAAAAUAUCUUUACCGGUAUUUAAUUAGCGUGCUGUUAAAUAUGUAUUUUAACGGUAAUUAGCAUUCUUUAAAUGUUUCUAAAUCCUAUAACGAUAUUUGAUCUAAUGACAAUUAAUUAAUAUCAGUAAAAACUUUAACACUAUUUAUUAAUAUAUAUAUUACCGCUAAAAAUUAUUUUUAUUGUAGUGGAUAUCUAUACCUAAAUCCAAGGAAAAUGAAGAACCUGAUCUACGAGUUAUUGGAUAAGAAUUAAAGAAUUCAUUGGGUCUUCUUGGUUUGUGUAAUACACGGUAUAUGUGGAAUUAUCUGGUUUGGUGUUAGUGACACAUUGAAAAUUUAAUGUCAAUAUACAGUCAAUUUUUUUUAUAAUAUUCAUAUUUUAUAUUAAUAUUAUUUCAUUAAAAUGAAGUUUUUUUUUAAUUAAUUUUUUAUAUUUGUCAAUUAUAUAUUUUUGGUUGAAGUGUUAAAAAUAUAUCUAAAUUAUUUUAUUUUAAAAAACUUCAUACUUAAAUUAUUAAACUAGUUUAAAUCGAUACCUAAACUAUCACUCAGGCGGAAAAAUGGGUUCCAAAGCAUUUAUGAUUCUGGGCCUUUUUUUGGCCAUAUAAUUAUGGACAAAUUACAGAAAUCAAAUACUUUUAAGGUAAAAUUACAAUUUAUUCUUCAAAAGUUUAUAAUUACAGAAAUUCCUUAAACGGAUACAAUAAUAUAAGCGCUGAUACAUUAAUUUGAUGCGCGAGGUACAAUAAUAUAAGUGAUGAUACAUUAAUCUGAUGUGUGAGAUACAAUAAUAUAAGCGCUGAUACACUAAUCUGAUGGGCGAAAAUGAGGGAUUUUGGAGAUUUGUAAAACUUAUAGGGGAUAAUGGUAAUAAGUAAACUAAAAUGUGGAAUUUCUAUAAUUUUUCCUAUUAUUUUUUAGUUAGGGAGUUGGCUACUGUAAGAUUGUUUCUCCUUAUAUUCUCUUUUUUUUUAAAUAAAUGAAUACAAUAAAACCUCUCUAAAUUAAUACAGGCGGGACCAUGAAGUAUUAUUAUUUUAUAGAGGUAUUAUUUAAUUGAUAAAUUAAUAUUUAUUAAUUUAAAGAGUGUUUCGUAAAAACUGUUUAGGGAUAAAAUCUCAAAGAAUUUGAAAGAACCCAUUAGUGAAAAUGUCAUUCGUGAACUUGAGGUCAUGAUUAAUGAUCUUGGUUACCACUAGGGGUGUUCAUGGUUUGCAUAAAAACCGAUCCAAACCGAAAAACCAAACCAAACCGAUUAAAUGAACCAAUUUAAUUUGGAUUUUGGUUGGUUUGGUUUUAGAUUGUUAAGAACCGAUAGUAUUUGGUUUGGUUAUGGUUUUGUUCGAAAAAAAUCGAAGAAAUAACCGAACCGAACCAACAAGUUAUAUACAUAAAUUUUAUUAUUAUACAUACAUAAUAUAUUAUAUUCAUAAACAAUUUUAAAGAUUUUAUAUAUGUUUCAUCAAAAUUUAUUUUUAUAAUUUACUUAUGAAAGAAAAAAUGUCCAAGGUGAGAACAUUUUUCUUAUUGGUUUCAUGUAUAUGAGUGUCUAUGAAAAUUCUUUGUGGGACUAAAAAUGUCAUUGUCUCUUCCUUCUAUGCCAAAAUAGUGAAUUUUGAAGUUUUAUUCAGUAAAUUCAAUGAUCAAAAGUUUUGUAAUGCCAGUCAUUCUAACUAUUUUUUUUGUUUGAAUGGAUUGUUGUCACUUUUUUCACGUUUUGAAUGAAUUGUUUUUUUUAUUUUUAUGUAUGGUUAAUAACCGAAUAACCGAACCAAAACAAACCAAAACCGAAAACAACCAAACCGAUAAAUGUAUAUUAUAUUUGGUUUGGUUUGGUUUUGAUAUUUUUAAAACCAAUUAAGUUGGUUUGGUUUUGGUUUUGACCAAUAACCGACCCAAAUCAAACCGUGAACACCCCUAGUUACCACAAUAUAAUGGAUGUUAAUAACCUAUUGGAAGGGUGAAAAUGAUACAUGUUUAGAGGUCCAGAGCUUAGAACGAAUUGUGGAUAUCAUUAGAAACACAAUGUUGAUGAUAAAGUUGAAGAUGAUACGAUACAUUUGGAACCAGUUACGGGUAAUUAAGGAGACACUUGCAUCUAGAACUCUUCACGAUUUUAUGGUGCAAUUAGAAAAGAUAACAUCGAAACUUCUAGAUGCAAUAAGAAAAGUUGGAAAUGAGCUACAACUAGAUUUAAAUUUUAACAAAAAAAACAGAACAUAAUAGAAUCAUAAUUUACUAAAUUUUCUUAGAUAUAUUUGUACUUUUAAAGAAUUAUUAAUUUAUAAUAUUAAUGGGACCAUAUAUUUAUAUAGGGGUUUUCUGAAAAUAUAUUAUCUUAUUAUAUUAUCGAAAUGAAUGAUUUUUUUUCAUUGGCCCAAGUCGGGACCGGAGGAAAUUAUUAUCUUAGAAGAAAGAUUAUUAAUUAAUCGAGAAUUAAUUUAGCAAAGUUUUACUGUAUCUAGUAAAAUUAUUUAAAUCUUUCUAAUUAGCGGUCCACUAAAUUAAGUACUAAAGUUUCAUGCUUCUAUAUUCACUUAUGCUUGCUAUAAUUAGUAACGACUAACAAGUAUGAGUUAAAGCCAUGUUUAGUACUUACGUAUAUAAUAUAGUAGUCACUAUAUAUGAAUCUUCACAUCUUUAUAAAUUGACACUAAUAGUCGUACACCCACUAAUAUAUGAUCAGAGAACCAAAUAGGUUAUUAUUUAAUUAAGUUAGCAGCUAAUUAAAUAUAUUGUUUUAGAUUAAGCACCUAUAUAUAGGAUGCUCUUUUUUUCUUCAAUUUCCUAAUCUGCUCUUGUACGCCAAUAUUAACAUUGACGAUUAGAUCACUUCAUUAAUUUUCUGGUCACGAAUCUAUUAUAUUAUUAUUAUUAACGAAACUCUAGUUGAUUUUUCUUUCUUUAAGAUCAAUUGCUAAAACUGAUGACUAGGUCACUCAUCUAAUUCUAUAUAUAGUCACAAGUCUAUUAUUAUUAUUAUUAUUUUUGUUAAUAAGAUACUUAUAUUAAUAAAUAAUAUGCAUCAAUACAUGGGAAAGACAGUGCUAGACCCCUCCUAGUAUCGUCCAGGGCGGGGGAGUUACAUUGAGUUUAUAACUAUUACAUAAGUUGGAAGUAUUUGGUGACUUCCAUAUCCUACCAAAAUGAGUUCCUCCUUUGUUUGCUUCUAGUUUAUUCGAGACAAAUACCGGUGGAACUUCGUGGUACAAAAAGGAACUAGCUUGCUUCAUCUUGGACCCCUCCCUUGUUAGAGCAUCUGCCACCCGGUACCCAUUCUCCAUUCGAGUCUCUAUUAUUAUUAACAUAUCUUUAGUUGAUAUUUUUUUUGUUCACCACUAAGAUAUUUUAAUUAACUCGCUAUUGAUCUUGCUGCUUUUUGGAGCUUAUUGUAAGAAUUAUUAUUAUGAAAUAAAAGCCAUCAUGUAAUGUUUGUUAAUUAUGCUAUAUGGUAUGAUAAUAUUUUCCCUUGGGUGUUUUACUAAUGAGUGGAAUUCUCAUUUUUCAUUUAAUUAUUUAAAUUUGUAACUUCAUAUUACUUGCUUGAACUAGUCGUUUACUAUUAUUCUCAAGUAUCAAUAUACACUAAUAAUGUAAAUUAUUGAGAAGACAAUCUAGCAUAGCUACAAACUCUCAUUCCUUGAUAAAAUAAAUAAUUCUCAAACAUUACUAGAAAUUUGCACACCAUUUUUUUAAACCAUAUUUUGCUCCAUUUAUACCUCAUAUUUUGAUAGGAUCAACAAGCAAUGCGAUGAGUCUGUCCAUAAAUCCGCAAUUAGUACUUAUAAAAUCAUUCUUUUCGAAAGAAAGUGUCAAACGUGUCGGAUUUAUUGCUUGUUCUAAAGCAAACAUUGGUACUUGAGAAGGACAGAACAAUUCCGUGUUUAUAUCUUUCCAUGCAUUACUCAUUAUCUUCUGAACCUUGAUAUAUGUCUCUUGCUUUGAAACUCCAUGUUCUUUCAUAUAACAUUCAAAGAAUGAUGGUAUAUGUGUUCUUUGUUGUUCAAACUGCAUCGAAUAGAUUUUUAUAUGUUCAUUAUGAUAAAAUAUUUUUAAAAAAAAUUAUCAAAUUAAUUUAUUAUAUUGAGUAAAAUGUGGAUUUGGCAUAGUCCUUACAUGAUGUCCAAUAAUGUCGUCCUUUAAUCGACUUAAUACUGAUGAAGCUCGAAGAAUCGAAGAAUCACUUGUUACCCAUUCCAAAGUUUCUUUGGUUAUAAUAAAUUCCUCCAAACAUACCAAGGAAAUUGUUGCAAUCAAUUUGAUGGCAAUGCUUGUAAUUGCAUUUUCCAUAUACUCCUCACAUUUUGGAAAAUAGCAAGCAUUCAACCAUUGUACUUCCUUGAAAUAUGAUUUGAUCCAUUUUUUCAUCUAUAAAGAAUAAUAGAAAAAGUAAAAUUAGAUAAUGAGCAUACUUUAUCUACUUUUGGAUUGUAAUUUCACUAAUUAUCACAUGACUUUUGUUUUAUCGUACCAAAUUCAUUAAAGUAUUUUUUCAUAGUAAUUCUAUUUUCUUUAUAUGCUCACAUUGACAAAUAAAGUGAAAAUUUAUUUAUAAAAUACUGGACAAAUAAAAAUGAACAGAGUGAGAGUAAUUAUUUUAGAGAGAUUAAUUAAUAAGGAUGAGUUAUUAAUUAAUCAAGCUUAUUUACCUCAACUUUUGCAUAGUAGACCCGAUCUGCUUUACCUUCUUUUUUCAAUUCAUCUUCUAUUUCAUUAAGAAACUCUAUUAAGACUUUAUAAAUACGUCUCAAAUUAGGUGGCACCGAUUCCAUGGCACUAAUUUCACAUCUGCAUGAAAUUAUACGAAAAAUAAGUAGCUUGAUUCUUAUAGAUGAUCAAAUUACCGCCACAUAAAAUGUAACGGAGGGAAUAACAUUGUUGUACUUUACCUCUCUAUUGCAUUUGUGAAAAGCACAAGUUCGUCAAAGGUUGCAUAGGCAUCAAAAGUGUCAUCAACAAUGUUAAUGAUGGCGAUUAUUUUUCCUGUCAUUAUUCUUGCACGACUCUGUUGAGGCUCAAAAUGCAAUCCAACUGCUCCAAAAUAACACUCCACCAAUCUGUCUCUUGCAUAUGAAAAUUUAUUUGCAACAUCGAUAUUUUUCCACCAUCUAUAGUAUAAAAUAUCAAAUAUAUAUUAAUUAGGGAUUAGUUACGUAAGAACCAUAAUUAUGAGAUUGAAGAGGGUAUAAGAGUACUAAUCUUUACCUUGUAAGUUCGCUAAGCUCUCUUUGGUACACCUUUUGCAAAAUAUUGAAAUCCAAUUUCGCAAAUUUCAAAAGCAAAUUGUUACGCGAUUCAACGUUCUCAUACAUAUAUAUGUUUUUCCUUGCUAACAAUCUUGGUAGAUUUGUAUGAAUGGGCUGGUUUAAGGCUUCACUAACUUGGGCCUUGACUGAGUUGCCCAAUUUAGGGCCCAUGGACUUUAGAUGAGUGACGGUAAAAGUUAGAGCUUCUUCGAGAAUUUCCUCUCCAUGUACUCUUAAAUGUGCUGCUUCAUAUAGACUUAAUAAUCCUUGAACAUCUUUAGUAAGAGUUUCCUUGAAUGUUCCAUCAUGAUUGGUGAAUUUUUUAAAAACAUCUGAUUUAACAUUAUAAUAUAAUUAUACCAAAGAAAUUAAAUUAGUAAUAAUUAAUUAAAGAGUCACGCAGUAUAGGAAUAAAUUAGUUACCAGAAGACAUGUAAUGUCUUUGUUGUCUCACUAGUCGAAAUCGAAGAGCAACAACGUAUAGAUCGUCAUCAUUUUUAGACUCUUCAAAAAUGUUCUGAAUGGAUGUUUCGAUGUCAUUUUUGAAAUGAUAUUCCACUCCCAAUCGUUGGAUUGUGUCAAUCAAGACAAGUUUUUGUGUACUAUUAUCUGGUAAUUCUACUAACAUUUGCCUUACUUUUUCUUUCAACUCUUCAUGUUCAUGUUUUUCUUUGCUACUAAUUUCCUGCACCAAAUGUUAAAGUGUUACUUAUUAUUUGACAUAGAGUAAUACUUCCACUAUAUAAUUUAAUCAGAGGGAUUAGGGAAAAUAAUUGUUGCCUAUUUAUGCAACAUUUGAUUGACCGUAUAAUAUAAGAAAAAAGAUUUAAAUUGGAUACACCACCAAUAUAAUUACCCUAUUAAUUAGGUCAAUUUAGCUAGGCGUUUGGACAUGAAUUGAUGUUAUUUGAGAAAUAAUAAUUAGUAUUUGAAGAUGAAGUUGAAAAAUAGUUUGGAAGUUAAAAGUUGUAUUUGAACACGCAUAUUUCAAGCAAGUGUUGUGAAUCCCGAAGAGAAUUGGUUUGUGAAAAACUCAUUUUAAAAAACUAGCCAAAAAAUCGUACUUAUAAUAUGCAACUUACACAUAUUAUAAGUAAUAGAUUGCCCCCGGCCUAGAGUUGUUCGAAAAAGUCACUUACACAUUGAAACUUUGGGGACGAUCUAUUACUCCCUUUAUUUUGAUUAAAAUGAAAUCAAUAACCCUCAAAGUUCAGAUAGUCAACCAAUUGAAUUACUAUCUAUUUGUCCAGAACUUUCACCUAGUUUGACUACCUGAACAUUCAUACGUUUGGUGAGGGUUCGACUCUCCAUACACCUUGUAAUUUCCUACCUUUUUUUUUAUUUUUAACAGCAAUGAAGAUUCUAUUUCGAAGCAAAAGGUUACAGAGGAGGACCAAACCUUACCUCAUGCAAAGAGUAGCUAGAAUGGUAAGCCAUUCUUACAAUUUUAGCUUCCAAAAAUAAAGCAAAAGAGGAAGAUCACAAAUAUAAAGCAUGCAACCAGCAACGGAUGUGGUGAAGCAGAUAAGAUUGCCCCUUCCUUAACCAAAGAUUUCGGGUUCGAGUCUUGGGUAUGAAAAAUUGGAACGUUUUUUCCCGAACGGAGUCCUACUCGGCACGAAUCCAAAAUAGUCAGACUCUAAUACAGGUAUCAGUCACUAGAUAAAAAAACAAAAAAAAUAUAAAGCAUGCAUAAGUAAAUGAUUGUGUAAAUAAAAUACCGUGAGUUGAGGAGUGUAGGAGAGGAAAAAGUCUCCCCAAAUAGUUGAGUGAUAAUUUACCAAUGGACGUUUAGUAGUAGUACUAGUGAUUGAAGAAUCAACCAUUUCUCCACUUAUCUUUAAUUUACUCAUAUUUAAUAAAGGGGUAUAAUAUGAUGAAUAUAUUGUAUGUGGUACUUUGAGUUUAGAAUAACUAGUGUUGAAGAGGAAAUUUGGUUCAACAUUUCCCAAAUUACAAGAGUAGUUGGGAGAAAUAACCAUUUGUCUUUUGUAUUAGUUUCCUUAUGAUAAUUGAAAAUUUUAGGAUGAAGAAACUCCUACAUUCUUGGGCUCUAUUUAUAGUAAUAUUAUGGAGUAUGUUAUGUGAAGUUAUAACAAGGCUAUCUCCACCAGACUUUAUCAAAGAAUAACUUCCUAAGGAUAAGGAUGAAGUAACCUCUACUAGGCUAAUCAGGCCAUCUACUUGUAAUAGAAUAUAUAUAUAUAUAUAUAUAUAUAUCCUCUUAACCAAAAAUAAAAUAAAAUAUGUUAUCUGAAGAAAAUUCUUUACACUAUAACAAAAACAACUUUUAGCGGUAAUUAAUUUAAUUAAUACCUAAGCUAUCACUCAUCAAAUAAAGCGGAAAAAUGGGUUCCAAAGCAUUUAUGAUUAUUGGCCGUUUAUUGGCAUAUUAUUUUUUAGUUAGGGAGUUGGCUACUGUAAGAUUAUUUCUCCUUAUAUUCUUUUGUCUUUUUGAAAUAAAUGAAUAUCUAGUAAAAUUAUUUAAAUCUUUCUAGCUAAUUAGCGGUCCACUAAAUUAAGUACUUAAAGUUUCAUGCCUCUAUAUUCACUUAUGCUUGCUAUAAUUAGUAACAACUAACAAGUAUGAAUUAAAACCAUGUUUAGUACUUAGGUAUAUAAUAUAGUAGUCACUAUAUAUGAAUCUUCACAUCUUUAUAAAUUGACACAAAUAGUCGUACACCCACUAAUAUAUGAUCAGAGAAAAAUACUUAAUCGAGGAAUUAUUGAUAGUGUAAACAAAUAUAAGAACUUUUUGGGGGUGAAUUAACAUUGAAGAUUGCAUUAAUGGAAAACCAAACAGGUUAUUAUUUAAUUAAGUUAGCAGCUAAUUAAAUAUAUUGUUUUAGAUUAACAUUGACGACUUGAUCACUUCAUUAAUUUUCUGGCCACGAGUCUAUUAUUAACGAAACUCUAGUUGAUUUUUCUCUCUUUAAGAUAAGUUGCUAAAAUUGAUGACUAGGUCACUCAUCUAAUUUUAUAGUCACAAGUCUAUUAUAUUUUUUUUGGUUAAUAAGAUACUUAUAUUAAUAAAUAAUAUGCAUCAAUACAUGGAAGUAGGGGUGUUCAUGGUUUGGUUUGGAUCGGUUAUUGGUUAAAAACCAAAUCCAAACCACAAUUAAUCGGUUUUUAAAUUUCUAAAAUCAAACCAAAUCAAAUCAAAAAAAAUAAACCGUCGGUUUGGUUAUUGUUGGUUUGGUUCGGUUUGGUUCAAUUUUUUUGGUUAUUUCGGUUUGAAAGUAUAUAGUUUUUUUGAGGGCAUAUGCAUCUCGAUAGACACGAAUUCAUAGUACAUAAACAAUCAGAAAAGCCUAUUGUAAAUUUUAUUAAGCAAUACUAGUCAUAGAACAAUUGAAACAAGACUAAAAAAACGCAUUACCCUGUUAGAAGACUUAUAUCUAAAAGAGAAAGCAAUGUAUAUAUGUAGUGGAAAAUCAACAUUAGCAGAGUUGUCUUGGAUAAAUAUAUAACAUAUUGAAUCUUGCAUGUUGUGGCAACUGAGAAUUUUUCCUAAUAAAUCAAAAAAAAAAAAAAAAAUCAAUGCUCCAAAUGUAAAUAUCACUUAAAUAAUAAAUUUUUCGUUGAGUUAGAAUUAAGAUUUUAAUACUUGGGCUGAAAUUUAAGUGUUGGGCUUAAGAAAAUAAUAAAGUUAAAAACUUAAGUUAAUUAAAAUUUAAUAAAAUAUUUAUAUUUUAUUUAUGAAUAAUAUAUAAAUAAUUAUAAAAAUUUUAUAUAUAUAAUUUAACGGUUCGGUUUGGUUAUUUUUGCAAAUAUUCUUUUGUAAAACCAAAACCAAACCAAAUAGUAUCGAUUUUCAAAAUUCAAAAAUUCAAACCUAACCAAAAUCCAACCAAAUAUCGGUUUUUUUAAUCGGUUUAAUUCGGAUUGCGAUUCAAUUUGAUUGUUUAACCAUAACCAUGAACAGCCCUACAUGGAAGAGGCAGUGUUGGACGCCUGCUAGUAUCGUCCAGGGCGAGGGGAGUUACAUUGAGUUUAUUAUUAUUAUUAUUAUUAUUAUUAUUAUAUAUCCUAAUUUUACAGUCCUUGUAAAGCAUGUAAUUGAUUGAUACACAUCAUUGAUUUCUUCCAUUUUAUACGUUGUUAUUAUAUUAUUUAGAAAGUUAAAAGUUGUUUACUCUGACUACGAUUUUCUUAAACGUUUUGAAUAAUUGAUAAUUGUUGCUCUUUUUUUAAAAACUAAUUAUAAUAAUAUGACUUAUAAUAGUUGGUAUUUGGGUCAAAAUAUAUGAUUUUUAUAAUCAAAAAACUGAAAAAAAUCAAUGUCUGAAUUCACGAAAAAAAAUCGAAAAUGAAAAUCGACUUAUAAAAGGAAAUGGGCUUCAUUACUGGAUUUUUAUUAUAAGAAACAUCUCUAUGAAGACAAUGUAGCUACAAACGUUCAUGCCUUGAUAAAAUAAUUAAUUCUCAAACUUUACUAGAAAUUUGUACACCAUUUUCUUGAACCAUAUUUUGCUCCAUGAAUACCUCAUAUUUUGAUAGGAUCAACCAGCAACGAGAAGACUGUCUUUAAAUCCACCUUUAGUAUUCAUAAAAUCAUUCACUUGGAAAGAAAGUGUCAGACGUGUCGGAUUUAUAGCUUGUUCUAGAGCAAACAUUGGUACUUGAGAAGGGCAGACCAAUUCUGUGUUUAUGUCUUUCCAUGCAUUUUCCAUUAUCUUUUGAACCUCGACAUAUGCCUCUUGCUUUGAAACACCAUGUUCUUUCAUAUAGCAUUCAAAGAAUGAUGGUAUAUGUGUUCUUUGUUGUUCAAACUGCAUCAAAUAGAUUUUAAUAUGUUCAGUACAAUAAUAUAUUUAAUUUUUUUGGUCUAGCCUAAACUUGAAAUUUCACUAAAAUACAUAAAUGCACGCACAAUUAAUGGGCAACUUGUUCUAUUCAUAUAUCUUUUUCAUGUAGCAAAAUGAUUUUCCCCGCUUUUUUGUACUUUGUCAUAACUCAAGUAUUAAUAUCCAAAUUUCAACCUAUUAAGUAUAUUUGUUUCUCGAUAUUUUACAACUAUGAAUAAGUAUGAUUUAGUACAAAAAUCUUAAAAUUAUCAAAGUGUUGUUUACUUAGGUUAUUGAGAAUUUGAUACUUAGAGUAUUUAAUUUGUACAAAAUCUUAAAAGAUGUUGAAGUGUGUGACCAUCUCAUCUUAAAAAGUUAAGUGGCUAGAGAGCACACUUCUUAUUAUCAAAUUCAUUUGUUAUCUUGAGUAAAAUGUGGAUUUGGCAUAGUACUUACAUGAUGUCCCAUGAUGUCGUCCUUUAAUCUGCUUAAUAUUGAUGAAGCUCGAAGAAUCGAAGAAUCACUUGUCACCCAUUCCAAAGUUUCUUUGCUUAUAAUAAGUUCCUCCAAACAUAUCAAGGAAAUUGUUGCAAUCAACUUGACGGCAAUGCUUGUAAUUGCAUUUUCCAUAUACUCCUCACAUUUUGGAAAAUAGCAAGCAUUCAACCAUUCUGCUUCCUUGAAAUAUGAUUUGAUCCAUUUUUUCAUCUAUAAUAAUGAAAUAAUAGAAAAAGUAAAAUUAGAUAAUGAGCAAACUUAUAUCUGCUUUUGGGUUAUUAUUUCAUGAAUUAUCGCAUGACUUUUAUUUUUUUUUCUACCAAAUUCACUAAAUUAUUGUUUUGUAGUAAUGAAAUUAUUUGCGUCUGACUUUACUUAAACAAAAUUGAAUGACUUUACAACCUAUCGUAUAUUAACAUCUUCAAAGAAUUAAGCACAUAAGUAAUGAUGACUUCACAAAAAAUUUAGGUAAAUGGGUGACGUCCUUGAUAAAAUAAAGUAAUUUGAAAUUGAGUGACCACCCAUAAAAUUAAUUCUUCCUCACCUAUAAUUUUUUUUUAGAACAGUGAAUAAAUAAAAGUGAACAGAUCUAUCAGGGAGAGUAAUAAUUAUUUUAGAGAGAUGAAUGAGGAUGAGUUAUUAAUUAAGCUUACCUCAACUUUUGCAUAGUAUAUUCGGUCUGAUUUACCUUCUUUUUUCAGUUCAUCCUCCAAUUCAUUAAGAAACUCUAUUAAGACUUGAUAAAUAGGUCUCAAAUUAUGUGACACUGAUUCCAUGGCACUAAUGUCACAUGAUCUAAAUGAAAUUAUAUGAAAAAUAAAUAGUUUGAUGUACGGGUCAAAUGCCGUCACAUAAAAUAUAACUGAAGGAAUAACAUUAAUGUUUUUCUUAGGGGGGUUGAAUAAGUUUAUACUUUACCUCUCUAUUGCAUUUGUGAAAAGCACAAGUUCGUCAAAGGUUGCAUAAGCAUCAAAAGUAUCAUCAACAAUAUUGAGAAUGGAGAGUAUUUUUCCUGUCAUUAUUCUUGCACGACUCUGUUGAGGCUCAAAAUGCAGUCCAACUGCUCCAAAGUAACACUCUACCAAUCUGUCUCUUGCAUAUGAAAAUUUAUUUGCAACAUCUAUAGUAUAAAAUAUCGAAUAUAUAUAUAUUAAUUAGGGAUUAGUUACGUAAGAACCAUAAUUAUGAGAUUUGAAGAGGGUAAGAGUACUAAUCCUUACAUUGUAAGUUCUCUAAGCUCUCUUUGGAACACCUUUUGCAAAAUAUUGAAAUCCAAUUUCGCAAAUUUCAAAAGCAAAUCGUUACGCGAUUCAAUGUUCUCAUACAUACAUAUAUUUUUCCUUGCUAAGAACCUUGGUAGAUUUGUAUGAAUGGGCUGGCUUAAGGCUUCACUAACUUGGGCCUUGAGUGAGUUGCCCAAUUUAGGGCCCAUGGACUCUAGAUGAGUGACGGUAAAAGUUAGAGCUUCUUCAAGAAUUUCUUCUCCAUGUACUCUUAAAUGCGCUGCUUCAUACAAACUUAAUAAUCCUUGAACAUCGAUAGUAAGAGUUUCCUUGAAUUUUCCGUCAUCAUUGGUAAAUCUUUUGAAAACAUCUGAUUUAACGUCAUAAUAUAAUUAUAUCAAAGAAAUUAAACUAGUUAAUUAAAGAGCCACACAGUAUUGGUCUAUUGGAAUACAAAGUGCACUAAUCUAUAAUUCUAUAUAUAUAGGAUUAGUAAUAGAGAAGAAAUAAAUUAAUUACCAGAAGACAUGUAAUGCCUUUGUUGUCUCACUAGUCGAAAUCGAAGAGCAACAACGUAUAGAUCGUCAUCAUUUUUACUUUGUUGGGACUCUUUAAAAAUGUUCUGAAUGUUUUGAUGUCAUUUUUGAAAUGAUAUUCCACUCCCAAUCGUUGGAUUGUGUCAAUCAAGACAAGUUUUUUGUGUACUAUUAUCUGGUAAUUCUACUAACAUUUGCCUUACUUUUUCUUUCAGCUCUUCAUGUUCAUGUUUCUCUUUGCUACUAAUUUCCUGCACCAAAUAUUUAGUGUUACUAUUUGAUCAUCAAAUAUUCAGAACAUAAAAUCUGGCAUAGAAUAAUACUUCCAUUAUAUAAAUUUAAUUAGAGGGAUUUGAUUAACCGUAUAAGAAAAAAAAAAUUGGAUACACUAGCAAUAAAAUUGCACUAUUAUGUCAAUUUAGGUAGACGUUUGGACAUGAACUGACGUUAUUUGAAAUAUAAUAACUAGUAUUUGAAGAUGAAGUUGAAAAAUAGUUUGAAAGUUAAAGUUGUGUUUGAACACGGGUAUUUCAAAACAAGUGUUGUGAAUAAGGAAGAGAAUUGGUUUGUGAAACUCAUUUUAAAAAACUAACCAAAAAUCAUACUAAUGUGCGACCAAAGAAAAUAUUUUUCAAAAAAAGGGAGGGAAAAAACUAAAUCAUGUUCAAACGGAAGUACUACUAAAGUUGUCGAAAAGUUCAAAUAGUCAACUAAUUGUACUACUAUCCAUUUGUCCAGAACUUUCACCUUGUUUGACUAUCUGAACAUUCAUAUGUUUGGUCACGAGGGUUCGAUUCCCCAUACACCUUAUAAUUUUCUACCCUAUUUUCCUUUCUUUGUUAGGGUUUUGUCCUGAUUUUCUUACCUUAUUUAAAGUUUGUUUUUUCUUAAAAGAAAAGACAAACCAUUACCAUACAUGAAAAUAUAUUUUUCUUCGAUAAUUGGGUUAUUCCUUCCUUAGAGAAAAUGUUUGGAAUCCUAUAAAUUAAAAACCUCUCUUCUCAUAUCAAAAAAAUACAAUAGCAUCCACAAUGUAGACGUUUAAGAGUUUAGUUUAUGGGAAAUUUUUCUCUCCACAAUUUUAAUAUUUUUCUUUUAUAUUAGUUUUUAUAUAAUAAUAUUAUGUUUUUAGUAUAAGUUUUUGUUUUCUAAUUUAUCAAUCAUAUGAUUUGCAAUUAUAAACUUCCGCAUGACAUCCUAAUCACUUUUGAACCCAACAUUCUCUGCCCCGGUGUAAUUAAAAAAAACACCAAAAAUUAAGUAAUGAUUGUGUAAAUAAAAUACCGUGAGUUGAGGAGUGUAGGAGAGGAAAAAAUCUCCCCAAAUAGUUGAGUGAUAAUUUACCAAUGGACGUUUAGUAGUAGUACUAGUAGUGAUCGAAGAAUCAACCAUUUCUCCACUUAUUUUUAAUUUACUCAUAUUUAAUGAAGGGGUAUAAUAUGAUGAAUAUAUUGUAUGUGGUACUUUGAGUUUAGAAUAAUUAGUGUUGAAGAGGAAAUUUGAUUCAACUUUUCCCAAAUUACAAGAGUAGUUGGAGGAAAUAGCCAUUUUUUUUCUAUCGAAUAUGGUUUUUCUUAUGAUAAUUGAAAAUUUAGGAAUGAAGAAACUAUUACAUUCUUGGCUCUAUUUAUAGUAAAAUAAUAUUAUAUGUUAUGUGAAGUUAUAACAAGGCCAUCUUUUUGUAGUCUCCACCGGACUUUAUCAAAGUACAACUUUCUAAGGACAACUCUACUAGACUAAUUACAUCAUUUAUUUCUAAUAGGUUAGCCUGUUUCGAUAACCUUGUCGUAGUUACUACCCCGUAUAGGGAUAAUAAUGUAACCAAAAUUAAAAUAAAAUAUGUUAUGUGAAGAAAAGUCCUCACACACUAUAACAAAAAUAUUUUUUAACAGUAAUAAAUUUGCAUAUUAAUAAUGAGUGUGAAAGCAUUAGUUAAUUGUCAUUGCAUUCAAUGUUGUUAUAGGCUUGAAGGACAUUUACAAAGAGUAUUAUUUACCUGUUAAAACACAUAUUUAGCAGCAAUCAAGCUAUAUCGUUAAUUAAUUACCAGUAAAUAUCUUCUUUUUUUAAAAUUUCAUACUUAAACUAUCACUCACUAAGGAGAAAAAAUGGGUUCCAAAAGCAUUUCUCAUUCCUGGCCUUUUUUUUUAUGACAAGGGAAACCCGCAGCUCCUACCCUUUGGGUGUGCACAAGGUAAAACUUCCGCUCCUAUGCAAUAGCUCGCAAACAACAUAGGAGAGGUAACCCGCACUAGGCAAGCUCAGUGCGACGAACUCGACCCAGAAGGCAAACCCCUGCUUUCGCUAGCAAGGAGUUUCGAACUUGAGACCUCCAACAUAAAAGUCUUAAGCCCAAACCACUGGGUCACCCCAAAGGGUAAUUCCUGGCCUUUUUAUGGCCAUAUUUGUAAUGAAAAGCUCUGAGGUUUUAGGGAGUUGGCUAAGACUUCACUAAAUUAAGUACUUAAAGUUACAUGCCUCAAUAUGUAUUCACUAAUGCUAUAGGUGAUGAGGCAAUGGACAAAGAGCCACACAAUAGAUUAAGGGUAAUGCUAAAUGGCCAGAAAAUUUAGUUAGAAUUUUGCCAGAAAUUUAAAAGUCUAUAAUAUUCUUUUUAUUUUAAAAUAAACUGAUUUUUUUUUCAUUUUUUAAUUAAAAGGAAUUAAAGUUAAAAGGCUAAAAAUGUUCAAAAAGGUAAAAUAACACAGUGUGAAACAAGUUAUUUUACCAUUCUAGCCAAAUUUUCUGGCCAAAUUCUGGCCAAAUUUUCUGGCCAAAAGGAUUUUUCCAUACAUUAAUUAUGUGGAUUGUGGAGCAAUAUAUUAAAUCUAGAUAUGGACCCCAUGUCAGCACAGGGCCCAACAUAUAUUACGUUAAUCAAUUUCUUAACAUGUUUUUAUAUAUUAGAGUCAACCAAUUUUUUUAUAUUUUUUUAUAUAGAGAGAGAUAAAUUUUUUAAGUUGCUAAUUAUUGUAAUUUAUGGUACUUUUUACGUAAUUUUCACAUAAUAUAUUACUCCUUUUGUGUUGAUUUAUGUGAUAUAAAUGAAAUUUUAAAAGUCAAUCAAUUUUUUUAUAAAUUCUUUUUGAUAUUUAAGUUAUUAAUUAUUGUGAUUUACAAUAUAUUUUAUAUAAUAUCCCUCUCUUUAUCCCAAUUUAUGUGGUAUAGAUGAAAUUUUGAGAGUUAACAAAAUCUUUUUAUAUAUUUUCAAAUAUUUUUUAAGCUAUUAAUUAUUAUGAUUUAUAAUACUUCUUACAUAAUUUAUAUAUAUAUAUAUAUAUAUAUAUAUAUAUAUAUAUAUAUAUAUAUAUAUAUAUAUAUAUAUAUAUAUAUAUAUAUAUAUAUAUAUAUAUAUAUAUAUAUAUAUAUAUAUAUAUAUAUAUAUAUAUAUAUAUAUAUAUAUAUAUAUAUAUAUAUAUAUAUAUAUAUAUAUAUAUAUAUAUAUAUAUAUAUAUAUAUAUAUAUAUAUAUAUAUAUAUAUAUAUAUAUAUAUAUAUAUAUAUAUAUAUAUAUAUAUAUAUAUAUAUAUAUAUAUAUAUAUAUAUAUAUAUAUAUAUAUAUAUAUAUAUAUAUAUAUAUAUAUAUAUAUAUAUAUAUAUAUAUAUAUAUAUAUAUAUAUAUAUAUAUAUAUAUAUAUAUAUAUAUAUAUAUAUAUAUAUAUAUAUAUAUAUAUAUAUAUAUAUAUAUAUAUAUAUAUAUAUAUAUAUAUAUAUAUAUAUAUAUAUAUAUAUAUAUAUAUAUAUAUAUAUAUAUAUAGUGAUAAAAGACAAAUUUUAAAAAAAUAAAACUUUAAGUUGCCAAACUACCACCCCUUGCUACAAGCAGGCACGUUGACGAAGAGUUGUCAGCUUGUAGCCUCUUCAAUAGUAUAGUAAUAAUAUAUAUACAAGAUACGGGAUUUGUGUAAGCACGGGCCCAAUGUAUAUUAUUUUUAUUUUAAUUUAUGUGACACGGAUGAAACUUGAGAAGUUAUUCAAAAUUUUAUAUGAUUUUUAAAAAUAUUUUAAGUUAUUAAUUACUAUGAUUUAUAGUUUUUUCAAGCGAUUUUGAGGUAAUAUAUAUUAUUUCGUUUUCCCAAUUUAUGCGGCACAGAUAUAAUAUCAAAAAUUAAUCAUUUUUAUGUCUUUUAAAUAUUUUAAAUUGUUAAUUAUUGUAAUUUGUAGUACCUUUUACGUAAUUUUUAAAUAAUUUUUGUUACUUCUCAUGUUCCAAUUUAUGUGGUAUUGAUAGAAUUUCGAGAGUUAGCCAAUUUUGUUUUUGUCUUUUAAAUUUUUAAGUUGUUAAUUGAUUUAUAAUACUUUUAACGUCACUGUCAAAUAAUAUAUGUCAUUUUCUCUAACCCAUUUUAUACCACUCAUAAAAUUUUGAGAGUCAAUGGAUAUUUUUAUAUGACUUUUAAAUAUUUUAACUUAUUAAUUAUUUUGAUUUAAAGUAUUAUUAUUGUAAUUUUCAAAUAUAUAACAGGCUAAAAAAGAAAAGUAAGACAAAAUUAAAAGGAAAAAAGUACAUAAUUAAUGGUCAAAUUAAUAUGACGCAAAUAAAAUUUGAAGAGUCGAUCAAGUAUUGUAUAUAUUAUUAUUUUUAAAUUAAGUUGUUAAUUAUUGUAACUUAUAAUACUUUUAACAACAUUUUUAUAAGGGAUAAUUUCAUAGACAUCCCUUAAGGUUUUCCUUUAUAACACGGACCUCCCCGUGGUUUGAUAUAUUACAUUGACCUCAUUCUCACUUUUUUAUAACUAAACUAAUUUUAGUGAUUAAAUUUACAUAAUCUUCCAAAAUUACCCAUUGUGACCUUAACUAUCAAAUAUAAAGCUUCUGUAGAUUUUCUUAAUACUCUACCUUACUACCAUUAUUAUAAAUAAUAUCUAGCGAUUUCUUCAAAUCAUCAUCAAUUUUCCAAUGUUUGCUGCCAUUAUGCAGUAGCCACAGUAAUUAAUUAUCUAGAGAGUAAUAUUAGAUGCAAUGCAAUAAAACCAAGCUCUUUUAUAGAGUAUUAUUAAUUUAUUUUAUAUAUUAAUAAGAAAUUAUAAAACUUCAGUUUGAUGUAGAUCUUCAUCAGAAAGAAUAUUUAUCAAUAAUUUUUUUUUACAAUUAUCCACCAAUUAGGUUAAAAUGAUUUAAAUUUCAAUGUCGGAUUUAUGUAAAGUUACUGAUCAAAACGAAUAAUAAGUUGUUUGAGAUCUUCUUGAGAAUUUGAUCGUGAGAGGAGAUUAUAUUAAAAGCCUAGAAUUUUAUUAAUAAAAGAAACCACAUAAGGGUAGUUUUGGAAUAUCAAAUAAAAUUUAUCACUUAAAUUAGUUUAGUUACAAAAAUGUCAAAAUAAGGGAGAUGAGUGUAAUAUAUCAAACCACAAGAAAGGUUAGUGUUAUAAAGACAAAUCUGGAGGGAGGUCUCUGAAAUUAUUUGGAUAUUUUUUCUUAUGUUCUAAUUUAUGUGGCACAAUAGAAUUUAGAGAGUCAGCCAUUUUUUAUAUAAUUUUUCAAUAUUUGAACUUUUGUAAUGGCAAUUAUGAUAUAUAGUAACGCUCCAUGCUAUUUGGGGCGUACAUAUCAGUUUGAUUUAGUUUUCUAUUAAACUAAAUCUAGAUUAGUCAUGUCAACUUAUUAAAUUUUAAAAUCACAUAAAGUUGGAUUUUUGGUUUCGGCUUUAGUUGGUUUUUUCGAUUUUUUACAAUUAUAUGGUGAUUGAAAAAGAGAUUAAAUAUAUUGUCACUUAUUGGUGUGAUAAUCUAAACUUUAAAAACGUUAAAUGAAUAGAAAUCUUCAAAAAGACGGUAAAAUUGAUACGAGUACAAAAUAAUUUUGUUGAAAUCAUUAUGUUAAAUUUAUAUGAUUAAAGGCUCCAGUCAAACUGAAUACAAAACAAAAUAUUUACAAAGUAGAUAGUUAACUUCGAAUUUUAAAAGUAUAAUUGUAACUUCCGAUUUGAAUAUAAAAUAAAAUAUUUAUAAAAGUUUACAAGUCCAAAUUUAAAAUAAUAUAUCUAAACAUUGAAAACUAUAAACUAAUAAAAAAUAUAUUAACAAAAUAGAUUAUAAUUAAUAUUUUUUAUCUAUAAAUUAAAAAUAAAAUAAUAUAUAUUAUGUCGGUCUUGUUUGGGUUUGGUUUGAUUUUUUUUCUUUUAAAUAUUUCAGUUCGAAAAAAAUAUUUGAUGACUAGAUCACUGAUCUAAUUUCUUUAAUCACGAGUAAUUGAGCUUUAGUUGAUUUUUUUUUCUUUAUCUACUAAAAUAUUUCAGUUGCUAAAAUUGAUGACUAGGUCACUAAUCUAAUUUCAUAAUCACGAGUCUAUUAUUAUUAACGGAUUUCUAGUUGAUUUUUUCUCUAUAACUACUAAGAUAUUUCAAUUUGCUAUUGAUCUAUUUCUCUAAUCACGAGUCUAUUAUUUACUGGAAUAAUCUAGAAUAUCUCCGACCAAACUCUCUAAAUAUCUUAGAAAAAAAGAGAAAAAAAAAUUACAAUAAAAUCAUGCUGUUUGCAUAUUCUAUCUAGAUAUUUUUCAACCUAACUACUAUUAUGAUUCAUUAUAUUUUAUAUAUAUGUGGUAAAAGUUGCAGUGAACCUAUUGAAUUGUAUAACCUAACCUAGUGUCAGAGUUAUUCAAUGUCUUCUGAAUAUAUCGAAAAAUAUAGCAUUUUAAAUCUGUGUGAUUAUCUCAUUUAAAAAUUUUAACAACUAAAGAUAGUAUAUUUUUAUUUAUUUAAUUAUAUUAUCAACAAUCUAUCUCACAUAAAGGCUUGAUUAUUCUUUUCCUUGAUGAAAAAUGUAAAAAAAGAAAAAGGUUUAAUAAUGAGUGAUAGUAAGAUUUAAAAAUAUUUAUGAUAAAAGGGAGUUGCUCGGAUGGUAAGCAUCCCUCACUUUCAAGUUUCAACCAUAAGAUUGUGAGUUUGAAUCACCAAGAGAGCAAAAAGGUGAGAGUUCUCGCUGUUCUAAUAGCUAACACCCCUUUGCGUAUAUAUUAUAUUGUAGUUCCUAUUUCUAGGAACACUUUCAAUAGAUUUUUAUUUAUUUAUUUAUAGAAAUUUUAAACUCAAAUCUCUAAUUAAGGAUCACAAUACUAAUCCAUAUCGAUGUAUAACAACUUUCAUAUUACUGUUCAAUAAUCAAAUUACCCCGAUUUGUGCACGAGUGUGCUGACUUAAACGUUAGAACAGAUAUCAUUACAAUUAGUAAAAUAAUGCAAAUCAUAAAUUAAAAAAAUAUUGGGAAUUCAAAUUGUUUUACUAUCACAUUUCUUUUGUAAAAUAAAAAAAUAAUAUUUUUCUUUAUUGCUUGGAAGCUUGAGCAGUAGUAAUAAUGAAAGGUGGUUGGGUAGCAGGUUUAUUAAAAUGACUUCUCAACUCAACUAUAGUACUUAAUGUUAUUUUUUAUAAUGAAUUUGACCCACAUGGGUCACUUUUAUUUAUUCUAAUAAAGUACUUAAUUAAGUUAGUAUUUAUAAUGAUUUUAAUUCGUAGGCCACUAGUUGUACUAGGCUCUUUCAUCUCGAGAAAAAUUUAUUUGUAAUUGAUAUUAUAUUAAUAAUAUUAAAUAUAAUUAAUUAGUAAGUAAUACCGUUUCACUAAAAAAAAAUAUACCAUCUCCCUCUGGACUCUGGUCCUCUCUGCUUCUAGCUACGAGAGUCAAAAAUUUUAGUUUAUUUAUUUCGGAUUCUAAUUUUUUAAGAUAUUGGAUUCUAGAUAAAAUUAUUUAUUCAUAUUAAAUAAACUUUUUAGUAUAAUGAUAAGACUGAAUCAAAAUUACUAAGCAGGGAUGAGACCCUAUAGUCUCUAUCCAGUGCUCUUCCAGCUCGAUAUCAGUAUAAGUAUCAAUCUCUUUCCUUUCUUGUGUAUGAGUGGAAUUUUGAGUAAUCGAUGAGACUAAGAGAAUCAGGAGAUAUUUAAUAGUUUGGGUCGAGCAUCUAAUCUUAUUAAGAGUUGUCCUUUCAGACCCUAUUCUCCGAAUGGACAAAGAGCAGGAAGUAAAGCACCCGCCUCUAGGAGGGAAGGGGUUAGAGUGUGCCUGAUUCAUAUGCAGUUUCCUCUCUGAAAGAUGUCCAAGUGGAGGAAAAUUCGGACUAUUCGGGGGAGCUGGAGUGGGUAAAACAGUACUCAUUAUGGAAUUGAUUAACAAUAUUGCUAAAGUUCACGGGGGCGUAUCCGUAUUUGGCUAUUCUAUCAAAAUCAUAGGUAUUAUUAUGACUUCAUUACUUUGGAACUUAGAGUUCGUUUGAAUUGACUUAAAAAAAGUAAUUUUUAAGUCAAAAAUAAAUAGUCAAACUGAAAUGACUUUUAGAAAUUAUUAUUUUUUAUUGAAAAAUGUUUGGUGGCUAUUUUCCCAAAUAUUUUGGUGGUGUGAAAAGAAAAAGUACUACUAUUUUCAUAUAAAACAAUUAGUAAGUUUUUCACUUUUUCUAGUGAAUUGAUUCAGUAGGAAAUAAGUGAAAAAAUUAUCUUUUAUAUCACCAAUUUUCUACUUAUUUGCGGUGGAAAUAACCUUUAUCCCUAGUAAUAAUAGGGUAAUAAACUCAAUUGUUAAAUUCAACAUCUUUUUACUUGCCAACCAAAUACACCAUAAAUGCAUCCUCACAUGACUUUUAAGUAAAUGUAUGUCCUUCACUUCAAUCUAAAAAAUGCAUUGAAAUCUUACUAUAAAUAUAGCCCAAUGAUGCUUCACUUUCUUCAUCCUUCAAUUUCAAGCUACAAUAAAGAAAAGAAAGAAUGGGUUCCAAAGCAUUUCUGUUUCUUGGUCUUUUUUUGGCUAUUUUUAUAAUGAUAAGCUCUGAGGUUUUAGCUUCUGAGUUGGCUGAGAACUGUAAGAUUAUUAUUUUCUCAUUUUAUUCUUUUAUGUCUUUCAAAUAUUGAAUAUCUUAUCUAAUUUUUUAUCUAGCAACAUAUUUGGUCCACUAAAACAAGUACCUUAAUUAAGUACUUUUUUUGAAUCGAGGUCUAUCAGAAAUUGUUUCUCUAAUACGUAGGGGUAAGGUUUCCAGACCUUUCAUUUUGUGGCAAGCUUUUCAAAUACGCCCACUUUUUAGAUAACACUGAGUAUGUUAUUGCUACGGUUAAAACAAGUACUCUCUUUCUUUCAAAAAGAAUAACUUCCUUUCCUUUUUAGUUUGUUUCAAAAGAAUGACUCAUUUUCUGUUUUGGUAACAUUUUACUUUUAGUUUUCCACGUAGCAUGUUUAAGACCACAAGAUUACGGGCAAUUUUGUACAUUUGACAUAACUUUAAUUUAGGACCACAAGAUUCAAAAGUCUUCUUUAAUUUCUUAAACUCCGUGCCAAGUCAAAUCAGGUCACUCUUUUUGAAACGGAGGGAGUACCAUAAGUUCCAUGUGUAUAUACUAAUGCUAGACUCUUACCAAGAUUUUCAUUUCAUGUGCCCUAAAUCUAACAAAUUGUAUGAUGAAAAACACUACAUAAGUAAAUGAUCUAACUUAGAAUAUAUAUAUAUAUAUAUAUAAGUUAUACUAUGUACAUGUAUAAAUAAUUUAUUCAGAACUAAGCAAGUUGUUUUAAAAAAAAAAAAUCAUAAUUCAUAAAUUUUAAAUUCUGACCUGUCUCUACCUAUCUUAUUUUUAACAUUACAUAUUCCACAUUUGAUGUAGCUAAGAAAUCUGAAAACAAGAAUGAAGUACAUGAAGCCCAAUAUGGAGGAUAUCCUGGUGGCGGACGCGGUGGUGGUGGAUAUGGACGUGGUGGUGGUGGAUACGGACGUGGUGGUGGUGGAUAUGGACACGGUGGUGGUGGAUACGGACACGGUGGUGGUGGACGACGUGGAGGAUACUGCCGGUACGGUUGCUGCGGCCAUGAUUACAAUGGUUGCUAUAAGUGUUGCUCCUACAAAGGUGAGGCAAUGGACAAAGUUACUCAAGCCAAGCCACACAAUUAAUUAUAUUAAUUAUGUGUGGACUAAUAUAUUAUAUUAAAACUUUUGUAAUGGCAAUUAUGUAAUAUUAUUAGUAAUGCUCUUUCUACUUUAGAGGUUGCUAUAAUUAGUAAAAAUGUAUGAAUAAAAGCCAUCUUGUAGUAAUUUUGUUGUACAAUGGAAUUACUUUCUUCAUCUUUCACUUUUUACUUAUUAAAUUUGGAUUUUAAUUAAUUGGUACCUUCGAUAUUUUAUCAUAAUAUUCAUACUUAAUGUAUUUAACGUCAUCGACAGACCAUUUUUGAAAUAAUUAUUUAGUAAAUGACGUUUUUUAAAUUUAUUUUGCUAACUUACAGACCUUUUAUGUCACAUUAUAAAAAAUAAGUAAUAAUAAUAACAAUUUAACAAAAUGAAAAUUCUACGAGAAAGUAUAAAAUCACGUAUUAUCAUCAAUACCAAAAAGUUAUAGUGCUUUUUAAUUGACUUGACCACUAUUCAGAGCUAAUUGGUUGUUAAAAUUUAUUCUUUGGAAUGAUUUAGCUCUUGUAGUCUUAUUUUCUUUAUAUUAAAUUAAUAAAGUGGGAUUCUUUUAACAAGUUCAACGAAAAGGCCAAAGUUUAAUUUGAAGUCUUUGGUUGUUAAAUGUGGCAUCUGAUCCCUCUCGUCUACCUGAUAUAUGAACCCGAAUUCGAAACAUAUGAUUAAGGACGGUAAAGUUUAACCAUCGAUAGCUAUGGAUAUAAGGUGAUAGUUAUGGCUUACGAGUUCAUUGAAAUUCAAUAGUUUUGGCUUGGAAUCUCAGACUAUGUAUAUAUGUUUAAAAGAUUAUUUUCUCUGUCUCAAUUUAUAUGACAACUUGAUAUUAUUUGACACAAAGUUUAAGAAAAAAAAUGAAAUUUGUGGCUAAAACAAAGCUUACACAUUUAUUUCUGUAGGUAUAAAUUAUUUAUUCGAGGGUAAAAAGAGAAUUAUAAAGUUAAAUUAUUUCUAGUUAUGAAAAGUUGAUUCUUUUUUAGAUGAAUUAAAAAAGAAAGUGUGUCGCAUAAAUUUGGACAAAUGAAGUAUAAAUAUGUACAAAUAAUAAAUUGUGAUAGAAUUUUGAACUAAAACCAUAAAGUUCAAUGGUAUCAUAAUAACAAUACUGAUAAUAGAAACUAGAUAACACUUGACUAUCUACCUUAAUCUUCGACCUUCACCGCCCUCCUAAUUAUAAUACUAUAGGUUGAUACGUAUCCUCCGUAAAUUACGUUUAGUUAAAGCAAGUCUUUAUGAUCCAUAUAAUUAACUAAUAUAUAUAAUAUUUUAUAUUUCCAUCUUUUUGACCCCAAAAGAAAAAGGUUUUUAUGAAAUCUUUCUUUUUUUUCUUGAAGAAUUCAAAGUAAGUCCUCAAUAUUUUCCUCUAUUUUUCUGAUUGUUGCAUGUAAGUAUUAUUGAGUUCUAUAAAUAGGGGAGAAAUGCAUGUCUUUUCUCAUAAGCAAAUAAAAUAAAAUAAAUUCAAAUUCCAAACAGUUUAAUUUGUUAAUCAAAAUGGUUUCCAAAAAUAUUUACCUUUCUUUGGUUAUUCUACUAAUAAUAUCCUCACAAAUUGUUGCAAGGGAGAUGAAUUCUGAGGCCCCUGCUCCACUUACCCAAGGUUAAUUUACUGUCUCCAUCUAUUUAUUAUUAUAAAAAAAAAUGUUUUUAUUUGUUUUUUUGUUAUAUAUAAACGAUUGAAUUUUCUUGACAUCAUGGAGAAUUUUAGUAUAUAGUGGUAAAGGGUGUCCAAAAAUAGUUAUAUUACAUGUCUAAAUACUAUAUAGGAUGCAUGCGAUACUAUUUUAUUGUAUUUUUGAAUCCCCUUAUAUGAAUUUAUGAUUCCGUUACUGACUAAUAUGAAGCUCUACAUACACUUUUUGAUGCAGCAAUGAAUGGAAACACCACUAGUGAGGCCAAGGGAGUGUUUUUUCAUGGGCACCAUUUACUGAGGAAUCUUGGUAGAAUUUUCAGAAUUGGCCAAGUUAUAUAUUGUAACUAUUGCUCAACUUGCAAUGGCCUUUGUGGCUAUUGUUGUGUCUAAAGCUAAGAUCAGUAAUCCGCAACCUCCUCUUUAACCACGCGCUUUAUGAAAAUACAUCUUUAAGUUUAUAUGAAAGUCUAUAUAUAAUUAAGACUUAUGUACUUGUAUUGGUGUGAAAAAUAAAGGAAAGUUAUGAAUAGAGUCCCUAUUCACUUUCCUCUAGUAAAAAAAACUACUUGUGUUUUGUUUUGUUUUGUCAUGUUUUUAUAAUUGUUGCAACUUGCAAUAAGUCAUGUGUAUGUACUUUUAAUUGGUUUAAUGAUCAAUAGUGUUUAUGUACCACGUUGGCUAUUCAUGUUGGGCUUAGUUUAAAAUUUGAAUCAUCUUAAUACCUUCACUACAAAAAAAGUAAUAUUCGACCUAUAUAUACAGUAUAAUUUUCAAGCGAAAGGUGUUUAACUGACCUCUCUUGAGCCUAUGGGAGAAAGGUAUAACCAAUUUACAAGGUUUACAAAUGACUCAACAAAAUUUUCAAACCAGAAUGAGACUGCCAAGGAGCAUCCAAGAAAAUUGUGUGUAUCAUUGAGGAAUAGAACUAUGCAACUGCUUCUGGUAAAAAUGAGGUGCAGCCUCCGUUAGCCAAGAAGGAUCGAUAGUGAUGACAUUUCGCAUGUACUGACGAUCUGUUGAAACGAGAGAAUGGUACACAAUGAACUUCGGAUUGACCCUGUUAAAUAUGAGAAAACCACAUUAUAAACUAGACAUGUAAGUGAUGUAAUACACGUCCACUCAACUAAGUUUUAUGUCGAUACUAACAAGGAAAUGUGAAAAUGUUAGUACAAAAUUCAGUCAUGCUCUUGUUGAGCAAGGUCUAAUAUGAUGUUCAGUAUCCAUGCACACAUAUAGCAGAAAAGAAGGCGACGAGAAAGUUCCUGACCACACCAUACUACAACAGGAUGCAAAAAAGAAGGGAAUGUUACCGUUUCCUAUUUAUGGAUUUGACUCGAGAAUGAUAGAUCUUCCUAGUUCCUAGGGUGUUGGUUAAGUGGUAAGGACAAAGUACGUGAUGUGUGAGUCAGGUGCACGUCAGCCAUACUCUCUGGAGUUCUAAACGUGUGCCCCAACUGAAGUUGGGCAAGAAGCCCACAUGGGAUUUCUCCAACUUGAGCAACAGAAAUGACUAGUAUUCUUAAUAACUUAGAUAGUUGGACUAUCGAAACCAGUUAUAGAAAUAUUGAUACCUUUAAAAUGGCAAUAAAUUGCAGACAUGAACGUAAUUUCCUCAUCUUAUGAUUACGAAGGGAAAAUAAUUCUUACGUCUCCGUAAUAUCAGCAAACCAAUCAAGCUAUCAUAGUUUGAUAGAGACAUUAAUAGAUAAAUACCUGAACAACACAGAUGAAGGAUGAAUAUACACUUCUUGAGAAGUUCUGAGAGUCUUGUACAUCCCAUUGUGACUGAACGGCUGUUUCAAAGAUCAGCAACAGAAGGUUAUCAAAUAUGCUCAUACCAGAAAAAUAAGGCAGAAACGGAAAGAGUGCGUUUUAAGACAAAAAUAGCUACAUGUACCAAACUUCAUACUCACUUCUAAGCGGGCAGCAUUGGCAAAAAAACCUGCCGUAAUUGCCUUCUUUACUGCCUGUGAAAUGACUAAAUUUAGUUAUGCCUAUUACAUCAUAAAAGAAAGAGUUGCCCCAAAAAACUUUUAAAAAAUAUGCUGCUAUUGAGAAAGUGACCAAGCUGCAAUCUCUAAACCUGCGAAUAAUUUUAAUUGAAGCCCUUAGCGGCCGUUGCAGCUCUAAUUUGACGGCCUUUUGGUGGCGGAAAAGAAUGAUUCAGGCAACAAUAUUCAUUCAAUGACAAGCGAGCAAUCAGUUUUAAAACAUGGGCAACUGCUCCACGGUCUGUUGAAUGCUACUGACAUUAACAACUGAGUAAGCAAAUUAAGUUACCUGAAUAUCCCCUUCACAAGAUUUCAAUCCUAUGCCCAACCUUUGUGUAAUCCUUUUCAGCUGUUCCCUAACUUCAAUUACUUUUCUCUACAUAAUGGCAAAAAAAUCAAGGAUGCCAUAAGGGGCACGUUCACGAAACACUGCAAAAUGUAAAAAGUAGAACAUCAUGGAAGUUGGAUUAGGACUUACCAUGGCAUGAUAAUUUAUAAAAUUCUUGUGACACCACUUCGAAGAUUUAUUAGACUGAAUGAAUCCUUUAUACACAUUUAAGAAUGUGACAUGGUCACCCUGCAAAGGUAUAUCGAAGUUACACGUGAAUUUACUUGUAGAAGGCUAAACAAGUAAAUAACUAGAAAUAAAUAGGCAGCAAUCUUAAUUCCAUUUAGUGACUGUAUUGUCUCUACACAAACUUUCUAAUUGUAUGUGUUAUUUUAUUGGACUUCAUCGAACACUUUUUAAGCCUUGAAGGUGAUAGUUAGCAGAGUGGCAAGUUUGUAGAAAUCACAAGACAAAACACAAUAUCUAUCCUUUGUUUAGUUUUGCACCAAUAUGAAUUCUUGACUGGGAAAACAUUUCUGCUUAUGCAAUGAAUCAAGUAAAUGAACAAAAAAAAGGGAAGUGCAAGAUCCUGAGAAUUACGCCAUUUCCCUCAACUUUCUUUACCUACUCUCUGUUAGUCCAACCCAUUUAUGUGACCCUUCUCUAAAUAAAAAUAUUUGCCACCUCCAAAAGUUUGAACUUAGUCGUAGCCUUGGGAUCUUUCAUACAAUUGAAGUAUCCUUUAGAUAAAUCUGUACUCACUCCAAUAAGUAACUCAAUACUAGAGUAAACAUUUGUUAAUCUACAAAACAGUCAGUUCGGAUAAAUCAAAUGACAAUGGACACAAAUUAUAAAGAUUACUUUGCAUAAAUCUCAGGAAAGUACAAAAAUUAUAAUUUUAUUACAACAAGAGGACAAUACAAACUAAAGGUGAUAGUGAAGCAGGAGAAAAGUGGAAAAGAAAAUUAUUAACAUCUUCUGUACAGUGUAAUUUAUUUGAGCUCUAAAUUUUACCAUUAUCUAUUAUGAGACCCAUAUGCAAGUUGUCAAAUGUGUACUUCAUCGUGUACUUUAAGUAUAAUGCAACUAAGUUAUUACAGAGGUGAACCUAAUAAGCGAAAAAGAAGAAACUAAAAACCUCGGCAGCUGCAAAUCUCAAUUUAGCUUCAUCCAACUGCUUCUGUACUCCUCUAACAGGAAUCCAAAUAGACUGCAAAAAUAAACAAUAUAUUGAUCUGACAAAAUAUACAAGUCUUGUUUUAUUGCUAAAUCAAUUAGGGUUCGGAAACGAGGAUUUACCUGUAUGGAGAGCACAGCAGCAAUGGUAAUUAUUUCCUCCGAACAUCCAAACUCACAAGAAGCUAAGAUCAUUUUGGAUAUUAAUGGGUCCUACACAAAAAUACAAGUUUCAGAAACUGCGUGAAUAAGAAAAUUCCUAGAUCCAUGAAUUGAGAGACACAUUGCACUAUUGUAAUGCACCGAGAGACCUUCAACAAAGCAUCAAGCAUCUAGUUAAUCAACUUCCUAUUGGUCUCACACCUAUGGCACUCAACAACACAGUGCAUCAGUAUAAGAGAGCUAUAUAUAGUAUACAGCAUAAGCUAUCUUGGGGGUAACUGGUUUUUAUUCAUUAACAAUUAGAUGUUACAGAAGAAAAUGAAUAAAGUCAAGACUGCAUCUUCCAAUUGCUAGUGAUAACGAUAGACUACAACAAAGGCAAAAGAGUUCAGUGUUGCAGUUUAAGCAAGUCGCCUCAACCGCCACAGCUGGCAACAAAUAUUCGUACUCUAAAUGUCUAAUUACCAGCCCCAAAGCAAAGGCUUCUACGAAAUCAAAUUGAGUAUCCAAUGGGAGUAAAAGAAUUGUGUGUGACUCUCUCUCCCUCAAUUGCAGAACUCUUUAUUACUUUUUCUUUUUUGUAAUGGUGUUGUUCGGUUUACCAGGUACCUGCUUGCUUCCACCAGCAUAGGUGUUGGUUAACUAUGCCCGCCAAGACUUAAGACAGAUGUGGAAGAAAUCACCUGGCACUUCUUUUCCACUGAUGGGAUUUGAACGGGGUCUCCCUUGGUUUUCAUCUCACUAUAUAGACCGCUAGGCCACUCCCUUAGGUGUUACUUUAUUUUUCAUAAUUGUGUAAAUAUUCCUUUGCUCAUUACUUUUGUAAGAUGUAUUUCCUUUUUAAUACUUUUAUUGGAGAAUGGGGAAGAGGGGUAGUGUUUGGUGAGAAAUGUCAUAAUAAAGGUAACAGAACUGUAAAUUUGACGGGAAGUCUCCAACUUGCAAGUCAUACCACUGGAGCUGGCAAAAAAAAGAUUGCACUGAACAGCAAAGAAGUAAAAAGUGAGGAAAUUUAACAGAGCAUAUGAGAUGGCUGAUCAGAAACAUACCAGUGGAAUCUCUGCAACUUGAAAUCCAGUAGGUGAAGUAAGCUUGGCGUCGUCAUCUAGUACUCCAAGUGAGUACAGUACUUCAAGUGCUCUGAUCAUCGAUUCAGGUGAUGGAGAUGCUGGCCAAUCAAAACCUAAAAUAUUAUCGAUGCCCAAGGCCUUCAACUGGGACAUAAAUAAGAAACGUUAUUAGCUAAUAUCCAAAAAAUUUCCUGACAGGCUGAACAGUAAGAUGAGACUCAGAUUUGAAAAUUUGAUGCCACAAGGAGAUGAAACUCAUACAAAAGGCAACACAACAAUCCUUUCAACAUGUUCUACUUACAAAUAGAGGCUGAAUAAGCCAAUUACCCCCAAUCAAGUAAUAGAAGCUUCAUGAAUGAGCAAACUUUGAUAUUCUUAUGGAAAAUAAAGCAUAAAAGGAAAUUUCAUUUUUCAUGAACAAUAAUUUUUAUUUGUUUCUUCGAGAUCAGAUGUUGAGUUAGAUCAAAGUAUGGAAAGAGAAGAUUAAUAAAAAGGAUGAUCUUUGCAAUGAAGAAAAGAAAGAAAAAACACAAAAUACUCGAUAUAGUAGAGCAAAAGCUCAUGCACAUUAGGGAUUUUUAUUUUUUUUUGAAACUACCUCAUUCACAUUAGGGAAAUUCUAUAGAUAGUGGUCUCAUUUCCUUCCAACCUUUCAUUUUUGUUGGAAGAUUGAGAAAAAUAACGCAAAAUAACACAUCAGGCAUGAAAUUUUUACAAGGCAGAUGAUCUAGCCAGCCUCCCUGAUAAGGAGGUCAUAUUUAAAGCUCCACACAUCAAGUCAUGGCAAGAAAAAGCACGGCAUUAGCAUCUUCUUGGUUCAAGAAAGACAUACCUGGAUGACACAGGAAACGAGGUUUGAUCUUUGAAUCUCGGGGAUUCCCACCACAGACAUCUCAUUGGAAAAGUAAUCUUCUGUGUAGAGCCUGAACAGGAAAAUAGAAGAGUCAACAACUAUAUUUAUUAAACGAAAGGUAUUAUAAACAUCCCCAGGACCAGAGACAAAUUAAGAAUCCUCUACUUCCUAAUUUAACAUAGUCAUUAGAAAAAUAGAAUCAGUGACACAAACAAAGUGAUCUUAUUCACCAACUGAGAUCUAUGAUGGGAACAGUAGGGUGUCAAUUCAUUAAAUGCGCUAUAAACAAGUACUUACCCUGUUGUGAAUCAAAUGACAUGGUUUGAAUUUGCAAUGUCAAGAAAAGUUUGCAGAAUAACGCAUUGAGUUGGGAGUUUAAUAAGUAAAUUGUUUCACAUGCAAAAAAGUGAGAUGAUGGAUCUUUUUAGUUUAUCCAUUUGUUGACUAGCAUAAGAAAGACUCCUUACAUAUAAAUUAUAUUCUGUGUCAGCAACGUUAAGUAAUUAGGGCCAAACCAAACUGGAGAUAUGAUACAACAAUUUUGGACUUGGGGAGUGUUAAGCUUUGGAAAAAUUCAAUCAUUACAUAAUGAUAUGGAUUCUUCUGUGGUGCUUCUAUGUGGUGAGGGCCACCUACCUAAAACACUUUCCUGGUCGAACUCUUCCAGCUCUACCAGCCCUUUGUCGAGCAGAUGCCUUUGAUAUUGGUGCCACUACCAAGUUCUCAAUAUCUGAAAUCUGAUAUAAAGCAGAUCCAAAAUAAAAAGAAAUAUCAGGCAUAGCAUGCAUACAUUGCAUUCCUUUUGGCAUUUCUAAAUUGCAUUCUUUAUGCCCUAAUUACCAGAAAGGCAGAAACUGAAUCAACAGAACUGAGGAAAGCUCAAUACAAAAGUAUCGGAUAGUUUUCAUCAGAAGAAGCAAGAGUCCAACAUAUAGAGCACAUUCUUCAUAGUGACAAACUACAAAUAUCUUCCCACUUUUGCUCAUUAAAGCAUGUUUUGUACAUCCAUGCUUCAAUGGACCGAAGUGACCAACAGGAAGAAUGAGGGAGCUUAAGGGUAAGAAAUUCAAGCUUACAGAACACAAGCUUAUUAUCAAUGUUUCUACAAAAGGCACCGUCAGGAGUCAUGACAUCUGGAAACGGGUAAUGCAUGUAAGAUAAGGCAAUACUGAUUCUUGGUGCACAAAACCAGAAUGAAGAUUUAGAAAAUUGCUACUAAAAUCGACAUGGUGUAGAAAUUUAUCAGAAUAAUAGCAACAUCAUCAACCACAAAAACCUGAACAAAAAAGCAUGGGAAAAGAGUCAAGUCAAACAGAGAGAAACAAAGUACCGGAUUGUAGAAACGUUGUUUUGAGAACCCGCUAUCAACAACAUAGACAAUACCCUGAAAACAGAAAGAAAAUUUUCAGCUCAGGAAUAUGAAGACAAAUGUAAUAACAUGUAUGCCUCAAAGAUUUUGACCCCAAGGUUUCAGAUUUAUACCUCUAGAGUCAAUGACGUCUCAGCAAUAUUUGUUGAAAAUAUCACUUUUCUCUUUCCUCUGGGAGUAGGGGAAAACACAAGGUCCUGUACAAUUGGAAGAAACAGCACCAUUUGGUGAAAGUUCAACAAAAUCUUAACCUUAAAAACUGCAUGAUGCAUUACCCUACCUGAUCUGCUCGAGGAAGUCCCGAGUAUAGUGGCACAGAAACCAGUCCUGCAAGAAAAGUGAAUUGAAAAACGUAUGAUAUCUAUCCUUUUUUUUCCUUUGAUUUCAUACAAGGCAAUGUAUUUAUCUACAACCACUUUUCUAUUAUUUGUUAGCAAUUCUAUUAACACUUAGCAAUGGCUAAGAGGAUUAUUCAGUACCUUGCUUCCCACUACUUUGGGCUUCUUCAGUGAGCAAUUGUAUUGCAGUAUCAAUAUCAUCUUGACCAGUGAGAAACACCAGGAUAUCUCCCAUCCGCUCCUACAAGUAUAAAUAAACAGCCAUAAAUCAAGUGUUGUAUGAUAGUAUAUUAAGAAUCAAAGAUGAAAGAAAUCAUGGGAAAGUUAUCCUGAGGAAAUCAAAAAUGAAUUACUACACUAGAGGCUGCAUUGAGACAUCACGGAUUUCAAUCAGUCUCAUCCAAAGACAUCUAGUACAAGAGGUCACAUGCAAUACAUUGUAGACAAACGAAACAGGAUAACAAAGGCAUAACACUCAGCUGAGUUUCUGCACCAAGAAUUGUCUGAAUAAGCCAACCCCCUCAACUUAAAUGGGUCUUUGGAAAUUUAUUUACCACGUGCUUCAAAAUUUUCAUUAGACAUAUCCUUCAGAGAAGCCAUAGAACUCAAUAUAAGAUAAUGAAAAGAAGUUAGCUGGACCAUUAUAAUAUAGAGGAGAUGUGCCUCUGCUGAGAGCAAAGGUGCCCAAAAACUUAUGUUGCUUGGACUCUUAAAAAAUGUCAACAGGUGUGUCGUAUUCUCCAAAACUAGUAUGUUUUUGGAGAAUCCGACAUGGGUGCGGCAUCGAAAGUGAAGAGUCUGUACAACUUAGCCAAAAACUAACUAUGUUGUACGCACAUUAUCAUCAAGUGGCAAUCAAGGGUACAGAAGAAAAUUCAUCAAUGAGAACUAAACUCGACAUUUUUCACAUUCGAGCAUGAUGUAGCCAAAUAGUUCAAAGAAGUCAUGUUCUGGUGUGUACCUGGUCAUGGAUCGACAUCACUGUUGAAACAGCAGACCGGACGUAAUCAGAAACAGGAUCAUCAACAUAGAAUAUCUCCACAUUAAAUCCCCUACCCUGUAGGUCUCAGUGAAAAAAGAUGAUAUUUCAGUAAGGUUGCAAAUCAACCAAAGAAAAACAUAAACAAAAUCCUCUACCGUAGAUGUUCACAGAGUACGUAAUGAUUCUAUAGACAUGCUGCAAUUCAACUAAGCAAUCUAGUUAAUAAACUUUAUUGAGUUUUGGUUGUGCAGACAAAGAAGACAGCAAAGAACAAAUCCGUAUACCUCAACUGACAGAAUAGCAGGUUCUUUUGUUGGUCCUUGCUCCUCCUCCCGUCGUCUUCUGCAAAUUUUUGGUCACAUGUAGAAGCGUUAGUGCACACAGUAAACCUAGAUACUAAAAGAAGACCGGUUUCCUAAAAGAAGAUACUUCAAAGGCUGCUCGAAAUUUGAAGCACAGAAACGCAAGUGUUACUCAGAAGAGCAUAGGAAAAGUAAGGUUUUCUACUUCGUGAUUCUGAUUACUGAAGACUCAAAGAUGUCAAAUUAAGAAUUAUGUAAUUAACAUUCCUUUAAGUAGUUCAUGUUUGCACCCAAGAGUGUGGCCUAGUGGUCAAUAAAGUGGGAGGAGAACCAUGAGGUCUCAUGUUCAAAUACCAACAGAGACGAGAAAACAUUAGGUGAUUUCUUCCCAUCUGUCUAAGCCUUGAUGGAUAGGGUUACCUGGCACUUGUUGCUUGUGGGAGGUAGCAAGUACCCGUGGAAUUAGUCGACGUGCAUGCCAGCUAGCCCAGAUACCACAGUUAUUAAAAAAAAAGUACUUCAAGUUUUUCUAUAGCUCUAGUAACAAAUCAACCGCUUCUUCAAAAGUCAUUUCUAUCCUUACCGUAGAGUUUCUGUCAUCAUUCUCAAUAGCAUUGAUAAAAUCCUACAUAAGCAUUGCUCAGACAGAGGCGAGAAUCAUCAUUCACUAAUGUACCAACUAACUAGCACUAUGACCAUUGAAUGUCCUGUUAACAAAAUUUACACACAAAGAGUGGUCACAAAUGGGAGAAGUAAGUUGAGAUCACUUAAUGUUAAGCUUCACAAGGACUACUAUAUCAUUGUGUCAAACCAAUACCAAAACACUCAAGAGACAGGAACCAAAGGUGAGUGACAAAGCAAAAGUGAAACAAGUAUUCACUUUAUUUUAGUUCUCACUUUGAGAGUAAGUAUUCAUUUAGUCUAAAACCCAAUGAAUAUUCAUUAAUUAGCUCUCAUAAACAACUUAUCAAAACUAAUAAACAAUAAUCCUUGUUUUAAUAUGUUUCCAGAGUUUGCAUAAGAUCAGCUCAAUUUCUAUUCUAGGGAUUAUCUUCUCUACUCAAUUUUUUUUGAAAAUGGUAGCAUUGUAUUAUAUCACAAAAGUACAUGGGUUGUACUCAAACCUUAUAUACAAAUGCACUCCAGACACUCCUACUCUAUAUCUAUAUUGAGUCUAAAACAUCGACUAUAGAGGCCGUGUCUUUUGAGUAUAAUUGAUUACACCAAAAACAUAACAACAAAAUGCAGUUUAGUUUAACAUCCUGCACACUAUUUUCUAUGCCUUCAAAACAUCUGGAAUUCCUUUCUUUCCAGAUCGCCCACAAUAUUGAAGCAGUAAUAAUUCUCCAUCUAGUUCUGUCUUUUGCAAGGGCACUUGCCUCCUCCCAGCUAUACAAGGCCUCAGUAACACUCCUAGGCAUAGUCCAGGAUAUGCUUUUAAGGCUCAAGAAAAUCCUCCAAAGCUGCUGAGUGUAUUUGCAGUGUAGAAAUAGAUGGUUUACAGUUUCUAAGGUUUCCCCACAUAGGAAACACCUAGAGCAUAAGGUUAUCCCCCUUUUCAUUACAUUAUCCUGAGUCAGGGCAGCUUCCUUAGCUAGCAGCCAAAUAAAGCAUGAGACUUUGUGUGGGAUUCUACACUUCCAUACUUGUUUCCAAGGCCAGAUGGGACUCUGCUGGCUUGAUUCAUCCAUCAGCCUGUAAGCUGAAUGCACUUUGAACUCUCCUCUAUUGUUGCCUUUCCACCAAAGCAUAUCCUCAUAUGCCUGAAGUCCAGUAAAAUGUCCAACCAACUUGAGGAAUUCUGCCAACCUCAUCACUUCCCAGUCAUUUGGUUCUCUCCUGAAGAUGAAAUUCCACCCUUGUGGUGUCCAUAGUUCUGCAAUAGUUCUUUGUUGGAGGUUAUCCCCCUUUCCAUUACAUUAUCCUGAGUCAAGGCAGCUUCCUUCUCUACUCAAUUCAACAAAGGCUAUACCCAAAACUUGAGUCUUGAGGAAAAGAAUUGAUAGCAUGAGUUCAAACUCUUCCAUCCAUCAUCGAGCAACUCCAAGAUGCCAGGAGCAUACCUCACCCCUCUUAACCCCCCUGGAUAGAAAAGAUCGCAUACCUCAACUGCCCACAAGGACCUGGUGGAGAAGCCAUCAGGGCUCAUGAUUUAACACUAACAGGGAACUCCACUGGGAACAAUUCACUUAAAUAUGACCUGUUCUUAAACUUUGCACCAAAGGCUAUAGCUUGGUUGGUAGAGCAACUCGUUUACACACGCGCAAAUGUUUUUCAAGGGAGUUCAUUCUGGUGCAAGAAAAGGUCACAUUUUCCACUACAUAUUCAAAAUAAGACCAGGCACUUAUUCCAACAAGGUGAUGAAAAGUACUUGAUUUAUCCAAUUAGAGGAUACAACUCAAUACAAGAAGCAUAACCUACUGAGAAAUUGCAUCAAUAGAAAGCAUAAAGGAGAAUCAAACUUUUUUGAACUUUUGAGUAUAGAAUUAUAAAGCUUUGGUAAACACUCGUCACAAGAAGAACCAACCUUGUAUUAAAGAAAGCAGCCAUUGAUUUUGCUUCAAUCGUAGCUGAUGAUAUUAUAAUACGCAGCUCAGGCCGACGCCUUUGAAUCUAAAUUUUGCAGAAGCAAUAGGAACAAUAACAUUUUUAGCAACAAGAACUAAACUAAGUGCACUCAAACGAUAAGAAACCACGUAUAACCAGUCUAGAGUAUUUCCUGAUCAACCUUUUUCAGUAGUCCCAAUAAGAUGUCCGUCGAGAGAGACCUUUCAUGAGCUUCAUCUACCAUAAUCACACUGUAUGAUUAAAAAGACAAAUCAGAGUACACAAUUUUCACUUUCCAGUAGACAUUUUCAGUAUCUGGUAGAAGUAGAAAGUGGAUUAUAUUUCGUAAGCACAUCUGAGUUUUCGGGAAAGAAAUUAAACCAAUUCAAAGUUAAGACAGCAUUCAGGACAGAUGAGUGAAUUUUUUCUUUAUAUUUCUCUGUGAUUAUAUACUUUUUCCCCAAUUUUACUAGCUCGGUUUCCAAAGAAAUGCUACUCACAAUUCAGUGUUGAGUUUGACAAAGGAAAAAAACAUAAUAAAGAGCCAAGUGCUAGCAAAAUUCUAAGCUCAGCCCAUCAUGUGCAUUGUGAAGCUUAAACAUUAAUUAUUAGAUUAACCAACACAUAAAUAUCCACUUCUAAAAAUUUAAGAUUAUUAUUUCAGUCUUCUCUACCAAACACAAUAUUCUAAUAAACAUUGAAAUGAUUGACACUUGGACUCCAUGAAGUUUAAAGUCAAGAACAAGGGUGUAAAUAAUAGAACUAAAGCAGCACUACAUGAUGAAGAAGAUAGAAAAGGAGGCACUAGAACCCUUCCAAGGCAUAAAAAGCAUAAAAAGUACCUAUACUUGCUCAAUAGAGGAUCAUCCAUCAUUUCCCUCAGCAAAACCCCAUCAGUAAGAAAUUUGACCCUAGUUAAUUCCUGUAGUGAAAGAACACCACCAUUACUGUUCCAGGUCAACAUAUUUUAUCCAAAAAAAGGAACAAACUAUUUCAGGUCAACAUAGUCACAUAAAAAUGCCAAACUAAACUUUAUUUCUUUCCUAAAACAUUACAGGACCUAACACCUUGAAAUAUGCAAUCCCAGCAGAUGUCAAAAGAUUUAUCUGUUUUUUUAGGAACUUAUGAAGUAUGAACUCUAAAAAACUGAUGACGAAGCAAAAGAGUAUUUCCUUUAUCCCAAAAAAAUGGUAAGUACAAAGAAAGAGCUCCCACCUCAUUCGUGAUAUCUUCAAAUCGAAUAGUAUAACCAACUUCCUCACCAAGUUUAACAUCCAUUUCUUCGGCAACUCUUGUAGCAACUGCCUACAACAUAAAAUAUUGAGACUUGAAAGAUGUGUUUCAAAAUAACUGAACCAUAAGAGACAUUAUGGUCCAAAAGAUUAUGAGCAGGAUGUCUGCAUUGAUCCUCAAUAUCAUAUGUGUAAAGAUAUGACACAUGAGUCCUCAACCCCAAAAGCUAGCUCAAGAGGGUAGGAUUGCCCAAAUCCAUACAAGCAAACCACCAACCAAUGUGGGAUUAUAAUCCACUCUAACAAUAUGUUUGGGCCAACUAGAUAUCAAUAGUAGCGAUUUUCACUUUCUUAACCAAAAUAGAAGAGUAACUACAUAAAUUUUUAACUGUAAAUACAAGUAUCCAGGAGAAUCUCAAAAAUAAAGUUACAAGUACAAAUAUAUUUGUCCCUCACAAGCAGCCAUAUGGCUUGCACUACUCUCAAUUAGAAUGAUCAAGACAAACAUGUAAGACACAAAAGUUCACUUAUUAAAGAGCAUAUAGAGCUCAGUAACAGAAUACUACACCUGGACUGCCAGUCUCCUUGGUUGGGUACAAGCAAUCAUUCGCCCUCCCUCAGCCCAACCAGCUUCUUUCAGGUACUGCACACAUUAAAAUGUAUCAAAUACCAUUAAACUUUUCAAGUUUCUAAAAGAGUUUAUUUUGUUAACCAAACUAAAACAAUUCACUGCCAUUAUGAGGCUAAGCAAUUUUCUCCCACUAUAUAUCUCUUGCUCCUACAAACAUACUUCCACUCUUUGCAACUCAAAAUUAUUACUGAUACCACCUCAUAUGCUGCAUAACUCCCCCUCCCCCCAAAACCACAAAUAGGAAGUUCGUCGGAAAACUAUACUGUGUAAAAAGGUUAAAACACAAAUCUUUUUGUAUGUAUAUAAGUUGUAGAAUCCCCUUGAUAUGAGUGAAGUUGUAGUGACGAAGAUGCAUUCAAGCAUAUUUUUUAAUCCCCUUAUUAAAUUGUGCCAGAGCCACCUUUGUCCAAGGCAAGUCAACUGAUACCUACACUGCAUAAAUAGUUCAAUCUUUUUCCCUUUUUAUGUAUAUAUACUAGUAUAUGUUAUAUGCUGAAUUCUCAUCGCUUCUUCGUGAGUUUACUUCUAUAUAUUUUGAAUUCCCUUAAUGAAGUCAUGGCUCCACCACAGUUCUGGUUAAUGGAAGACAGUUCAUAGUCUAACUAUGUUGAAUGCCAAAAUACUAAAUCAUAACAGAUACUCAGGUCUGAGGAUUCAUAUAGCCAACCCCAACAAGUUCAAGACUGUCAAAUAUUUUUCCGAGGACAUUUCACAUCAUACUAAAUUAAAAAUAUGAACUUUACAGAAAAUCAAGAAAAAAACCUGAGGAAUUUGAGUGGUUUUUCCACUUCCAGUUUCUCCAACAAUAAUGGUAGUAGCAUGAGUCUCCACUGAGUAAAGAAUAGCAGUUUUGUACUUGUACACAGGCAACCUCUGUCUUUGCUUCUCUAAACUCCCAUACCCAAAUCUUGAAAUCCCACAAAUAUUACAUAAAUAACAACAUAUACAAAAAAAAUUAAAUUUAAAAAAAAAAAAAAGAUACCUAGAGGAAGGCAACCUCUGUCUUUGCUUCUCUAAACUCCCAUACCCAAAUCUUGAAAUCCCACAAAUAUUACAUAAAUAACAACAUAUACAAAAAAAAUUAAAUUUAAAAAAAAAAAAAAGUUACCCAGAGGAUGAGGAAGAAGAUGCAGUGUAGAGAAGAAUGCCACCCUCUUCAUCAUCUACAAGACGGGGCCGUUCAGUUCCUGGUUUCCAAAAUUGUGACAUUUUUGUAGUAUUAGAGCUGAAUUGCUUCUGUAAUUUUCAGACUGGAGAAGAAGAGAAGAAGAAGAAGAAGAGAAGUUGGGUUUUACCAAAAAGAUUUAGUUUUGGGCCAAGUGUAACAACAAGCCCAUGUUUUGGGGUGAUUUGCUACGAAGGAAAAUUGACAUAAAUAGUUGUUCAUUUAAAAAAAAAAAUCGAUAAAUAUAUAUUAUAUAUUUUUAUUUGAUCGGUUAAAUGUGCAAUUAUCUUUUAUGACAAUGUAUCGACAACAUUUCAAUUUGGUUCAUAUUUUUAAAAAUUAUGAAAAUCUAGUCUUUAGAAGAUUGCUCAUAUUAGACUUGAAUAUAAUAUUUGAUAUUGUUCAAUUUUAUCGACAAAAUAUAUUAGAUUAUCUUCUAACUUUUGCGGUGGCUGAUGAAUUUUAGAUCAUCAUUUAAUAUUUUCUCAAAAAUCUUCAAAUUGCACAAGAGUUGUUAGAAUGUGGUCUAAAAGAGGUAUAAUAAAUUGCGAAGAAAAAUAAGAUGAUGCACACUUACUCUCACAAAAAUAAGCAAUUAGUGGACUUCUCUUAUCAAAAUUGCACAUUUCGGGAAGUAAAUUUAAGAAAAGACUCAUUUUACUCGAAAAAAUAGUGAGAUAACAAUCGAUAUGCAAACCUUUAUUUGAUUUACGGAAAUGGACUUUAGAAAAAUCAAUUAAUAUGUUUGAAAGUUAUCAUAAAAAGAUGUAUGAAGUAAAAUGGUACUUUAAUCCUGGUCAACAAAGUAAAAUUUUUAGCAUAUCUUGUAUUAUGUGUUAAAAAACAAAUAACGUAUAAAUAACAGUAGAGCUUUCUUGUUUUUGGUGCUUAGUAAGUCUGUUUACUAGGCCUGCCCAACCUGACCCCUUAAGAUUUAUGAUACCGAGUUCCCGAAUCAGGCCUAACUCGGUCCCUCCAUUAAUGGGCAGGGCCGGUCUCGGACGGAUCAGUGAACAUGGUGGGAAAAAUUCGGCCCGUGCCCGGUAAGGGCAUUUUUGGCGAGCCUGAUGGGCCAAACCCGAAUUUUAAUAACAGGUCGGGUCGGGUCGGGUUGUUUUUUAAAAAAAACAAAAUUGAUUAUUAAUUAUUAAUUCAAAAGUUUGAGUCACUUAUCAAUAUAUUGUAUUGUUAUCUAUUUAAUUUUGUAAUAAUUAUAACUAUUUAUGACAAUAUAUUAUCUAAAUAAUAAAAUAGUUACAUUAUAUUAUUUAUAUAUAUAUAUAUAUAAGUAAAGUUGAGUUUGUUAUUGCUUUAUCUUUAAUGAACUNNNNNNNNNNNNNNNNNNNNNNNNNNNNNNNNNNNNNNNNNNNNNNNNNNNNNNNNNNNNNNNNNNNNNNNNNNNNNNNNNNNNNNNNNNNNNNNNNNNNNNNNNNNNNNNNNNNNNNNNNNNNNNNNNNNNNNNNNNNNNNNNNNNNNNNNNNNNNNNNNNNNNNNNNNNNNNNNNNNNNNNNNNNNNNNNNNNNNNNNNNNNNNNNNNNNNNNNNNNNNNNNNNNNNNNNNNNNNNNNNNNNNNNNNNNNNNNNNNNNNNNNNNNNNNNNNNNNNNNNNNNNNNNNNNNNNNNNNNNNNNNNNNNNNNNNNNNNNNNNNNNNNNNNNNNNNNNNNNNNNNNNNNNNNNNNNNNNNNNNNNNNNNNNNNNNNNNNNNNNNNNNNNNNNNNNNNNNNNNNNNNNNNNNNNNNNNNNNNNNNNNNNNNNNNNNNNNNNNNNNNNNNNNNNNNNNNNNNNNNNNNNNNNNNNNNNNNNNNNNNNNNNNNNNNNNNNNNNNNNNNNNNNNNNNNNNNNNNNNNNNNNNNNNNNNNNNNNNNNNNNNNNNNNNNNNNNNNNNNNNNNNNNNNNNNNNNNNNNNNNNNNNNNNNNNNNNNNNNNNNNNNNNNNNNNNNNNNNNNNNNNNNNNNNNNNNNNNNNNNNNNNNNNNNNNNNNNNNNNNNNNNNNNNNNNNNNNNNNNNNNNNNNNNNNNNNNNNNNNNNNNNNNNNNNNNNNNNNNNNNNNNNNNNNNNNNNNNNNNNNNNNNNNNNNNNNNNNNNNNNNNNNNNNNNNNNNNNNNNNNNNNNNNNNNNNNNNNNNNNNNNNNNNNNNNNNNNNNNNNNNNNNNNNNNNNNNNNNNNNNNNNNNNNNNNNNNNNNNNNNNNNNNNNNNNNNNNNNNNNNNNNNNNNNNNNNNNNNNNNNNNNNNNNNNNNNNNNNNNNNNNNNNNNNNNNNNNNNNNNNNNNNNNNNNNNNNNNNNNNNNNNNNNNNNNNNNNNNNNNNNNNNNNNNNNNNNNNNNNNNNNNNNNNNNNNNNNNNNNNNNNNNNNNNNNNNNNNNNNNNNNNNNNNNNNNNNNNNNNNNNNNNNNNNNNNNNNNNNNNNNNNNNNNNNNNNNNNNNNNNNNNNNNNNNNNNNNNNNNNNNNNNNNNNNNNNNNNNNNNNNNNNNNNNNNNNNNNNNNNNNNNNNNNNNNNNNNNNNNNNNNNNNNNNNNNNNNNNNNNNNNNNNNNNNNNNNNNNNNNNNNNNNNNNNNNNNNNNNNNNNNNNNNNNNNNNNNNNNNNNNNNNNNNNNNNNNNNNNNNNNNNNNNNNNNNNNNNNNNNNNNNNNNNNNNNNNNNNNNNNNNNNNNNNNNNNNNNNNNNNNNNNNNNNNNNNNNNNNNNNNNNNNNNNNNNNNNNNNNNNNNNNNNNNNNNNNNNNNNNNNNNNNNNNNNNNNNNNNNNNNNNNNNNNNNNNNNNNNNNNNNNNNNNNNNNNNNNNNNNNNNNNNNNNNNNNNNNNNNNNNNNNNNNNNNNNNNNNNNNNNNNNNNNNNNNNNNNNNNNNNNNNNNNNNNNNNNNNNNNNNNNNNNNNNNNNNNNNNNNNNNNNNNNNNNNNNNNNNNNNNNNNNNNNNNNNNNNNNNNNNNNNNNNNNNNNNNNNNNNNNNNNNNNNNNNNNNNNNNNNNNNNNNNNNNNNNNNNNNNNNNNNNNNNNNNNNNNNNNNNNNNNNNNNNNNNNNNNNNNNNNNNNNNNNNNNNNNNNNNNNNNNNNNNNNNNNNNNNNNNNNNNNNNNNNNNNNNNNNNNNNNNNNNNNNNNNNNNNNNNNNNNNNNNNNNNNNNNNNNNNNNNNNNNNNNNNNNNNNNNNNNNNNNNNNNUAUAUAUAUAUAUAUAUAUAUAUAUAUACACAUACAAACACACACACUUCUAAUAUACACCCAAUAUACUAUCUAUUAUAUUAGAAUACUUACAUUAUAUUAUAUAUAUAUACUUCUAAUAUAUACACAAUAUACUAUCUAUUAUUUUAGAAUACUUUUAUUAUAUUAUAUAUAUACUUCAAAUAUAUACACAUCGUAAUUUUUGUGUAUAUAAGGUUGAUCAAAUACGAAGUCGUUAAGCAUGCAUAUGUACACCUAUCAAAGCAUUAACCUCGUGAAAAUGUUUUCUUAAAAAAUAAGAAGUUUUUUCACAUAUUUAUUAGUGUUUAGUAAAAACAUAUAAAAAUAUUAUUUGAAGAGCGUUUAUAUAGAAAUGCGAAUUCAGGAUUUCAACUUUAUGAUUUUAAAACAAUAAUUUCAAAUAAUAAUAACGAACUUCAUAAUUUUAUAUGUGUAUAUAGUUAAUAAGUUUCUUAACAUAAUUAGAUUAUUUGAGCAAAAGUUAAUGAAUUCAGCUCAUUCCUUAUCUAGACUCCUAUACUUCUACUCUGUUUACAUGUAACAUAGGAAAAAUACUAUAGGGUGGAAAUAAAGUGGUGAAGGAUUAAGGUGGGUGUUGACGUAGAAAAAAGAUAUUAAUAAACUUGAAAUGUCAAUUAUAAAAUUUAUUUUCGUACUCCCAUUAGAAAAGUCGGCAUCAACCUGAUUUUUGAAGAUUUUGUUUUUCAACCACAUUGGACUUAUAUCUAAAAAAAAUUGAACUAUAUAUAGUUGUUUUAUCAAUUUUGUGCUAAGACCUAGCUACAUAGAUGCUGCCCAACCUUUACCCUCACACAACUUUAAAUUAAAGUAAAUCAGCCAUGCUGCUAUGCCUUCUUGUCUUCAACCUAAACCGUUAAUUAAAUUAAUGGAGAAAAACCUUAAUCAGAGGUCUCGGGUUCAAGCUCUGGGUAUGGAGAAAAUCAUGUUGGGAGUGCCACCCCCGAAUGGGCCCUGCAGUGCGCGAUCCGGAUUUAGUCGGAGCUUCAAUGUGGGCUCUGGACACCGAGUGAGAAACCAAAAAAAAAAAAAGGAGUAAUCAACAAGAAAACAUAUUAUAAACUCAUUUUAAAAUCCUUACUCAAAUGGUGAUUAGUUAAUUUCUUUAUUCUUGUUAUACUUUUCUAGAGAAUUUAUCUGUUGCUCCCUUUUUUAUUCUUCUUUUUUUGAGAAGAUUUAUUUAAAGAAAAUACAAUAAUCAUGAUUUGGAUUAAAUUUCAAUGAAAAAAAUACAUUAAUGAAGAGUUAAUUCGAUAAAUAUAAUAUUUCAGGUAGAAACCAUUCAUGAUAAUGAAUCCAAAAAAAGAGUUAUCUUAAAGUUACCCAAACGAGGACAUAAGUUGGGUCACUUAAAAUCUUUCAAUCUAAAAGUUCCUUUGUAUAAACAGGAGGAAAAUGGAAGAAUUUUAAUCAAUAUAUCAUUCAAACACAUUUAAAUUUAGAGUUCAUUAAUUCAUCAAAAUGUUUUUCAAGACAUGUUUUGAUUAUAACACUUUGUUUUCUUGUGAUUCUAAUGAUGUCUUCUGAGGUUGCUGCUAAGGACAUGUCUUCUGGUCCUUCACUCAAGUGUAAGUACUUCUACAACUCUUUAAAUUCUUCCCUAAAAAAUAAUGCUCGAAUUGUAAUAACAUAAUUAAAAUUUUCAUUAAAGGAGUCAAAACAUAAAGAAGUAAACACAAUAAAAAGAAUUGAUCAGGUUUCAACACACAAUAUACUAUGUAAUUAUUCAGCGAAGAAGAACUAGAUGACUGAGCUACGUACAGAUAGUAUCUUAGUCAUAUCACAUAUGUAACAUUUUGGGAUCAUUCGUACUUUUACCAUUAGCAAAUCAUUUCAUGUUUACCUUUAAUCCUAACAGAGCACCUAAUUUAAAGUAUAACAUAUGAUGAUUUUAAUUUAACCAUAACGAAAAGUAAAAUGGAAAUAUUUCAAACAUGAAAUUAUUAGUUUCUCGAAGUACUUUUGACACGUGAAAUCCUCCCAAUCUAUAUGCUAGAAUUCUAUCAAAAUUAAGGAUAAAUAUUGACGAUUUGCUAAUAACGAGAAUAUAAAUUAUUUAAUGAUCUAAGGGAUCAAACACUGCGAUUAAAUAAAUUAAUCGAAGAUGAAUGACUUUUUUCUCAUGAAAAAAAAAUAAAGCAUCUAUAUAAAUCACAUGCAUGCAUCAUUAUUUAUUUUUUAUUAUUUUAAUUUUUUAAAUUAUUAUUAAUAAUUACUUUGUGCAGCAAAUGAAGCUCAAGGUACAACUGGAACUGGGGAUGUGAAUGACUCAAUUAAGCCCCACCAGUGGGGUACUUUGGGUAAAAUUGGAUUUGGGACAAUUUAUGAGACUGCUUGCGCAGUGUGCCAGUGUUGUGAUUAGUAUUAUAUAAUUAAAUUAAUAUGGAUUAUAAUAUAUACUUUAUCAAAUAAUCUGAGAUUAUAAAUUAUAGCAGAAGUUGCAUGGUUUACAUAUAUUGUACACCCUAAAAGAAUUUCUCUUUUUAUAUAAUGUAUGCAUGCAUAAGUUACUAUGUUUAAAUAAAGGGAAAAUAUAAAUACAUGUGUGGUUUCUCUUAUUCGAUUCUAUAUUAUAUAAUAUCUAUCUCUUGUUCUAUAUAAUUUUAAAUUCUAAUUAUUAUUGAAAUGGCUAGUUAUAACUAAUAUGAGUCAAGAAAUUAGACUCAGAUUAAAGAAUAAAGAAAAUGAGUCAAAGUUUUGUUAGAUAAUUUAUCGGAUAAGAUGGAUUACAAGAUGAUCCUGACUUUGCCAAGAGAGUUCAUAAGCAAAAACACCAAUCAAGAUGAAUCUUUGAAUUUUGUCCAAUAUAACAAUAAAGAUUUGUACUAAAAAAAUUUAUAUAUCCACUAUGAAAAAUAUAAUUAUAAAAUUAUAUUUAUUAUGAGUGAAUUGCGCAAAAAAUACAAAAAGAAUGAAAAUACGUAACUUCUAAUUAAAAACUCAAUAUUACAAUUUACAGUACAUUUUGUAAGUUUUAAUGAGGCGUUUGAGUAGUUUUAUCAGUCAGUAUUUUGAGGACUAAUUAAUCAAGUUUUAAUAAGAACUAAACCAUAUUAGGAGGUUAACCUUGAUAAUAGGCGAUGUAGAUUUUUAUCUUGCUUACUUGGUUACAACGUAUAUUAAUUAAUUUACAAUUAAUAAAAUAUAGCCUGUCAAUUGAGCUAAAACGGCUAUGUUUCUAAGUUCUAACCAUGUGUUUUUAUAUCCGUCAUUACACUAAAAAUAUCCAUGAAGUCUAUAGCGACAUGAAUCCAAUGACAAUUAACUAAUAUGUAUAUAUAUUACCGCUAAAAGCUAUUUUUAUUAUAGUGACGCGAGGAUAUAAUUCAGCACACAACACUUAUGAAGGUGACAUUGCAAUUACAUUAUGCUAAGCUAACAUGUAAUUAUAAUUAAUGGAUAUGAAGGUGUAGAUGUCCCUACCGUGUACAUACUUCACUAUCGACACAUUAGCCUCACGAGAUUUUAACUCAAAUAAUGGUUGAAUUAUGAAACAUCGAGUAUGAUUAUAAAAUUUACGUACGUAAAUUUCACUAGUUUAGGAGUUAAUUAAUUAUAUACACUUCAAUUUACAAUAUUGCGUAUCUUAUCAUAUUUUUGUGCAUCCAUAUACUUUCAGAUACGUCUAGAUACAUGUAUUUCAGGAUAAAUGCAUGGGGUCAAAUUUGUUCUGUAUUGUAUCCAAGUGGAUUCGCAUGUAUCGGAGGAUACAUAACAAAUCUCGCUCAUCUCUCUCACAUCUCGCUCGCCACUCUUGGAUGUAUCUGGCAUCUCAGAUAUAUGCGAAUUACACUAGAUACAUAAAGAUAUAUAUGUGUCCAGUGUGAUUCACAUGUAUGUUCUGGAAUACAUACGAAUUUUGCUUGCCUCUCUCCCUAUUUUAGGUAAUCUAGUAGCAAAAAUACAUAUAUCUAAGUGUAUCUUCCUCAAUGUAUGAUAAAAAAUUCUUAAUUAGUAGUAAACUAGUAAUAUAUGUAUUAUUUUGAAAGUAUAGAUAAUAAUAGUAGAUAUGGUAGUGAAAUAUUAUUUUUCCUUUAUUUUUCUCGACCAAACAUGAAAAAAAACCUAAAACAUUUUCCUCUAACACAUGCACCCUUAAAUCUUACUACAUUAAAUAAUUCGAGAAGAGUGUUUUUAUCAAUUUUGUGCUAAGACCUAACCACAUAAAUAUUGUUACCAAACUUUUCCCCAAACACAACUUUAAAUUAAAGUAAAUCGGCCAUGCGGCUAUGCCUUCAACCUAAACCUUUAAAUUCAUGGUGAUUUGGGUUGAAUUUCGAUGAAAGAAUAUAUUAAUGAGAAGUUAAUUCGAUAAAAUUUAGCAUUUGUGAAAAUAUAUAUACAAUAUAAGAACUUUGGAAUGAAAAGGAGUCUGGUUCCAUCAUUCACAUGUGAAUUAAAUUUUGAUCAUUAUUUUCAUAUUCAUAAUAGUGAGAGAGAAAAAAAAGGCAACUCUAAAUUGUUUUUUCCACAAAAAAGGUUAUCUUAAAGCUACCCAAAUGAUAAAGUUUGGUCACCAAAAUCUUUCAAUCCAAAAUUUUCUAUAAAUAGGAGAAAAAUUGCACAUCAAUAAUUCAAAUACAUUUUGGAGUUUAUUGAUCAAAAUAGGUUUCAAAAUAAAUCUUUUGCUUUUGACACUUUGUUUGUUUGUGUUUCUUAUGAUGUCUUCAGAGGUUACUGCUGCUAGGGACACACCCAUUGGUCCUUCACUAAUUGAUCCAUCACUCAAAUGUAAGUUUUCUAUCUUAUUUACUUAUUUUUCGGCGUGAUUUGAACUUCCAUCUACCGAUCUAUGAGAAAAGUGCUUAAUUACUUGAGGAAACUCCCAUCUAUAUGUUUUGCCUUUAUUGGUACAAAACUUCUUGAUAGAUAGUAUAGUGUAGAUACAUAUUUACCAUUAUUUAUUUUUAUAUAUCUAAUAAGAGAACCGUAUAUGUGGGUGCAGCAAAUGAAGCUGAAGGUACAACUGGAUCGUUGAAUGACCUGAUUAGGCCCCAAUGGUUGCAAUUCGCAUGGCCGAUAGGAAAAUUUGUCGCAGAGGAGGUAGCAAUAUAUUGCUUAGGUUGCCAGUGGAAGUGUUGCAUGCUGGAUCAUAUUCCUCCUAAUUAACGACAAUCUGAUGCACUAAAUUUUUAUUAGACAUGUAUUUCAAAAAAAAAAUCGGACCAUAAAUAUCUAGUAUACACAAUUUUACCAUUAGUAUACUCCUACUACUACUAAUAUAUAUAUAUAUACUUUGGCAAAUAACAUUAUGAGAUUAGAACAAAGGAACAUCACUUUCCAUUAAUCUCAUAAUAUGGAGUUUAAUUAUUAAGUAUAAUUGUAAGCUAUGAUUUUAAAUAAAGGAAAUAUAUGUUUUUGUCAUAAUUCGAUUUUAAAUUUGUAUAAUGCGAUUUUAUAGUAUUUGAGAUACUAACUAUAUCUCAAAGAUGGAGGAAGGGUUAGAUUUUAAACUAAAGUUGGGGGUGUAAUUUGUAAAUGAUUUUCACCCAUAUUAAAUUUACUUUCACUUUUAAUACAAGUAUCAAAUACAGGAUAAGUGACAAAAACCUCCAACUUAAAUGACACAAAUAUCACUUGUAAAAGUUUUUCCUACAUUCAUUAAGUCUUUUUCGUGCAACUUAUUUUCCUAGAGAAUAUAUAUUUCAAAAAAAUUGAUCAAUCGGACAUGAAAAAGAUCAAUAAACAUUUACCUCCAUACCAAACACACCCACAAGGUUGUGUGAUUUUCCAUAACUUAUAAUUAACCUUUCUCUACCAAUAUGAGUUGUGGUGCAGUGGUGAGACUAAUUCAUCGUUAACUAGAUCUUGGAUUCGAAUUUUCAGUAUGAAGAAAAUCUUGUUGGGAGCACUACCUUCGAAUGAAUCUUGCAGUGCGUGAUUCAAAUUAAUCAAAACUCUAAUGCAGACUCCAAACACCAGGUGGAAAAUUGAAAAGAAAAAAAAAACUAAUUAACCUCUCUUUGGUUAUGGACCUAAAGAGCUCAUGUUUUUCAUCUCUAUAUACAAUAUUUUUUGGUAUAUAUUGUAGGAGUUUUUAGAAAAAUAUAAAAAUAAAAUUCUACUCCAUCUCUUAAAAUAGCCAUUAAAUUUAUAUAGGAUGUUAGCAUUUCAUUUUAAGCCUGAUAGUAGGAUGUUAGUAUUUUAUUUUUAAGCAUAAUAUUAGGAUGUUAGUAUUUCAUUUUUAAGACGGAUUGUAGGAUGUUAAUAUUUCAUUUUUAAGCCUGAUAGUUAAGUAAAUAGAGAAUCUAAGAACGAUAAAUAUUCACUAUCAAAAUGAUUCCACUUUCAAAACUUCAUGAAUUCAAAACUUUUAAUUAAAAAUAAAAAUACUUAUUUUCCUAACAUAAUAUAUAAUGAUAAUAAACAAUAUUUCUCAUUAUUAAUAAUUACACAUAAUUUUCAAAUAAGUUCUUACGAAAUAUUAUACGCAAUUUAAUGAAAUUUACUUUUAUAGCACAAUAUAUUUCUUUAGACGAUAUGUUUUAACAAUAUCUAAAGAAAUUAUUCCAAAAUCAUGUCUUUUUCAUUCAAAUCUUAAUCCAAAACCUACAAAAUUUAACAAGUUCAAUGCACCUUCAGAAAAAGGAAAAAAUAUUGUACUUUCCAAAAGCACGUAGAAAAAGUAAUUUAUUUCCUUGGUAACACUACAACAUAUCUUAACAAUAUCCAAAGUAAUUAUUCCAUUUUAAUUCAUAUCUUAAUCCAAAAUCUACAAGAUCCCAACAAUUCAAUGCACCUUAAAAAAAUUUAAAAAAAUAAUCGUUCAUUCCCAUAGCAUGAAGAAAAAGCAAUAUCAAACUUUUCCCUUUAUAAAUUAACUUAAUUUAUCAAAGAUCGCCAAAGAGCAAUAAAUAAUAUUUCAUUCUUAAUUACGUAAAAUAUUUUGAAUGAAAGUUAUACUAAAUAUGAAAAUAUCUUUGUUAAAACACUUACUUUAUAUUUUAAUAUAAAUUUAAAUUUAAUCGAAUUUUUAAUAUAAAUAUCACAUAUUUCAAAAUGAAAGAAAAAGAAUCUUCUUUUUAUUUUCUUUACCAAACUAACUAGUCGACCCAUUCCAUCAAAUUAUUACUUCAUUUUCACACGCAAACUUUUUCCUAUUACGUGUCGAUUAAUUCAUGGAUUUUUUUUAAUGCAAAAUUAUUAUAAAUUACAACAGUGAUAUGACUUCUCUUUUAAAUUGCCACGUGUUUCAUUUAUUUAUUUUUUUACAUAAAAAAGACAAAUAUUAGUCUUUUCUGGAAAACUUCAGCACGUAUAUCAUUGGUUAUAUAAUUAAAUAAUGCUCUAUAUAGAGGGUUCAUGAAAUUAGAAUAUAAAAAUAUGAUCCGCGCAAUCCGCUCCUUUUGAAACCGACAGUUUUGUUAACGCAAUCUAUUUUGAUUUGUCCGAUCUAUUCAAUAAUUAUGUUAAAAUAUUUUGAUGAAGUAUAUUUUAUGCUUUGAUAUAGUAUAUAAAUCAUUUCCAAUUUGUUUAGAAAAAUAUCUUUUUUUAUCUAACAUGUUUAAGAUUAUAAGAACAAUUUUUUAGUACAUUUACCUAUUUUUAGUUUAAAAUUACAAGAUUCAAGUUCUUUGUUUUUUUUUUUUUUUUACACUCUGUAUCUAAUUAAAAUUAGACAAAUUAUUUAAAUUAAAAUAUAGAAAUUAAAUUUUAUUAAAACGGGCUAGGUAGUGACUAGGACUGUUCAAAACCGAAUCGAAACCGAUAUCCAAACCGAAAAAAAUUAUUGGUUCAUCGGUAAUGGGUUAUUGGUUUAACGAUUUUGAUUUUUUUUGUUAUCGGGUUAUCGGUUCUUAACGAUUUGAGAUUUUUUCUUAACGGGCUAACCGAUAACCCGAUAGUAAAUUAAUAAAUUAUAUUUAUACCAUUUUGAUAUAUAAAAUCCUUGACUUAGGAUUUAGUUUCAUAUUUUUAUUUCUGAUAGUCUCAAACUUUCGGUUAUUCUAUAAUGUGUUAGUGUUAUAUUUUAGCAAGAUACAAUUUAUCAACUCAUGUGCAUGACUUUUUGGUUUGUCACCAUGUUUCUAAGUGAUAUUCAGUUAUUUAUUUUUUUGUGUCAAAUUUUAACGGUUAAAUUGAUAACGAUCAAUAACCAAUAAAUCAAUAAUCGAUAAACCAAUAUCUUAAUGGUUCUUAACGGUUUAGGAUGUCUACAAAUUAAUAACUGAUUGGUUGAACCGAUAAACUUCAAAAUCGAACCGAAUCGACCAAUACGUAGCUCUAGUAUUUAUUAGAAUAUUUCAACUCAACUCAUAUAAAUUCAACUAACUUUAAAUGUGUUAAUAAUUCAUAGACUUAUUUAUUAAUUUAAUUUAAUCUUUUAACUCGUUCAUUUAAGCAUGGGAAACAUGAAAUUAUUUUUGGGGAUUUUCAAUUGUUUCCAACCACUAAUUUCUUUUUGGCGUUCUUGGGAAAUGACAAAAGUGGUCUUACUUGGUUUCGACACGUGGUCUAAAUUCAGCCAUAUAUUUAAGUGGCAAAUUAAAGUGAUUUAAGUUAUAUAGUACUAUUUAUUGUAGUAGUAAAUUUAUGUAGAUCAAUGUUUUUUAUAAUUUUUUUAAAACAUAAUUCAAGAAUUAAUAUAUUUAUUUUUUUUCAAUAUAAAAUUAUCUUUAUCAAGGAUAAUUUUAUCACUAAACGAUAUAAACUUAAAUUUAACCAUCCAAUAUACUAUACCAAAUAACAUGGACGAAUCUUAACUGUUGGUUACAAUUUAACAAAUUCAUCUGAAUUCACAAUUUUUAACAUAAAUAAUAUAUAUGAAGAAAAUUAUUAAAAAAAUUAUACUAAAUAUUUCAUUAUGAAUUCAGUUAUUAUUAAUAUAUUAACUUAAAAUCGUUAUAAAAAAAGAAAAAAACAACUAUAACAUAUCUGAUAUAAUUCUAUAAUUGGAAUUUGAGAAGGGUAUCGUUACACAAUAACAUAAAUUUUAGUCCUUAUGAGGGUUGAAAGAUUGUUUUCGAGAGAUCCUCGACUCAAAACGAGAUUAAGAAGGAAAAAAAAAGAAAAAAAAAAGGGUACGUGUCGCAUGAAACAGUUGUCUUAUUCGAGAAGUCGCUUUUUUUGAACAGUACCCGAAUUAACACAUUAUCUGACAACAAAAAAGCGGCUUUUUUUUUCACUUUAUUUUAUUUAUUAAUUAUAAUUAAUUUAAUUUAUUACCUCAGAAUUCAGCUCUUUCCAUUUUUCAUUCUCCUUUUUUCUCAUCGGAAAAAUAUAGUAUCUGCUUUCGGAGCUCCGGCGGUUUUGUUUUUUCCCGGCGGUCGUGAUGUUGUCGCUGCAAACCGAUCUCCGGCAGUACAAUCAGCAGCAGCAGCUGUUGAUAUCUAGGGUUCCGCCGUAUGAUGGCGUUGCCGUCGGUGAUCAGAGGAUCGAUUCUUCUUUUCCGUUCCAGUCUGAGUCUGCAUUGUCUUCAGGGAAUAUCAAGUCUGAGUUGUCUCGUGAAGGUUAACUAUUUUUUUUCCUUGUGCAAUUUGUUUUGAAGAAAUGAAUUUGUCCAUUAUUUUUGCUCGUGUGUAUAAAAAGAUUGAAUUUUUGUAAUUUUUUUUAUCUUAAAAACUUAAAAUUUUUAAAGAAGAGAAUUGAUCUUAAAUUGAGACAGAUAUAAUCGAUACAUGUUCUAUGUAUAUGUGGAUUUGUAAAAGAUUGUUUGUUUUUGCUUGGUUAUAGGCUAUGAAUUUAUCUGCAAUUUGAUGUUCUGUGUUUAAACUUACCAAUUGGUUAUUUUGGACUUAACUAGUCAAGUUGAUUAGUUGAAUGUAGUGAUUUUUUUUCUCUUUUUAACUCAUUUUGCUAAAGGAAGUAAGGAACAUGUAUGUGCUGUGGUGUUGCCAAAUUGAAGUUGCUAUGCUCUCAUGGUGCGUAUACAUAGUUUAUGUAGCUACAGCUUUCGUUCUUCCCAGGUGGUUGUUUUCAGUUAAUUAUUUGGAGGAACAAAUGAGAAGAAUGGAUCAGUUUAUUAAGCUGCUUUGUGCAGUCCAAUGGGUGUGAAAGCAUCAAAAGAGUUGGCAAUCGGAUCGGGAAAAUGCAUGAAUUAAAACAUUAAAAUAAGUGAAUACUUAUAAUAUUUUUAAAUGCAUGAAUUGAGUUGAGGGUCUAUUGGAAACAACCUCUCUACCUCCAACAUAGGUGGAAGGUCUACGUACACUCUACCUCCCUAGACCCCAUUUUUGUGGAUUACAUGGGGGAUGUUAAAAAAAUGUAUGAAUUAGCCGGUCUGAAGCUUAUUUUUCUUGGACUUUCCUGUUUCCUAUUAAAUGCUGGUAUUGACUUGACCUGGAACCUACAUUGGGUUGGGAUCAAUGGAUGGCUAUUGGGAACUUUAUUUUAAAAAAGAGUAAAAACAUAAACAUCGGGUACCACCUGGUGAAAGAAUGAAGACCAGGGUAAAAACAACAUUUACUGUUUUCCUUGUUCCUUCCGAUUUCUAUGAAGAAUACAAACAUAUCAGAUGAUAAUAUAUACUUUAUUUUAAAAGAAAGAAGAGUAAAAAACAUAAACAUCGGGUACCACAGUACCACCAAGUGAAAGAAUGAAGACCAGGGUUAAAACAACAUUUACUGUCAUCCUUGUUCCUUCCGGUUUCGAGAAGAAAACAACCAUGUCAGAUUACAAUAUGUGCAUGUACGGUGAGACGAGGGAGAAACUAACUAGGUUUUCUUUUUAUUCUCACUUGUUAUUCAGAUAUGAAUCUGGCUUGUGCAGUCAAGUUGUGAGGCAUAGUAACAUUUUAAUGAAAAAAGAGGUCAUUUUGGAUUCACAACAAUAUAUACCUGAUUAUCAUUUAUCAUACUUCACUUACAUAUUUAUAACUGUAUCCCUGUUGCAUUAUCUUAUAUUUAGUAGCAUUACCCAAUAUUUCAUCUGCGUCAAAAGCGCAAGGCACGAAAAGAGUCCAAAAUCUGUCGGGCUUUAAGCGCAAAACAGUAAAGCAUGGGAUUUAAUGGAAAAAGGUGCUAAUGAAGCCAAUUAAAAUCAUAUACACAAUGUUACUUAAAAAAUUAUAUUUGUAUUGCAGGUAAAAUUACAAUAAAUAUACGAAGUAAAAGUGUGUUUAGUAGAUUCAAAAGGCAUUGGAGUUUUAUUAGGGAAAAUCCAGUUCUUGAUUUAGAUGAAAAGAUAUGGUUUAUAUUCUUUCAGUUAGUUUUUGUUAGAAUAGAAAUAAGUAUUUCCUACUUAGAAUAGGAAUAGGAAUAGGAAUAGGAAUAAGAAUAGGAAUCCUAGUUGGAAAAGGAUUCCAAUGUAGUGUCUAUAAAUAGGGUCUCAAUGUAACUAUUUAGAUAUACAAUUCAAUAAUAUUUUUUCUAUAUAUUUCUCACAUGGUAUCAGAGCAUUGGUGAGAACAAACAAGUCACCGUAUGUCUAUGUCAAUUUUCGGUGACUGUUGGAUCUGAUUUUGUUAUUCUUUUUUCUUUCUGUGGUGUUGUGCGAAAACCAACACCACCACGAGGCUCGGGAAGCCCCCGCGACCAAACCCCAGCCAAAACCACCGGAAAACAUCACCCCACGCGCUCUCACGCGCCGAUCGAAGGUGGUAGUUUCUGGCGAGAUCUGUCUCACGCGCCGGCGCGUGAGGGCUUUUCUGAUCAUAUUUUUUGAGAAUUUUUUUGACAGUUGGGGUCGUCCAGCCAUUCCGACCAGGCCCAUACCGUUUUUGACCAGAUCCGAUCACCGGAAUUAGGGUUCCGGCAAUUUCCAGGCUGUUUCCGGCGACUUUUCUUCGAGAUUUGAAUUUUCCGACAAUCAGAUCUCAAUAAUCAAGUUUUUUUGUUUCCAAGACAAAUUUAGCAUAAUGUCUUUUGGGUGUGAUGUUUUUGGUUCUAAAAAUAUGGGGAUUGGAAGUUCUAGCCCUAUAAUCACUUCAGAACUUUUAUUGGGAAGUUCAAACUAUUUAUCUUGGGCUUCCUCGGUUGAGUUGUGGUGCAAGGGUCAAGGUGUCCAAGAUCACUUAACGAACAAGACUUAUGUGGUAGAUGUAAAGGCAAAGACUAGUGAGGAAGAUGCAAAAGCCAAAGCACAAUGGGAGAAAGUAGAUGCUCAAUUAUGUAGUCUCCUAUGGCGUUCUAUUGAUUCCAAGUUGAUGCCCUUGUUUCGCCCAUUCCAGACGUGUUAUACAGUUUGGGAAAAGGCUCGUGCUUUAUACACUAAUGACAUAUCUCGAUUCUAUGAUGUGAUAUCUCGAUUGACCAACUUAAAGAAACAAGAAUCCGAUAUGUCUACUUACUUGGGACAGGUACAGGCAGUCAUGGAGGAAUUUGACACAUUGAUGCCAGUUACUACGAAUGUGGAAAAACAACAAGAACACAGACAAACAUUGUUUCUAGUUCUUACUCUUGCUGGACUUCCUCCUGAUCAUGAUUCUGUACGUGAUCAGAUUUUAGCUAGCCCUACAGUUCCUACAAUCGAUGAAUUAUUCUCUCGUCUUCUUCGUCUUGCGGCACCUCCCAGUCACAAGGUAGUUUCAUCACCCACNNNNNNNNNNNNNNNNNNNNNNNNNNNNNNNNNNNNNNNNNNNNNNNNNNNNNNNNNNNNNNNNNNNNNNNNNNNNNNNNNNNNNNNNNNNNNNNNNNNNNNNNNNNNNNNNNNNNNNNNNNNNNNNNNNNNNNNNNNNNNNNNNNNNNNNNNNNNNNNNNNNNNNNNNNNNNNNNNNNNNNNNNNNNNNNNNNNNNNNNNNNNNNNNNNNNNNNNNNNNNNNNNNNNNNNNNNNNNNNNNNNNNNNNNNNNNNNNNNNNNNNNNNNNNNNNNNNNNNNNNNNNNNNNNNNNNNNNNNNNNNNNNNNNNNNNNNNNNNNNNNNNNNNNNNNNNNNNNNNNNNNNNNNNNNNNNNNNNNNNNNNNNNNNNNNNNNNNNNNNNNNNNNNNNNNNNNNNNNNNNNNNNNNNNNNNNNNNNNNNNNNNNNNNNNNNNNNNNNNNNNNNNNNNNNNNNNNNNNNNNNNNNNNNNNNNNNNNNNNNNNNNNNNNNNNNNNNNNNNNNNNNNNNNNNNNNNNNNNNNNNNNNNNNNNNNNNNNNNNNNNNNNNNNNNNNNNNNNNNNNNNNNNNNNNNNNNNNNNNNNNNNNNNNNNNNNNNNNNNNNNNNNNNNNNNNNNNNNNNNNNNNNNNNNNNNNNNNNNNNNNNNNNNNNNNNNNNNNNNNNNNNNNNNNNNNNNNNNNNNNNNNNNNNNNNNNNNNNNNNNNNNNNNNNNNNNNNNNNNNNNNNNNNNNNNNNNNNNNNNNNNNNNNNNNNNNNNNNNNNNNNNNNNNNNNNNNNNNNNNNNNNNNNNNNNNNNNNNNNNNNNNNNNNNNNNNNNNNNNNNNNNNNNNNNNNNNNNNNNNNNNNNNNNNNNNNNNNNNNNNNNNNNNNNNNNNNNNNNNNNNNNNNNNNNNNNNNNNNNNNNNNNNNNNNNNNNNNNNNNNNNNNNNNNNNNNNNNNNNNNNNNNNNNNNNNNNNNNNNNNNNNNNNNNNNNNNNNNNNNNNNNNNNNNNNNNNNNNNNNNNNNNNNNNNNNNNNNNNNNNNNNNNNNNNNNNNNNNNNNNNNNNNNNNNNNNNNNNNNNNNNNNNNNNNNNNNNNNNNNNNNNNNNNNNNNNNNNNNNNNNNNNNNNNNNNNNNNNNNNNNNNNNNNNNNNNNNNNNNNNNNNNNNNNNNNNNNNNNNNNNNNNNNNNNNNNNNNNNNNNNNNNNNNNNNNNNNNNNNNNNNNNNNNNNNNNNNNNNNNNNNNNNNNNNNNNNNNNNNNNNNNNNNNNNNNNNNNNNNNNNNNNNNNNNNNNNNNNNNNNNNNNNNNNNNNNNNNNNNNNNNNNNNNNNNNNNNNNNNNNNNNNNNNNNNNNNNNNNNNNNNNNNNNNNNNNNNNNNNNNNNNNNNNNNNNNNNNNNNNNNNNNNNNNNNNNNNNNNNNNNNNNNNNNNNNNNNNNNNNNNNNNNNNNNNNNNNNNNNNNNNNNNNNNNNNNNNNNNNNNNNNNNNNNNNNNNNNNNNNNNNNNNNNNNNNNNNNNNNNNNNNNNNNNNNNNNNNNNNNNNNNNNNNNNNNNNNNNNNNNNNNNNNNNNNNNNNNNNNNNNNNNNNNNNNNNNNNNNNNNNNNNNNNNNNNNNNNNNNNNNNNNNNNNNNNNNNNNNNNNNNNNNNNNNNNNNNNNNNNNNNNNNNNNNNNNNNNNNNNNNNNNNNNNNNNNNNNNNNNNNNNNNNNNNNNNNNNNNNNNNNNNNNNNNNNNNNNNNNNNNNNNNNNNNNNNNNNNNNNNNNNNNNNNNNNNNNNNNNNNNNNNNNNNNNNNNNNNNNNNNNNNNNNNNNNNNNNNNNNNNNNNNNNNNNNNNNNNNNNNNNNNNNNNNNNNNNNNNNNNNNNNNNNNNNNNNNNNNNNNNNNNNNNNNNNNNNNNNNNNNNNNNNNNNNNNNNNNNNNNNNNNNNNNNNNNNNNNNNNNNNNNNNNNNNNNNNNNNNNNNNNNNNNNNNNNNNNNNNNNNNNNNNNNNNNNNNNNNNNNNNNNNNNNNNNNNNNNNNNNNNNNNNNNNNNNNNNNNNNNNNNNNNNNNNNNNNNNNNNNNNNNNNNNNNNNNNNNNNNNNNNNNNNNNNNNNNNNNNNNNNNNNNNNNNNNNNNNNNNNNNNNNNNNNNNNNNNNNNNNNNNNNNNNNNN
rnacentral:lncRNA from 1 species